rnacentral:lncRNA from 1 species
AACACUCAUAUAUACCUCAAUAAUUUAUACUAAAGCUUACCAAUUGAUUUUUCUCGCGAAGUCGAUCAGGAGGCAAACAACACAGGCUACUUGGUCAUAUUACUUUAUUUAUUUAUGCGAUAAAUAAUUUCGAACGAAGGAAAAGUUGAUUUAUUUCUGAUGUUUCUCGUUUUGGUUUAAUUAGGCAUACUCGGCAGGGUGGGCGACCAGGUAUGCCUCGACCAUCUUGAGCAGGUCGAGGUAUCCGGCGGCGAGCGCCGCCUCGUCCUCCGCCGACAGCGCCCCGCCGCCGUCCAGCCUCUCGUACUCUACCCUGAGCUUCGCCACGCAAGCACCAUCCCCGGCCGCCUCGAGCUUCAUCUCGACCGCCUGUGAGUUGAGCUGACCACUUACCUUGUCGCCCUCCAGCACCUCUGUCUUGAACACCCUGGCCGCGUUGUCGCGCGCCACCACGCGGCUCUUCAUCACGCCCGAGCCUGACAGCUCCGCCGCCGCCGGGCUGAGCGUCAUGGUGAAGACGCUGCCGGGUCCGCCGUCGCCCUCGACGUCCACAACGUAGAUGAAGCUGAAAUUCGGACAGCAGGGGAGACUGUUUUCUUUUUGAAAAAACCACACGUACGAAAGUGCAUUUGUCACAAAACCAAACGGCUUCAAUAUUUAUCUAUAUUAAUGCUUGAAGUAACUUACACACGAAAUACAAACUUAAAACAGGGAUGAAAAACUCAAUACACACCUCAAACAAUUUAUACUAAUGAUUACCACUUCAUUCUUCUCGCGAAGUCAACCACGAAGCAAACAACACCGGGCUACUUGCUCAUAUGAUUUCUUCAAAACAAAGAUAUGUACUCACCUUAAUAGUUUAUUUAUUUAUUCUUUCUUAUAAAGGAAGAUUGUUUUAUUUCUGAUGUUUGUCGCGUUGUUUUAAUUAGACGUACUCGGCAGGGUGGGCGACCAGGUAUGCCUCGACCAUCUUGAGCUGGUCGAGGUACCCGGCGGCGAGCGCCGCCUGGUCCUCCGCCGACAGCGCCCCGCCGCCGUCGAGCCUCUCGUACUCCACCCUGAGCUUCGCCACACAAGCACCGUCCCCGGCCGCCUCAAGCUUCAUCUCGACAACCUGCGACUUGAGCUGGCCGCUCACCUUGCCGCCCUCCAGUAUCUCCGUCUUGAACACCCUAGCCGCGUUGUCGCGGGCCAUCACGCGGCUCCUCAUCACGCCCGAGCCUGACAGCUCCGCCGCCGCCGGGCUGAGCGUCAUGGUGAAGACGCUGCCGGGUCCGCCGUCGCCCUCGACGUCCACAACGUCGAUGAAGCCCGCGCAGGCCUUGGGCAGGGCGGCCGUGUCCUCGCCGGAGAAGACCACCUUCCACAGCCGCUCUGUCGACACCGUCAGGGCACACUGCUCGGUGAUGACACAGCCGGCGACCAUCUUGUUCUUGUCCGUCGGUCACUGGCUCGCUGCACACUAGCGCUGCUGGCAAGUUCUAGUGAAGAGUGAAGACCGGUGAUGAGUGAGAGCAAGCAAGGGGCUGAUUUAUAUAGAGUAGGUGCAAAAGAAAAAUUCAGAGCAAGGCAAGAGAUCCAUAAAAUAGUAAUUGAUGAACUUGGACCGGAGAUCACAUGGUUGGACUCUUGAAGCGUUCAGGCUGCUAUUUCUUUCUGCAGCUGUUCAAUCUUCUUCCAUGUGUUCGUUCUGCUGACUGUUCGGUCUAUUCUAUAAGGGCUGAAAUUCGGACAGCAGGGGAGACUGUUUUCUUUUUGAAAAAUCACCGGGGGGGAUCAUGUGUUCUUGCCUGUUGGUUCCGAUCAGAUCUGUUGGUGCGUGCGCGUGCGAUUUGGGAAUCGCAUACGGGGGGAAGCUAACCUUGCCGCCGAUGCGUCGGCUAGAUCGAUUGCCUGCUUCUGCUGACCUAGCCUCGUGGCCCGAUCUCCAGCUUGCUAACCUCGGUUGCGUGCUUAAAUUGGAAAUAACCUGAGUGCAAACAUAACAUGAUCUGUCGGAUGUGCAUUCCAGUUUUAAUUUUACAGGCCUACUACAACUGUUGGAGCGGUUGUGUAUUGGCAGGGUUUGACUGAUACGUACCCAGAUUGUUUGCAACACUGUCUUGAUUUGUAAUUCGCAUUGCUAGUUUUGGUACUAAAUCUCAGUUAAAAAUUCUCCUCACAGAGAUGUCACUUGAAAACGUAAAUAUUGCAGUUUCGUCUAAAUUUAGCAAUGAUAGAGUUUACGUUUCCCUGGCUAGCAGGGGAGACUGUACUCCGUCAGGCCUAUGCCUCGCCGGAGGAAUAGAACAGAACGCCGCGCCCUUAUCUAAGCUGUGUGUUUUAGUCCCUCCGUCCCAAAAUAAAGAACGUGUGGCAGUAAUAUUGGGGUCAGGCUGGUUGUGAAUUUUUGAUAAGGGAAACGAUUCCGGAGGGUGCGCCGGCCUGUCCUGCCCGGGUAGUCUGAUCCCAUGCGUGGGAUCUUUUUUUUUUUUUUACUGUGAGACGUCAUUUUUGCUGUAAUUAUUAUCCUUUUUUACUACUAUCGAUAAGAUUUUUGCUAUAGUUGUUGUUGAUUUUUACUAUAUUUUAUUCAUUAAAAAGUUGCAUCCACGUUUAGUUGCAGUCCGAGUUCGUCGGAUUUUUUUCCAUACAACCGUGUUAAUUUUUGUUAAAACCGGUAUCCUUUUUUGCUACAAUCGUUAACUACAAAAGUUGCAUACACGCUCGUCAGAGUUGCAAUCCGAGUUCAUCGGAUUGUUUUGCUAUAACCCAUUUUGCUACCAUGCAUCAUCAGCGUCGUUUUUGGUACGACCACGUUUAUAUAUUUUUGUUACAAUCAUAUUUUUCCUUCAUCCGUGACCGAAAUUUGCUGCAUCGUGGUCGAAAUUUGUUGUAUCGAGGAUUUUUGUUGCAUGGUCAGAUCUGACGAUCAAACCAGAUUCAAUCUGACGGAUCAGGCGGCCCGCUGAAAAUUUCGGCCGACGCGCCGGCGCAGAGCACUGCUCUUUUGAUAAGACUUCGAAAAUUUUCAUUGCAUGCUGGUAGUCUAUGAAAACAUAAUUAAGAUUUGGAAUUGGUUGUUCAUUAUUUGACACUUCAAACUUCUGUCUAGCCAUCAAAAUGUUAUGCAUCAUUAACAAAAAUUCGACACAUAUGACUCGGUGAAAAGUAAACUUCGUAAUUGUUGCAAGUUCAAAAUUAAAUUAUUUUCCAGAGUAUAUUCAUGUGGGUUGUACCUUAUAAUCAAUCCAGUAUUGCACUCUCCUACAGUAUUAUGAGCAAAAGUUCCUAGGUAGUGCUAUCAAAAUUAACAUUUUUCAAGAAUUUUUUAUUUUGCAUCCGGUAAAAGAAAUUGAUGUACAUCAUGCACAGACAUACAGUGAAAUACUUCUUUAGACACUUGCACCCUUUUGAAAAAAUUAGAAGGACAUGGUUUGAUUAACCGGUGAAAAAAAAAUUGAAUUCUCUGUAUAGUAGUUCUCACAGCAAAGAAGCCAAACUAAUUUAGAAACUUCAUUUAAGAAAAAUCUGUCAAAUGAAAGUUUAAUUGUUUAUAUGGUAUAGUAGUUCCCACAUCAAAGAAGCCAAACUAUUACGAAACUUUUUAAUUUAAGAAAAGAAGACUUCACGGUGACUUGGAAUACAUCAAUGGAGAAUUCUGAAACUUGCCUUGAAAAUUGUGCAUGAAGAUCAUGAAUAUCACGUUAAAUUAGGCUACUGUGUGAAAUCCUACAAAUACACCAUACCACAUUUUAUUUUCCUAACAUGUAAGCCGGGAGAUGGCUGUAAAGCUGGUCACCAAUUCAGAACUAACAACACAUAAAUGUUCAUAGAUAGAGUUAUCCGAUCAAGGCGUGGAUCAAGUCCUUGACACAAUGGAGAAAUGACAUAAUGCAUUCUGUUUUAGUCCUGAAGCAACUAUACUUUUGGCUAUAAGAAGUUCAUCAAUUUUUCCUUUAGUUGACAACACCAGAAGAAAAUAUAGCGAUAAAUGCCAGAAAGUACACAUGAGCACGAUGUAAAUUAAAUGAAUAUACUGAAACAUGUCAAGCCUAGUUAAAUAAAAAAACAAGGACAUAUAAAGGUGUUUCUAAAUUAAUAAAUAACAAAAACAGAUCAGUGCCGUUCGUACUUUCAAAUUUAAAAUAUUGGAAUACAUACUGCGUAUUUAGCUUCUACCACCGAGCAAUAGAAAAAGAUUGCAAAUAUUGGCAUGGAUCCCAGAAUUGAACCCUCUUCUUUUCCUUACAUGCAGGUAAUAAAGUCUGAAUGAUAAGAUUAGAAUUUAAGGAAUACUUUUGUCAACUAUUAAAUUUUGAGUGACUAAUAGUUUUCAACCAACACCGUCUAAAAGAGGGGGAGAGCCGAGGAGAGAACAAUAUUUUAGGGGAGAAAGAAUAGGCACGACGUAAAUCUUAUGGUGGCUUCGCAGCUGUUCGCAUUAAGCGGUGAGAGAUAGAGCGAAACCUCAUCCUUUAGGUAUUUUGUGGCCGUGCGAACCAACCCGUGUGGUUGGAUAGUUAGGAGGACAGUGGUAUUUUUAGUCCGCCACGGUUUAAGUUUUAGAUUUAACAUUGAUGACUGGAUUUUUUGGAUAUACUUAACGCUUCUGGCGAUGUUCGUUUAGUGAGAGGAUACGUUUCUGUCGAUUGCGAGACGCCUCUGAUGAAAUCUAGAAUCUCAAGAUGCUAUGACGGUUCAGUCUUUCAAAGGUGUUUAUAGGGGUAAGGUGGGUGUGUGUUCAUAAAGGUGAAUGUAUGCUGAUGCACAACAAAUUCGAUUGUACUGUAUUAAAAAUAUUAUUUUAUGGUGCCUUAAGUAGUAAAUCCCUGCUAGAUAGUAAAAAAAUUCAAAAAUCUAUUUUUUUAGCACGUGUGAGUGUAUAAAAACUUACCUCAUAGAACUGGGAACAGGGGCGAUUCCAGCUAUAUGGCAAGGUUUGGCAGCUGUCAUACCUAAAAUUUAGGGGAAAAACAUAUAUUAUACUGUAUGUAUGAAGAUAUGAGCUGAGUCAAUGGAUUUCUUCUCAGUUUCGUCAAUUUGGAGGAGGAGAUGACUCGCACGGGAAUGCGACUCAGGGCCUGCAAUGUAUUUCGCGAGGUAGUUGUGAUGUUGAUAUGUAUUUCUGGCUCAUUAGAGGCCUAACUACAGCUGAAUGAGAGAAUUAAUCAAUAGAUGACUUGCAUCACAUAAGCCCAUGACAUUUUGCUAAAAAGAAAAGUUGAUUCGAGGCACAUGAUCUAUCUGUUUCUUUCGAGCGCAGCUAGAGAUCGGCUAGUGAGGCAACGAGCAAGAACACCACAUUUUUCUUUCAUGAAGCAUGCCAUACCAAGAAAAUAUUCCUUGCUCCACCACUGAAUGGGAACACACGAGAGGAGCUCCUCCUUAACCAUUUUAAUAUAGUUGUAUAUAUAUGGCUUACGGGGGCGACUACGCACAUGCCUAUUACCUUGACCUGAGUUUGUAUAUGUGAAUCCCUUGACCUGUCCGGGUUUUUUCCUUUCCUUUAUUGUUUUCAGCUUUUUCUUUCUGGGUUUCUUUGUUCUUUUCACUGGUUCCUCGGAUUUUCUUUUUUCUACGUUAUGUUAUUAGUUUUCUUUGGUUAUUCAAUGAUUUUCUUGGGUUUUCUUGGUUUUUCUUGGUUUUUCUUUUUUUUCUUUUUUUUCUUCCUAGGGGUUUUCAAGUUUUUCUGGUUUUUUCGCAUUUGUUUUUGUUUCUUUGCUAUUUUUUUUGUUUUUUGACACAUGUCUACUUUUUUACACACGCUUUACAUUUAUUGUCUACAUGCAAAAGCAUUUUUUAUGCAUGUUUAACUUUUUUAACAUUUCAUCUAAGCAUGUUUUGAAUAUUUUUUCAAAUUCAGGUUAACAUUUUUUCAAAUAUACGUUAACACAUUUUUCAAAUGACAAAUAACACUCUUUUUUAACUAUGAAUAUAUUUUUGUACAAUGUACAUAUUGUUUUGAAAUGACACAAAGACAACUUGGAAACAUGUUAACAUUUUAUAAAAUGUGACAUGCAUUUCUUAAAAUAAUUUGAAAAAUAUAGAUUAGACAAACAUUUUUUACAUUUGUGUAAAUAAUUUUUAAAAUUUUACAUACAUUAUUUCGAAAUAUGUUAUGUUUUUUAAAUUGUCGCAAACUUUUUUCAAACCUAUGAUUAACAUUUUCUACUGCCUUCGUCCCAAAAUAUAUGACGGUUUUUGACACUACCAGCAUGUCAAAAACAGUUUAACAUUUUGGGACGGAGGAAGUACUUUUUACAUUCUCAUUUAUACAUUUUUUGUAUACAUCAGAAACAUUUUAUGAUACAUAUUCAAAUCCUCAAAAAUGUAAGAUUAACGUUUCAUAAAAUUUAAGAAAAGUUUUUGCAAUAUUAAUAUUUAGGAUAUUAUCAACUAUAAGGAAAAAAAGAAAUAAAGGAAUAAGAAAAGGGAAAAUUGGAAAUAAUAAUAAUAUUUAAAAUUGUUAAAAUUUUGAAUUUUCAUACACUUGUGAAUUUUCCAAAUGCCUUAUGGAAAACAUAAAUUAAGUUUUGUCCACAUAAUUUCAGUUUGAAGAAUAUAUAUUGAAUAUAUUAAUAAAUUUUGAAAAUACACGUUUUUAUUUAUUUAUUUUUUGAAUAUUUUUCGAAACCAUAAUUUUAUUUUCAUUUUCUUCAAACUUUCGGAAAUUCCCAAACAAUUUUUGCCAAUGCACAUUCCUAAAUUUUCAAACAAUAUUUGAAAUUCCCAACACUUUGUUAAACACGCAGAUAUUUUUGAAAUUUCUGAGCAUUAUAUAAAAAAUAAACUGAUCCUAAAAAGGAAAAGGAAAAAAAACACAAAGGGAAAAACCAAAAAACACAAGACCGGUAAACGCAGCUCAAAUUUUAAAGAAGGUUCCAAAACCAAAGCGAGAACCCUUUUGUGCCCAUCGCUAAAAAAAUGGCUAGCCGACAUGCUUCGUUGGUGCGCUUUUCCUAUGCUAGCGGCAACAGUUCGCCGCAACAUGCAACAAACUUGCAUUCUGCUGUUUACUUAAGAGCUCCACCUAAGGCUUCCUCGUUCGGCCUCCCUCCCCCUCGCCGCCGGUAGCCAUGGUGGUCGACGCUGGGUAGGAUGGAGAUGUGGAUCAUAGGUCUAGUGUUGUAUGAGUGUCUCUCUCCGGAAAAAUAAAGUGGAGCUGUGUUUUGGAUCUUGUUUAGAUGGUUUUUUAACUCUCCCGUGGGGCCACGCUCGUGGAGACACGCAAAGAUGAUCUCUGGUUGCAGAUCCGUCGAUGGCAUCCCUGAGUCGGCUCCAUGGCGAAACUUGGGCUCGUCCGGUUUCGUCUCAACUUCUCCCCAUUUUUCUUGCUGUAAUAAAUCCCAAUCAUAUGGUGCACCACAUGCUCUUCUUUCUUGUAACACCCGUGUAAUUAAGCUACAGUAAACCCUCUGAUAUUAAGCUAAUAAUUUUGCCAAUCAGUGCUUGACCAUCUUUAGAAUCAUAUCUCAUUCCAUAUUCCAUUUUGAAAUUCAACAUUCAAAUAAAAAGUGCAUCAAAAAAUUCACAAACAUGGAAACUAAGAUGUUUCAAAGGUGCUAAAUAAUCUAAAGAUAAUUAUGAUGGAGGAACCAUCAUUUUUGUAAGUAACUAAAAGCUCUAAAACAAUUACAACGAAAGUGAAAACAAUAAUUUAAAUGUCUUUUAAAUUAUGAAAAAUCUAAGACAUUCCAAUUGCCUCCCAAACUUUUUGUGGCACUAUGCAAAAAUGCAAUGCUAAUUAUGGACCAAGUUAUAUAUUUUGUAAAACUAGUUUUCUUUUAAAAUUGAAUGCAAAACAAAACAAAAUAAAGAAAAAUAAAAAAAAGAAGAUGGAAAAAAAGGGCCACUAUGGACUGGGUCUUAGUCCAUAGUGAGGCCCAGCCCACCUAGCCCCCCUUCUCCUUCUUCUGUUUACCAAGAGGGGUGUGGACGCCGCCGAUGCUCGCCAAGGCCACGGUCUCCGUCCUGGCGGCCAUCCGCCGCCUCCUCGAGGUCUACAAGACCCCCACGGCCUCCCCCGAACCCUAGAUCGCCCCACUUCUCCCUCCUUGCACCGCUCCUUCCGACCCUCGCCAUGGCCACCUGUGCCGUCGCCUUGGCUCCAUCGUAGGCAUGGACACCGACCAUCAUUCGCCGUUCCGCGCUAUCUAGAAGCUCCGCUUUACUCCUCUUCUUCGCCUACGUAGACCAGCUCGAGCACGGCGCCAUCCCAACAAGCGGAUCGAGCUCUUCCCCGCCCCGGUUGUCGGCGCCUUUCCGAUCAAUUCUAAGCCACUAAUGCUACUAACCCAAUCAUCAAGCCAUCUUGAGCUCCGUGGUGAGCAUCCCCAUGAAACCCCUCUUUUCUUAGCUCGAUCUCGAGCUCGUAACAUGUUGAUGCUGCUGUCGAGCUUCCGUCACCUCCGUUGUGCUUGUCUUCGUCGUUCUCGGCCCUUCCGUCUCAAACCAACACUCGUGUGUGUUGUGCCCGUGGUGCGUCGCCCACGUGUGCUUGUUGCCACCCGCUCGCGAUCGUUUUGUUGCUGCUCCUGCCCUACUGCUCGCCGUGUCCGUGCUGCACCGCCCACUACCGUCGCGGUUGUCGACCCCGCCAUCGAUUCCGGCCAUCUUUGGCCACCCUGCGGCCACCAUCUGAUGCACCUUGUCACGCUGGACACGUGAUACGUGAUAACCCACAAGUAUAGGGGAUCUAUCGUAGUCCUUUCGAUAAGUAAGGGUGUCGAACCCAAUGAGGAGCAGAAGGAUCUGACAAGUGGUUUUCAGCAAGGUAAUCUCUGCAAGCACUGAAAUUAACGGUAACAAGUAGUUGUGUGGUGAGAUGAUUCAUAGCAAGUAGCAAGUAGCAAAAGUAACAACGGUACAACAAAGUGUCCAAUCCCUUUUGUAGCAAGGGACAAGCCUGGACAAACUCUUAUAGGAGGUAAAACGCUCCCGAGGACACAUGAGAAUUUCUGUCAAGCUAGUUUUCAUCAUGUUCAUAUGAUUCACAUUCGUUACUUUGAUAGUUUGAUAUGUGGGUGGACCGGCGCUUGGGUACUGAUGGGGUUAUAGUCCCAGGGUAGGGUCAUAGGCCUGCCCUAUAGGUCCUACCCAAGGACUACCCUUCAUAGAGGGCAAGGCCCUUAGACAGUUCCGACUGAACUAAGGACCCCCCAUCAUCUAGUCGGUGACGAGAAUUCGGAGCAUAUUUAUCGUACCGACUGAAUUCCACUCUGUACGUCGUAACCUCCCAGGAGGGCAACGGUCAUACGUUUUCAUACACCAUUAUUAGAAUUUAAGGCAUACGUUACCUGUAACGUAGGCAUUUAUUCGCCACUACUCCACCCCUGUCCACCGGGCCGUUGUGAAGGGCAGCGCACUCUAUAUAAGCCGCCCUUCCCCACUGGUGCAGGGGUUGGCUUUUACUGUAAUCCUAUAUUCCACUCGACACUAAGCUCCCAAGAGCACUGAGAUGUAGGGCUUUUACCUCCACCGCAGAGGGGCCCGAACUCAUACAACCUCUCCGUAGCUAAGGCUCUGCCCAUCCUUUCGUACCCUACACCUCUACUGUCAGACUUAUACCCACGACAGUUGGCGCCCACCGUGGGGCAGGCGUCUAAGCGACUUCCGGCGAGUUUGCAGCUUCAUCUUUUCAUCGUGUCGUCCGGCGGAGAGUUAUGAAUGGGUCGGGAGAUCCUCUUCGGCGCACACUCCUUCAUCGUCGACGAUUCGGCAUGGCUUCGGGAUGCGUCUCUCGACGUCGAGGUGCUCCCCAGUCGCGGGGCUACGCACUUCCGUGUCGGUGCCCGCGGCGUCCUUCUUCUCCAGCAGUCGGCCCCGGUGUCGACCUUCGCCCCCGUCAUGCACCGCAACAAGCGGUCCCGCCGUCUGCGGCUCCAGCGUUGGGUGCGACACGCCCAGGCGCGCCAGAACGCGUCCUCUCAAGUGGAGGUCCUCGAGUCGGUUGUGGUCGCGCCACCGUCCCAGUGCUUGACUCAAUUCCAACUGAGUUACUUUCCGAGUACUUGGGUCGCGGGCCUGCAGCCGAAGUUCUCAUGGCAAAUUCCCAUGAAAGUCCCCACCGGACUGGCCGGAACGAGCACGAGGUCGGCGAAUCGUUCGGCGCUCGCUGUCAACACCACCGUUCUGCCAGUCGACGCACUCGUCAGAGCAACGUCGAGGUGUUCCGUACACCCGUCCUCAACCUGGCUGCCGCUGCCAAGAUAGCCGAUUCCCUCCAACCGACUGAUUCGGAGGCUGGUAGAGGGAUCGAGCAGAUCCGUGCCCUGUUGCACACGGCGCAGUAGCAGAAUUCGGCGGUCUCCCAGUCACACAACAGGAUCCACAACAGUUCUGUUCACGCGAACACGCAUCGGUCGGUUUACAGUCCCCACUCUCAUCAGCGACGCAGAGGGGGCAGCCGUUCCACGAAUCCUGAAGAUCAUCGCCGUUCACGCACCACUCCGCGGGGUGGGGCUUACGGGCCCUGACAUCAUGAUGAUCGGCGUUCAGUCGGUCACACGUAUGAUCCAAGGCCCGACGCAAGAGGGUACAUCGCCCAAAGGAAGGUCGACAGGAGUCGAGCCCACCGUGAUGGUCACGAUAGAGACCGUCCGAGUGGAAGCAGGACCAUCGUCUCUGGCCCCGAGUGCUUCAGUCGGGCCAUCCGUUCUGCUGACAUCCCUCCCAACUUCCGAUUGGCGACGGGGAUCAGCAAGUUCACAGGAGAAUCCAAGCCAGAAACGUGGUUGGACGACUACCGAGUGGCGGUCCAAAUCGGUGGUGGAGAUGACCAGGUCGCCAUGAAACAUCUCCCUCUGAUGCUCGACGGCUCGGCACGAGCGUGGCUGAAUCAGUUGGCUCCAUCAAGCAUCUACAGCUGGACAGAUCUGUCCCGAGUGUUCAUCAGGAGCUUCGAGGGCACGUGCAAACGCCCUGCUGGUCUCGUGGAGCUCCAGCACUGCGUCCAGAAGCAGAAUGAGCCCCUGCGCGAUUUCAUCCAGCGCUGGACGACCCUCUACCACACGGUGGAGAACGUCACAGAGCAUCAAGCAGUCUACGCAUUCAAGGCAGGCGUGCGGUACAGAGAUCUGUACCUGAAGUUCGGUCGGACAGGCGACAUCUCCAUGAGCAAGAUGAUGGAGAUAGCCGCACGCUAUGCAAAUGGCGAAGAAGAGGACCGCAUACGUAGCGGCAAGCACAAGGCAGUCGCCGACGGAUAUGGGAACAACAAUCGGAAGCAAAAGCGGAAAGCUCCGUCAACUCCGCAGGCAGAGGCAACUGCCGUUACAAAUGCCAAGUUCAAGGGCAAGGGGAAAGCUCAGUACACCCCCAAGAAGAAGCAGUUCGGGAACUCCAUCCUGGAUCAGCCAUGUCCAAUCCACACGAAGAUGGAUGAAGAAGGCAACGCCAUAUUCCCGAUGCACACCACUCGGCAAUGUCGCCUCCUGAUCCAAGGGUUCGGCGAAGGGCAGCCGAGUGAAAAGGACAACGAGCAGGAUGAUGAGGACAAGGAGGAUCCGUUCCCCCAAAUCCACGCAACAUUGAUGAUUUUUGCUGACGUGGAAAGCAAGAGUCGACUGAAGCUGGUGAACAGGGAGGUGAACAUGGCCACCCCAACCAACCCCACGUUCCUCAAAUGGUCUCAGACUGCGAUCACCUUUGAUCAAUCGGAUCAUCUAGCACACGUGCCCACCCCGGGGAGGCAGGCUCUGGUAGUCGACCCGGUGGUGGAAGGAGUCCGACUGCGCAAAGUCCUCAUGGAUGGCGGCAGCGGCUUGAACAUCAUGUACGGUGACACUCUCAAGGGGAUGGGCAUUCCGAUGUCCAAACUUAGCGAGAGCAGCAUGCAGUUCCACGGAGUCGUCCCAGGACGAAAGGCCAAGUCACUCGGCCAGAUCGCGUUGGACGUCGUUUUAGGCUCCGACAAGAACUUCCGCAAGGAAAAGCUGACAUUCGAGGUGGUGGACUUCCUGAGUGCAUACCAUGCAAUUCUGGGCCGUCCGGCGUAUUCACGUUUCAUGGCCCGUCCAUGUUACGUGUAUUUAAAGCUGAAGAUGCCGGGUCCCAAAGGUGUGAUCACCAUCACAGGCAAUCGGCAGCGGGCGGAAGAGUGUCUGCAGCACGGGUCACGGAUUGCCGAUCAGCAGAUGGCUAUCCUCGAGCUGGAUGAGUACAAGAAGACGUCCGACCCCGCUGACUUGAUGCGUUCGAAGAAGCCAGCUUCGGAGUCCGCAUUCCAGUCGGUGGGCGACACGAAGAAAGUCAGCAUCCACCCGACGGACGACAUCGCCGCCCCGACGAACAUCUCCACCACCCUUGAUCCAAAAUAGGAAGCCGAGCUCAUCCAAUUCCUUCGUGAGAACUGGGACAUUUUCGCAUGGAAGACCGCUGACAUGCCAGGUGUACCCAGGGAGUUGGCUGAGCACCGACUGCAUGUGGAUCCUACCGCUCGGCCCGUCCGAGAAUGCCUGCGUCGGUCCGCCGCGCACAAAAGGAAGGCAAUCGGAGAGGAGGUGGCUAAACUUUUGGCAGCCAACUUCAUUCACGAGGUACACCACUCCGAGUGGCUCGCCAACGUUGUCAUGGUUCCCAAGAAGGACAAGUCCCUCCGUAUGUGCAUCGACUUCAAGCAUCUCAAUAAGGUUUGCCCGAAAGAUCAUUUCCCUCUCCCCCGCAUUGAUCAAAUUGUUGAUUCGACUGCGGGUUGCGAGCGUUUAUAAUUCCUUGAUGCCUAUUCGGUCUAUCAUCAGAUCCGUCUGUAUGGUCCGGAUGAAUUAAAAACAGCCUUCAUCACCCCAUUUGGGUGUUUUUGCUACAUCACUAUGCCAUUCGGUUUGAAGAAUGCAGGAGCAACUUUUAUGCGCAUGAUCCAGAAAUGCCUCCGUGACCAGAUCAGUCGAAAUGUGGAGGCAUAUAUGGACGAUAUCGUAGUCAAGUCAUGCAAAGGUUCCGACCUGCUGACUGACUUGGCAGAAACAUUCACCAACCUUCGUAGGUACGAUAUCAAGCUCAACCCUGCCAAGUGUUCAUUCGGUGCUCCCAGCGAAAAGUUACUCGGUUUCUUCGUUUCCGAACGAGGAAUCGAUGUCAACCCCAAAAAGAUCGGGACCAUCGUCCGAAUGGAGCGGCCGAUCAGAAUACAUGAUGUUCAAAGGCUCACAGGUUUCCUAGCGGCUUUGAGCAGGUUUUUUCACUCGACUCGGCGAGAAGGCGUUACCUCUGUACCGACUCAUGAAGAAAUCAGAUACUUUCGAGUGGACAGACGAAGCCCAGAUUGCCUUUGACGACCUCAAAGCCCUGCUUUCCACCCAGCCGGUUCUUACUGCCCCGCUCAGUAAAGAACCCCUUCUUCUGUACAUCGCGGCUAUAAAUCAAGUCGUCAGCACUGUUCUCACAGUCGAACGUGAAGAAGAAGGCAAAGCGUACAAGUUUCAGCGGCCAGUAUAUUAUGUCUCCGAAGUCCUGACUCCUUCCAAGCAGAGGUAUCCCCAUUAUCAAAAGCUUAUUUAUGGGAUCUACAUGACUGCAAAGAAGGUGGCUCACUAUUUUCAAGACCACUCGAUGUCUGUCGUUUCUGAUGCUCCGUUGUCGGAAAUCCUCCACAAUCGAGACGCAUCAGGCCGAGUGGCGAAGUGGGCUAUGGAGAUGUUAUACUGCGACAUCAAGUUUGAAGCCAAGAAGACUAUAAAGUCUCAAGCUCUGGCUGACUUCAUAGCAGAAUGGGUAGAACAGCAGCAACCGACUCACAUCUACUCAGCUCAUUGGACUAUGUUCUUCGAUGGGUCCAAGAUGCUGAAUGGCUCCGGCGCUGGCGUAGUGAUCAUAUCGCCAAAAGGUGAUAAGCUUAAGUAUGUGUUGCAGAUACAUUUCGAUUCUUCCAACAAUGAGGCAGAGUAUGAAGCUCUCCUUUACGGAUUGCGCAUGGCCAUCACACUCGGCGUCCGCCGCCUGAUGGUCUAUGGCGAUUCAGAUUUGGUGGUUAAUCAAGUGAUGAAGGAGUGGGAUGUGAGGAACCCCACCAUGACUGCAUACUGCAAUGCAGUAAGGAAGCUCGAGAAGAAGUUUGAAGGUCUGGAACUUCACCAUGUUCCUCGACUGAAGAACCAAGCAGCUGAUCAGUUGGCAAAACUCGGAUCCACUCGGAGACCAGUCCCGAGUGAUGUCUGCCUCGAGCACCUACAUCUCCCUUCACCGUUACAGAGGAACCGGUACAACCGAAGAGUUCAACAGAUCCGACUGAAGUCGAGGUCCCCGCUGUGGUUGAUUUGAUCAUGGAGAUUCUUGCUAUCAUCCCUGAUUGGACUGUGCCGUUCAUUGCAUACAUCCUGAGGCAAGAAUUACCAGAGGACGAAGUCCAAGCGAGGCAGAUCGCCCGCAGGUCGAAGUCCUUCACCGUCAUUGAUGGCCAGUUGUACAAGGAAAGUGUUUCAGGAGUCCUUCAGUGAUGCAUCUCCCCUGAGGAGGGACAGUUAAUCCUGGAAGAAAUUCACUCGGGAACUUGCGGCCAUCAUGCCUCCUCAAGAGCAAUCGUCGCCAAAGCAUUCAGAGUUGGCUUCUUCUGGUUGCAGGCGAAUGAAAUGGCAAAGGAUAUGGUCGACCGAUGCGAAGGCUGUCAGUUCUAUUCGAAUAAGUCCCACAAGCCAACGUCUAUGCUGAAGACAAUCCCUCUUGUUUGGCCGUUCGCAGUGUGGGGAUUACAUACAGUCGGUCCAUUCAGAACUGGCUAAGGGGGAUUCACUCAUCUGUUGGUGGCAGUCGACAAGUUCACCAAGUGGAUUGAAGCCAAGCCCAUCAAGAAGCUCGACGCCCUUACGGCCAUCAAAUUUGUCAGAGACAUCAUCUCCACAUUCGGAGUCCCGCACAGCAUAAUCACUGACAAUGGCACAAACUUUGACUCGGACAGAUUCAAAGGUUUUUUCACAGGCCAAGGUAUCCGAGUGGAUUUUGCAUCUGUGGCGCACCCUCAAACCAACGGGCAAGCAGAGCGGCGAAUAGACUUAUUCUUCAAGGGUUGAAGCCUCGACUCCUGUGAGAAGUUGGACAUGCCGCCGGCGUAUGGGUCACCGAGCUGCCUUCGGUAUUGUGGGGCCUCCGCACAACUCCGAAUAGAUCUACAGGGCGAUCCCCGUUCUUCCUCGUUUAUGGAGCACAGGCUGUCCUCCCGAGUGACUUGCUUCACAACUCUCCAUGAGUCGAACUCUUCUCCGAAGCCGAAGCGGAGCAGGCCAGGCAAGACGGAGUGGAUCUACUAGAAGAAGAGCACGAGAUGGCACUGACUCGCUCAACAAUUUAUCAACAAGAUCUGCGGCUUUUUCACGCGCGGCACGUCAGGAGUCGCAUAUUCCAAGCAGGUGACCUGGUGCUCCGAGUGGACCAGCAGAGGCCUCACAAGUUGGCUCCCGCCUGGGAAGGACCCUUCAUCAUCUCUAGGGUGCCGAACAACGGAGCAUAUCGACUCUACAAUCUCGAUAGGGAAACGGACGAGCCGCGAGCAUGGAACGGAGAUCUCCUGAAGCGCUUCUACACGUGACCGCCGACGGAGGCAAUGUAAAGAACAAGUAUCAUUGAAGUAAUACAAAGCAGACUGAUUUUUUGCAGGUCCAAAAUUCUUCCGCGUUUGGAGACUCCGGUCUAAAAAACUCUCUCCGAGUGUGCGCUAACAGCCGCACUCGGGGACUUAGCUGCGACCCAGAGUCGCCUAAGUAAAAAACUCUCUCCGAGUGUGCACUAAAAGUCGCACUCGGGGACUUAGCUGCGAUCCAGAAUCACCUAAGUACAAACUCUCUCCGAGUGUGCACUAAAAGUCGCACUCGGGGACUUAGCUGCGACCCAGAGUCGCCUAAGUAAAAAAAUUCUCUCCGAGUGUGCGCUGACAGCCGCACUCGGGGACUUAGCUGCGACCCAGAGUCGCCUAAGUAAAAAAAUUCUCUCCGAGUGUGCGCUGACAGCCGCACUCGGGGACUUAGCUGCGACCCAGAGUCGCCUAAGUAAAAAAAUUCUCUCCGAGUGUGCGCUGACAGCCGCACUCGGGGACUUAGCUGCGACCCAGAGUCGCCUAAGUAAAAAAAUUCUCUCCGAGUGUGCGCUGACAGCCGCACUCGGGGACUUAGCUGCGACCCAGAGUCGCCUAAGUAAAAAAAUUCUCUCCGAGUGUGCGCUGACAGCCGCACUCGGGGACUUAGCUGCGACCCAGAGUCGCCUAAGUAAAAAACUCUCUCCUAGUGUGCACUAAAAGUUGCACUCGGGGACUUAGCUGCGAUCCAGAAUCGCCUAAGUACAAACUCUCUCCGAGUGUGCACUAAAAGUCGCACUCGGGGACUUAGCUGCGACCCAGAGUCGCCUAAGUAAAAAAUUCUCUCUGAGUGUGCGCUAACAGCCGCACUCGGGGACUUAGCUGCGACCCAGAGUCGCCUAAGUAAAAAACUCUCUCCGAGUGUGCACUAAAAGUCGCACUCGGGGACUUAGCUGCGAUUCAGAAUCGCCUAAGUACAAAACUCGCUCCGAGUGCGCACCAAAAGCCGCACUCGGGGACUAAGCUGCGAUUCAGAAUUGCCUAAGUACAAAACUCACUCCGAGUGCGCACGAGAUGCCGCACUCGGGGACUUAGCUGCGAUCCAGAAUCGCCUAAGUAAAAAGCUUCCUUCGAGUGUAUCCUCGAGAUCCACUCGGAGGCUUAGCAGACCCUCAUUGAGGCUCAUGUGGAUGUGAAGACAACUGACAACUACAUGAGUAUCAACUCACUCCGAGUGCGCACGAGAUGCCGCACUCGGGGACUUAGCUGCAAUCCAGAAUCGCCUAAGUAAAAAAGCUUCCUUCGAGUGUAUCCUCGAGAUCCACUCGGAGGCUUAGUAGACCCUCAUUGAGGCUCAUGUGGAUGUGAAGACAACUGACAAUUACAUGCUCCGCAUGUUUGCCAUUGGCUUCACCAAGAAACGCCAAACAAAAACCACGAGCCAAAAUCGUGUCAGAAAAUAAACUUGGCGAAAGAAGAGCAAAAUAUUCGAUUCGAAUUCAAAGUUGGAUCUACGAUAGUCGGCUCGGUGUGGAUCAAGCUUAUCCACACCGAACCACGAAUGUGACGGCCAACAACAGUGGCCCAAGUUUGAUACAGAUACCACUCGGCAUACCGAGGUAAAGUUUUUCAAGCGUCAUCAGGACUGGCACCGGGACUGGCAGGCUCCACAAAGGUCUCAAGGUCGAUCCGUCCGCGAUACGAGUGGCUGUCUCGAGGAAGGUCUCCAUGAAAUCUUCGAAUCGAAUCUUCUUGGUGUUGGCGACCUGCAACGCCUUCAGCUUUUCUUCGCGGGCUUCCUUGCAGUGCACUCGGACCAGCGAUAGCGCCACGUCUGCACCACAACGAGCGGCAGACUUCUUCCAUGCCUGCACUCUGUUCGGGACGUCCUCCAGCCGAGUCAUCAACCCUUCUAUUUCCUGCCGGGAAUCGUCUUCGGGCCACAACUCCUUGUCGAUCCGGCCGAUGGCUUCUCUUAGACGGCCGAUGAAAGGUACCACUCUGCCAAGGCGAAUAUGUGCUCGGAGCAUGUCCCUAUUGGCUUCCUCGCUGAGUGGAACGUUCGGAACAACCGACCGUUCAAUGUCGGCUGCUUCAGCCUAAGCGUCGAGACAAAAAUCUGCAAAGAAAAGAAGAGCAGAAAGUAAGCGUAGAAUGAAUUACAAAGUCAAGAAGCACUCAGCAAAAAGCUUACCACCGAGCAGUGCAAUCCUCUUCCUUGCCCAGUCGUUGACAUACUUCUCCUGCGAAAUGCAUCGACGGUUCAUCACCUUCAUCUUACCCAUUAGUUCAGUUCUGUGCUUGCCCAUUUUCUCAAUUUCGGCCACCAAUGCCUUGUUGGUCUCCCGGGACUCCUCCAAAGACUUCUCUCGGUCAGCAAGAGCCCCCUUCACACCAGCCAAGUCAUUCACAACCGCCUCCAAUUCCGCAGCAAGCUGAGCCUUUUCAGCCUUCAGAGUAUUGUACGCGGAUCCCAUUUCGCAAGUCUUCUGCCAAAUCAGCGCAAAGGGAAGCUCAGACACAUUCAACAAGUAAAACAAACAAAUCUCAAAGUUCUUCAGACCCCUGCCGAUGCAAGCACUCGACAGCGGUCUCGGGGACUACACCCAGUGGGUUCACUAAGAGUGACCCCAGUGGCAUGAAGCUCGAACAGGCAGGCCCUAUUGAGCUACAUGACAAACAGACAAAUCUACGAGAAUGCUAUUACCCGACCUGAGUAACACUACUCUCGGGGACUACAUCCACUGGAUGCACUCCGAGUGCCCUCACUGGUAAUAUUCGGACAGACCAGCUCUGAUCUGCUCAGAUAACUGAAAAUGCAUAUAAAGACAACUGCCGGUGCAAGCACUCGACAGAAGUCUCGGGGACUACACCCACUGGGUUCACUCGGAGUGAACCCACUGCAAAAUAAUCCUACUGUAUCCAAGUAUAUCACUUAAACCCCCAGUGGGUUACAAGAGGAAAGUAAAUACUUACUAGCGCACUUACUCAGAUAUCGUCCCGGAGCUCCAAGCUUCUCUUGUACAAAGACGCGAUGGAGUCGUACGCUCCCUUGGCAUCACACACCAUCAACUCCACUUGCACCAUGGCCUCCUUGGCGGCUCCCACUUGGUCUUCCAGGAGGUGUCGGGCGUCGUACUGGACGGUCGACGGACCUGGCACGACAGAAAACUCCUUGGGCAUCCCAAGUCUCGCUCCAGUCGGUUCCGCCGCGAGGGGCAUCGCCUCAGUCGACGGCAUCGGCUCGGUCGGCGGCACGUCCGUGGUGGGAGCAGCAGCAGAUGGAACAACCUCCAGGACAGGCGCCAAAGUUGGCCCUGAUCCCCUUUGGUCGUCCUCCUCUAGAUGAAUCACCUCCGAAGGAAGCCCGACUGAACAACAUGAGGUUACAGAAAAAGGGCAAGAUUAAAGGCAGCACUCGCGAAACAAUAAUGCAAACUCUCGGAGUCAUCACAACGUACCUUGCUGGGAUGUGGCAGCGUUAUCCGUAUCCAUAGGAUCAUCGUCCUGGCGCGACAGAGAGGUGGCAGAGGUAGCAGCUCUGUCGAGUAAAAUCCACUCGACCGAUAAGCAUGAGUUCAAUCAAAUACUGAAAGAAGAUGGGAGAACAAGACACUUACGCUGAGGCAACUGGAACAGCGAUCCUCAUCCGAGGCAAAGCUUUCCGAGGCUUGGACCCACUCGGUUUGGCCACCUUGGACGUUUGGUCCGUGGGCUCGGCAGUAGCGUCCCUGGUCCUCUUCACGCUCCGAGCACUCGGAGCCACGGGAGGAGCUGGCGGAGCACUCGGCGCCACGGGAGAAGCCGGCGGAUCACUCGGAGCUGCUGGAGGAGCCGACGGAGCCGCGGGUUCGUGACGGCGCUUAGUUCGGGGCUCUGAUGGUGGAGGUGGCGAGCUCUGCUCCCCAACCUCGCCCUCCUCCUCUCCAGACUCCUCCUCCGUUUCCCCACUGUCGGAGACGUACUCGGCGCUAUCCAUGCUGCCCUCCUCUUCCUCAGUGGGAUUCCCGUUCGAGACGGGAGAGUGCCAGUUGGUCCACUCCUGCACAAAAUACAGUCGACAACGUCAGACACCAGGCGGCAACACAAGAAAAGCGAUAGAUCUAAGAAGAUUGAAGGCACUCGACAAGAUGCACUCACCUCAUUUGGAGGAGGAUUGUCGGCGCGGAAGGGCCUCACUCACCGGGCUCCUUGGGGGUUGUCACAUGCGCCUAUAAUGCCGCGGACCCACGCUGUCACGGUCUCCCCGGUCACGCACUCUAGAUGAGUCCGAGUGGAAUCCUCGGGCCCCACGUAGUGCCACAUGGCGUGGUGUCGGGCUUGCAGCGGCUGGAUGCGCCGACCCAGAAAGUCUCCAGCAAAUCUGUGCCGGUGACUCCCUUGCGGACGACAGCUAUCAGCGCAUCGACCAGAGGUUGGAUCUGGAUCUUUUCCAACUUUGAGAGCGCAAGCUGCCUGGGAGGGGCCGGAUGGUCUAGGCUAAAGGGAGGCAACCCAGUCACGGCAUUCGGACAAGCUAUGUCCUGGCAGUAGAACCAGGUCGACUGCCAGUUCCUAACUGACUCGGACAGUUGGAGAGGGGGUAGCUACUCUUUGUUUUCUUUUGGAAACCUAAGCCCCCGCAGAGCUGGAGGAGAUGGGUUUUAUCGUCCGACUGGCUAAGCUUUUUGACAGUCUGAGACCUAGCGGAGAAGAUGUACUUAAAGAGCCCCCAAUGCGGGGGGACAUCCAAUAAAGCACUCGCACAGAGUGACGAAUGCGGCGAGAUGGGCUAUCGCGUUGGGAGGAAAAUGAUGGAGCUGCGCCCCGAAGUGAUUCAUAAUACCUCUAAAGAAGGGGUGGGGAGGCAAGGAGAAGCCCCUGUACACGUGGCUGAGCAGCAAGACGCGCUCUGCCUCCUGCGGCGCGGCUCCAUCUCUCCCUCCGCCGGCAGCCUCCACGACUUGUUGGCAAUCAUGCCUUGCUCCACCAGCUCCAGCAGGUCGUCCGCCGUCACCGUGGAGGGGAGGAAAUCCCCCUGGAUCCAACCCGCCGGUAGUGCUCGCUGUCGCCGCUGAGCAGGAGCCGCCGCCUUCUUCUUCUUCUUCUGCGACUCGAGCUUGCUCGUCUGCCCCUUCGUCAUGGUGAAGGCAGCAGAUCCGCAGAGGAGGAGAGGAAGGAGGAGGCUUGGAACGCGCAGGGAGCUACGGGAGAAGCGAGGCGAGUGCGAGUAACAAGGGCAGCGCAACAAGAAACCCCCGCCGGAGAGGCUUAAAUCAGGUUCCGACUGGGUCACUAACAGGUGGCCCCGAAAUCUUAUCCCCCGAGCGGCUGCUGUGAUAUUAGUGGAGAAGAUAAAGGCGCGGUAAUCGAGGUGGCGGAAACUACUCGAUGACGAUGUCAACAUCCCCGCUGAGCGCGCGGCAACCGAAAUUUGAAGAUCCCAGAAAAUCCGCUGCUGUCAGUUUGACCUGUCACAUCGAAAGAUUCCACGGAAGCACUCGGUCCCUGACGGUUCGUUUCACUGGUAUAUUCACUCGGAUCACUGGUCUAAAGGAUAAAAUGGAUCGAGGCAAACAACGCCAAAGUCACAUCCAUACCAGUCGGAUCCGUACUCCAGGCACCACUUCGUCGUUCCAACCCCGAUCCAUUCGGGGACUAAUGAUGGGGUUAUAGUCCCAGGGUAGGGUCAUAGGCCUGCCCUAUAUGUCCUACCCAAGGACUACCCUUCAUAGAGGGCAAGGCCCUUAGACAGUUCUGACUAAACUAAGGACCCCCCAUCAUCCAGUCGGUGACGAGCAUUCAGAGCAUAUUUAUCGUACCGACUGAAUUCCACUCUGUACGUCGUAACCUCCCAGGAGGGCAACGGUCAUACAUUUUCAUACACCAUUAUUAGAAUUUAAGGCAUACGUUACCUGUAACGCAGGCAUUUAUUCGCCACUACUCCACCCCUGUCCACCGGGCCGUUGNNNNNNNNNNNNNNNNNNNNNNNNNNNNNNNNNNNNNNNNNNNNNNNNNNNNNNNNNNNNNNNNNNNNNNNNNNNNNNNNNNNNNNNNNNNNNNNNNNNNUGUUUCUUGACAUGAAUAAAUGAAUCAACCAAUCAAAGACGUGGGGCGUUUAUAUUUUUAACGACUUGGGACUACCUAUAUAUAUGGGCAUGCGAUGAAAUUGUUCUGAAACAAUUGUUAAUGCUAUAUAUAUGGGCAUGUAAUCCAGUAAAUGUUUUUCAUAUGAAAUGUUUUCGAUGCCAGUGGCAGCGGUUAGUACUGCCUAUUUUUCUUUUUAAUCUGCGUAUAAAAUUAGGCCAAAAUCAAACUUUUAAAGUUUGACUAACUUUUCAAAGAAUAAUAUCAACAUUCACAAUAUGAAAUCAACAUUAUUUGAUGCAUCAUGAAAUAAAACUUCUCAUAUGUGUGGUCCUUCUUAAUUAUUAACUUGCACGCCAUACAUAGAAUAUGUUCUUUAGGCCUGGCAGCAUGUAAAGCUGAAACGAAAAAUUAUGUCCUGGUCCUUCUUAAAUAGAGAUGCCACCACGUGGUUCCUUUUUUAAAGUCAUAGACAUGGAUACGAAACGAAGUCGUAUAAAAUUGUUCGUUGCCUCAGGUGGCACGCAAAGCAAGGAUGAUGAGGUUCUUCUGACAUUAUUCACCUACCUUUGGCACGAAUAUUUAUCUUAGUGGAUUUUAUUGGGGUUCCUAUAUUUCUGUGGUCACGUGAAUAUGUUCUGUGCUUGUGAAGCACGUAAUGAUUAGCACGUUGUGCUCCUUAAGGCAUCUAUAGCAUAUCCCAAAAGCUAUUUUGGGGGAAAUUUUGUUAGGGAUUAAGCAUUAGCUAGCAAAUUAUUUAUGACCGCCAUAAUGGACAGCCUCACUCCUGCCACACCCUGGGCACCAGAGUCUGUUGAAACUCGUCCACGGAUCGAUCACAUCAAAUCAUGAUAAACACGCGUACCUAAUUUUCCCUCUAUUAUUUUCUGUUCUCUCAACUCGAUCUUACAACUUCACGUCCCGGGCUGUAUAUACAUACAAACCUAAACGCUCAGCUCAGCUAACCUAGUCGGACACAACACUAAUCCUAAUACUACUCGAACCAGGACUCAACAGUUAACGCGUACUAACACUAUGACUAGGACUCCCGUGUACACAUCACACAAGAGUCCAAACCGGACUCACGCUGCAUGUACUACAUUGGGCAGGAUCAAACUAAUUAUCCUAGUCAAGAUUAAACCUAACAACCACUCCCUAAUCUUGACAUUGUCUUCCGCUCUUCUCCAGUCUUGGCUCGUUGAAGAUUCAUCCUUGUCAACUCAUCCAUCUCGCACCACGACAAGUCAAAUUGAUAGGCUUCAUUGAUCGUAAAAAUCUCCCCUUCAAUUUUAACUUGGCGAAUUUUACAGAUCACCUCAAAUAUGUCUUGGACUACCCAGCCUCGCCAGUAUCCUAUGGAAUGCACCACCCAGUGGACUAGACCAUCCACCCUAGCAAGAUACAUGCCGACUCCUUGUGGAUAAAACCAGCCCGUGGAAUACACCGCCCACUCCAGCCUCAUGUAGAUUUAUGACCUCAUUGAAGAGACUCACCUUCACUGGUUUACCACCCCCACAUACUUGAACUUGAUCAUCCCGUCGAGACACAUAGACGACAUCAGCUUCAUCUUCAACACCUCCUCACAGAGACGAGCACUUGGACACGACGACACUGACACGACGACGACGACGACCGAGAUGUGCUAACCCGCACGACACCUUGACUCCCCGGACGAUGAUCUUGACGGCUUUUUCGGCACCGCACCUCGGCACCACCGCUCCCGUGAACGAUAUUGUUAUACCGCCUUGCUGACGACAGCCUAUCAUCUCCCUCCAUGCCGCUCCGCCGAACGACAAUCGCCAGAUCCUUCUCAUCGCUACUCCACCCAGCGACUUCAUGGCCCGCCCCGAGGCGCUAGUAGGUCGCCACCCCGGGGCAAGCGUGCGGCUUCAAAGACCUUCUCUAGAUACCAAAUGUUGGAACUCGUCCACGGAUCGAUCACAUCAAAUCACGACAAACACGCGUACACAAAACCAUGUAGCUAAGGGCCCUUGUCGUGCCCUAAUUAACCUAGUCAACAUUAAACCUAACAGAGCCUCACUGUCAGCCACCAAUUUCACGCUGCAAAUACCCAAAGGUUUGUGCCAAAGGAAAUAGAGAUUGUAAAUAGAUGAUGUGACAUAGACCCGAGGGCUCUAGGUUUCACUAGCGGCUUCUCUAGAGAAAAUAGUCAACGUUGGAUAGACAAAUUACUAUUGGAUAAUUGAUAGAAGAGCGAAUAAUUAUGAUUGUAUUCAAGAUAAUGAUCAUGUAUAUAGGCAUCACGUCCAAGACAAGUAGAGCGACUUCUGCCUGCAUCUACUUCUGUUACUCCACACACAUCGACCACUAUCCAGCAUGCUUCUAGUGUAUUAAGUUCAUGGAGAAACGACAUAAUCCUUUAAGAACUAUGACAUGAUGUAGACAAGAUCUAUUCAUGUAUGAAUAGAUCCCAUCGUUUUAUCCUUAAUAGCAACGAUACCUGCAUGUCAUGUCUCGCUCUGUCACUGAGAUUGAGCACCGCAUGAUCGAACCCAUCACAAAGCACCUCUUCCCAUUACAAGAUAAAAGAUCUAGUUGGCCAGACAAAACCCAAAUAUCGAAGAAGAAAUACGAGGCUAUAAUAAUCAAGAAUGGAUAUAAUUACAUAGAACUGGUCAUAAACCCAGAAUUCAUCGAAUCCCAACAAACACACCAGAAAAGAUAGAGUUACGUCAAAUGGAUCUCCAAGAUACCAUUGUAUUGAGAAGAAAAACGAGAGAGAAAGCCAUCUAGCUACUAGCUACGGAUCGUAGGUCUGAUAUGAACUACUCACGCAUCACCGGAGGAGCACUAGUGAGGAUGAUGAACCCCUCCGUGAUCGUGUUCUUCUCCGGAACGGACUCUAGAUUGUAUUUCAUGGCUUCUCGAACUUGAGGCGGUUGAAACAAUUUUUCGCCUUCUCUUCUAAGGUUUAUGUCUGGAACCAGGAUCAAAGGGGUCAUACGAACCGGGACCAAUGGCCCACAAGGCCUGGCCGGCGCCCUGACCUCACGAACUGGGACGAUGCCUCAAGAGGUUCUGGUUCGUGAGUGGCGGUUCACGAGGGGCAUUGCUCCUUGCCUAACAGCAGCGGGCGGGCGCCACUUCUAUUGUAACGGCAUGAACAGCUGGAACGGAUGGACCAAUCAACUAGAGGGAAGUACGGGGAGUUUAUUACUUUGUUAGGGCAUGCAUGAGUCUCACUAGUAGAAAAAUGGCAUUUAGCCCCGGUNNNNNNNNNNNNNNNNNNNNNNNNNNNNNNNNNNNNNNNNNNNNNNNNNNNNNNNNNNNNNNNNNNNNNNNNNNNNNNNNNNNNNNNNNNNNNNNNNNNNUGAUGUAAACAGAGAUGCGAUAUUUUCUUCUUUUUGUAGGAAAUUUAAUCCAGCAACACAAAUAGCAGUAGCCAUCUUAAUCAAGUUUUUUCGAAUUCACAUUGUGAUUCUGAUCUUUGAGCGUGUGCAUAAACAAAAUAAACCAGAGCACUCUGACCAAUUGGGUUCUUCGAAGUACUCACUAGAGCAUUAGAGGUGCAGCUACUUAUGCAUUCUGAUAUGGACUGGAUUCCAGAAGCUUAAAAAGCCCCCCCCCCCCUCCAAAAAAAACANNNNNNNNNNNNNNNNNNNNNNNNNNNNNNNNNNNNNNNNNNNNNNNNNNNNNNNNNNNNNNNNNNNNNNNNNNNNNNNNNNNNNGAGGGGGAUGAUAGGCGCCGGCCCAAAACUUUCGGCCGGCCGCGUCCUGGCCACACGAUUAACCGACAUCUCCUAUUUGACGCCAUAAGCGUUAGUUAACGUGCAUUUUUGUUAAUUGGCAUUUGUGGCGUUCGUAAAUGGGCCAGCCCAUCUAGACGCCGGUUGAUUUUUGAAAUUUCUAUAAAGUUUUUAAAUAUCAAUGAACUUUUUUAAAUUUCAAUGAAUGUUUUUUUAAGAUUGAUGACCUUUUCUCUGAAAAUAAAUGAACCCUUUCUAAAAUAUUAAAAUUCUAUGAACUUUUUUGAAUAUCGAUGAACUUUUGCAUGCGCCCGUUGCCGUCGGACGCUCCGCANNNNNNNNNNNNNNNNNNNNNNNNNNNNNNNNNNNNNNNNNNNNNNNNNNNNNNNNNNNNNNNNNNNNNNACGCUCCGCACCAGCGUUGUUGUCGCUUGUUCCCCGGUGUCCUCCCCCCCAACGGCCGCACCCCUCUCUACGAUGUGGCUCUCAUCGGGUCCGUCACAUUCAGGUCCCGCGGGCAAAAGUCGCAGCUUCGGCGAACGCCAGUAGUUCACCGCCGGCCCCAUGGAGCUCGUCACUGCUGCAGCUCCGUCGUGAAGCCAUCGCAGUAGUCGGUUGCAUCAAUGGUGAGAUGCAAGCUCCAACUUUUUGUCGCUGGUCUCUGGUUGAAGCUUUUCAUNNNNNNNNNNNNNNNNNNNNNNNNNNNNNNNNNNNNNNNNNNNNNUGGUUGAAGCUUUUCAUGUCAAUGAUUGCAACAUUUGCGUUGUGUACUCACGGGUUGAAGCUUUAUAUAUAGCCGGUUGAAGCUUUUUAUAAAGUUGGUUGAAGCUUUCCAAUUCAACGCAUGUAGCUUAUUUUAUUUCGAACUGGUCGGAUGGAACUUCUUUAUUUUGCCGGUUGAAACUUUUUUUUAAUAUGGUUUGAAGCUUUCACACGAAUGGUUGUAGCAUUUUUUAGUGCACGGGGUAGUUCUCGAAGCUUUUUCAAACUACGAUUGAAGCUUUCAUAUGAAACGUUGUAGCUUUUUUCUGUGUGUGGUAUUUCGGUUUAAGCUUGAUAUACCGUCUGUUGAAUCUUUCGAAUCAAAUGGUUGUACUUUUUUGCAUCGUCGAUUGCAGCAUCGGUGGAGGAGCAACAUGCUUUCAGGUUCUUUGCAAGGAGAAGGUGGUUGCAGCGGUGGGGGAGGAGGUAACUCCAUUGUGGUUCUAGAAUCUCCGGCGGACGGUUCCAGCACAGGGAACUAUGAGCAGUACCUUCCUGAUCUCUCCAGCUGCAUCCAUUUGUCGUCGCGAUAUGUCAAUUUUGCAUCAUGAUUUUUUAUUGACAUUUAUACUUUUUUUGGUGAUUCUAAUGUCCUUCUCUCUCUCUCUCUCUCAAGGAGAAACACGAAGAGGAAGCAUGGAUCGAUGAAGCAUUUUUUCCCUCGUGGGGGCAUCUAUAGUUAUGUGAAAUACAAUGAAAAAAUCCACCAAAAUAUGGAUCGAGAGUACAUGAGUUUUUUUUAUUAGCCACAUAGAUAANNNNNNNNNNNNNNNNNNNNNNNNNNNNNNNNNNNNNNNNNNNNNNNNNNNNNNNNNNNNNNNNNNNNNNNNNNNNNNNNNNNNNNNNNNNNNNNNNNNNGGUGGUUCACAUUUCAUUCAUGGUGCUUUCCGUAAAACGCUUGCUAAGUACGAUGUCAACAAUAGAAUUGCGUCCCCCUAUCACCCUCAGUCCAAUGGUCAAGUAGAGCUAAGCAAUAGAGAGAUUAAACUAACUCUGCAAAAGACUGUCAACAGGUCUAGAAAGAAUUGGUCUAAGAAGCUCGAUGAUGCACUGUGGGCUUAUAGAACUGCCUAUAAGAAUCACAUGGGCAUGUCUCCGUACAAAAUGGUGUACGGUAAAGCAUGUCAUUUACCUCUUGAGCUAGAGCAUAAGGCUUAUUGGGCAAUCAAAGAGCUCAACUUUGAUUUCAAACUUGCUGGUGAGAAGAGGUUAUUUGACAUUAGCUUGCUUGAUGAAUGGAGAACUGAGGCAUAUGAGAAUGCCAAGUUGUUCAAAGAAAAAGUUAAGAGGUGGCAUGAUAAAAGGAUACAAAAGCGUGAGUUCAAUGUAGGUGAUUAUGUCUUGCUAUAAAAUUCUCGUUUAAGAUUUUUUGCAGGCAAGCUUCUCUCUAAAUGGGAAGGUCCCUAUAUUGUUGAGGAAGUAUAUCGUUUCGAUGCUAUCAAGAUCAACAACACGGAAGGUAAUUGUCCGAGAGUGGUAAAUGGGCAGAGAAUCAAGCAGUAUAUCUCAGGUACUCCCAUAAAUGUUGAAAGCAAUAUUAUCAAUACCAUAACUCCGAAGGAGUACCUAAGGGAUAUUUAUCACCCUGUUUCAGACUCCGAAAACGAAGAGGUAUGUUAUUCGGUAAGUAAACCGACUCCAAAACUUUUCGAGUAGGAUUUUUCCUCCGUUUUGGAAUUUUUAGAAAAAUAGAAAAUUUUGAAGUAGUCCGGAAAGCGCACGAGGAGGCGACAAGCCUGCCAGGCGCGAGCCAUCCCCCUGGCCGCGCAUGGGGGGCUUGUGGCCACCUCGUGUGCCUCCCGGACUCCGUUUUCUUGCGGAGUACUCCUUCUGGUCUGGAAAAAAUCAUUAUAUAUUGUCCCGAAAGGUCUGACCCUUGUAUCAUGCGAAUUUGCUAUGUUUUCGUUUCGAGCCUGUUUCUGUUGUAGAUCUAGAUUGCUAUGACGUCCCCAAAAGCUCCGAAGGACAAGAUCUUCGAGAAGGUCAUCAAUCCCUACCUCACGGGAGUGCUGCAACACCCUCAAUCUAUCGAGAUGGGUGAGGGGAUGUUGCACAUCCGUGAUGUUGAGGGGCCUAAGAAGACUGGAAGCAUGGAGGCGAGGCUUGAAGCAAUGGAGCAACAGGUCUUCAAGUGCCAAGGGAUGGUGGAGCGUGGACUCAACGCCAACCACAUGAUGAUCACGGAGUUCACCAACAAGCACAAGAUCGAUGCCAAUGACAUCGGGAAGCACCUCUCCAGGCUCUAUGACAGAAUUGAUCACCUCCAAGCCCAGAUCUAUGACCUGCAGAACCAAAACUGUGAGAAUGAGUAUAGAUUUAAAUCAAUACGGUUGGCUGCAGAUUUGAGGAUUCCGAAGACUCGGUCAUCUUUCCAUGAUGGAGCACCUAUGCCUUGGAAGAUGAAGGAUCAAACCUAUGUUGCAACAACUCCACCACCAUCACCUCCAAAGGAAGACAACUAAGCAUGGGUAUGGGCAAUCCCCUUGGCUUGUGCCAAGCUUGGGGGAGUUGCCCCGGUAUCGUAUCACCAUCACAUCUUUUGCCUUUACCUUUGUUUUAGUUUGUUCCUUUUCAGUUUUCUCUUUCUCUAGUAGAAUAAAGGUCUUAGUGUUUUAGGCUUGAGUUUUGCUUUGCGUCACCCCCGAUGUAUUCGAGUUCGUGAGUCAUAUAAUAAAGAGUGUCUUAGUUAAGGGCCUUGCCUCAUGUCAUGAUCAAAAGAAUGAGAAAAGAACAAAAGCAUGAAAGAUCAUGCAAUGAUCUUAUGGGAAGUGAUGGCUUCACAUAUAAGAAGAAUGAUGAUUGGAACUUGUUGAGGGUAGACAAACGUAGACCUUGGUCAUUGUUGCAAUUAAUAGGAAGUGAUACAGAAGGAGAGGUUCACAUAUAAAUAUAUCAUCCUUAACACCAUCUAUGAUUGUGAACACUAACUAAACUAUUACAUGCUUAGAAGUAGAUGUUGGACAAGGAAGACAACAUAAUGAAUUGUGUUUGCUUGGUUCCAAACAAUGUUAUAUGACUAGAGAUACCUUAGCAUGUGACGAUUGCUUCCACCUCAUAUUAGCCAAAACUCCUGCACGAAGUAGAAAUACUACUUGUGCAUCCACAAACCUUCAACCCAGUUUUGCCAUGAGAGUCCACCAUACCUACAUAUGGAUUGAAUAAGAUCCCUCAAGUAAGUUGUCAUCGAUGCAAGCAAUAAAAAUUGCUCCCUAAUAUGUAUGAUCUAUUAGUGUGUGGAAAAUAAGCUUUGUAUGAACCUGUGAUGAGGAAGACAUAAAAGCGACAGACUGCAUAAUAAAGUUCUUUAUCAGAGGAGGCAAUAUAAAGUGACGUUCCUCCACACUAAGAGGACACACAUCCAAACCUCAAAAGCGCAUGACAACCUCUUCUUCCGUCUGCGAAGGGCCUAUCUUGUACCUUUACUUUUUGCCCUUGAAAGAGUCAUGGUGAUCUACACCAAUUCCUUGUUUCGCCUUUAUCUUGGCUAACGUCAUAUGCUUGGGAAAGAUCUAUAUUCAUAUGUCAACUUGGCAGUAAGUAUUCAUGAACUAUUAUUGUUGACAUUACCCUUGAGGUAAAUGGUUGGGAAGCGAAACUAUAAGCCCCUAUCUUUCUCUGUGUCUGACUGAAACUUUGAUCUCUUGAGUACCACAUGAGUUGUAGCAAUUGUAGAAGACAAAAGGAUGAUUGAGUAUGUGGAUUUGCUUUACAAGCUCUUAUUUGACUCUUUCUGAUGUUGUGAUAAAUUGCAAUUGCUUCAAUGACUAAAGGCUAUCGGUUGUUAAUUCUCGGUAAGGUUCUUGAUCCAUGCUUUACUUUGUGAAGGAAUUGUCACUUUAGCAUAAGAGAUGAUAUGAUGGUAUUGCUGUUCUGAUCAUUAUCAUGAUGCCUGCAUGUUCGUAUCUUGUUCUGUCGACACCUCUCUCCCUAAACAUGUGGGCAUAUUUAUUGAUCUCGGCUUUCGCUUGAGGACAAGCGAGGUCUAAGCUUGGGGGAGUUGAUACGUCCAUUUUGCAUCAUGCUUUCAUGUUGAUAUUUAUCGCUUUUUGGGUUCUUAUUACACUUCACGGUACAAUACUUAUGCCUUUUCUCUCUUAUUUUGGAAGGUUUAUAUGAAGAGGGAGAAUGCCAGCAGCUGGAAUUCUGGCCUGAAAAGGGAGCAAGUUUGAGAUGCCUAUUCCACGCAACUCCAAAAGCCGUGCAAAAUCAACGUGGAUUUUCUUGGGAUUUAUAAAAAAUACUGGGUCGAAGAAGUGCCAGAGGGGCGCCAGCAGGAGGCCACAAGCCUGCUAGGUGCGCCUCCCCCCUGGCCGCGCAUAGGGGACUUGUGAGCUCCCUGCUGGCCCACUCGCCCCCCCUCUUUUGCUACAAGAAGGGUUUCGGUCUGGAAAAAAUUAAGAGGAGGCUUUUCGGAGGAUUCGCCGCCGUCACGAGGCGGAACAUGAGCAGAACCAAUCUAGAGCUCCAGCAGGACGAUCCUAUCGGGGAAACUUCCCUCCCAUAGGGGGAAAUCGUCGCCAUCGUCAUCACCAACACUCCUCUCAUCGGAGGGGACUCAUCACCAUCAACAUCUUCAUCAGCACCAUCUCAUCUCCAAACCCUAGUUCAUCUCUUGUAACCAAUCUCCGUCUCGCGACUCCGAUUGGUACUUGUAAGGUUGCUAGUAGUGUUAAUUACUCUUUGUAGUUGAUGCUAGUUGGAUUACUUGGUGGAAGAGUUUAUGUUCAGAUCUUUGAUGCUACUCAUUACCUCUCUGGUCAUGAUUAUGAUUAUGCUUUGUGAGUAGUUACUUUUGUUCCUGAGGACAUGGGAUAAGUCAUGCUAUAAGUAGUCAUGUGAAUUUGGUAUUCGUUCGAUAUUUUGAUGUGUUGUAUGUUGUUUUUCCUCUAGUGGUGUUAUGUGAACGUCGACUACAUAACACUUCACCAUUAUUUGGGCCUAGAGGAAGGCAUUGGGAAGUAGUAAGUAGAUGAUGGGUUGCUAGAGUGACAAAAGCUUAAACCCUAGUUUAUGCAUUGCUUCGCAAGGGGCUGAUUUGGAUCCACUAGUUUAAUGCUAUGGUUAGACUUUGUCUUAAUUCUUCUUUCAUAGUUGCGGAUGCUUGCGAGAGGGAUUAAUCAUAAGUGGGAUGCUUGUCCAAGUAAGGGCAGUACCCAAGCGCCGGUCCACCCACAUAUCAAACUAUCAAAGUAACGAAUGUGAAUCAUAUGAACAUGAUGAAAACUAGCUUGACAGAAAUUCUCAUGUGUCCUCGGGAGCGUUUUACCUCCUAUAAGAGUUUGUCCAGGCUUGUCCCUUGCUACAAAAGGGAUUGGACACUUUGUUGUACCGUUGUUACUUUUGCUACUUGCUACUUGCUAUGAAUCAUCUCACCACACAACUACUUGUUACCGUUAAUUUCAGUGCUUGCAGAGAUUACCUUGCUGAAAACCACUUGUCAGAUCCUUCUGCUCCUCGUUGGGUUCGACACUCUUACUUAUCGAAAGGACUACGAAAGAUGCCCUAUACUUGUGGGUUGUCACGUAUCACGUUCCCAGCGCGACAAGGCGCGUCAGAUGGUGGUCGUAGGGUGGCCGAAGAUGGCCGGAGUCGAUGGCGGGGUCGACAACCGCGACGGUAGUGGGCGGUGCAGCACGGACACGGCGAGCAGUAGGGCAGGAGCAGCAACAAAACGAUCGCGAGCGGGUGGCAACAAGCACACGUGGGCGACGCACCACGGGCACAACACACACGAGUGUUGGUUUGAGACGGAAGGGCCGAGAACGACGAAGACAAGCACAACGGAGGUGACGGAAGCUCGACAGCAGCAUCAACAUGUUACGAGCUCGAGAUCGAGCUAAGAAAAGAGGGGUUUCAUGGGGAUGCUCACCACGAAGCUCAAGAUGGCUCGAUGAUUGGGUUAGUAGCAUCAGUGGCUUAGAAUUGAUCGGAGAGGCGCCGACAACCGGGGCGGGGAAGAGCUCGAUCUGCUUGUUGGGAUGGCGUCGUGCUCAAGCUGGUCUACGUAGGCAAAGAAGAGGAGUACAACGGAGUUUCUAGAUAGCGCGGAUCGGCGAAUGAUGGUCGGGGUCCAUGCCUACGAUGGAGCCAAGGCGACGGCACAGGUGGCCAUGGCGAGGGUCGGAAGGAGCGGUGCAAGGAGGGAGAAGUGGGGCGAUCUAGGGUUCGGGGGAGGCCGUGGGGGUCUUGUAGACCUCGAGGAGGCGGCGGAUGGCCGCCAAGGCGGCGACCGUGGCCUUGGCGAGCAUCGACGGCGUCCACACCCCUCUUGGUAAACAGAAGAAGGAGAAGGGGGGCUAGGUGGGCUGGGCCUCACUAUGGACUAAGGCCCAGUCCACAGUGGCCCUUUUUAUUUUAUUUUCCAUUUUCUAAUUUUUUUUAUUUUUCUUUAUUUUGUUUUGCAUUCAAUUUUAAAAGAAAACUAGUUUUACAAAAUAUAUAACUUGGUCCAUAAUUAGCAUUGCAUUUUUGGACAGUGCCACAAAAAGUUUGGGAGGCAAUUGGAAUGUCUUAGAUUUUUCAUAAUUUAAAAGACAUUUAAAUUAUUGUUUUCACUUCCGUUGUAAUUGUUUUAGAGAUUUUAGUUACUUACAAAAAUGUUGGUUCCUCCAUCAUAAUUAUCUUUAGAUUAUUUAUCACCUUUGAAACAUCUUAGUUUCCAUGUUUGUGAAUUUUUUGAUGCACUUUUUAUUUGAAUGUUGAAUUUCAAACUCGAAUAUGGAAUGAGAUAUGAUUCUAAAGAUGGCCAAGCACUGAUUGGCAAAAUGAUUAGCUUAAUAUCAGAGGGUUUACUGUAGCUUAAUUACACGGGUGUUACAAGAAAGAAGAGCAUGUGGUGCACCAUAUGAUUGGGAUUUAUUACAGCAAGAAAAAUGGGGAGAAGUUGAGACGAAACCGGACGAGCCCAAGUUUCGCCAUGGAGCCGACUCAGGGAUGCCAUCGACGGAUCUGCAACCAGAGAUCAUCUUUGCAUGUCUCCAUGAGCGUGGCCCCACGGGAGAGUUAAAAAACCAUUUAGACAAGAUCCAAAACACUGGUGUGCUUUAUUUUUUCGGAGAGAGACACUCACACAACACUAGACCUACGAUCCACAUCUCCAUCCUACCCAGCGUCGACCACCAUGGCCGCCGGCGGCGAGGGGGAGGGAGGUCGAACGAGGAAGCCUUAGGUGGAGCUCUUAAGUAAACGGCAGAAUGCAAGUUUGUUGCAUGUUGCGGCGAACUGUUGCCGCUAGCAUAGGGAAACCGCACUAAUGAAGCAUGUCGGACAGCCAUUUUUUUAGCGAUGGGCACAAAAGGGUUCUCGUUUUGGUUUUGGAACCUUCUUUAAAAUUUGAGCUGGCGUUUACCGGUCUUGUGUUUUUUGUUUUUCCCUUUGUGUUUUUUUUCCUUUUCCUUUUUAGGAUCAGUUUAUUUUUUAUAUAAUGCUCAGAAAUUUCAAAAAUAUCAGCGUGUUUAACAAAGUGUUGGGAAUUUCAAAUAUUGUUUGAAAAUUUAGGAGUGUGCAUUGCCAAAAAUUGUUUGGGAAUUUCCAAAAGUUUGAAGAAAAUGAAAAUAAAAUUAUGGUUUCGAAAAAUAUUCAAAAAAUAAAUAAAUAAAUAAUGCGUCUUUUCAAAAUUUAUUAAUAUAUUCAAUAUAUAUUCUUCAAACUGAAAUUAUUUGGACAAAAACUUAAUUUAUGUUUUCCAUAAGGCGUUUGGGAAAUUCACAAGUGUAUGAAAAUUCAAAAAUUUAACAAUUUUAAAUAUUAUUAUUAUUUCCAAUUUUCCCUUUUCUUAUUCCUUUAUUUCUUUUUUUCCUUAUAGUUGAUAAUAUCCUAAAUAUUAAUAUUACAAAAACUUUUCUUAAAUUUUAUGAAACGUUAAUCUUACAUUUUUGAGGAUUUGAAUAUGUAUCAUAAAAUGUUUCUGAUGUAUACAAAAAAUGUAUAAAUGAGAAUGUAAAAAGUACUUCCUCCGUCCCAAAAUAUUAAACUGUUUUUGACAUCGUGAUAGUGUCAAAAACCGUCAUAUGUUUUGGGACGAAGGUAGUAGAAAAUGUUAAUCAUAGGUUUGAAAUUUUUUUGCGAAAAUUUAAAAAACAUAACAUAUUUCGAAAUAAUGUAUGUAAAAUUUUAAAAAUUAUUUACACAAAUGUAAAAAAUGUUUGUGUAAUCUAUAUUUUUCAAAUAAAUUUUAAGAAAUGCAUGUCACAUUUUAUAAAAUGUUAACAUGUUUCCAAGAUGUCUUUGUGUCAUUUCAAAACAGUAUGUACAUUGUACAAAAAUAUAUUCAUAGUUAAAAAAGAAUGUUAUUUGUCAUUUGAAAAAUGUGUUAACGUAUAUUUGAAAAAAUGUUAACCUGAAUUUUAAAAAACAUUCAAAACGUGCUUAGAUGAAAUGUUAAAAAAGUUAAACAUGCAUAAAAAUGCUUUUGCAUGUAGACACUAAAUGUAAAGCGUGUGUAAAAAAGUAGAUAUGUGUCAAAAAAACAGAAAAAAUAGCAAAGAAACGAAAACAAAUGCGAAGAAACCAGAAAAACUUGAAAACCCCUAGGAAGAAAAAAAAGAAAAACAAAGUAAAAAAGAAAACAAGAAAACCAAGAAAACCCAAGAAAAUCAUUGAAUAACUAAAGAAAACUAAUAACAUAACGUAGAAAAAAAGAAAAUCCGAGGAACCAGUGAAAAGAACUAAGAAACCCAGAAAGAAAAAACUGAAAACAAUAAAAGAAAGGAAAAACCCGGACAGGUCAAGGGAUUCAGAUAUACCGGCUAAAACUCACGUCAAGGAAAUAGGCCUACGCGUAGUCGCCCCCCAUAAGCCAUAUAUAUACAACUAUAUUAAAAUGGUUAAGGAGGAGCUCCUCUCGUGUGUUCCCAUUCAGUAGCGGAGCAAGGAAUAUUUUCGUGGUAUGGCAUGCUUUAUGAAAGAAAAAUGUGGUGUUCCUGCUCGUUGCCUCACUAGCCGAUCUCUAGCUGCGCUCGAAAGAAACAAAUAGAUCAUGUGCCUGGAAUCAACUUUUCUUUUUAGCAAAAUGUCAUGGGCUUAUGUGAUGCAAGUCAUCUAUUGCUUAAUUCUCUCAUUCAACUGUAGUUAGGCCUCUAAUGAGCCAGAAAUACAUAUCAACAUCACAACUACCUGGCGAAAUACAUUGCAGGCCCUGAGUCGCAUGCCCGUGCGAGCCAUCUCCUCCUCCAAAUUGACGAAACUGAGAAUAAAUCGAUUGACUCAGCUCAUAUCUUCAUACAUACAGUAUAAUAUAUGUUUUCUCCCCUAAAUUUAGGUAUAGCAGCUGCCAAACCUUGUCAUAUAGCUGGAAUCGCCCCUGUUCCCAGUUCUAUGAGGUAAGUUUGUAUACACUCACACGUGCUAAAAAAAUUAGAUUUUUGAAUUUUUUUUUACUAUCUAGCAGGGAUUUACUACUUAAGGCACCACAAAAUAAUAUUUUUUGAUACAGUACAAUCGAAUUCGUUGUGCACCAGCAUACAUUCACCUUUAUGAACACACACCCACCUUACCCCUAUAAACACCUCUGAGAGACUAAACCGUCAUAGCAUCUUGAGAUUCUAGAUUUCAUCACAGGCGUCUCGCAAUCGACAGAAACGUAUCCUCUCACUAAACGAACAUCGCCAGAAGCGUUAAAUAUAUCCAGAAAAAUCCAGUCAUCAAUGUUAAAUCUAGAACUUAAGCCGUGACGGACUAAAGGAUGAGGUUUCGCUCUAUCUCUCACCGCUUAAUGCGAACAGCUGCGAAGCCACCAUAAGAUUUACGUCGUGCCUAUUCUUUCUCCCCUAAAAUAUUGUUCUCUCCUGGGCUCUCCCCCUCUUUUAGACGGUGUUGGUUGAAAACUAUUAGUCACUCAAAAUUUAAUAGUUGACAAAAGUAUUCCUUAAAUUUUAAUCUUAUCAUUCAGACUUUAUUACCUGCAGGUAAGGAAAAGAUGAGGGUUCAAUUCUCGGAUCCAUGCCAAUAUUUGCAAUCUUUUUCUAUUGCUCGGUGGUAGAAGCUAAAUACGUAGUAUGUAUUUCAAUAUUUUAAAUUUGAAAGUACGAACGACACUGAUUUGUUUUUGUUAUUUAUUAAUUUAGAGACACCUUUAUAUGUCCUUGUUUUUUUUAUUUAACUAGGCUUGACAUGUUUCAGUAUAUUCAUGUAAUUUACAUCGUGCUCAUGUGUACUUUCUGGCAUUUAUCGCUAUAUUUUCUUCUGGUGUUGUCAACUAAAGGAAAAAUUGAUGAACUUCUUAUAGCCAAAAGUAUAGUUGCUUUAGGACUAAAACAGAAUGCAUUAUGUCAUUUCUCCUUUGUGCUCAAGGACUUGAUCCACGCCUUGGUCGGAUAACUCUAUCUAUGAACAUUUAUGUGUUGUUAGUUCUGAAUUGGUGACCAGCUUUACAACCAUCUCCCGGCUUUCAUGUUAGGAAAAUAAAAUGUGGUAUGGUGUAUUUGUAGGAUUUCACACAGUAGCCUAAUUUAACGUGAUAUUCAUGAUCUUCAUGCACAAUUUUCAAGGCAAGUUUCAGAAUUCUCCAUUGAUGUAUUCCAAGUCACCGUGAAGUCUUCUUUUCUUAAAUUAAAAAGUUUCGUUAUAGUUUGGCUUCUUUGGUGUGGAAACUACGAUACCAUAUAAAAAAUUUAAAUUUCAUUUGACAGAUUUUUCUUAAAUGAAGUUUCUAAAUUAGUUUGGCUUCUUUGCUGUGAGAACUACUAUACAGAGAAUUCAAAUUUAUUUUCACCGGUUAAUCAAAUCAUGUCCUUCUAAUUUUUUCAAAAGGGUGCAAGUGUCUAAAGAAGUAUUUCACUGUAUGUCUGUGCAUGAUAUGAAUUUAGCAUCUCUUUUGUUGAACAAACCGUCGGUACAUUAAUUUCUUUUACCGGAUGCAAAAUAGAAAAUUCUUGAAAAAUGUUAAUUUUGAUAGCACUACCUCGGAAACUUUUGCUCAUAAUAAUGUAGGAGAGUGCAAUACUGGAUUGAUUAUAAGGUACAACCCACAUGAAUAUACUCUGGAAAAUAUUUUAAUUUUGAACUUGCAACAAUUACGAAGUUUACUUUUCACCGAGUCAUAUGUGUCGAAUUUUUGUUAAUGAUGCAUAACAUUUUGAUGGCUAGACAGAAGUUUAAAGUGUCAAAUAAUGAACAACCGAUUCCAAAUCUUAAUUAUGUUUUCAUACUCUACCAGCAUGCAAUGAAAAUUUUCGAAGUCUUAUCAAAAGGGCAGUGCUCUGUGCCGCCGCGUCGGCCGAAAUUUUUGGCGGGCCACCUGAUCCAUCAGAUUGAAUCUGGUUUGAUCGUCAGAUCUGACCAUGCAACAAAAAUCCUCAAUACAGCAAAUUUCGACCACGAUGCAGCAAAUUUCGGUCACAGAUGAAGGAAAAAUAUGAUUGUAACAAAAAAAUAUAAACGUGGUCGUACCAAAAACGACGCUGAUGAUGCAUGGUAGCAAAAUGGGUUAUAGCAAAACAAUCCGAUGAACUCGGAUUGCAACUCUGACGAGCGUGUAUGCAACUUUUGUAGUUAACGAUUGUAGCAAAAAAGGAUACCGGUUUUAACAAAAAUUAACACGGUUGUAUGGAAAAAAAUCCGACGAACUCGGACUGCAACUAAACGUGGAUGCAACUUUUUAAUGAAUAAAAUAUAGUAAAAAUCAACAACAAUUAUAGCAAAAAUCUUAUCGAUAGUAGUAAAAAAGGAUAAUAAUUACAGCAAAAAUGACGUCUCGCAGUAAAAAAAAAGAUCCCACGCGCGGGAUCAGACUAUCCGGGCAGGACCGGCCCGGCGCACCCUCCGGAAUCGUUUCCCUUAUCAAAAAUUCGCAACCAGCCUGAUCCCAAUAAUACUGCUACACCUUUUUUAUUUUGGGACGGAGGGAGUAAAACAUACAGCUUAGAUAAGGGCGCGGCGUUCUGUUCUAUUCCUUCGGGCGAGGCAUAGGCCUGACGGAGUACGGUCUCCCCUGCUAGCCAGGGAAAUGUAAUCUCUCUCAUUGCUAAAUUUAGACGAAACUGCAAUAUUUGCGUUUUCAAGUGACAUCUCUGUAAGGAGAAUUUUUAACUGAGAUUUAGUACCAAAACUAGCAAUGUGAAUUACAAAUCAAGACAGUGUUGCAAACAAUCUGGGUACAGAAUCAAUCAAACCCUGCCAAUACACAACCCCUCCAACAGUUGUAGUAGGCCUGUAAAAUUAAAACUGGAAUGCACAUCCGACAGAUCAUGUUAUGUUUGCACUCAGGUUAUUUCCAAUUUAAGCACGCAACCGAGGUUAGCAAGCUGGAGAUCGGGCCACGAGGCUAGGUCAGCAGAAACAGGCAAUCGAUCUAGCCGACGCAUCGGCGGCAAGGUUAGCUUCCCCCCGUAUGCGAUUCCCAAAUCGCACGCGCACACACCAACAGAUCUGAUCGGAACCAACAGGCAAGAACACAUGAUCCCCCCCCGGUGAUUUUUCAAAAAAAAAAACAGUCUCCCCUGCUGUCCGAAUUUCAGCCCUUCUAGAAUAGACCGAACAGUCAGCAGCAUGAACACAUGGGAAGAAGAUUGAACAGCUGCAGAAAGAAAUAGCAGCCUGAACGCUCCAAAAGUCCAACCAUGUGACCUCCGGUCCAAGUUCAUCAAUUACUAUUUUAUGGAUCUCUUGCCUUGCUCUGAAUUUUUCUUUUGCACCUACUCUAUAUAAAUCAGCCCCUUGCUUGCUCUCACUCAUCACCGGUCUUCACUCUUCACUAGAUCUUGCCAGCAGCGCUAGGGUGCAGCGAGCCAGUGACAGACGGACAAGAACAAGAUGGUCGUCGGCUGUGUCAUCACCGAGCAGUGCGCCCUGGCGGUGUCGACAGAGCGGCUGUGGAAGGUGGUCUACUCCGGCGAGGACACGGCCGCCCUGCCCAAGGCCUGCGCAGGAUUCAUCGACGCCGUGGACGUCGAGGGCGACGGCGGACCCGGCAGCGUCUUCACCAUGACGCUCAGCCCGGCGGCGGCGGAGCUGUCAGGCUCGGACGUGAUGAAGAGCCGCGUGGUGGCGCGCGACAACGCGGCCAGGGUGUUCAAGACAGAGGUGCUGGAGGGCGACAAGGUAAGUGGCCAGCUCAAGUCACAGGCGGUCGAGAUGAAGCUCGAGGCGGCCGGGGAUGGUGCUUGCGUGGCAAAGCUCAGGGUAGAGUACGAGAGGCUGGACGGCGGCGGGGCGCUGUCGGCGGAGGACCAGGCGGCGCUCGCCGCCGGGUACCUCGACCUGCUCAAGAUGGUCGAGGCAUACCUGGUCGCCCAUCCUGCCGAGUACGCCUAAUUAAACCAAAACGAGAAACAUCAGAAAUAAAUCAACUUUUCCUUCGUUCGAAAUUAUUUAUCGCAUAAAUAAAUAAAGUAAUAUGACCAAGUAGCCUGUGUUGUUUGCCUCCUGAUCGACUUCGCGAGAAAAAUCAAUUGGUAAGCUUUAGUAUAAAUUAUUGAGGUAUAUAUGAGUGUUUAAUCCCUGUUUUAAGCUCACAUUUCGUGUGUAAGUUGCUUCAAGCAUUGAUGGAGAUAAAUAUUUGAGCAGUUUGGUUUUGUGAUAAAUGCACUUCUUUCUUAUCAGUCAAUUCAAAUUAAAUGGCGAGACAAGCCAAACGUAUAAAGGGCAAUAUCGAUCAUGUAACCAUUUUCAUAUGUGUGAUGAACUGUCGAUACAUAUACGCCAUACGUACAAGCUGGUAGAGGACCAAAAACAAAAGGUAGGGCAAAUCUGACAUAAAAAGUUGAUGUCACUAUAAGUAAUAGCGACGGACCGAAAGACUAAGUUUUAUUGGGGUGUGAGACAACGAUAGAGCUUGACGUGACUUAUAACUAAUGCAUUUAGUUUUUAUAGGGAAUGCACUCAUAUUUUCUAAGUGGAACAUGUGCUUGCAAAAACCAAAUGCCCUAUCGUGCGUGACUGAGGUGCAUCACCGAUUUUGCGGCCACUUGAGCUUAAGUGCUAAACUGAUGGCCAACAACCCAGCAACAUGAGUUCAUACAGAGGGCCUCGUUGUGUUUAUCUUAUUUUCCCAGCUAAACCAUGACUAGUUCAAAGAAAACCAUCCAGUCGAACAAGACAUAUAUCUCAAUGUACGCCUUUUAAAAAAUCAAGGUGAGGCGGCCGCCCAACCUUGCCUUACCGGCUCCUCCGUCCUUAACGAGCAUACGUUCGGUUUAACUAUGUAUCGGCCCCUCGCAAGAAAAAAAAACAAAAUCUCCGGACCAAUCCAAUCCAUAGUCAUCAUCACGACUUUGACCGGCGGGCAUCAUGAGUCGUCGCCUCCCCAGCGUCGACCUCGCUCGAGUUCACGUCGUCGUUGGGCUCAUCUGCGUCGUUGCACGUGGCGCCAUCCAGCAACCCUGCUCUCACGCGGCACUGUCGUCGUCGCCCUACCCGUCAUUGGAGGUGACAAGCACACCGUCUUUGUUGCACCUGCCCGCAAGACGUCAUGUGAUGCACUUUCCCACUCUUCCAAAUCGUCGACCAAGACGAGGAAGACGUCGAUGCUGGAAUUUUUGGCCAGCCCAAUAUAUAAUUUCAAAAAAUUUCUAAUAAAUCCUAGAGGCCCACGCAGCCCAUUUGUGCAAGGCAGGAGGUGGAAAUGUUUAGUCCCACGUUGCUAGUUUAGUGGGAGUCGGAUCUCCUUAUAUGGGAGGAUGUUUCCACACAUGUAUGAGCUUGAGAACAAGAGAGACAUAUAGGCGUGCUCCUCCUCCUCCAUCACCUGCCGCGCCUCGUCACGAUGCGCCGCGGGUUGCGGGAAUGAGCCGAACUAAAUUUUUGCCACGCACAACUGGUAUACGAAAGGUCACUCGGAGAAGUUGAACUCUUCGGCUGUUGUCUAUUCGUUUCGUCUCUGUCGCUGGCCUCUCGCCUCCUUCUCUUGCGUCUAUAAAAGAGAGGUCGCUCCUCUCCAGAGAAGACGCAUCAGAACUUCCUCUCGUCACCUGUUCCUUUCUCUGUGAUGCUGCUACGUUCUUUCCCAUCCCGUCUUGCGACGUGCACCGUAGGUUGGGACAGUAGGCCUCUGAAACUCCGUCUCUUUGAGUCCUGUACGGGAGAAAGACGAUAAGGUAUUUGGGGGGCGCUCAGCGCGACUACUGGCUUCCAUCACGGACACCGACGAUCUCUUCCCGGACGACGACUACUUCCCUGACGUCGACCACCUCUUCGGGAACAUGGUCAACGCCAACACCAACCCUAUUGCUGCUGCAACUCAGUACGUACUCAUGUUCUUUUUUUUUGAGUUCCUACCACAACUUCUUACUAUAGUUUCACUUCUAGAUAUGUUCCGUUUCUGCUCAUCACUCCAUAUGAUAUCUUGUGUAUAUAGAACGGUUACACAUAUGUUCUUUUCUAGAUCAUAUGUGCACAUGUCUUUUGUCGUCUCAUCUCUAUUUUGCAUGUCUUCUUUCAUCUUUAUUAUGAUGGUCAUGUUUAUCCUAACUUUUAUUUUAAUAAAAUCCGGUGGUAAAUUGCUCAUAUUUCCAACAAUCCAAAAACCUUAUUAUAGGCAUUUACCCCGAGUGGUUUUGCUGCUUCCAUGAGACCUCAUAUUUUUGAGGGUAUCCACUAUAAGAGGUGGCGCGUGAGAGCUGUUCUAUGGUUUCAAACCAUGAGCUGCUAUGACACCACUCUUGGCAAACGUGAAAGAGAUCAUGAUGCUCAACAGGAACUAGCUUUCCAGAAAAUGGAUACCUUGUUUAAGGCUGCUCUCUUGAGCGUUCCUGGUGAGAACAUAGUUGAUGCUUAUGCGUCAAUUGAUAAUGAAAAAGAAAUGUGGGAUGCACUCAAGGCCAAGUUUGGGGUCUCGGAUGCUGGCACUAAGUUGUACAUCAUGGAACAAUUCUAUGACUACAGGAUGAAUGAAGAGCGCUCUGUGGUUGAGCAAGCUCACGAGGUACAGUCAUUUGCAAGAAAAUUUGAGCACUUCAAUUGCAUGCUAUCCGACAAGUUUGUUGCCAGAGGCAUCAUCACUAAACUUCCUCCUUCGUGGAGGAACUUUGCUACCUUACUAAAGCAUAAGAGGCAAGAGUUUUCUGUUUCGGAUCUCAUAGGUACUCUUGAUGUGGAAGAAAACGCGAGAGCAAAAGACACACGUGCUCGAGGUAUUGAGGGAGGUUCUAGUGCCAAUCUGGUACAGAAGAAAAACUUCCAGCCCCACAAUUUCAAGAACAAGGGCAAGUUUGAUGGUAAAGCAAAGUUCGAUGGGAAGAACAAGGCUGUACAACACACCAACUUCAAGAAGAAGAAUGACAAGAAGAAAGGUGUUUGUCAUGUGUGUGGAGAUCCUGAUCAUUGGGCACCUAACUGCCCUAACCGUUAUGACAAGCGUCAACAUGGGAAAGGUGGCAAGUCCGUUAAUGUUGUCAUUGGUGACACAGACGUGGACGAUGCUGGGUAUGGUAUAUUUUCCACUAUCCUUUCAGUAUGUCAUUUUCCCGAUUGGUUGAUUGACACGGAUGCUAAUGUGCAUGUAUGCAGUGAUAUUUCCAUGUUUUCGUCUUAUCAGUCCAUAGGGACUUCCACCGUGCUUAUGGGCAACGGUUCAAGUGCUUCUGUUCGUGGUGUUGGCACGGUCGAUCUGAAGUUUACUUUGGGGAAGGUCGUGCGGAUGAAGAACGUGCACUAUGUCCCCUCUGUGAAUAAAAAUCUUGUUAGCGGAUCUCUUUUAUGUAGAGAUGGCUACAAGUUUGUCUUUGAGUCGAAUAAAUUUUUAAUAUCCAAGUAUGGAAUUUUUGUUGGUAAAGGCUACGAGUCAGGAGGCCUGUUCCGGUUAUCCUUGGCAAACGUUUGCAAUAAAGUUGUUAAUCAUGUUUACAACAAUAGUGAAUCAAAUGUGUGGCAUUCACGUCUCUGUCAUGUUAAUUUUGGUUGCAUGUCGCGACUUGUCAAAUUGAACUUAAUCCCUAGCCUCACCACCGUCAAGGGAUCUAAGUGUCAAGUUUGUGUGGAAGCCAAGCAACCUCGUAAGUCUCACACGACUGCCGGAACGAGAAAUCUUGCACGACUAGAGUUCAUACAUUCAGAUCUAUGUGAAAUUGAAAGGAUCGAUAUGGUUGGCUAGAGGGGGGGUGAAUAGACAACGACCACUUUUUAAUUAAUCUUAGCAAGUUAACGUAAACACCCUAGGGUUCACAAAUAAUACGACAAUGAGGUGAACCCUAUAGAAGCUAACAACGAGAGCUAUUAAGACAAGUAAGAUAUAGUCACAGGCAUAAGCAAAUACAAAGUAAAGGAUAGAGAUAACCACAAGUGGAACCGAUGGAGACGAGGAUGUGUUACCGAAGUUCCUUCCCUUUGACAGGAAGUACGUCUCCGUUGGAGCGGUGUGGAGGCACAAUGCUCCCCAAAAAGACACUAGGGCCACCGUAUUCUCCUCACGCCCUCGCACGAUGCAAGGUACCGUGAUUCCACCAUAGGUGCCCUUGAAGGCGGCGACCGAACCUUUACAAACAAGGUUGGGGCAACUCCACACAAAGCUUGGAGGCUCCCAACUGAACCACGAAGCUUCACCACAAUGGAAUAUGGCUUCGAGGUGACCUCAACCGUCUAGGAUGCUCAAACACCCAAGAGUAACAAGAUCCGCAAGGGAUUGGUGGGGGAAUCAACUUUUCUCUUGGUGGAAGUGUGGAUCUAGGCCUUCUCAACCAAUCCCUAAAGAAUCAACAAGUUUGAUUGGCUAGGGAGAGAGAUCGGGCACUUUUGAGCUUGGGGCGCAACAAUGGAGCUUAGAGAGGUAAGAGAUAGGGUUCCUCAGCUAGAAGAACCCUUUAUAUAGUGGGGGGGAAAAUCAGACCGUUUUCCCACUCUCUGCCAGAGCUCCAGCGGUACUACCGCUGGCUGCAGCGGUACUACUGCUGGCACUCCAGCGGUACUACCGCUGAACAGGGGCGGUACUACCGCCGCCUGGCGGUACUACCGCUGGAUGCAGCGGUUCUACCGCUGGGGCUCCAACGGUACUACCGCUGACACCAGCGGUACUACCGCUUGCCCUUAUGUAGUGCAGAAGCACUACUACCGUCAAGAAAGUCUUCGCAAAAAGGUCCGUCCACGAACUACCGCUAGGCAGGUGGAACAAAGCUCCUGGAGCGGUACUACCGCUGGCCAGGGGCGGUACUACCGCUAGCUAGCGGUACUACCGCUGGCUGCAGCGGUACUACCGCCAGCAAUCCACUGGUACUACCGCUAGAGCUAGCGGUACUACCGCUGGGGACCAUUUUGCAAAGAUGCGAGAAACAAAGUGACGGGGGCCGCUCCAAAGAUGAAGGAAAGGGAGAAUGUGAAGUGUGCGUGUGUAAAGAUAGAUUCCACCCAAACCUUUCCACUACGGAUCCCCUCUUAAUAGUACGGCUUUCCUAUGACUCAAAUAAAGAGAAUCGUAGAGAGCGUCGNNNNNNNNNNNNNNNNNNNNNNNNNAGAGAAUCGUAGAAAGCGUCGUGCUUCCGUUCCAUGAAUGAGGAGACGAGUCGUCUUGUGCCAUUGACGUGUGUUACCUGAAACCUUAACACACACGGUUAGUCCUGUACGGUACUGUCAUCAAUCACCAAAAUUACUUAGGCAUAAACUAUGCCCCAACAAUCUCCCCCUUUUUGGUGGAUUGAUGACAAUACCGGAUUUGCACAGAGAAUAAUAUGAGAAUAAAAGGAUAGAGAUAUAUGACAAUACGGGGCAUAUGACUCACAGCAUAUGAAGGAAAUAAAUCUCUCAUAAGUUCAUGUCUCACACAAGAUAGCAAACUAAGCAAACCAUAAGAAAUAAAGCAAAGCAACGCAAAGUUCGAAUAAGAAAGCAAAUUCAGCUCCUAGACUCUCUCCCCCUUUGGCACAAGACACCAAAAAGGGGCACACCUAAUGCCACAGGUAGCUACUCGUCAUCCUUAGCAUCGCCAGACUCAUCGGUCCCCUCCUGAUCGGCCUGCUCCUCCUCGUCCGCCUCAUCCCCAGACCACUGGUAUCCUUGGGCCUGCAUCCAAGUAGCCUCUGGAGUGAUAUCGUCCUCAGAUCCGCUGGAGAUGUCCACAUCAAGAGUCCUGAGGACACGCUUAUGCCUCUGGCGGCUCUCCUUCUGAGCCACGUGCAUCUGGUACUCACCCUUAGCCUGCAUACAGAAUAGAGUCUUCAUCUUGUCCUGCAGCUUGAUGGCCCAAGAUGGCAUGGCAGAAGACCGGGACUGAGAGGCGGUUCCUCUGUCAGCAGGAGUCUCAGUGUCAGUAUCCAUGUGCUGAGAGGAAGUGGAUGGGUUGGCCCAUUUGUCCUUGACGCGAAGCUUGAUCGGGUCGUGCACAAUGUAGUCUGACUGAGCGUAGAGCACCUCCUCCGGAAAAGCCUCUUGCCACUUAUGGCGAAUAUAUGCGAACAGGUAGGGCCCGUAGAUGGGAACCUUACGCAUGAUGAUGCAGUUCCAUAGCUCCGUGAACAUCACAUCAGAAAUAUCCAGAGGGGCAGACUCCUGAGACAUAGCCUCCUCACAAAGCAGCAGCAUCUCAGCCAAGGAACCAUGAACCUCGUCGAAGUUACCAAUGCGAGGGAAGAGGGUGUUGCNNNNNNNNNNNNNNNNNNNNNNNNNNNNNNNNNNNNNNNNNNNNNNNNNNNNNNNNNNNNNNNNNNNNNNNNNNNNNNNNNNNNNNNNNNNNNNNNNNNNCUCAAAUGACUAGAGAGAUGUACUUUUUGAGUGGGAGUUCUUAAGUAAUAUGAUUAAUUGAACUAAUUGUCAUGAACAUAGUCUAAUGGUCUUUGCGAAUUACGAUGUAGCUUGCGCUAUAGCUCUACUGUUUUUAUAUGUUCCUAGAGAAAAUUUAGUUGAAAAUUGAUAGUAGCGAAACUUUGCAGACUGGGUCUGUAAAACCGAGGAUUGUCCUCGUUGCCGCGCAGAAGGAUUAUGUCCUUAAUGCACCACUCGGUGUGCUGCACCUCGAGCGUCGUCUGUGGAUGCUAUGAACAUCCGACAUACACGUUUCUGAUGACUACACGAUAGUUCAGUGCAAAAUACUUAAUGGCUUAGAAGCAAGGCGCCGAAAACGUUGUAAAACGUCACGGAACAUAAGUGAUGUUCUAAAGAGAUGAAAUUGUGAUUUCAUGCUUGUGCCCUUGUUAAGAGGUACGAGACCUCCGACAAGAUUCUUUGUCCACAAAGUAAAGGAGAAAAGCUCAAUCUUUGAGCGUGUGCUCAGAUUGUCUGAGUACGACAAUCGCUUGAAUCAAUUGGGAGUUAAUCUUCCAGAUGAGAUAGUGAUGGUUCUCCAAAGUCACUGCCACCAAGCUGUGAGAGCUUCGUGAUGAACUAUAACAUAUCAAGGAUAGAUACAAUGAUCCUUGAGCAAUUCGCGAUGUUUGACACUGCGAAAGUAGAAAUCAAGGAGGAGCAUCAAUAGUUGAUGGUUUGUAAAACCACUAAGUUUCAAGAAAGGCAAGGGCUAGAAGGGAUACUUCGUGAAAUGGCAAAACAGUUGCUGCACUAAUGAAGAAAUCCAAGAUUAAACCCAAACCCGAGACUAAGUGCUUCUGUAAUGAGGGGAACAGUCACUAAGGCGGAGCAACUCUAGAUACUUGGUAGAUAAGAAGCUGGCAGAAGUCGAAAGAAGUAUAUUUGAUAUACAUAAUGUUGAUGUGUACUUUACUAGUACUCCUAGUAGCAUGAGGGUAUUGGAUACCGGUUCGGUUGCUAAGUGAUUAGUAACACGAAAAGAAAGCUACGGCAUAAAUGGAGACUAGCUAAAGGCGAGGUGACGAUACGUGUUGGAAGUGUUUCCAAGGUUGAUAUGAUCAAACGUCGCACGCUCCCUCUACCAUCGGGAUUGGUGUUAAACCUAAAUAAUUGUUGUUUGGUGCUUGCGUUAAGCAUGAACAUGAUUGAAUCGUGUUUAUUGCAAUACGAUUAUUCAUUUAAAGAGAAUAAUGGUUACUCUAUUUUUCUUGAAUAAUCACCUUCAAUGGUUUAUUGAAUCUUGAUCGUAAUGUUACACAUGUUCAUAAUAUUGGUGCCAAAAGAUACGAGUUAAUGAUGAUAGUACCACUUACUUGUGGCACUCCGCUUGAGUCAUGUUAGUAUAAAUUGCAUGAAGAGGCUCCAUGCUGAUGGAUCUUUGUACUCACCUGAUUUCGAAUCACUAGUGACAUGCAAAUCAUACCACAUGAGCAAGGCCUUGUUUUCAUUGAGAUGAAAUAAGAUAGUAACUUGUUGGAAGUAAUACAUUUUGAUGUAUGCAAUCCAAUGGGUGCUGAGGCACGCAGUGGAUAUCGUUAUGUUCUUACUUCACUGACGAUUUGAGUAGAUACAGGAGUAUUUACUUGAUGAAUCACAAGUCUGAAAUAUUGAAAAUUUCAAUUCCGUUUCAGAGUGAAUUUCGUCGUAACAAGAGGAUAAACUGUCUACGAUAUGAUCAUAGAAAUGAAUAUGUGAGUUACGAGUUUUGGUACGCAGUUAAGACAAUGUGGAUAUUGUUUCGCAGUUCAUGCCACCCGGAACAUCAUAGUGUGAUGAUGUGUCUGAACGUCAUAGCCAUGCACUAUUUGGUAUGGUGCAUGCUGUGAUGUCUCUUAUCGAAUUACCACUAUCGUUUAUGGGUUAAGCAUUAGAGACAACCGCAUUCACUUUAAAUAGGGCACCACGUAUUUCCGUUGAGAUGACACAGUAUAGAUUGAGGUUUAGAGAAAUCUAAACUGUCGUUUCUUGAAAGUUUGGGGCUUCGACACUUAUGUGAAAAAGUUUCAGUCCGAUAAGCUCGAACCCAAAGCGGAUAAAUGCAUCUUCAUAGGAUAUCCAAGACAGUUGGGUACAUCUCCGAUCUCAGAUACAAAAGCAAAGCGUUUGUUUCUAGAAACGGAUCCUUUCUCGAGGAAAGGUUUCUCUCGAAAAAUUGAGUGGGAGAGUAGUAGAACUUGAUGAGGUUAUUGAACCAUCACUUCAACCAGUGUGUAGCAGGGCGCGGGAAGUUGUUCCUGUGGCGCCUACACCAAUUGAAGUGGAAGCUGAUGAUGGUGAUCAUCGAGCAUCGGAUCAAGUUACUACAAACCUCGUAGGUUGACAAGGUCGCGUACUACUGCAGAGUGGUAUGGUAACCCUGUCUUGGAGGUCAUGUUGUUGAGCAACAGUGAACCUACGAGUUAUGGAGAAAGGAAUGGUGGGCCCGGAUUCCGACAAAUGGCUAGAAGCCAUGAAAUCCGAGAGAGGAUCCAUGUAUGAAAACAAAGUGUAGNNNNNNNNNNNNNNNNNNNNNNNNNNNNNNNNNNNNNNNNNNNNNNNNNNNNNNNNNNNNNNNNNNNNNNNNNNNNNNNNNNNNNNNNNNNNNNNNNNNNAGAACAUCACCCAAAACUUGAAAACUUCACAACACAAAACUUAAACAGAAACUCGUGAUAACAUUAGCACAAGAAAACAAACUACCACCUCUUUUGGUACUGUAGCGAACUUGAAUUCUAUCUAUAUUGGUGUUGGGCUACUGUAUUCUCACUUUUCCAUGGNNNNNNNNNNNNNNNNNNNNNNNNNNNNNNNNNNNNNNNNNNNNNNNNNNNNNNCAAGGGUAGUUCCCCCCCCCCCCCGAUACUAACCAUAGUUUCAUCAAAACAAGCAACCAACUCAACAAAAAACAGAAUCUGUCAAAAAUAGACUAGCCUGUAGCAAUUUGUAUACUUCGUAUACUUCUGGUACCUCACAAAUUCUGAAACAUUACGACUGCCUGGGAAAAAGGCAUAUAAACCAGCAGAAAAAAGAAUUAGCUCAAAAUCUCUUUCUGAAUAAAAAUGAAAAAUCAUCUCGUGAGCGAAAAGUUUCUGUCUUUUUCCAGCAGGAUCGAACAACCAUCACCAAGACUAGUCAUAAAGGUUUUGCUUGGCUCAAACACAAAAAGAAACACAAAAAACACAAUCGCAACAGAAUUAUGAUGGUGUGGACGCAAAAAAAGAAAGAAAAAGAUAAAUUCAUUGGGUUGCCUCCCAACAAGCGCUAUUGUUUAACACCCUUAGCUAGGCAUUGAUAAUUCAAUGAUGCUCACAUAAAAGACAAGAAUUGAAGCACAACGAGAGCAUCAUAAAGCAUGUGAAAAUCAUAUCUAGGUCUAACAUACUUCCUAUGCAUAGGCAUUUUGUAGGAAAACAGAUUGUCAAGACAACCAAUAGUAAAAUCACAUCUAAGUCUAACAUCUUCCUAUGCAUAGGCAUUUUAUAGGAAAACAGAUUGUCAAGACAACCAAUAGUUACCAUAUGCAAGGAAGAAAAAAGAGACAAUAGCAAUCUCAACAUAACGAGAGGUGAUUUAGUAACAUGAAAGUUUCUACCACAAUCUUUUCCUCUCUCAUAAUAAUUACAUGUGGGAUCAUAUUCGAAUUCAACAAUGUAACUAUCACAUAGGAUAUUCUUUUCAUGAUCCACAUGCAUGCAAAGUUGACGCACUNNNNNNNNNNNNNNNNNNNNNNNNNNNNNNNNNNNNNNNNNNNNNNNNNNNNNNNNNNNNNNNNNNNNNNNNNNNNNNNNNNNNNNNNNNNNNNNNNNNNNNNNNNNNNNNNNNNNNNNNNNNNNNNUUGCAAAUAUCAUAUUCAUCAUGAGGCUUAAAUAAAUUUUCAAUAUCAUAAGAAAAAUCAUCGCCCCACUCAUGAUCAUUGCAACAAGUAGUGGACAUAGCAAAACUAGCAUCCCCAAGCUUAGGGUUUUGCAUAUUUUUAGCAUGAUUGUCAUUAAUAGAAUUUAUAAUGAAAUCAUUGCAAUCAUGCUUUUCAUUCAAGGAGCCCUCCUGANNNNNNNNNNNNNNNNNNNNNNNNNNNNNNNNNNNNNNNNNNNNNNNNNNNNNNNNNNNNNNNNNNNNNNNNNNNNNNNNNNNNNNNNNNNNNNNNNNNNUUUCCCUCAGUUUGAGAACCAAGGUAUCAAUCCAGUAGGAGAAUCAAGCCAAGUGUCCAGAGUACCUGCGCAAACACAAACGAGCUUGCACCCAACGCUAUAAAGGGGUUAUCAAUCCCUUCAAGAUUGAUUCCAAAGUGAGAUCUGAAGGCGGAAAGUGCAACGAAGUAAAAGUGUAAGGCUGAAAAUAUGAUGUGAAGUAGACCCCGGGGCCAUAGUGUUCACUAGAGGCUUCUCUCAAAAUAGAAAAUAUCACGGUGGGUAAACNNNNNNNNNNNNNNNNNNNNNNNNNNNNNNNNNNNNNNNAAAAUAUUACAGUGGGUGAACAAAUUACUGUCGAGAAAUUGAUAGAACCGCGCAAAGUCAUGACGAUAUCUAAGGCAAUGAUCAUACAUAUAGGCAUCACGUCCGAGAGAAGUAGACCGAUACUUUCUGCAUCUACUACUAUUACUCCACACAUUGACCGCUAUCCAGCAUGCAUCUAGUGCAUUGGGUUCAUGACGAACAGAGUAACGCCUUAAGCAAGAUGACAUGAUGUAGAGGGAUAAACUCAAACCAAGAUGUACACCCCAUUCUUUUACCCUUGAUGGCAACAACACGAUGCGUGCCUCGCUACCCCUUCUCUCACUGGGUGAGGACACCGCACGGUAUGAACCCAAAACCAAGCAUUUCUCGCAUUGCAAGAAUCAUAGAUCAAGUUGGCCAAACAAAACCCACAACUCGAAGAGAAUUACAAGGAUAUGAAAUCAUGCAUAUAGGAGAUCAGAAGAAACUCAAAUAAGAUUCAUAGAUAAUCUGAUCAUAAAUCCACAAUUCAUCGGAUCUCGACAAACACACCGCAAAAUAAGAUUACAUCGGAUAGAUCUCCAGGAAGAUGAUGGAGAACUUUGUAUUGAAGAUCCUGGAUAGAUCUCCAUGAAGAUCAUGGAUAACUUUGUAUUGAAGAUCCAAGAGAGAGAAGAAGCCAUCUAGCUACUAGCCAAGGACAGGAAGGUCUAUGGUGAACUACUCACGCAUCAUCGGAGAGGCAAUGGUGUUGAUGAAGAAGCCCUCCGUUUCAGAAUCCCCCCCUUCGGUAGGGCACCAGAACGUGCCCCAGAUGGGAUCUUACGGAGACAAAAGCUUGCGGCGGCGGAAAAGGACCCAGAUGGGAUCUUGCGGAGACAGAAGCUUGCGGUGGCGAAAAAGUAUUUUCGUGGAUCUCUCAUGCAGUUUUGGAUUUUUCGGGAAUUUAUAGGCGGAAGAGGUAGGGCACACGAGCCGCACGGGGCCCACAAGCCUGCUAGGCUGGCCCCUUGGCCGCGCCUAGGGGGCUUGUGGCAUCCCCUGGUGGCCUCUGCCUUGGUUCUCACGUCCCGUGCGUAUCUUCUGUUCUGGAAAAAAAUCUUUUCGGAAGCUUUCUUCCAUUUGGACACCUUUUAAAAAUCCUCCUCUGAAAAGGUUCAAAAACACGGAAAAAACAGGAACUGGCACUUGGCACUGAGUUAAUAAGUUAGUCCCAAAAAAGAUAUAAAAGGCAUACAAAACAUCCAAAGUUUGACAAGAUAAUAGAAUGGAACCAUAAAAAAUUAUAGAUACGUUGGAGACGUAUCACCUGGUUCCUCACCAAGUUGCGCGCCCCGGAAGGUAACUCCUCCCAGUGCCAGCCCGACGGAGCCCAGUCCCGCACACGCUGGCGCAUAUCAAGCAGGUGGCCGCCACCGAGUCGACGACGAGGAUACUGGCCGGGCAUCGUAUGUCCUACUANNNNNNNNNNNNNNNNNNNNNNNNNNNNNNNNNNNNNNNNNNNNNNNNNNNNNNNNNNNNNNNNNNNNNNNNNNNNNNNNNNNNNNNNNNNNNNNNNNNNAUGAUGGCGGCGCUCCGAUGCAUCCCCGCGCGCGGCCUGACCGGACCAAAUCCAAUCUGGCGAUGCCCCCUCUCUCCGUUCGGCUGCUGUGUCAACAUACACCGACCGCUGUCGUCGAAGGUGGCAGUGGUGGCGGCCACGUCAUGGUUGUUGAAGACGGGCGGCUGGGCUGGCGCAUCCUGCCGGAUUCCCUUCGUGUGGGGGUGGUAUUGCAGCGAGGCGGCGGCGCUCGCCCAUGCGCAGCGACUGUCGGCGAGAUACUCGGUGGCGUCGAUGGGUUGAGGGGGCGGAUGUACAGUGUUGGCUGAAGGCGACGGUGCGGAACCUACAACAAUGGCGGGUCCUGCUGGUGUGAUUGAAUAAAGGUGGCGGUCCUAGGGUUCCUCUUUAUGACAGCCCGGGACCGAUGCUCCAGAAGAUUCCCCUUUUAUUUCAUUGUCGCUGUGUGAUUAGGUUGUCUGUCGCAUUGAUCAUCGCAUCAUUCGUAUCAUAUGUAUUGCAUCGGCACUUUGUUGUCGUCAGUUUUCAAACUUGCAUCCGUUCGUUGAGCGUUUCGAGACCAACAACACAUGCACGCACCCGUGGCAUCACUAAUAAUUUGUUUUUAAAGGUAUCCAAAAAAUAUUUUUGAAUUGGGUUGAAACUUGACGUGCGGUCUUAUUUUAGUGUAGGUAGACCGCCUGCCAAAUUCCGUCGCAAUCGCAGUUCCCCAAGGCCCGGCCCAGGAUGAGCACCCCUAUUCCCCGCCCAGGCGCAACUACCCGUUGAUCUGUUGGGCCAGAGCCAAAUUUGGCAUAAUAGACUUUUUUCCUGUCAUGCGAUUUGUCAAUUAUUCUAGAUUUUAAUAAUUUCAGAAAAACAUGCAUAUUUACAAAUGCACGUAGUUUUUGAACGGUGCGUUGGAUCGCGGCAAAUUAUAUGUGUUAAACGUGUUGAAUUUCGCUUACAUUAAUAUUUUCCUACUCUCAUGCAUAUUUAAAGUUGUUUAGCAUGUUGUUUGCAUCGGUUUGCGUGUCGAUAUGAUACAAAUAGUUUAGUUCGUAAUUAAUGAAGCGAAGCUCCGUUGGAGAUGAGUCACAUAUGUAAAUGGACUAGAACGACGAGUAGAAUCAUGUGAACCACUUUGUUUUGCUGUUUAACAAACAUAAAAUGGGGUUAGGACAAAUCUGAACAGAUUACAAAGUUAACGCGUGGGGUCGAUUCGAAGAUGCUAUAUGUCAUUUCCGGCCUCAUUUAAAAUGCUUAGAUAGGUAGUUUAUUUGUGCUUCACCCCCUCGACAUAUUAACGAUAUUUUAAUGUUGCCGUGUUAAUAAACAUGAGUGAACUAAAUAAUUAAAUGUGGAGUUUUGUUAAUAUGCAACUCGUUGCAUAUUGAGCUUCACUUAAUGUGAAGUGUUUGAUUGUUGUGAAUUGCCAUGCCAUGCCUUGCAUUUUUAAACCGUUCAUGCAUCAUAUGUGAAUUGCAUCAUGUGAUGCAUGUGUUGUGGUGAAUAUUGUGUGUUGAUUCUUGUUUCCAGUUUGCUUCGUCUGGAUCGAGUUCCUUACGCGUGUCGAAAUGUGAGGAUCCAUUCAACUACGUCGGUUCGUCUGCUUCACGGAGUCGUUCUUUUCCAAGCGGGAUCACAGGCAAGAGGAUCAUUUCCUUAGAUACCAUCACUAUCAUUGCCAUGCUAGUUGUUUCGUUUCUAUCGUUAUGUCUCGCUGCCUACCACCUGUUAAAUAUCAGCCUCCCAACAUUGCCAUGUAAACCCUCAACCUUUCUACAACCUAGCAAACCAUUUAUUGGCUAUGUUACCGCUUGCUUAAGCAUUGGAUAGCAUUUCUAGUUGCAGGUGUAGUUGCUCCCAUGUGCAAACAUGAGUUCCUUGAUAUAUCAUCAUAUUAAUGCUAAUUAAUUUGCACAUGGUUCCUUGAUAUAUUACCAUAUUAAUGCUAAUUAAUUUAAUGCACCUAUAUACUUGGUAAAAGGUGAAAGGCUCGGCAUUUCUAGCCUGGUGUUUUGUUCCACCUUUGCCCCCUUAGUUUCGGCUACCGGUGUUAUAUUCCAUAAUUGAGCGCUCCUAACACGAUCGGGGUUGUCAUGGGGCCCCCCUUGAUAAUUCGUUUUAGAUUAAAACUGGUCUAGCAAGGCCCAACUUUGGUUUUACAUUUUCCUAAUAACUAAUAAAUAGCAUAGNNNNNNNNNNNNNNNNNNNNNNNNNNNNNNNNNNNNNNNNNNNNNNNNNNNNNNNNNNNNNNNNNNNNNNNNNNNNNNNNNNNNNNNNNNNNNNNNNNNNGGAACGAUAUCCGUCAGACGGAUAUUCGGUGGAAUCCGGGGGUGCCGAGCCUACCGAAAUGAAUGGCAACAUUCAAUAACAAACAUAUGCAAUCAAAAUGAUGCAUGAGCAUGGCAUGAGAAUGCAAGUGAUAGGUUAUUAUAAUCAAGAUGUUUUAGGUUUAGAGUUGAUUUGAAUCACAUUCGAAUAGCAAUUCAAACGGGUAUUCUCGGAUACCGGUUCAAUUGAUUCGACCUGAUGCUUAGAUCAACCUAAUGUUAACAUGCAUGAAAUGUCAUGUUAUGGUACUGAUUUAUAUCUAGGGCAGUGUGUGAUCAUUGUAUUUAUAAUGAAAUUUGGAUAUUUUUGCAAAUUCCAUUUAUAAAGUGAUUAAAGAAUUGAAUUAUUCCUUAUUUCACAAUUUAGGGUCCUGUAACUUUUUCAAACAUAGGUGAAAAUACCAUAAUCAGAAUCCUUGAAUUUUUCUGAUACUUUUUCAUAUAUAACUUAUUUUCAUUGGAGUUACAGAUUAAUUUCUAUGAUUUUUGCAAUUUUUAGCAAUUUCCUGAAUUAUUUUUAUACUGGAAAUUCCAUUUAUUGCAUCAGGCUGACGUCAGCACGUCAGCCGACCUGUGCAGGUCAAACCUGACAGGGGGGCCCCACUGGUCAGCCUCUCUGGGACUAAUCCCGCGCUGACCAGCCCCUAAUUGGGGUUUGACCAGGCGUGGGGCCCUCUGUCAGCGACUGAGGGGUGGGAGAUUACGCCCUAAUGGUCGGCCACGUCGACGGCCACCGGAGGGUGGUCGCCGGCGACCAGACCCGCGGCGGAGGGCUCGCCGGAGGCGACCUAGACGGCGCUGCACAGCACCAAAACGCACGCGGUUUGCAGCUACAGCAUGCUCGCGAAGUGGCCGAUCUGGCAGGACCAUCUGGGGAGGCUAGGGUCGCCGGAAGAGGCGUCGGCGACGAGCCGGAGCGGCGGUCGAAGCUCGGGCGUCGUCGGGGGCUUUGAAUCAGAGGGAUCCACGCUCAGUUCUUAGCUGCUACGGCAUCUACGCGUCGUCCUGGAGCUGCUGGUGCUCUCGGGAGGACGAGCUGGACAUCGGAGGGCUAGCGGCGACGAGCGGCAGCGGCGGUCCUCGUCGGGCUCCGGUGAAACUAGGGCUAGAGGAGGGGAUCGACGGGGAAAACCUAGGGAAAACGACCGCAUGCUCACAGGGAGUGCAGGGCAGAGCUCAGACGGCUCGGGGAAGGCCUGGGGGCGACGAAUCGANNNNNNNNNNNNNNNNNNNNNNNNNNNNNNNNNNNNNNNNNNNNNNNNNNNNNNNNNNNNNNNNNNNNNNNNNNNNNNNNNNNNNNNNNNNNNNNNNNNNUUAUUGCUUUGCUAAUUAUUUCAGCUCCAAAACAAAAAGUAAAAACUAUUUUAGACCUCCUGAAAUAUUUGUUAUAAUAUCCCCACUCAUUUCCAAGACUUUCAACAUUUUUGGAAAAUUAUAGUUUCUGAUUUCAAAUUUUAAAUUUGAAACCAGUGGCUUUUGCAUUUAUUUAAAAUGCUUAAAGUGUCAAAAAAAAUAGUUUUCUCCAAUGCUCAUUUACUUUCAUGAUUUAUCAGAAAGUUUGAACAUUUCUUGAGGCCAUUUUGGGUUCAUUGAUUUUGAACUAGUUGAAAUUUCCUUUAAUUGAAAUGGUGGCUAGGGUUUUGAGUUUUUCCUUUGCCACUUUGUUGUUUUUGUUGAAACUUCUUAGAUGCAAAUGCAAAGAAGACAUGAGCACAAUGCUAUCUUGCUUAAGGGUUAGGGAUGUGACAAGCAUUUUCAGGAUUAGAGGAGAACUUAUUAUUAUUGGUAAGAGGAUUUCUAUAAGUCUUGUAUCGUAGGAGCAUUUUCUUUUUGUUGUGUCACAAUCAUCCUUGCUGCACACCUUUUGAGAGAGACACGCACUCAUCGUGAAUUUGCUAGAAUACUCAUUGUGCUUCACUUAUAUCUUUUGAGCUAGGCAAUUUUGCUCUUUGUGCUUCACUUAGAUCUUUUAGAGCACGGUAGUGCGUAACUUGGUAGUUGGCUUGUGCUAUGAAAGUAGCCCCAAAGGUGAUAGGUACCCAAAGAGGAUACAAUAAAACAUCCAUCUUCAUGUGCGUUGAGUAGAAAGAGAAGUUUGAUUCCUCCCAAUUAGUUUUGAGACGUGGAUUUGGUAAUAUUAAGAGUUAUGUUAGUAGGGUGUUGUGAAUCUAGAAAUACUUGUGUUGAAGUUAGUGAUUCCCGUAACAUGCACGUAUGGUGAACCGCUAUGUUAGGAAGUCGGAGCAUAAUUGGUCUCUUGAUUGUCAUCCUCUGUGUUGCGGUCGGGAUCGCGCGAUGGUUUACACCUACCAACCCUUCCCCUAGGAGUAUGCGUUUAGCACUUUGUUUCGAUUACUAAUAAAAACUUUCGCAACAAGUAUGUGAGUUCUUCAUGACUAAUGUGAGUCCAUGGUAUAGAUGCACUUUCACCUUCCACCAUUGCUAGCCUAUCUAGUACCGCGCAAUUUUCGCCGGUGCACAAACCCACCAUAUGCCUUCCUCAAAACAGCCACCAUACCUACCUACUAUGGUAUUUUCAUAGCCAUUCCAAGAUAUAUUGCCAUGCAACUCCCACCGUUCCGUCUCAUGACUUGUGCCGUCACUCUCAUAUUGCCAUUACAUGAUCGUAAGAUAGCUAGCGAGAUGUUUCAACGUCAUACGCCAAGCUAGAUAGUUGCACAUCCCGGUACACUGCCGGAGGAAUUUCCUAUAGAGUCAUCAUCGUUCUAAGCUUUGAGCUGUGAGUAAAUAAAAGUGUGAUGAUCAUCAUUAUUAGAGAAUUGUCCCAUGUGAGGAAAUAAAAAAAAGGCCAAAGUUCCCCACAAAAAAAGUAGAUAUGGAAAGAGGCCAAUGAGCGCGAACAAAAAAAGAGAAAAAGAGAGAAGGGACAAUGCUACUAUCUCUUUCCACACUUGUGCUUCAUAAUAGCACCAUGUUCUUCAUGAUUGAGAGUUUCUUGUUUCGUCACCACCAUAUGCUAGUGGGAAUCUUCAUUGUAUAACUUGGCUUGUAUAUUGCAACGAUGGGCUUCCUCAAAAUUGCCCUAGGUCUUCGUGAGCAAGCAAGUUGGAUGCACACCCACUAGUUCCCCUUUUGAGCUUUCACAUACUUAUAGCUCUAGUGCAUCCGUUGUAUGGCAAUCCCUACUCGUCCACAUUGAUAUCUAUUAAUGGGCAUCUCCAUAGCCCUUUGAUGCGCCUAGUCAAUGUGACCAUCUCCUCAUUUUUGUCUCACAACCUCCACCACACUCUAUUCCACCAUAGUGCUAUAUCCAUGGCUCACGCUCAUGUAUUGCGUGAGAGUUGAAAAAGGUUUGAGAAAGUAAGAGUGUGAAAACAAUUACUUGGCCAAUACCGGGGUUGUGNNNNNNNNNNNNNNNNNNNNNNNNNNNNNNNNNNNNNNNNNNNNNNNNNNNNNNNNNNNNNNNNNNNNNNNNNNNNNNNNNNNNNNNNNNNNNNNNNNNNAACCCCUUAUAUAGUGGGGGGGGGAAUCCAACCGUUUUCCCACUCACAGCCCGAGCCUAGCGGUACUACCGCUGGCACUCCAGUGGUACUACCACUGGCUGCAGCGGUACUACCGCUGGCACUCCAGCGGUACUACCGCUAGGCCCAUGGUAGUGCAUAAGCACUACCNNNNNNNNNNNNNNNNNNNNNNNNNNNNNNNNNNNNNNNNNNNNNNNNNNNNNGCAUAAGCCCUCCCGGGCCAACCGCCGCCAAGAAAGUCUUCGCAAAAAGGUCCGACUAAGUACAACCGCUAGGAAGGCGGUACUAAGCUCCUGGAGUGGUACUACCGCUGACCAGGGGCGGUACUACCGCUAGGGCUAGCGGUACUACCGCUAGGGCUAGCGGUACUACCGCUAGGCACAGCAGUACUACUGCUGAGGGACCAUUUGCUUAGAUGAGAUAAACACAGAGGCGGGAGCCACUCCAAAGUUGCAGGUAAGGGGAAAGGAGAUAAAGUGUGUGCGUGCAAAAUUGAUUCCACCCAAACCUUUCCACUACGGGUCCCCUCUUAAUAGUACGACGUUCCUAUGACUCAAAGAAAGAGAAUUGUAGAGUACACCGUGCUUCUGUUCCAUGGAAAUCCUAUGACUCAAAGAAAGAGAAUCGUAGAGUACACCAUGCUUCUGUUCCAUGGAAAGAGGGGGCGAGUCGUCUUGUGCGGUUGACAUGUGUUAUCUGAAAUCUUAACAUACACGGUUAGUCCUUUGCGGUACUGUCAUCAAUCACCAAAGUUACUUAGGCAUAAAUUAUGCCCUAACACAAGCCAAAUUAUAUAAUGAAGAUUCCCACUAGCAAAUGGUAGUGACAAAGCAAGAAGCUCUCAAUCAUGAAGAACAUGGUGCUAUUAUGAAGCACAAGUGUGGAAAAAGAUAGUAGCAUUGUCCCUUCUCUCUUUUUCUCUUUUUUUGUUCGCGCUCAUUGGCCUCUUUCCAUAUCUACUUUUUUUGUGGGGAACUUUGGCCUUUUUUUUAUUUCCUCACAUGGGACAAUUCUCUAAUAAUGAUGAUCAUCACACUUUUAUUUACUCACAGCUCAAAGCUUAGAACGAUGAUGACUCUAUAGGAAAUUCCUCCGGCAGUGUACUGGGAUGUGCAACGAUCUAGCUUGGCGUAUGACAUUGAAAGAUCUCGCUACAGUGUACCGGGAUGUGCAACGAUCUAGCAUGGCGUAUGACGUUGAAAACAUCUCGCUAGCUAUCUUACGAUCAUGCAAUGGCAAUAUGAGAGUGACUACACAAGUCAUGAGACGGAACGGUGGGAGUUGCAUGGCAAUACAUCUCGGAAUAGCUAUGAAAAUGCCAUAGUAGGUAGGUAUGGUGGCUGUUUUGAGGNNNNNNNNNNNNNNNNNNNNNNNNNNNNNNNNNNNNNNNNNNNNNNNNNNNNNNNNNNNNNNNNNNNNNNNNNNNNNNNNNNNNNNNNNNNNNNNNNNNNAAGAUGAUCUUUGGACUGCGUUGAAGGAAAAUUUCACCCUACCGCCAGAGGAGGAUCCGAAUAAGCCAAGUAUGGAGCCACUGGUCAAGGCAUGUGCUCUUAAGAAGAUGGCAAAACUAUUCAGGAGGUGGAAGAAAGAGUUGAAAUCAAAGUAUGUCGACAAUGGGAAGACUCCAGAAUUCGUCCGCCGAUUUGAGAAGAUGAGAGAUCACUGGCCCGCAUUUGUGGCCUACAAGACAUCGGACAAGAGUAAGGAAAUGUCAGAGAGAAACAAGAACAAUGCUGCAAAGAAGCAGUAUCACCAUCACACAAGGUCAGGUGGCUGCCUCAAAGGCCGUCCGUUGUGGGACAAAGCUGAGAAUGACCUGAUUGCUAAAGGGGUCCAACCACAGACAUGGAACUGGCCCAACCGUUCAAGGAAUUGGUUCUUCGGGGUUGGGGGAACUUUGGACCCUGAAACAGGGGAGUGUCGUUGGAUGGACGAGCAACUUGCAACAUCCAUCAACAAGCUUCAACAGUGUAUCACCGCAACGCAUGAAGGGGCGUUCUUUCCCGAAAGAGAGAAGGAUGAGCUCACUGAUGCCCUAGGGAAUGCUGAGCACCCUGGACGAACACGAGGCACACCAGGCUCCGUUCCAUAGAAUAUUGAGUUUCCCGACGCAGCCGGUUAUAGAAGUCGAGCGAGAAAGAGGAAAGCAGAGCUGAGCGACAUGCACAAGAUCAAUGCAAGACUACAAAUUUUAGAGGAACUUGAGAGCCAGCGAGUUGCCGACCAACCAUCUCAGCGGCACGAAACUACCCCAGAAUUUACCUCGCCAUCUCAGGGAGAAGCAGUGUGGCUGCCACGGAGCUCGUUCAGCCUGACUUCACGGCUCCUAGCUACCCCGUGGAUACUAUCACGGAGUCUCAACUUUGCGAGCUUUUGACGAAAUGUCGGAACCUCACUUUCAAGGCUGCUAUCGGCGUUGUUGCACCUCCUCAAUCCAACGGAACUUUUCACUGCCGUCUGAUUCCACGUGGCUAUGUUGUUGUGAUGGUGGAUGAAGUAAAGGAGGAAUUGAGCAGCUCGAGCUUGACCACCCUACAGGUGAAGAUGAGAAUAAGCCGGUUCAUGCUUUGAGGAUUACAUGUCUAUGGCCGAAGGAGUACAUCAAGCUUCCAAACUAGACGCCUCCUCCUCCUCCUCCUCCAGCGAGUGAUCAGGGCACUCCUCAUCCUCCUCCGGCGACUGAUCNNNNNNNNNNNNNNNNCUCCUCAUUGAUACGUCUCAAACGUAUCUAUAAUUUUUGAUGGUUUCAUGUUGUUAUCUUGUCAACUUUGGAUGUUUUAUAUACCUUUUGUAUCUUUCUUGGGACUAACUUAUUAAUUCAGUGCCAAGUGCCAGUUCCUGUUUUUUCUGUGUUUUUUGACUCUUUUCANNNNNNNNNNNNNNNNNNNNNNNNNNNNNNNNNNNNNNNNNNNNNNNNNNNNNNNNNNNNNNNNNNNNNNNNNNNNNNNNNNNNNNNNNNNNNNNNNNNNACGACUUUAGCAACUCAACCUCGGUCUCUUUGGUUUCAUUUCGUAUCGACAAUACAUUUACCGAUUCUGGACUAAUGAACCCAACGUUGAAGAUUCCUGCUUUGUUUAAUUCGACGAUCUUCAAUCUGCAUAAUAUAUAUAGUGAGGAUAAUUAUAGAUACAUGCAAUGAACAAGCUGAGCUAGAGACUUAACUAUAAAAGUAAUACUUACAAACAGUAGGAAGUCAAGAGUUGUUUGUCGAGGGCCAGUUCAUUGUAUAACUGAAAUAACUCCUCAAAUUGAACAAGCAGCGCUGUAGCUCCAAUGAAAUUGUGAUCUUUUUUCACUCUCAUAUACACAUAGUCUUUCCUAGUCUGUCUGAAGAUGUUCAUGUACCACUCAUGCAAUUCAUGCAUCCUCGGUGUUAGAGAAGGAUGACCAGGUUUCACGAGAGGCUUCCCGAGCACGUAUUCAUAUGUUUCUUCAUUUGUUACCUCAGCUAUCCCAAAAAUUACUGAAUUGUUCACAUAAUAACCAGGAUUGGUACCGGGCAGCAACCCCGAAUCAUUAGCGAUGAUGAUAUCGCUAGACGCCUUGAGCGGGGGGCACGAUUGCUUCUUCUAUUGGCUGAGCUGGGGAAUUGUUUUCCCACUUCUUCGUUUUGCUAACAUUGCAUCACUGCUAGCCGCCAGAGCGACGGCGGAGUCUAUCUUCCGCUUGAGAGAAGGAGGAGGAGGCGACAGCUUUCUUACUUGUGUAAUAUUCGGCGGAGAAGCGAUGGCGUCUGUCUUCCACCAUUGCAGAGGAGGCAGACUGCUCCGACGCGCCUGAGGAGGAGCCGAAGGAGGAGGACUGCUCCGACGCGCGUGAGGAGGAGCCGAACGAGGAGGACUGCUAUGACGCGCCUAAGGAGGAGCCGAAGGAGGAGGACUGCUCUGACGCGCUGGAGGAGGAGCCGAAGAAGGAGGCGGAGUGCUCCAAUGCGCCGGAGGAGAAGCCGAAGAAGGAGGCGUACUGCUCCGACACGCCGGAGGAGGAGUCGAAGAAGGAGGCCGACUACUCCGACGCGACAGAGGAGGAGCCGAAGAAGGAGGCGGACCGCUCCGACGCGCCGGAGGAGGAGUCGAAGAAGGAGGCGGAUUGCCCUCACGCCGGAGGAGGAGCCGAAGAAGAAGGCCGAGUGCCCUCACGCGUCAGAGGAGCCGGAGUGCCCUGAUCAUCCGCCGGAGGAGGAUGAGUGCUACUGCGGCAACAGACCUUCCCUGGCAACGGCGCCAGGAAUCCUUCUGCGACGGACUACGCCUAUAGGGACUUCCUUGGCAAAUAUGCAAAGGAUUUCCCCGCGGCCUUGGAGCCUUGCGUUGGUAUUCCCUUGAAUAGGAAAGGGUGAUGUAGCACAGCGGCGGUAAGUAUUUCCCUUAGUUUGAGAACCAAGGUAUCGAUCCAGUGGGAGGAUCGCGUCAAGUCACAAGUACCUGCACAAACACAAAGAGCUUGGACCCAACGCUAUGAAGAGGUUGUCAAUCCCUUAUAGAUUGUUUGCAAAGUGAGAACUGAAAGCAAAGAGUAAACAAAGCAAAGUAAAAGUAAAGGUGGAGACGAUAGUUGUGAAUAGACCCGGGGGCCGUAGUGUUCACUAGUGGCUUCUCUCAUGAGAGCAAGUAGAUGGUGGGUGAACGAAUUACUGUCGAGCAAUUGAUAGAACCACGCAAAGUCAUGAUGUUAUCUAUGGCAAUGAUCAUAUCUAUAGGCAUCACGUCCAAAACAAGUAGACCGAUACUUUCUGCAUCUACUACUAUUACUCCACAUGUCGACCGCUAUCCAACAUGCAUCUAGUGUAUUAAGUUCAUAAGAACAGAUUAAUGUCUUAAGCAAGAUGACAUGAUGUAGAUGGACACUCUCAAAUCUAUGAUGAAAGCCCAUCUUGUUACCCUUGAUGGGAACAACACGAUGCGUGCCUUGCUGCCCCUUAUNNNNNNNNNNNNNNNNNNNNNNNNNNNNNNNNNNNNNNNNNNNNNNNNNNNNNNNNNNNNNNNNNNNNNNNNNNNNNNNNNNNNNNNNNNNNNNNNNNNNAUCUUGUGGAGAUAGAAGCUUGUGCGGCGGAAAAGUACUUUUGAUGAUCUCCAGAUUUUUUUGGGAUUUUUAGGGAAUAUAUAGGCACAACCCCUAGUGCAGAGGGCGUCCAGGGGGCCCACAAGCCUGUGGGCCGCGACCUCCCCCCUGGCCAUGGGGUGGGGGCUUGUGGGGCCCCUGGGGCCCCCUGCCUUAGUUCUCAAGUCUCCUGAUCUUCUUCCGUUACGGAAAAAAUCUUUUCUGGGAUUUUAUUCCGUUUGGACUCCGUUUCAAAAUCUCCUCUGAAAGGGGUCAAAAACAUGGAAAAAACAGGAACUGGCACUUGGCACUGAGUUAAUAAGUUAGUCCCAAAAAAUAUAUAAAAGGCAUACAAAACAACCAAAGUUUGAAAAGAUAAUAGCAUGAAACCAUCAAAAAUUAUAGAUACGUUGGAGACGUAUCAAGCAUCCCCAAGCUUAACUCCUUCUCGUCCUCGAGUAGGGAAGUGAUAAAGAAUGAAUUUUUGAUGUGGAAUGCUACCUAGCGUAGUUGUCCUUUGCAACUUCUUUCACGUGACAUGAAUGUUCAGAUCCGUAAGAUUCGAAACAAUAGUUUGCUAUUGACAUGAAAACAAUAAUACUUCAAGCAAACUAGCAAGGUAAUCAUGAACUUUCAAAAUAACAAGGACAAUGAAAGUUAUCCCUACAAAAUCAUAUAGUCUGGCUAUGCUCCAUCAUCCCCACACAACGAAUUUAAAUCAUGCACAACCCCGGUAUUGGCCAAGUAAUUGUUUUCGCACUCUUACUUUCUCAAACCUUUUUCAACUCUCACGCGCCAAGUAAUUGUUUUCACACUCUUACUUUCUCAAACUUUUUAUAACUAUCACGCAAUACAUGAGCGUGAGCCAUGGAUAUAGCACUAUAAGUGGAAUAGAGUGUGGUGGUAGUUGUGAGACAAAAAGGAGGAGAUGGUCACAUUGACUCGGCGUAUCAAAAGGCUAUGGAUAUGCCCAUUAAUAGAUAUCAAUGUGAAUGAGUAGGGAUUGCCAUACAAGAGAUGCACUAGAGCUAUAAGUAUGUGAAAUCUCAAAAGGAGAACUAGUGGGUGUGCAUCCAACUUGCUUGCUCACGAAGACCUAGGGCAAUUUUGAGGAAGCCCAUCAUUGGAAUAUACAAGCCAAGUUAUAUAAUGAAGAUUCCCACUAGCAUAUGGUAGUGACAAAGCAAGAAGCUCUCAAUCAUGAAGAACAUGAUGCUAUUAUGAAGCACAAGUGUGGAAAAAGAUAGUAGCAUUGUCCCUUCUCUCUUUUUCUCUCUUUUUUUAUUUGGGCUCUUAGGUCUCUUUUUUUUUGUUUGGGCUCUUUGGCCUCUUUUUUUAUUUCCUCACAUGGGACAAUGCUCUAAUAGUGAUGAUCAUCACACUGUUAUUUACUCACAGCUUCAAAGCUCAAAAUGAUGAUGACUCUAUAGGAAAUGCCUCCGGUAGUGUACCGGGAUGUGCAACGAUCUAGCAUGGCGUAUGACAUUGAAAACAUCUCGCUAGCUAUCUUACGAUCAUGCAAUGGCAAUAUGAGAGUGAUGGCACAAGUCAUGAGACGGAAUGGUGGGAGUUGCAUGGCAAUAUAUCUCGGAAUGGCUAUGAAAAUGCCAUAGUAGGUAGGUAUGGUGGUUGUUUUGAGGAAGGCAUAUGGUGGGUUUGUGCACCGGCAAGAAUUGCGCGGCACUAAAGAGGCUAGCAAAGGUGGAAGGUGAAAGUGCAUCUAUACCAUGGACUCACAUUAGUCAUGAAGAACUCACAUACUUGUUGCGAAAAGUUAUAUUAGUAAUCGAAACGAAGUGCUAAACGCAUAUUCCUAGGGGAAGGGUUGGUAGGUGUUAACCAUCGCGCGAUCCCGACCUCAACACAAAGGAUGACAAUCAAUAGAUCAAUUAUGCUCCGACUUCCUAACAUAGCGGUUCACCAUACAUGCAUUUCUUCGCGAGAUCACGAAGUUCGUAAACUGUUGUGGGGUAACCCACACUACGAUAGUUCCAACAUAGGAUACUCAUUUUGCCCAGCGGUACUCCUCGAGGGAGCCCGCCGAUGAUGCCUCUAUUGGGGUUUCUGACUUGUAUUCUCCUCCACUACCUCCUGGGUUAGUUUCCAUCUCCAGAGGAUCAACCUAUUGGGGUUUCUGACUUGUAUUCUCCUCCACUACCUCCUGGGUUAGUUUCCAUCUCCAGAGUAUCAACCUUCUCCAAAACUCCUGCCUUGUUCGUGAGUUUUUUUGGCCUUUUAUUGUCCUUCCCUGGGGAUACAUAAACCGGUGGCAUAGGAGGCACCGACUGAUCUCCCAGUAUAACCAACGAGUUAUUGUACUCAGCCUGGUUGUUCAACACACCUUCCUCCUGAGUUUUAGAGGAACUCAAGGAGUUUUCCACCGCAAGGCGUUUGUUUCCCUGAACCCCCUCCUCCUUCUCUGUUUCCAGAUCUUAGCUCUCGCUAGGGAAUCAUCUUUCCCUCCUCUUCCAACCAUCUGGUCAUUGCUCCCCGCUUGGUUUUGCUGUUGAGAAUUGAAUCUCCAUCUCUAGUUUGGGUUAUGUGGUUCAAGGCCUCUACCACUGUGAUAGCCUGGCUUAUUAGGAUGAUAGACUACUCAUAUCAAUAAGGAAUUCCUACUUUUCCGGGAGCCCGUUCGAAUAGAAAUUCCAGGUUAAGCGUGCUCAGCUUGGAGUAGUUCUAGGAUGGGUGACUGAUGACCCAAAAGCGUAUGGGAUCGCAACAGUUUUCGAGGGUAGAGUAUUCAACCCAAAUUUGUUGGUUCGCCAAGGGAAGCGAAAGAAUAUUCUCAAGUAUUAGCAGCUGAGUUUAUCAGAUUCAACCAUGACUGAAAGAUUAGUGUCUGCAAGCAAAGUAUCAGUAGCAAAGUAGUAUGAUAGCAACGGUGCCAGAAAUGAUCUGUUGACGGCAGACUAUUCCUAAUUGUUGUAUCAAUGGCGCCAGUAAGUUGCCUGUGGACGAGUAACUAUUCUUCCCCGACAACAGUGCCGGAAAAGAUCUUGCAACAAGUAACAACGAGGUAGCAAGGAAAAACAGGAGCAGCAGCAGCAGAGUAACAACAGUAGCAACAGUAGUAGCAAAGUGACAACAGUAGCAGCAAAGUGGCCUAGACAAAGUAACGUUGCAAGGGACAAGCCUAGACAAAGUAACGUCGCGAGGACCAGUAGUAGAAGACUCGUAGGCAGUGGAUCGGUGAUGGAUGAGUAUGACGGAUGUGAUUCAUCAUGUAGCAGCUAUAACACGGAGAGAUAAGUAACUAGCUCCCGUUCGUCAAUCUAAUGUAGGCAUGUAUUCCGUAUGUAGUCCUACGUGCUUAGGGAAAAGAACUUGCAUGACAUCUAUUGUCCAUCCCUCCCGUGGCAGCAUGGUCCUAAUGGAAACAACGGGAUAUUAAGGUUCUCCUUUUAAUAAAGAACUGGACCAACACAUGAACACGCGGUGAAUACAUGAACUCCUUAGACUAUGGUCAUCUCCGGGAGUGGUUCCGGCUAUUGUCACUCCGGGGUUGCCGGGUCAUAACACGUAGUAGGUGACUACAACUUGCAAGAUAGGAUCUAAAACACACAUAUAUUUGCGACAACAUAAUAGGUUCAGAUCUGAAAUCAUGGCACUCGGGCCCUAGUGACAAGCAUUAAGCAUGGCAAAGUAGUAGCAACAUCAAUCUCAGAACAUAGUGGAUACUAAGCCAAGUAGUAGCAACAUCAAUCUAGAACAUAGUGGAUACUAGGGAUCAAUCCCCGUCAAAAACUAAAUCGAUUACAUGAUAGAUCUCAUCCAACUCAUCACCGUCCAGCAAGCCUACGAUGAUAUUACUCACGGACGAUGAAGAGCAUCAUGGAAUUGUCAAUGGAUAAAGGUUGAUGAUGACGAUGGCGACAAUUUCCCCUCUCCGGAGCCCGAAACGGACUCCAGAUCUGCCCUCGAGAUGAAGAACAGGAUGUGGCGGCGCCUCGGUAUCGCAAAACGCGAUGAAACCUUCUCUCUGAUUUUUUUUCCGGGCGAGACGGAAGAUACAGAGCUGAGUUUGGGGGCGGUGGAGCAACGUGGGCCCCACAAGCCCUCACGGCGCGGCCAGGGGGGUGGCCGCGGCCUGUGCGCUUGUGGCCCAGUGGUCCACCUCCUCCGGUGGUUCUUUGCGCAAGUAUUUUUCUUUUAUUCCAGAAAAAAUCUCCGUAAAUUUUCAGGACAUUCCGAGAACUUUUAUUUCUGCAUAAAAACAACACCAUGGCAAUUUUGCUGACAACAACGUUAGUCCGUGUUAGUUCCAUUCAAAUCAUGCAAAUUAGAGUCCAAAACAAGGGCAAAAGAGUUCGGAAAAGUAGAGACGACGGAGACGUAUCAGUGACUAACCGUGAAGUUGAUCCCGGGUGCGCAUGAGUGAGGACAAAGUGCGUAGAAAAUACUAGUAAUGAUAUGUGGGGCCAGUCUAGAUCCCGCCAGGAGUAACGACCGCCGACGGGUGUGUCCGGGGCAUUACAAGUUUGGUAUCACAGCCGACCCUCGCGGUUACACGGAUGUUUGCGGACAGGUGUGCGGUCAUGUUAUUCAUGACGUUUGUGACCCGUCGUGGCACACGACAUGGUACAUGUACUGUACUGGAUGCACAGACGUUUGUGCCAAGAGGGAAUGUUCUUGUGGCCCGACGAGGACGUCGGUUCCUCUGAGUGGUGGUGUAUGUGAUAGCCCGGCUUAUUAGGGAUGAUAGACUACUCAUAUCAAUAAGGAAUUCCUUCUUUUUCGGGAGCCCAUUCGAACAUAACUUCCAGGUUAAGCGUGCUCACCUUGGAGUAGUUCUAGGAUGGGUGACCGACCGGGAAGUUGAUCCCGGGUGCGCAUGAGUGAGGACAAAGUGCGCAGAAAAGAGUAGUAUUGGUAUGUGGGGCCAGUCUAGAUCCCGCGAGGACUAACGACCGUCGGCGGGUGUGUCCGGGGCAUUANNNNNNNNNNNNNNNNNNNNNNNNNNNNNNNNNNNNNNNNNNNNNNNNNNNNNNNNNNNNNNNNNNNNNNNNNNNNNNNNNNNNNNNNNNNNNNNNNNNNGCAUGCACGCACUGUUUAGAUAAGACUAAAUGUACAUAUUUGGAAAACUCUAAGAAGGUUGUCUACCUGGGUGUCGUCAAUUUCUACCGACCAAUCAUCCCGUAAGAAAGAAAGGCAAGCUUUACAACGGUGAGGCAGAUCGCCGGAAGAAGCCUAACCUCCCUACUGGUGAUGAGUUAUUGGCUAUGGUCAAGGAUUUGGAUCAAAUAGUAAUCUUUGGAAAGGGUCCUGGUGGUCAAUCUGUUCCGAAAGACGACGUUACCGGACACGUGCCCAUGUGGAAAAAUAAAUCUUUAUUUUGGGAGCUACCCUAUUGGAAACACCUAGAGGUCCGGUCUUCAAUCGAUGUGAUGCACGUGACGAAGAAUCUUUGCGUGAACCUGCUAGGCUUCCUGGGCGUGUAUGGGAAGACAAAAGAUACAACAGAACCACGGGAGGAGCAGCAACAUAUGAAAGACCCAUACGACAAGAAGACUGAUAAAGGGCGUCAAUACUUAAGCAGCUACGCUCUUAGCAAAGCAGAGAAUGAAAUAUUUUUUGAAUGUCUGAGCAGUAUGAAGGUCCCCGCUGNNNNNNNNNNNNNNNNNNNNNNNNNNNNNNNNNNNNNGAGCAGUAUGAAGGUCCCCGCUGGCUUCUCGUCUAAUAUAAAGGGAAUAAUAAAUAUGGGAGAGAAAAACUUCCAGAACCUGAAGUCUCAUGAUUUCCACGUGAUUAUGACGCAGUUGUUUCUGGUUGCAUUGAGGGGGCUUCUACCGGAAAAUGUUUGAUUACACAUUGUGAAGCUAUGUGCAUUCCUCAAUGCAAUAUCUCAGAAGGUAAUCGAUCGAGAACGUCUGGAAAGGCUACAGAAGGAUGUGGUCCAAUGUCUUGUCAGUUUUGAGUUGGUGUUCCCCCCGUCCUUCUUCAAUAUUAUGAUGCAUCUCCUGGUUCACCUAGUCGACGAGAUUUCCAUUUCGGUCCUAUAUUUCUACACAAUAUGUUCCCCUUCGAGAGGUUCAUGGGAGUCUUAAAGAAAUAUGUUCAUAACCGUGCUAGGCCAGAAGGAAGCAUCUCCAAAGGCUAUGGAACAGAGGAGGUCAUUGGGUUCUGUGUAGACUUUCUUCCUGACCUUAAGCCGAUUGGUAUUCCUGAAUCGCGGCAUGAGGGGAGAGUGAGUGGAAAAGGCACACUAGGAAAGAAAGAAGUGAUAUAUAGGGAUGGGCAUUAUUUCACUCAAGCACACUACAUAGUUCUAAAAAGUUCCACCUUCGUGGCUUCGUAUAUCGAGGAGCACAAGNNNNNNNNNNNNNNNNNNNNNNNNNNNNNNNNNNNNNNNNNNNNNNNNNNNNNNNNNNNNNNNNNNNNNNNNNNNNNNNNNNNNNNNNNNNNNNNNNNNNCCUGGUCCUCCGCCGACAGCGCCCCGCCGCCGUCGAGCCUCUCGUACUCCACCCUGAGCUUCGCCACACAAGCACCGUCCCCGGCCGCCUCAAGCUUCAUCUCGACCACCUGCGACUUGAGCUGGCCGCUCACCUUGCCGCCCUCCAGUAUCUCCGUCUUGAACACCCUAGCCGCGUUGUCGCGGGCCAUCACGCGGCUCCUCAUCACGCCCGAGCCUGACAGCUCCGCCGCCGCCGGACUGAGCGUCAUGGUGAAGACGCUGCCGGGUCCGCCGUCGCCCUCGACGUCCACAACGUCGAUGAAGCCCGCGCAGGCCUUGGGCAGGGCGGCCGUGUCCUCGCCGGAGAAGACCACCUUCCACAGUCGCUCCGUCGACACCGCCAGGGCGCACUGCUCGGUGAUGACACAGCCGGCGACCAUCUUGUUCUUGUCCGUCGGUCACUUGCUCGCUGCACACUAGCGCUGCUGGCAAGUUCUAGUGAAGAGUGAAGACUGGUGAUGAGUGAGAGCAAGCAAGGGGCUGAUUUAUAUAGAGUAGGUGCAAAAGAAAAAUUCAGAGCUAGGCAAGAGAUCCAUAAAAUAGUAAUUGAUGAACUUGGACCGGAGAUCACAUGGUUGGACUCUUGAAGCGUUCAGGCUGCUAUUUCUUUCUGCAGCUGUUCAAUCUUCUUCCCAUGUGUUCGUUCUGCUGACUGUUCGGUCUAUUCUAUUAGGGCUGAAAUUCGGACAGCAGGGGAGACUGUUUUCUUUUUGAAAAAUCACCGGGGGGGAUCAUGUGUUCUUGCCUGUUGGUUCCGAUCAGAUCUGUUGGUGCGUGCGCGUGCGAUUUGGGAAUCGCAUACGGGGGGAAGCUAACCUUGCCGCCGAUGCGUCGGCUAGAUCGAUUGCCUGCUUCUGCUGACCUAGCCUCGUGGCCCGAUCUCCAGCUUGCUAACCUCGGUUGCGUGCUUAAAUUGGAAAUAACCUGAGUGCAAACAUAACAUGAUCUGUCGGAUGUGCAUUCCAGUUUUAAUUUUACAGGCCUACUACAACUGUUGGAGCGGUUGUGUAUUGGCAGGGUUUGACUGAUUCCGUACCCAGAUUGUUUGCAACACUGUCUUGAUUUGUAAUUCGCAUUGCUAGUUUUGGUACUAAAUCUCAGUUAAAAAUUCUCCUUACAGAGAUGUCACUUGAAAACGUAAAUAUUGCAGUUUCGUCUAAAUUUAGCAGUGAUAGAGUUUACAUUUCCCUGGCUAGCAGGGGAGACGAGUAACGCUACACGUACGGGAAAUUACGGGCAAGGACUAAUUACAGGCUGAGUUGGCUUAACAGGAUUGUAAACAAGGAGAGUGAGGCGGGACCAUCCCGGUUGAAAUCAGGGGGUGGGGCGAAGAGAUUUAAGGAAAGAGUCCGUAAUUGUCUGUAAGGGUCCGUACGUCUAGAAUUAUUGCAGGGGAGACUGUACUCCGUCAGGCCUAUGCCUCGCCCGUAGGAAUAGAAUAGAACGCCGCGCCCUUAUCUACGCUGUGUGUUUUACUCCCUCCGUCCCAAAAUAAAGAAGUUGUGGCUGGUUACAAAUUUUUGAUAAGGGAAACGAUUCUGGAGGGUGCGUCGGCCGGUCCUGCCUGCAUAGUCUGAUCCCGCGCGUCGUAUCUUUUUUUUUUUUACUGCGAGACGUCAUUUUUGCUGUAAUUAUUAUCUUUUUUACUACUAUCGAUAAGAUUUUUGCUAUAAUUGUUGUUGAUUUUUACUAUAUUUAAUUCAUUAAAAAGUUGCAUCCACGUUUAGUUGCAGUUCGAGUUCGUCGGAUUUUUUNNNNNNNNNNNNNNNNNNNNNNNNNNNNNNNNNNNNNNNNNNNNNNNNNNNNNNNNNNNNNNNNNNNNNNNNNNNNNNNNNNNNNNNNNNNNNNNNNNNNUUAACAUCACAUGCAAUUCAUAAGUGACAUGAUAUGGCCAUCAUCACGUGCUUCUUGAUCUCCAUCACCAAAGCACCGGCACGAUCUUCUUGUCACCGGCGCCACACCAUGAUCAUCCAUCAACGUGUUGCCAUCGGGGUUGUCGUGCUACUUAUGCUAUUACUACUAAAGCUACAUCCUAGCAAAAUAGUAAACGCAUCUUCAAGCACAUAAGUUAGUAUAAAGACAACCCUAUGGCUCCUGCCGGUUGCCGUACCAUCGACGUGCAAGUCGAUAUUUCUAUUACAACAUGAUCAUCUCAUACAUCCAAUAUAUCACAUCACAUCAUUGGCCAUAUCACAUCACAAUCAUACCCUGCAAAAACAAGUUAGACGUCCUCUAAUUUUGUUGUUGCAUGUUUUACGUGGUGACCAAGGGUAUCUAGUAGGAUCGCAUCUUACUUACGCAAACACCACAACGGAGAUCUAUGAGUUGCUGUUUAACCUCAUCCAAGGACCUCCUCAGUCAAAUCCGAUUCAACUAAAGUUGGAGAAACCGUCACUUGCCAGUCAUCUUUGAGCAAGGGGGGUACUCGUAACGAUGAAACCAGUCUCUCGUAACCGUACGAGUAAUGUCGGUCCAAGCCGCUUCAAUCCAACAAUACCGCGGAAUCAAGAAAAAACUAAGGAGGGCAGCAAAACGCACAUCACCGCCCACAAAACCUUUUGUGUUCUACUCGAGAAAACAUCUACGCAUGAACCUAGCUCAUGAUGCCACUGUUGGGGAACGUCGCAUGGGAAACAAAAAUUUUCCUACGCGCACGAAGACCUAUCAUGGUGAUGUCCAUCUACGAGAGGGGAUGAGUGAUCUACGUACCCUUGUAGAUCGUACAGCAGAAGCGUUAGAGAACGCGGUUGAUGUAGUGGAACGUCCUCACGUCCCUCGAUCCGCCCCGCGAACAAUCCCGCGAUCAGUCCNNNNNNNNNNNNNNNNNNNNNNNNNNNNNNNNNNNNNNNNNNNNNNNNNNNNNNNNNNNNNNNNNNNNNNNNNNNNNNNNNNNNNNNNNNNNNNNNNNNNCGUGUCUAUCUGCUGUGAUCAACUUGCGAGUUUGUGACAAUUGGGAACCUAUGCAAAUCGGUUGGCACACGUGGAUUCAUGUGAGUACUUGAUGUAUGUUUUGGUGAUCAACUUGCGGGUUCGUGACAUUGGGAACCUAUGCACAAGGGUUGGCACACGUUUUGACUCUCUGGUAGAAACUUUGGGGCACUCUUUGAAGUUCUAUGUGUUGGUUGAAUAGAUGAUUUUGAGAUUAUGUGAUGCAUAUCGUAUAAUCAUGCCCACGGAUACUUGAGGUGACAAUGGAGUAUCUAAGUGACAUUUGGGUCUUGGUUGAUAUGUAUCUUAAGGUGUUAUUCUAGUACGAACUCUUGAAUAGAUCGAUGAGAAAGAAUAAAUUUUUGGUGGUUUCGUACCCGAAAAUAAUCUCUUCGUUUGUUCCCCGCUAUUAGUGACUUUGGAGUGACUCUUUGUUGCAUGUUGAGGGCUAGUUAUAUGAUCCAAUUAUGUUAUCAUUGUUGAGAGAACUUCACUAGUGAUAGUAUGAACCCUAGGCCUUGUUUCCACGCAUUGCAAUACCGUUCGUGCUCACUUUUACCAUUUGUUACCUUGCUGUUUUUGUAAUUUCAGAUUACAAAAACNNNNNNNNNNNNNNNNNNNNNNNNNNNNNNNNNNNNNNNNNNNNNNNNNNNNNNNNNNNNNNNNNNNNNNNNNNNNNNNNNNNNNNNNNNNNNNNNNNNNAGUUAGUGAUUCCCGUAGCAUGCACGUAUGGUGAACCGCUAUGUUAGGAAGUCGGAGCAUAAUUGAUUUAUUGAUUGUCAUCCUUUGUGUGGUGGUCAGGAUCGCGCCAUGGUCACCUACCAACGCUUCCCCUAGGAGUAUGUGUUUAGCACUUUGUUUCGAUUGCUAAUAAAACUUUCGCAAUAAGUAUAUGAGUUUUUCAUGACUAAUGUGAGUCCAUGGUAUAGAUGCACUUUCACCUUCCACCAUUGCUAGCUUCUCUAGUGCCGCGCAACUUUCGCCGGUACACAAAACCAUCAUAUACCUUCCUCAAAACAGCCACCAUACCUACCUAUCAUGGCCUUUUCAUAGCCAUUCCGAGAUAUAUUGCCAUGCAACUCCCACCGUUCCAUCUCAUGACAUGUGCCGUCACUUUCAUAUUGCCAUUGCAUGAUCGUAAGAUAGCUAGCGAGAUGUUUCAACGUCAUUGAUAACCCACAAGUGUAGGGGACCGCAACAGUUUUCGAGGGUAGAGUAUUCCACCCAAAUGUAUUGAUUCGACUCAAGGGGAAGCGAAAUAAUAUUCUCAAGUAUUAGCAGCUGAGUUGUCAAUUCAACCACACCUGAAAGAUUAGUGUCUGCAAGCAAAGUAUCAGUAGCAAAGUGGUAUGAUAGAAACGGUGCCAGAAAAAUGUCUAUUGACAGCAGACUAUUCCUUACUUGUUGUAUCAAUGGCGCCUAAAAAAGUCUUGCAACAGGUAACAACAAAGUAGCAAGUAACAGNNNNNNNNNNNNNNNNNNNNNNNNNNNNNNNNNNNNNNNNNNNNNNNNNNNNNNNNNNNNNNNNNNNNNNNNNNNNNNNNNNNNNNNNNNNNNNNNNNNNGUUCCGGCUAUUGUCACUCCGGGGUUGCUGGGUCAUAACACAUAGUAGGUGACUACAGCUUGCAAGAUAGGAUCUAAAACACACGUAUAUUGGCGACAAAAUAAUAGGUUCAAAUCUGAAAUCAUGGCACUCGGGCCCUAGUGACAAGCAUUAAGCAUGGCAAAGUAGUAGCAACAUCAAUCUCAGAACAUAGUGGAUACUAGGGAUCAAUCCCCGUCAAAACUAACUCGGUUACAUGAUAGAUCUCAUCCAACCCAUCACCGUACAACAAGCCUACGAUGUGAUUACUCACGAACGGUGAAGAGCAUCAUGGAAUUGGCGAUGAAGGAAGGUUGAUGAUGACGAUGGCGACGAUUUCCCCUCUCCGGAGCCCAGAACGGACUCCAGAUCUGUCCUCCAGAUGAAGAAGAGGAGGUGGCGGCGCCUCCGUAUCGUAAAACGCGAUGAAUCCUUCUCCUUGAUUUUUUCGGGGCAAGGCGGACUAAAUAGAGCUGAGAUUGGAGGCGGUGAAGCAACGUGGGCCCCACAAGCUUGGUAGGCGUGGCCAUGGGGGUUGGCCGCGCCUCCUGGGCUUGUGGCCCACAGGCUCACCUCCUCCAGUGGAUCUUUGCACAGGUAUUUUUCAUUAAUUCCAGAAAAAUUCGACGUAAAUUUUCAGGUCAUUGUAAGAACUUUUAUUUCUACACAAAACAACACCAUGGCAAUUCUGCUGAAAACAGCAUUAGUCCGGGUUAGUUCCAUUCAAAUCAUGCAAAUUAGAGUCCAAAACAAGGGCAAAAGAGUUCGGAAAAGUAGAUACGACGGAGGCGUAUCAACUCCCCCAAGCUUAAUGCCUUGCUUGUUCUCAAGCAAUUCAAUUGACAAACUGAAAGAGACAAAAGAAAAACUUUGACGAACUCUGUUUGAUCUUGUUGUCGCAACUAUGUCUAACUCAUAACUAGAAUUUCAGCAAGAUCACAAGCAAACCACAUAAGCAAUUGACAUCAAGGUCUUACGUAAACUCAUAUCAAUGGCAUAAUCAACUAGCGAGCAAAUAAUAAUAAGUCUCAAAUGUCAACACUUCAAUCAAAACUAUCAUGAAGCAGUACGAAUAGAUGGUAUCUCGAUAGCUCUUUCUGAGACCGCAAAACAUAAAUGCAAAGCACCUUCAAAGACCAAGGGCUGACUAAACAUUGUAAUUCAUGGCAAAGAAGAUCUAGUCACAGUCAUACUCAACACAGUUAAAAGCAAAGCAUAAAAAUGACCGAGGUGCUCUCUAAUUGGUGCUUUUGUAAGAGGAGGACGACUCAACAGGAACAUAAAUAGACAGGCCCUUCGCAGAGGGAAACAUUGAUUUGCACAGGUGUGAGAGCUCAAGAUUUCAAAACAGAGACAAUAAUUUUUGGUGGCAUGCUUUCAUUGUCAACGCAAUGACUAAGAGUUCUCAUCAUCUUCCAUGCUACACAUGCUAUAGGCGGUUCCCAAACAGAAAAGUAAAGUUUUGACUCCCCCACCACCAAUAUAUGACACACCAUGACUAGCCGAAUCCCCGGGUGCCGUCCAUACCAACAUCAAUCCUGGGGGAGUUUUGUUUGCAAUUAUCUUUUCGAUUUGAGCAUGGAUCUAGGAAUUCCAAUUACCGGCCCCUUUCUCGUGAAUGAUAGUGAAUAAACACAUAUCAAGGAUAACACGCCUAGCAUGGUAGAUACUGAUAGCCCCCUGUCACCACAUGAGCGGUUCGGGCAUGCAAAACAGAUUAUUUCUUGAAGAUUUAGAGAGUGGCACAUGAAAAUUUACUUGGAAUGGCAGGUAGAUACCACAUAUAGGAGGUAUGGUGGACUCAUAUGGAACAACUUUGGGUUUAUGUAAGUGGAUGCACAAGCAGUAUUCCCGCUUAGUACAAGUGAAGGCUAGCAAAAGACUGGGAAUCGACCACCUAGAGAGCAACAACAGUCAUCAAAAUGCAAUGAGAUUAACUAACAUUGAGUGCAAGCAUGAGUAGAACAUAAAUCACCAUGAACAUGAAUAUCAUAGAGGCUAUGUUGAUUUUGUUUCAACUACAUGCGUGAACAUGCGCCAAGUGAAGCCACUUGAAACAUUCAAAGGAGGAUACCAUCCUAUCACACUACAUCAUAGUCAUCUCAAAAUUCAUGUGGGCAUCCAAGACAAACCAUUAUAAACUCCUUGCUAAGUAAGCAUGGCAUCAACAACUAUGAUCUCUAAGUUUUCAUUGCAAACAUGUUUCUCUCACAACAAAGCUGAAUCAGGCACGAUGACCUAGUCAUAUUUACAAAAACAAAAUAGAUCGAGUUCAUACCAGCUUUUCCAGGCUUAGUCACUUCAUCAUAUAUCGUCAUUGUUGCCUUUCACUUGCACGACCGAACGAUGUGAACAAUAAUAAGAGUGCUCGUGCAUUGGACUAAGCUGGAAUCUGCAGGAAGACACAAAGGAGAAGACAAAGUAAUAUGGCUAUUUAAGAGGUAAACAGGUAUGCAUGCGAGAGGCACUAAACAUUGUAACCAUUAUCUUCUACCUUGACCCAAAGAAAAAGGAAACUAUUUACACGGGAAAGCUCCCAACAAGCAAAAGAAGAACAAGAAAAUCUUUUUGGGUUUUCUCAAACUAGACAGUCACAUGAAAAAAAAACGAGAAAAAGAAAAUAAACUAGCAUGGACGAUAAAGUGGCAAAGGGUAAACACCGACGAACAAAGUGAAAGCAUAAGCAAGAAUGUAAAGUCGGUGAGAAACAGGUACUCCCCCAAGCUUAGACUCUUGGCCUAAGUUGGUCUACUCCCAUGGAUGGUCCGGGCGAUACCCAAAAUCAUAAUGGGGGUUAUACGUGAGCGCUGCAGCCACUGCCUGAAUAGCUGCCUCACGUAGACGAGGAGCCUUUGCCUCCCUCUCAUUCUCCUCUGGUUUUGUAAUAUCUCCGUUUUACCUGAAAGUCAAAGAAGGCAGGAGCAGGAAGGGUAAUAUGGAAAACAUGAUGCCGGUUAAAUAUCAAACGGUAUAGGAGGGAUUCAUCAUCCCUCUCAAGGAACUAGUAGCGUGUUAAAGCGACGCGGUCAAGGAAAGCUGUAUGGAGAGGGGGAUCUCCUUCGCGGAUGGGUACUCCAAGAAAAAUUUCUAUGCGAGUGGCAUAGAUCCCACCAAAGAAAUUCCCUUCAUUAGCAUUAUUAUUCAGCCUCCUUGCUAUAAUAGCUCCCAUGUUGAAACUUUUAUCACCCGUUACUGCGCUCUUAAGGAUAUAAAGGUCGGGUGCGCAGAGGUGACAAUGCUCAAUCUUGCCAUUAAUGCAUCUGCCUAUGAAGAGGGCAAAAUAAUGCAAGGCAGGAAAAUGAAUGCUCCCCAUGGUAGCCUGCGUAAUAUCUCUAGUUUCUACAACAGUUGUACCAGAGAAAAAACCUCUAACCGAAGGCUUAGGAGGAUCAUUGAGACUACCCCAAAUAGGUAUCUUGAAAAUUCUAUUGAAAUCCUCUAAAUCCAUGGUAUACGAUUUUUCAUAGAGAUCAAAAAGUACAGAUGUAUCACGGCCAACUGAAAAUUUGAAUCUACGAACAAAAGAGGCAGUGAGAGCAACAUACUGUUCACAUUUAUCGGAGAUGAAUUCUUCGAGUCCGACGUUGUGAACAAGUGCAUCAAACUCAUCUUUGAAACCUGCCUCAAUCAUAAAUUCAUCAGAAGGCCAUUCACAUGGUUGUACCUGUGCGUCCCUUGGUUGGUAAGGAUCGGGCUCCCGAAUCGCAAGACGAGGACCUCUCUUGCUUGAGGAACCACCAUGAUAGUUUCUCCUGAACAUCUUCCUUUUCUGAAAUUUUCAGUGACCCAAAGGAAAAGUGAACAAGGGUCAACUAAACUUGUAGCAACUACUCCCACAAGUGCCUAGAGGCCAUAUUACGCAUCAAAACUACUUUGGACCAGCUAAAAUUAGCAUGCAAAGCUCAAGAACAUGGUCACCAAGGUAGCAAAAAUACGCGAAGUAUAAGGCACUAGAGCAAAAACUAAUUGGACCAAUGGAGGAGUCACUUACCAAGGAGUAAUUUCCCCAAAACAGUUCGGAGAAUGGUGCUUUGAGCAAAGAAAUAGAAAAUCCCAGCAAGAGGAGCAAGAACACGGGUUUGAGCUACGAAACGAUUUUUUCUGUGGGUAGGAGAACCAGAUGAGAGCACGAAUGAGUGGAGGGGGUGCACGUGGGCCCCACAAGCCAGGUAGGCGCGGCCAGGGGGGUGCCCGCGCCUCCAGGGCUUGUGGCCCAUUGGUGCAGCCCCCAGACUAGCUCUUCGUCUCAGUAUUUUUCAAAAAUUCCAAAAAAAAUCAUACUAGAUUUUCUGGAUGUUCGGAGAACUUUUAUUUUUGGGGUACUUUUCUACGGGACGCUAAGACAGAAAACAGGGAAAACUAAACUAAAUCUAUCAUUUUUCUUCUAAGCAACCUAAGGUGAAAGCUUGGAACAGAGGUUUGUGACUCCUCGAUUCAUCCAUCUCANNNNNNNNNNAGAAAUUCGUCGAUGAGGUUGAUCAAGUCUCCUUGACAAACUUUUUCGAAUCGCAAAAGAAGACGGAGAAUUUUCGAAUAGUCACUAGGUCACCUCAAUGGGGAUGUGUAUCUCCCCAACAAGCAAAUCAUACUUCAUCUUUACACGAGGAAUAGGGCAUUCAAAGCUCCCAAUAAGAAUCGAUGAAGUUUUUUCGAUAGCAUUGAUGCAAUGUACUCGAUAUUGUUUCUUCGGAAAGUGCACCGUAUGCUAAUUACCGUUGACAUGGAAAGUGACAUUGCCUUUGUUGCAAUCUAUAACAGAUCCUGCAGUGUUUAAAAAGGGUUUUCCGAGGAUGACCACCAUGACAUCGUCCUCGGGAAUAUCCAUAAUAACAAAGUCUGUUAAGAUAGUGUCGUGGGUAUAAGUCUGACAGUAGAAGUAUGGGGUACGAAAGUAUAUGGGCAGAGCCUUAGCUACGGCGAGGAUGUAUGAGUUCAGGCCCCUCUGCGGUGGAAGUAAAAUCCCUACGUCUCAGUGCUCUUGGGAGCUUUGUGUCGAGUGGAUUAUAGGAUUACAGCAAUUGCCAACCCCCGUACCAGUGGUGAAGGGCGGCUUAUAUAGAGUGCGCUGCCCUUCAUAAUGGCCCGGUGGACAUGGGUGGAAUAGUGGCGAGUAAAUGCUUACGUUACAAGUAACGUAAGCUUUAAAUGCUAAUAAUGUUGUACGAAAACGCAUGACCGUUGCCCUCCUGGGAGGUUACGAUGUACAGAGUGGAUUCCAGUCGGUACGUUAGAUAUGCUCCAAGUGAAUCGUCGCCGACUGGAUGAUGGGGGCGUCUUUAGUCCAGUCGGAGCUGUCUAAGGGCCUUGUCUUCUAUGAAGGGUAGUCAUUGGGUAGGACCUAUAGGGCAGACCUAUGACCCUACCCUGGGACAAUAACCCCAUCAUUAGUCCCCGACUGGAUCGGGGUUGGAACGAUGAAGUGAUGUCUGGAGUUUGGAACCGACUGGUAUUGAGGUGACUUUAUCGUUGUUUGCCUUGAUCCAUUUUAUCUCUUCAUCUAGUGAUCCAGGUGAAUAUGCAAGCGAAACGAACCGUGAGGGACCGACUGCUCUUGCGGAAUCUUUCGACGUGACCGGUCAUACUGACAGCGCCGGAUUUUCCGGGAUCCUCAAAUUUCGGUUGUCGCGCACUCAGCGGGGAUGACAACAUCGCCAUCGAGUAGGUUUCGGCUCCUCGAUUACCGCACCGUUAUCUUCUCCACUAAUCUUGCAGCGGCCGGUUGGGGGAUAAGAUCCCGGGCCCACCUGUAGGUGACUUAGUCGGAAGCCUAUUAAAGCUUCCCCGGCGGACUUUCCUGUUGUGCUGCUCAUCCUCCUCCCAUUAAUCUCGCUCCUCCUGCAGCUCUUUGCACACCUCAAGCCACCUCCGUCCCCUCCUCCUCUGCGGAUCCGUCGCCCUCGCCAUGACGAAGGGGCAGACCAGCAAGCUCGAGGCGCAGAAGAAGAAGAAGAAGGGGCGGCCUCCACUCAGUGGCCGCAGCGGGCGUUGCCGGCGGGCUGGAUCCAGGGGGACUUCCUCCCCUCCUCGGUGACGGAGAACGACGUGCUGGAGCUGGUGGAGCACGGCAUGGUCGCCAACAAGUCCUGGAGGCUGCCGGAAGGCAAGACGGAGCCGGCGCCGAAGGAGGGGGAGCGCAUUCUGCUGCUCAGCCACGUGGCCAGAGGUUUCUCCUUGCCUCCCAUCCUUUCUUCCGAGGUAUCAUGAAUUACUUCGGGGCGCAGCUCCUUCACUUUCCUCUGAAUGCGAUAGCUCAUCUUUCCGCAUUCGUCACCCUCUGCGUGUGCUUCAUAGGAUGUCCUCCCCACUGGGGGCUCUUUAAAUAUGUCUUCUCUGCUAGAUCCCAAACUCUUAAGAAGCUUAGCCAGUCGGAUGAUAAGACACACAUCCUCCAGCUCUGUGGGGGUUUAGGAUUCCAAAAGAAAACGAAGAGUAGCUAUCCCUCCCUUCAGCUAUCCGAGUCAGAUAAGAACUGGCAAUCGUCCUGGUUCUAUUGCCAGGACAUUGCUUGUCCGAAUGCUUCGAGUGGGUUGCCACCCUUCAGUUUAGACCGUCCGGGGCCUCCCAGGAAGCUUGCGCUCUCUAAGGGAGUAAGAACCCAGAUCCAGCCUUUGGUCGACGCGCUGAUAGCCGUCGUCCGGAGGGGAGUCACCGGCAUGGACCUACUGGAGACUUUUCUGGGUCGGCGCAUCCAGCCGCUGCAGGCCCGAGACCAUGCUAUGUGGCAUUACACGGGGCCUUCGGAUACCACUCGGUCUCAUCCUAAAGACGUGAACGAGGAGACUGUGAGUGCGUGGGUCCGCGGCAUCACAGGCACGUGUGAUAACCCCGUGGGAGCUCGGCGGGUGAAGGCCUUCCGCGCUGAAAAUCCUCCUCCGGAUGAGGUGAGUACAUGUCGUCGAGUGCUUUUAACCUUCUCAGCUUUAUUGCUUUUCUUGUCUCACUGACUGACGUUGCCGAAUGUGUUUUGUGCAGGAGUGGACGAACUGGCACUCUGCACUCUCGAAUGGGAAUCCAGUCGAGGAAGAGGAAGGCAGCAUGGAGGGCAGCGCGGAUAGCGCCGAGUACGUCUCUAACAGUGGGGAGACAGAGGAGGAGACGGAAGAGGAGGAGGAGGAGAGUGGAGAGCAGAGCUCGUCACCCUCACCACCAGAGCACCGAACCAAGCGCCGUCAUGACCCCGCUGCUCCACCGGCUCCUCCCGUGGCCCCGAGUGCGCGGAGUGUGAAGAGAACCAGGGGCUCUUCUGUCGAACCCGUGAACUAGCCAUCCAAGGUGGCUAAACCCAGCGGGUCUAAACCUCGAAAAGCCUUGCCCCGGAUGAGGAUCGCUGUUCCGGUCGCCUCAGUGUAAGUAUCUUUACUCUUCCAUCUUCCUUCAGUAUCCGAUUGAACUCUUCUUUUUGGGAACUCAUGUUUAUCCGUCGAGUGGAUUUCACUCAACAGAGCUGCUACCUCCGCCACCUCUCUGUCGCGCCAGGACGAUGAUCCCAUGGACACUGAUAACGUCACCACGUCCCAGCAAGGUACGUUGUCACAACUCCGAGAGUUGUAUUACUGUUUCGCGAAUGCUGUCUUUGAUCUUGACCUUUUUUUGUAUUUUUAUUUUGUUUAGUCGGGCUUCCUUCGGAGGUGAUCCAUCUGGACGACGACGACCAAAUGAGGUCGGAACCAGCUUUGGCGCCUGUCCCUGGGGUUAUCCAACCUGCUGCCAAUCCCGCCAUGAACGUGGCGCCGACUGAGACGGUGCCGCCGACUGAGACAGUGGCCCUCACGGCGGAACCAACUGGAGCAGAGCUCGGGAUGCCCAGGGAGCCUUCUGCCACGCCGGGUCCGUCGGUUGUUCAAUAUGAUGCCCGACGCCUCCCGGAAGAUCAAGUAGGAGCCUCCAAGGAUGCCAUGGUGCGGGUGAAGCUGAUGGUGGGCGACGCCAAGGGAGCGUAUGACUCCAUCGCGUCUCUGUACAAGAAGAGCUUGGAGCUUCGGGAUGAUAUCCGAGUAAGUGCGCUAGUAAGUGUUUACAUUCCUCUUGGUACCCACUGGGGGUUUCAGCGAGGUACUCGGAUGCAAUAGGAUUAAUUUUGCAGUGGGUUCGCUCCAAGUGAACCCAGUGGGUGUAGUCCCCGAGACUUCUGCCGAGUGCUUGCGCCGGCAGUUGUCUUUAUAUGUAUUUUCCAUAAUCUGUACAUAUCAGAGCUGAUCUGCUCGAAUGGUACCAGUGGGGGCACGCCGAGUGCACCCACUGGGUGUAGUCCCCGAGAGUAGUGUUACUCGGGUCGAGUGAUAGUAAUCUCAUAGUGUUGUUGGUUUUCUAUGGAGCUCAAUGGGACCGACCUGUUCGAGCUUCAUACCAGUGGGGUCACUCUCAGUGAACCCACUGGGUGUAGUCCCCGAGACCGUUGUCGAUUGCUUGCAUCGGCUGGGGUCUGAAGAAUCUUGAGUUUUGAUUGUUUUGUAAUAUCUGUCGAGACUUUUUUGUUGUUGAAUCUGGCUGAUCCUCCCUUUGGGUCUCUUUGGCAGAAGACUUGUGAAAUGGGAUCGGCUUAUAAUGCUCUGAAGGCUGAGAAGACCCAACUUGCUGCCGACUUGGAGGUGGCUGCGAAUGACCUGGCUGGCACGAAGGUGGCUCUCGCUGAACGAGAAAAAUCUUUGGAGGAAUCUAGGGAGGCAAACAAGGCACUGCUAGCCGAAGUAUAAAAAAUGAAGAGGGAGAGAUCCGAAUGGAUGGGCCAGCUGAAGGAAGAUGGUCGCACUGCUUGGUGGUAAGUUCUUGCCGAGUGCUUUUUGACUUUGGAGUUCACUCCGCGCUUAUUUUCUGCUUGUCUUUUCUUUGCAGAUUUCUGUCGAGACAUUGAGGCCGAAACAGCCAAAAUUGAAUGGUCGCUUGUUCCGAAUGUUCCACUCGGCGAUGAAGCUAACCGGGACAUGUUCUGAGUGCAUUCUCGCCUUAACAUGGUGGGCCCUUUCAUUGGUCGGCUGAGAAGAGUUGUCGGCCGAAUCGACAAAGAGCUGUGGCCUGAAGAUAACUCCCGGAACGAGAUAGAGGGGUUGAUGACUCGAUUGGAGGACGUGUUGGAAUUAUGCCCUAGAGGCAAUAAUAAAUGUAUAGUUAUUAUUAUAAUUCCUGUAUCAAGAUAAUAGUUUAUUAUCCAUGCUAUAAUUGUAUUGAAUGAAGACUCAUUUACAUGUGUGGAUACAGAGAAAAAACACCGUCCCUAGCAUGCCUCUAGUUGGCUAGCCAGUUGAUCGAUGAUAGUCAGUGUCUUCUGAUUAUGAACAAGGUGUUGUUGCUUGAUAACUGGAUCACGUCAUUAGGAGAAUCACGUGAUGGACUAGACCCAAACUAAUAGACGUAGCAUGUUGAUCGUGUCAUUUUGUUGCUACUGUUUUCUGCGUGUCAAGUAUUUAUUCCUAUGACCAUGAGAUCAUAUAACUCACUGACACCGGAGGAAUGCUUUGUGUGUAUCAAACGUNNNNNNNNNNNNNNNNNNNNNNNNNNNNNNNNNNNNNNNNNNNNNNNNNNNNNNNNNNNNNNNNNNNNNNNNNNNNNNNNNNNNNNNNNNNNNNNNNNNNCAUCUUGAGGAAGCCAAGAUCAUCAUCAUCUAGCUCAAGAGGAUGAGGUGCAAGGUAUAGGUUUGCCCUUGAUAGGUUUUCUGUUUAGGAUAGAUUGUUGUACUAUCAAGGGGGGCUCUCAAGUGAGUAGCUUGAUCGUAUCGUUCGUUGAGAGCUCAAACCAUUUGCAUCCUUGCAUCAUACUUCUUGGUUCUUGUUUGGUGUUUCUCUUUGUGAGUUUUAGAGCUUAUGGUCAUCUUCGUGACAAGCUCGAGUUCAUCGAAAACGGAGUCCAUAUGCAUCUACUAUGAUGUUUUCGAUGUUGGAGUUUUUUCUGGUUCUUCAUUCAUAGAGGACUCACAUAUCUAUAUCAUUGGCAUUUUUAUAUCUGCAUGGCCUUAUGAUUUCCAACAAGCUUGGGUUUGCUCGAUUAGGAGCUCGUAUGCGAAAGUUAUGACUGUUUCAGUGGCGAGCGGUAGUACCGCUGGACCUAGCGGUAGUACCGCUAGAGUUGGCGGUAGUACCACUGGCCCUAGCGGUAGUACCGCUAGAGCUGGAGGUAGUACCGCUGUCCCAGCGGUAGUACCGCCCCUGGCCAGCGGUAGUACCGCUCCAAGUUUUUAGUACCGUCAUCUUUGUGAUUGUACUCCGUCGGACAUUUUUGCGAAGACUUUCUUGGCGGUGGUUGGCCUGGUAGUAUCUUUGCGCUACCAUGGGCUCAGCGGUAGUACCGCUGCAGCCAGCGGUAGUACCGCUGGAGGGUUAGCGGUAGUACCGCUAGAGCCAGCGGUAGUACCGUUGGACUCGGGCUGUAAGUGGGGGUAACGGUCUGAUUCCUCCCCCCACUAUAUAAAGGGGGUCUUCUUCCCCCUUGGCCUCAUCCAUCCAUUGAGCUCUUGUUCUACCUCCAUUGUUGACAUUCUUAGAGCUUGCUUACUCUCAAUCCCUCCAAUGAUUCUUGCUUGUUCUUGAGGGAAAAGAGAGAGGAGAUCUAGAUCCACAUCUCCACCAAUCACUUUCUCCUCUAUGUGAGGGGAACCCCUUGGAUCUAGAUCUUGGAGUUGUUUGUGAGCUCCUUGUUCUUCCUCUCAUAUUUCUCCAUAGCUUUCGUUGUUGUGGAGGGAUUUGAUUGUGAGGGACUUGACCACUUCGUGUGUUCUUGCCAUUGCAUUGGUUGCAUCGGUUUGAGUUCUCCACGGUGAUACGUGGAAGUGAAGUUUGAGAAGCUUAUUACCUUUGGUACUUAGUACCCUAGAUAUUGUUCUUCGUGGAUGCUUUGGCGUCCUAGAAGCUUGGUGGUGUCUCGGAGCUCAAUCAUUGUGGUGUGAGGCUCCGGGCAAGCGUCGGGGUCUCCAAUUAGGUUGUGGAGAUUGCCCUGAGCAAUUUGUACGGGUACCGGUAACCGCCCCCAAGGGUUGCCAUGUGUACGGGUUCGGUGACCGCCUCCAAGGUUUGCCAUUUGUACGGGUUCGUUGGCCGCCCUCAAGGGUCCCUUAAUGGAAUCACGACAUCUUGCAUUGUGCGAGGGCGUGAGGAGACUACGGUGGCCUUAGUGGCAUCUUGGGGAGCAUUGUGCCUCCACACCGCUCCAACGGAGAUUAGCAUCCGCAAGGGUGUAAACUUCGGGAUACAUCAUCGUCUCCGCGUACCUCGGUUAUCUCUUACCCGAACCCUUUACUUAUGCACUUUACUUUGUGAUAGCCAUAUUGUCUCUUGUCAUAUAUCUUGCUAUCACUUAGUUGUUUAUCUUGCUUAGCAUAAGUUGUUGGUGCACAUAGGUGAGCCUAGUUGUUUGAGAUUUUGUGCUUGAUAUAUUAAACGUUAGUUUUAUUCCGCAUUUGUUCAAGCCUAAACCUUAAUUAUUUUAAAGCGCCUAUUCACCCCCCUCUAGGCGACAUCCACGUCCUUUCAGAGUGUGUCAUACUGCUACCUUGAGUGUGUCAUACUGCUACCUCUUAAGCUUGCGUUGGUUUUUCCCUUGAAGAGGAAAGGGUGAUGCAACACAGUAGUGAUAACCCACAAGUAUUGGGGAUCACAACCGUUUUUGAGGGUAGAGUAUUCAACCCAAAUUUAUUGAUUCGACUCAAGGGUAAGCGAAAGAAUAUUCUCAAGUAUUAGCAGUUGAGUUGUCAAUUCAACCACACCUGAAAGAUAUAGUGUCUGCAUCAAAGUAUCAGUAGCAAGGUAGGGUGAUAGCACCAGUAGCAACAGAGUAACAGCAGUAGCAACAGAGUAACAGUAGCAGCAACAAAGUAACGUAUCAAGGACCAGUAGUAAAAGACUCGUAGGCAUUGGAUCGGUGAUGGAUGAUUAUGCCGGAUGUGAUUCAUCAUGCAACAGUGAUAACACGGAGAGAUAAGUAACUAGCUCCAGUUCGUCAAUCUAAUGUAGGCAUGUAUUCCGUAUGUAGUCAUACAUGCUUAGGAAAGAAGUUGCAUGACAUCUAUUGUCCAUCGCCUCCCAUGGCAGCGGGGUCCUAAUGGAAACUACGGGAUAUUAAGGUUCUCCUUUUAAUAAAGAACCGGACCANNNNNNNNNNAAACUGGGUGAAUACAUGAACUCCUCAUACUAUGGUCAUCUCCAGGAGUGGUUCCGGCUAUUGUCACUCCGGGGUUGCCGGAUCAUAACACAUAGUAGGUGACUACAACUUGCAAGAUAGGAUCUAAAACACACAUAUAUUGGCGGCAACAUAAUAGGUUCAGAUCUGAAAUCAUGGCACUCGGGCCCUAGUGACAAGCAUUAAGCAUGGCAAAGUAGUAGCAACAUCAAUCUCAGAACAUAGUGGAUACUAGGGAUCAAUCCCCGUCAAAACUAACUCGGUUACAUGAUAGAUCUCAUCCAACCCAUCACCGUACAACAAGCCUACGAUGUGAUUACUCACGAACGGUGAAGAGCAUCAUGGAAUUGGCGAUGAAGGAAGGUUGAUGAUGACGAUGGCGACGAUUUCCCCUCUCCGGAGCCCAGAACGGACUCCAGAUCUGUCCUCCAGAUGAAGAAGAGGAGGUGGCGGCGCCUCCGUAUCGUAAAACGCGAUGAAUCCUUCUCCUUGAUUUUUUCGGGGCAAGGCGGACUAAAUAGAGCUGAGAUUGGAGGCGGUGAAGCAACGUGGGCCCCACAAGCUUGGUAGGCGUGGCCAUGGGGGUUGGCCGCGCCUCCUGGGCUUGUGGCCCACAGGCUCACCUCCUCCAGUGGAUCUUUGCACAGGUAUUUUUCAUUAAUUCCAGAAAAAUUCGACGUAAAUUUUCAGGUCAUUGUAAGAACUUUUAUUUCUACACAAAACAACACCAUGGCAAUUCUGCUGAAAACAGCAUUAGUCCGGGUUAGUUCCAUUCAAAUCAUGCAAAUUAGAGUCCAAAACAAGGGCAAAAGAGUUCGGAAAAGUAGAUACGACGGAGGCGUAUCAACUCCNNNNNNNNNNNNNNNNNNNNNNNNNNNNNNNNNNNNNNNNNNNNNNNNNNNNNNNNNNNNNNNNNNNNNNNNNNNNNNNNNNNNNNNNNNNNNNNNNNNNAAAAAAUCCGACGAACUCGAACUGCAACUAAACGUGGAUGCAACUUUUUAAUGAAUUAAAUAUAGUAAAAAUCAACAACAAUUAUAGCAAAAAUCUUAUCGAUAGUAGUAAAAAAGAUAAUAAUUACAGCAAAAAUGACGUCUCGCAGUAAAAAAAAAAAAGAUACGACGCGCGGGAUCAGACUAUGCAGGCAGGACCGGCCGACGCACCCUCCAGAAUCGUUUCCCUUAUCAAAAAUUUGUAACCAGCCACAACUUCUUUAUUUUGGGACGGAGGGAGUAAAACACACAGCGUAGAUAAGGGCGCGGCGUUCUAUUCUAUUCCUACGGGCGAGGCAUAGGCCUGACGGAGUACAGUCUCCCCUGCAAUAAUUCUAGACGUACGGACCCUUACAGACAAUUACGGACUCUUUCCUUAAAUCUCUUCGCCCCACCCCCUGAUUUCAACCGGGAUGGUCCCGCCUCACUCUCCUUGUUUACAAUCCUGUUAAGCCAACUCAGCCUGUAAUUAGUCCUUGCCCGUAAUUUCCCGUACGUGUAGCGUUACUCGUCUCCCCUGCUAGCCAGGGAAAUGUAAACUCUAUCACUGCUAAAUUUAGACGAAACUGCAAUAUUUACGUUUUCAAGUGACAUCUCUGUAAGGAGAAUUUUUAACUGAGAUUUAGUACCAAAACUAGCAAUGCGAAUUACAAAUCAAGACAGUGUUGCAAACAAUCUGGGUACGGAAUCAGUCAAACCCUGCCAAUACACAACCGCUCCAACAGUUGUAGUAGGCCUGUAAAAUUAAAACUGGAAUGCACAUCCGACAGAUCAUGUUAUGUUUGCACUCAGGUUAUUUCCAAUUUAAGCACGCAACCGAGGUUAGCAAGCUGGAGAUCGGGCCACGAGGCUAGGUCAGCAGAAGCAGGCAAUCGAUCUAGCCGACGCAUCGGCGGCAAGGUUAGCUUCCCCCCGUAUGCGAUUCCCAAAUCGCACGCGCACGCACCAACAGAUCUGAUCGGAACCAACAGGCAAGAACACAUGAUCCCCCCCGGUGAUUUUUCAAAAAGAAAACAGUCUCCCCUGCUGUCCGAAUUUCAGCCCUAAUAGAAUAGACCGAACAGUCAGCAGAACGAACACAUGGGAAGAAGAUUGAACAGCUGCAGAAAGAAAUAGCAGCCUGAACGCUUCAAGAGUCCAACCAUGUGAUCUCCGGUCCAAGUUCAUCAAUUACUAUUUUAUGGAUCUCUUGCCUAGCUCUGAAUUUUUCUUUUGCACCUACUCUAUAUAAAUCAGCCCCUUGCUUGCUCUCACUCAUCACCAGUCUUCACUCUUCACUAGAACUUGCCAGCAGCGCUAGUGUGCAGCGAGCAAGUGACCGACGGACAAGAACAAGAUGGUCGCCGGCUGUGUCAUCACCGAGCAGUGCGCCCUGGCGGUGUCGACGGAGCGACUGUGGAAGGUGGUCUUCUCCGGCGAGGACACGGCCGCCCUGCCCAAGGCCUGCGCGGGCUUCAUCGACGUUGUGGACGUGGAGGGCGACGGCGGACCGGGCAGCGUCUUCACCAUGACGCUCAGCCCGGCGGCGGCGGAGCUGUCAGGCUCGGGCGUGAUGAGGAGCUGCGUGGUGGCGCGCGACAACGCGGCCAGGAUGUUCAAGACGGAGGUGCUGGAGGGCGACAAGGUAAGUGGCCAGCUCAAGUCGCAGGUGGUCGAGAUGAAGCUCGAGGCGUCCGGGGAUGGUGCUUGCGUGGCGAAGCUCAGGGUAGAGUACGAGAGGCUGGACGGUGGCGGGGCGCUGUCGGCGGAGGACCAGGCGGCGCUCGCCGCCGGGUACCUCGACCUGCUCAAGAUGGUCGAGGCAUACCUGGUCGCCCACCCUGCCGAGUACGCCUAAUUAAACCAAAACGAGAAACAUCAGAAAUAAAUCAACUUUCCCUUCGUUCGAAAUUAUUUGUCGCAUAAAUAAAUAAAGUAAUAUGAUCAAGUAGCUUGUGUUGUUUGCCUCCUCAUCGACUUCGCGAGAAAAAUCAAUUGAUAAGCUUUAGUAUAAAUUAUUGAGGUAUAUAUGAGUGUUUAAUCCCUGUUUUAAGCUCGCAUUUCGUGUGUAAGUUGCUUCAAGCAUUGAUGGAGAUAAAUAUUUGAGCAGUUUGGUUUUGUGAUACAUGCACUUCUUUCUUAUCAGUCAAUUCAAAAUUAAAUGACGAGACAAGCCAAACGUAUAAAGGGCAAUAUCGAUCAUGUAACCAUUUUCAUAUGUGUGAUGGACCGUCGAUACCUAUACGCCAUACGUACAAGCUGGCAGAGGAUAAAAAAAAGGUAGGGCAAAUCUGACAUAAAAAGGUUCUGUCACUACAAGUAAUAGCGAUGGACCGAAAGACUAAGUUUUAUUGGGAUGUGAGACAACGAUAGAGCUUGACGUGACUUUAUAACUAAUGCAUUCAACUUUUAUAGGGAAUGCACUCAUAUUUUUGAGUCGAUGCAGUGGAACAUGUGCUUGCAAAAACCAAAUGCCAACUUAAGUGCUAAAUUGAUGGCCAACAACCCAACAGGGCGAGUUCAUACACAGGGCCUCGUUGUAUUUAUCUUAUUUUCCCAGCUAGACCAUGACUAGUUCAAAGAAAACCAUCCAGUCGAACAAGACAUAUACCUGAAUGAACGCCUUUUAGAAAAUCAAGGUGAGGCGGCCGCCCAACCUUGCCUUACCGGCUCCUCCGUCCUUAACGAGCAUACGUUCGGUUUAACCAUGUAUCGGCCCCUCACAAGAAAAAAAAAACAAAAUCUCUGGGCCAAUCCAAUCCAUAGUCGUCAUCACGACUUUGACCAGCAGCCAACAUGAGUCGUCGCCGCCCCCAGCGUCGACCCCGCUCGAGUUCACGUCGUCGUUGGGCUCAUCUACGUCGUCGCACAUGGCGCCAUCCAGCAACCCUGCUCUCACGCGGCACUGUCGUCGUCGCCCUACCCGUCAUUGGAGGUGCGAAGUACACCGUCUUUGGUGCAUUUCCCCGCAAGACGUCAUGUGAUGCACUUUCGCGCUCUUCCAAAUCGUCGACCAAGACGAGGAAGACGUCGAUGCUGAAAUUUUUGGCCAGCCCAAUAUAUAAUUUUAAAAAAUUCCUAAUAAAUCCUAGAGGCCCACGCAGCCCAUUUGUGCAAGGCAAAAUGUUGAAAUGUUUAGUCCCACAUUGCUAGUUUAGUGGGAGUCGGAUCUCCUUAUAAGGGAGGAUGUUUCCACACAUGUAUGAGCUUGAGAACAAGAGAGACAUGCACGCGUGCUCCUCCUCCUCCAUCGCCCGCCGCGCCGCGGGUUGCGGGAAUGAGCCGAACUAAAUUUUUGCCAUGCACGACUGGUAUACGAAAGGUCACUCGGAGAAGCUGAACUCUUCGGCUGUUGUGUGUUCGUUUUGUCUCCGUCGCUGGCCUCUCGCCUCCUUCUCUCGCGUCUAUAAAAGAGAGGUCGCUCCUCUCCAGAGAAGACGCAUCAGAACUUCCUCUCGCCACCGGUUCCUUUCUCUAUGAUGCUGCUACGUUCUUCCCCAUCCCGUCUUGCGACGUGGGAUACGUCUCCGUCGUAUCUACUUUUCCGAACACUUUUGCCCUUGUUUUGGACUCUAAUUUGCAUGAUUUGAAUGGAACUANNNNNNNNNNCGUUGUUUUCAGCAGAAUUGCCAUGGUGUUGUUUUUGUGCGGAAAUAAAAGUUCUCGGAAUGACCUGGAAAUUUACGAAGAAUUUUUCUGGAAUUAAUGAAAAAUACCUGCGCAAAGAUCCACCGGAGGGGGUGAGCCAGUGGGCCACAAGCCCAGACGGCGCGACCACCCCCAAGGCCGCACCAACCAGGCUUGUGGGGCCCACAGGACUCCACCGCCUCCAAACUCAGCUCCAUAUAUUCUGUUUCGCCCGGAAAAAAAUUAGAGAGAAGGAUUCAUCGCGUUUUACGAUAAGGAGGCGCCGCCACCUCCUGUUCUUCAUCUGGAGGGCAGAUCUGGAGUCCGUUCUGGGCUCUGGAGAGGGGAAAUCGUUGCCAUCAUCAUCAUCAACCUUCCUCCAUCGCCAAUUCCAUGAUGCUCUUCACCGUUGGCUUGCUGGACGGUGAUGAGUUGGAUGAGAUCUAUCAUGUAAUCGAGUUAGUUUUGACGGGGAUUGAUCCCUAGUAUCCACUAUGUUCUGAGAUUGAUGUUGCUACUACUUUGCCAUGCUUAAUGCUUGUCACUAGGGCCCGAGUGCCAUGAUUUCAGAUUUGAACCUAUUAUUUUGUCGCCAAUAUACGUGUGUUUUAGAUCCUAUCUUGCAAGCUGUAGUCACCUACUAUGUGUUAUGACCCAGCAACCCCGGAGUGACAAUAGCCGGAACCACUCCCGGAGAUGACCAUAGUAUGAGGAGUUCAUGUAUUCACCAAGUAUUAAUGCGUUGGUCCGGUUCUUUAUUAAAAUGAGAACCUUAAUAUCCCGUAGUUUCCAUUAGGACCCUGCUGCCACGGGAGGGAUGGACAAUAGAUGUCAUGCAAGUUCUUUUUCCUAAGCACGUAUGACUACAUACGGAAUACAUGCCUACAUUAGAUUGACGAACGGGAGCUAGUUACUUAUCUCUCCGUGUUAUAGCUGUUACAUGAUGAAUCACAUCCGGCAUAAUCAUCCAUCACCGAUCCAAUGCCUACGAGUCUUUUACUACUGGUCCUUGCUAUGUUACUUUGUCACUACUGUUGUUUCUUGCUGCUGCUGUCACUACUGCUGUUACUUGUUACUUUGCUGUUACCUGCUGCAAUACUAUUUACUGGCGCCAUUGAUACAACAAGUUACGAAUAGUCUGCCGUCAACAGACCUGUUUCUGGCACCGUUGCUAUCAUACCACUUUGCUACUGAUACUUUGCCUGCAGACACUAAUCUUUCAGGUGUGGUUGAAUUGACAACUCAGCUGCUNNNNNNNNNNNNNNNNNNNNNNNNNNNNNNNNNNNNNNNNNNNNNNNNNNNNNNNNNNNNNNNNNNNNNNNNNNNNNNNNNNNNNNNNNNNNNNNNNNNNUACCAUGGGAUCACUUGAUCCCUCUCGGUACAUCUUGUACGCUUUGUGUGUUGAUCAUCUUGAUUUACUCUUUGUCUGAGAUCUUGAUCAACCAUGUGUCUCUAUGACCAUUCUUUGGAUAAUACCUUGAAUACCAUCUUGGUCAUCAUAUAAACUCCUUGAACCCAACAGAUGGACUUCAAGAAGUGCCUAUGGACAAAUCCUAUAAAUGUAACUUAAGGCAACCAUUAGUCCAUAUGAGUUGUCAUCAAUUACCAAAACCACAUAUGGAGAUAUAUGCUCUAACACACUCAAGGAGAAAGGUUUCAAGCCUGGCUCACUCGAUCCUACUCUUCUUAAUAAAUCAUAUGAAGGUGAACUGUUUGUAUGUCAAAUCUAUCUUGAUGACAUUAUCUUCAGCUAUACUAACAACCGAUAUAGUGAUGAGUUCAAAGGGCUUGAAGUUUGAUCUCAUUGGUUAUUCAAAUUCAUAUUUUGCUGGUGAUAGAGUUGAUCGCAAGUCUACAUGAGGCACAUGUCAAUUUUUGGGUCGAUCUCCUGUAUGUUGGUCUUCGAAGAAGCAAAACUACGUCUCACUCUCCACUGCUAAAGCUGAAUACAUUGCUGUUGGCGCGUGUUGUACACAACUUCUAUGGAUCAAGCAAACUCUCAAGGACUAUGGCAUCAACGAUAAGAAAGUACCACUCUACUACAAUAAUGGGAGUGCUAUCAAGAUUGCCUACAACACUCGGAGACAAAGUACAUUCACACACGACAUCAUUCUCUUCGUGACCUUGUGUUGAAGGGAGACAUCAUCAUCGAACUUCUGAAGUGAGAGGAGCAAUUGGUUGAUAUCUUCACGAAGCCUUUGCAUGAGAGGAGUGUCAGUUAUGAAUCUGGCAUAUCUCGUAGUAGUGUCCCUAAGCUAGGCCUCUUGGAGCGAUGGUAGCAUGGACACAUGAUUUACAUAGGUUCGGGCUCCCUCGUACAGAUAAUACCCUACGUACUGCUUUCGAUUAUAUUGAUAUGGGGAUAGUACAUAGUACAUUUAUCUACCACGAGAUUGUUGUAAUGAAUAUGAGAUCAUCUACUGACUAGCCUGGCUUCGGUUUAUAUAAUUUAACAGAGGCCUAGGGUCUAGAGAGUCCUUGUCUUGUGCGCCAAGUCUUGUGGAAUCUCCCUUGUAUGCAUCAUGUGCUUCCCAAAGAGGACCAUUAGUGAACUGUCGUGGGGGUCCUCGGCCCGACCUACCGGGAGACGACGUGGUGUGUACUAACUAGUCCAGGACUCCGUUAGUAGCCCCCUGAACCAGUUUUCAAAUAGGGGACGCUCCUCAGUUCUUCCGAACAAUUCUUCGUCUUCGCCUGUCGGUCUUUGAAAGGCGGUUCAAUAGAUCUUCCCAUCUCCGAUCUUGAGGAUUGAUGACCUGUAUCCGAAGAGUUUACAUGUCGGGUAUCCGAGGAGUUCGCACAUCGAGCGUCCGAGGAGUUCAAGCGUCGAGCGUCCGAGGAGUUCAAGCGUCGAGCGUCCGAGGAGCCCUUUUUAUUUCUUGGGCUUUAUAAAUGCCUUGUUAUUUUUACACCACAUUUCAGGUCUCAAUGUUUUCCCCAUGCAGUGGUGUCCUCUUGCAUCUGAGCUUCACUGAUGGACUACAUCUGAGGUGUCAUUUUUGGCAGCCAAGCUCUAACUCUGGUCGACACCCGAGGGAUCAUAGAUUACCUUGAUCUUGAAAAAGUUCAAGGAGUUCAGUUGAUCUUAAUGCUGGAAACGUCAUCUACGGAACCAGCCACUCACAUUCAUGCUUUAUGCUAGACUGAUUCCGAGAUCAUCAAGGAGUGAAUAUCUGAUUUUUGUAACAUCCUUUAUGGAACCACCUCGGCCUUCGCUAUGUUUUGCAGAGUUUUUUUCGAUCGGGGCAAUUUAUUCAAUAUCGAGAUGUAUAGCCAGUAACCCCCGAGUCACUGUUUGGGAGGUAACACGUGAUCAGGGGAUCAAUGUACCCCUUUAAUUGAGAAGAGAAAAUCCCAAUUAAAUGUUGGGUACUCUAAUGAUUCUAUGUAUUCAAGUACUUUACAUCAUUAACGCUCAGAUCUGUAUUGUACAAACUUUGUUGACCGACCAUCAGCUUCAACCUCCUCGACCAAUAGCCGGGGAAUGUUUUCGUACUUUAUAAAUCCUUUAUGAGGGCAAAAGUUUAUGGAAAACAAGGUAAUCUGGUCAUACAUUUUUAUAAACAAAGGUACACCAAGAGAUAUGUUAUAUUAGUUUUUAACAUAAGAAACAUGUUGUGGGAAAAUAGUUCAUUUAUAAGUUCUUUUCUCUAGGCUAUCAUGUUGACUGUGAGCAUGAAAUCUCACCUUCGAUCAAUGUGGGAGGAAAGUAUGUGACCAUGCUGAGGUGCCUCAAGGAUCCCUUGGUAUGUGAUACGUCUCCAACGUAUCUAUAAUUUUUGAAGGUUCAAUGCUAUUAUCUUGUCAACUUCGGAUGUUUUAUAUGCAUAAAUAUGCUAUUUUAUAUCUUUUUGGGACUAACCUAUUAACUCGGUGUCAAGUGCCAGUUUCUGGUUUUUUUCGUGUUUUUGGCCCAUUUUCACAUGGAGUCCAAAUGGAAUGAAACUUUACGAUGAUUUUUUUGGACCAAAAGAGACCCCCGAAGCUUUGGGAGAAGGCCAGAUGGGCCACGAGGGAGUCACAAGCCCUCACGCCGCCACCCCCCACCCCCGAUGGUGGCGAGCACGCUUGUGACCUCCUCAUGGGCCCAACUGACGCAAUUCCACCGCCAUAAAUUCCUAUAAAUUCAGAAACCCCCAAAAAGAAACCUAGAUCGGGAGUUCCGCCACGGCAAGCCUCUGUAGCCACCAAAAACCAAUCUGGAGCCCGUUUUGGCACCCUGCCGGAGGGGGAAUCCAUCUCCGGUGGCCAUCUUCAUCAUCCCGGCGAUCUCCAUGACGAGGAGGGAGUAGUUCUCCCUCGGGGCUUAGGGUAUGUACCAGUAGCUAUGUGUUUGAUCUCUCUCUCUCUCUCUUGUGUUCUUGAGAUGUCUUGAUCUCGAUGUACCAUGGGCUUUGCUACUAUAGUUGGAUCUUAUGGUGUUCUUCCCCCUCUCCCUCUUGUAAUGAAUUGAGUUUCCCCUUUGGAGUUAUCUUAUCGGAUUGAGUCUUUGAGAACACUUGAUGUAUGUCUUGCAAGUGUCUAUCUGCUGUGAUCACCUUGCGGGUUUGUGAAAAUUGGGAACCUAUGCAUAUGUUGGCACACGUGGAUUCAUGUGAGUACUUGAUGUAUGUUUUGGUGAUCAACUUGCAGGUUCGUGACAUUGGGAAUCUAUGCACAGGGGUUGGCACACGUUUUGACUCUCUAGUAGAAACUUUGGGGCACUCUUUGAAGUUCUAUGUGUUGGUUGAAUAGAUGAUUUUGAGAUUAUGUGAUGCAUAUCGUAUAAUCAUGCCCACGGAUACUUGAGGUGACAAUGGAGUAUCUAAGUGACAUUUGGGUCUUGGUUGAUAUGUAUCUUAAGGUGUUAUUCUAGUACGAACUCUUGAAUAGAUCGAUGAGAAAGAAUAAAUUUUUGGUGGUUUCGUACCCGAAAAUAAUCUCUUCGUUUGUUCCCCGCUAUUAGUGACUUUGGAGUGACUCUUUGUUGCAUGUUGAGGGCUAGUUAUAUGAUCCAAUUAUGUUAUCAUUGUUGAGAGAACUUCACUAGUGAUAGUAUGAACCCUAGGCCUUGUUUCCACGCAUUGCAAUACCGUUCGUGCUCACUUUUACCAUUUGUUACCUUGCUGUUUUUGUAAUUUCAGAUUACAAAAACCUAUAUCUACCAUCCAUAUUGCACUUGUAUCACCAUCUCUUCGCUGAACUAGUGCACCUAUACAAUUUACCAUUGUAUUGGGUGUGUUGGGGACACAAGAGACUCUUUGUUAUUUGGUUGCAGGGUUGCUUGAGAGAGACCAUCNNNNNNNNNNAUAUAUCUACCAUCCAUAUUGCACUUGUGUCACCAUAUCUUUGCCGAACUAGUGCACUUAUACAAUUUACCAUUGUAUUGGGUGUAUUGGGGACAAAAGAGACUCUUUGUUAUUUGGUUGCAGGGUUGCUUGAGAGAGACCAUCUUCAUCCUACGCCUCCUGCGGAUUGAUAAACUUUAGGUCACCCACUUGAGGGAAAAUUGCUACUGUCCUACAAACCUCUGCACUUGGAGGCCCAACAACGUCUACAAGGAGAAGGUUGCGUAGUAGACAUCAAGCUCUUUUCUGGCUCCGUUGCCGGGGAGGCUAGGUAAGCGGCACUAACAUCCCGUCAAUGAAGCUCUUUUCUGGCGCCGUUGCCGGGGAAGCUAGGUAAGCGGCACUAACCUCCCGUCAACGAAGCUCUUUUCUGGCGCCGUUGCCGGGGAGGUUAGAGCUUGAAGGUAUAUCUAUAGAUCUUGCAAUCGAAUCUUUUUGUUUCUUGUUCUUUCGCUGAAAAUUACAAAACAUGGAAUUGAGGAUGCCUCAUAUGCUCCAUCUUUUCAAUGUCUUUCGUGAGCAUGAUGGGAAGGAAAAUUGUGCUCAAGUGCUGAAAGAAGAAUUACAUAGAAUGCUUGGCAUAGAAUAUGUGAAUGAUGAGCAAGAUUGCAAUGUUGUUAGCAUGAAUUCUAUGAAUACCCAUGAUGCUAAUGAUAUGCAAAGCCACAAGCUUGGGGAUGCUAUAUUUGAUGAAGACGAUCUUUUUAGUUCUUCCACUUUGAAUGAUCAAAAUUAUUUUGAUGAAAGCAUGCCCCCUAUCUAUGAUGAUUAUUGUGAGGAUACUUAUGCUUUGAAGAAGAGGGAUGAUAAAACUUGUCAUACUCUCGAGAACCCCUUUGCUAAACCUUGCUUUUUCAUUGUGGACAUAAUUUGUAGUGCUCAAGUCUUUUACGAUACUCCCACCACUAUUCUUGAGAAUAGAUUUCCUUAUGUGGAGAGUAGUAAAAUUUCUAUGAUUGUAGAUCAUGAAAAGAAUGCUUUAGGUGCUGGUUAUAUUGUUGAAUUCAUUCAUGAUGCUACUGAAAAUUACUAUGAGAGAGGAUCAUAUGCUUCUACUUAUUGCAAUAGUAUCAAGCUUCCUCUCCAUAUGUUGAAAUUUUUGAAGCUAUGCUUGUUUUGCCUUCCUAUGCUAGUUGAUUCUUGCUCCAAUAAAUUGUUUGAUCACAAAAUCCCUAUGCAUAGGAAGUGGGUUAGACUUAAAUGUGCUAGCCAUUUGAUCCAUGAUGCUCUCGUUGUGUUUCAAUCCUUACCUUUUAUGUGAGCAUCAUUGAAAUCAAUGCCUAGCUAAGGGUUUUAAACGAUAGCGCUUGUUGGGAGGCAACCCAAUGAAUAAAUUUUUCUUUGCUUUUUGCUUCCUGUUUUGUUUUCUCCACACCAUCAUAAUUCUGUUAUGAUUGUGUCUUUUGUGUUUUUGCCAAGCAAAACCGUUAUGAUUAGUCUUGGGGAUGAUCGUUUGGUCAUGCUGGAAAAGACAGAAACUUUCUACUCACGAAAAGAAUUUUAUUUUUUUUCUGUAAAAGCUUUUAAGUUGAUUCUUUUUGCUUCUGAUUGCUACACAAAUACUUGAGACUGUCGGAAGUUUUCUGAAUUGUUGAAGUACCAGAGGUAUACGAAAUAUACAGAUUUCUACAGAGUGGUCUGCUGUUAACAGAUUCUGUUUUUGUUGUGUUGGUUGCUUAUUUUGAUGAAACUAUGGAUAGUAUCGGAGGGUACUAGCCAUGGAAAAGUGAAAAUACAGCAACCCAACACCAACAUAAGUAGAAUUUAAGUUUGCUAUAGUACCUAAGGAAGUGGUGAUUUUCUUUCUUAUACUAAUGAUAUCACGAGUUUCUGUUUAAGUUUCGUGUUGUGAAGUUUUCAAGUUUUGGGUGAAGUUCUUAUGGACAAAGAGAUAAAGAGUGGCAAUCAAGCUUGGGGAUUCCCAAGGCACCCCAAGAGAUUCAAGGAUGCCUUAAAAGCCUAAGCUUGGGGAUGCCCCGGGAAGGCAUCCCCUCUCUCGUCUUCAAUCCAUCGGUAACGUUACUUGGGGCUAUAUUUUUAUUCACCACAUGUUAUGUGUCUUUGCUUGGAGCAUCUUGUAUCGUAGGAGUCUUUUAUUUUUGUUGUGUCACAAUCAUCCUUUCUGCACACCUAGAGAGAGAGACAUGCACUCACCAUGAUUUUGUCGAGCUUCACUUAUAUCCUUUGGUAGACAAUUCAGCUCACAUGUGCUUCACUUAUAUCUUUUGAGCUAGAUACUUUUGCUCUAUGUGCUUCACUUAUAUCUUUUAGAGCGCAGUGGUGCGUAGCUUGGUAGUUGAUCUAUGCUUUGAAAGUAGUCUCAAAAUGGGUAGUUAUCCAAAGGGAUACGAAAACUUCCACCUUCAUGUGCAUUGAAUAGUUAGAGAAGUUUGGUUCAUCUCAAUUAGUUUUGAGUUGUGGUUUUGGUAAUAUUGAAGUCAUGCUAGUAAGGUGUUGUGGAUCUAGAAAUACUUGUGUUGAAGUUAGUGAUUCCCGUAGCAUGCACGUAUGGUGAACCGCUACGUGAUGAAGUCUAAGCAUGAUUAGUCUUUUGAUUGUCAUCCUUUGCGUGGCGGUCGGGAUCGCGCGAUGGUUUAUACCUACCAACCCUUCCCCUAGGAGUAUGCGUUGAAUGCUUUGUUUCGAUUACUAAUAAAACUUUUGCAACAAGUAUAUGAGUUCUUCUUGACUAAUGUUGAGUCCAUGGUUUAGAUCCACUUUCACCUUCCACCAUCACUAUCUUCUUAGUGCCGUGCAACUUUCGCCGGUGCAUAAAACCCACCAUUAGCCUCCCUCAAAACAGCCACCAUACCUACCUACUAUGGCUUUUUCAAAGUCAUUCCAAGAUAUAUUUCCAUGCAACUACCACCAUGACAUGUGCCAUCACGUCUACAUUGCUAUUGCAUGAUCAUAAGAUAGCUAGCAUGAUGUUUCCAUUAAUGUCUAUGCCAUGCUAGAUCAUUGUCACGGUACACUACCGAAGGCAUUCCAUAUAGAGUCAUCAUUGCUCUAAGUUUUGAGUUGUAAGUGUGAUGAUCAUCAUUGAUGGAGCAUUGUACCAUGUGAGGAAAUAAAAGAGGCCGGCGAUACCCAUAUACAAAAAAGAGGCCAAAGAUUCCCACCAAAAAAAAGAGGCCAAAGAGCCCACCAAAAAAAAUGAGAGAAAAAGAGUGAAGGGACAAUGCUACUAUCUCCUUUCCACACUUGUGCAUAGUAAGCACCAUGAUCUUCAUGAUUGAGAGUCUCUCAUUUUGUCACCAUCAUAUAGCUAGUGGGAAAUUUUCAUUAUAUAACUUGGCUUGUAUAUUCCAAUGAUAGGCUUCCUCAAAAUUGCCUUAGGUCUUCGUGAGCAAGCAUGUUGGAUGCACACCCACUAGUUUUCCUUAAGAGCUUUCACAUACUCUUAGCUCUAGUGCAUCAUUUGUAUGGCAAUCCCUACUCAUUCACAUUGAUAUCUAUUGAUGAGCAUCUCCACAGCUCAUUGAUAUGCCUAGUUAAUGUGACCAUCUUCUCCUUUUUUUGUCUUGCAACCUCCACCACACUCCACACCAUCUAUAGUGCUAUAACCAUGGCUCACGCUCAUGUAUUGCGUGAGAGUUGAAAAGGUUUGAGAAAGUAAAGGUGUGAAACAAUUACUUGGCCAAUACCGGGGUUGUGCAUGAUUAAAUUCGUUGUGCAAUGAUGAUAGAGCAUAGCCUGACUAUAUGCUUUUGUAGGGAUAACUUUCUUUUGGCCUUGUUAUUUUGAAAGUUCAUGAUUACCUUGCUAGUUUGCUUGAAUUAUUAUUGUUUCCACGUCAAUAGCAAACUAUUGUUUUAAAUCUAACGGAUCUGAACAUUCAUUUCACGUGAGAGAAGUUACAAAAGACAACUAUGCUAGGUAGCAUGCAAAAUCAAAAAUUCAUUCUUUAUCACUUCCAUGCUAUUAUCUUGUCAACUUUGGAUGUUUUAUAUGCAUGAAUAUGCUAUUUUAUAUCUUUUUUGGGACUAACCUAUUAACUCAGUGCCAAGUGCGAGUUUCUGUUUUUUUCGUGUUUUUGGCCCAUUUUCCGACGGAGUCCAAAUGGAAUGAAACUUUACGAUGAUUUUUUUGGGACCAAAAGAGACCCCCGAAGCUUUGGGAGAAGGCUAGAUGGGCCACGAGGGAGUCACAAGCCCUCACGCCGCCACCCCCCCCCCCCCCNNNNNNNNNNCGCGAAUUGAUAAACCUUAGGUCACCCACUUGAGGGAAAAUUGCUACUGUCCUACAAACCUGUGCACUUGGAGGCCCAACAACGUCUACAAGGAGAAGGUUGCGUAGUAGACAUCAUUAUGGUUUACUUUGACUCCAUUGCGACUACUUAUAAUCUGAAAGUGACCCAUCACCAACUUCCACCCCUUUGUAGAUGCUACGCAGGGUGUUUUCAUACUAUCAAGACAACCCUUAGCCGACGUCUCGGUGCUCGGAGGCUGUUGUGUUAGUGGAAACAAGGAAAUCAGAAAUUCGGGAUUUAUAACUUCACUUUGUCAUGGGAGCUUAUGUUCGGGGGCAAAUUAAUAGCCUCCGGUAUAUGUCGACUCCUCAGAUCAUUUGAGGUCGAACCACCAACAACUUGGCCUUCUCAAGGAAGAGAGGCCCUUCAUUUUACUCGGAUAACCUUGAUGAACUAUAUUUGGUGUAACACCGCGUGUAGUUUCCUAACUGAUGUAUGCAUGUUGUGAUAGUCAAAUUUCGGCUUUCUCCAAGUGAGGCACUUAAUCGAAGUGGUUCUCCCUUUACCUCCUUGGCCGAACUAAGCGGAAACGUAAGGGGUAAGCACAGGAGAUGAGCAAUCCAGCUAUUAACUAAAGACACAACUUGAAAUCAAUGCAUAUAAGUGCAAAAUACUGAGGAUGUUUUGCUGGGGACUUCAUGGAGUACUUUGGCUUUUGGUGGGUUCGGCUCUAGUCGCAGCCCCCUGUUAAAAUAGCCGAUAAUUUUAAGGCAUUUGGCGUUGUAUUGCGAUAGUUAUGCUUGGAAAAACCAAAAAAAUUGUGUAAAAAAUCUAUGUCUAAAUAGAAUCAAGUUUGUUGGUGCAAAUACGAAUUUGGUCUUAAAAAAAUAUGAGCUUCCGUUGUGCUUUGUCAUGACUCAUCCGAUCUCUAGACUUCAAGCGGGUCAGCCUUCGGCUUCAACCUCCCUUCCCAAAGGCGAAGUGCUUCUGAGGCCAGUUUAGCAAACUAAACUUGAUCGGCUCUAGAGAGAAAUCAGGUUGUCUCACUAUUUGACCAUAGGCUCGAGUCGAAAAAGGAGUAGCACAGAAAGACUUUGCAACGACUAGGAAGAGAACACUUUAAAAUAAGGCACAUAAAAGUUUGUGAUCCCUAGUUAACUUGAGGAGAGAAAGUUGUUUUUAAUAAACUACAUUUUUAACAAACAAUAUUUUUGUUUUAAAAUAUAAUGCUUGGUUGAACCAAGCAAAAAAAUUGAAAAAUUGAAAAACUGAAAAUAAUUGAGCAUGAAAGCAACUUAGCUGAUUAAUGUGUUCGGUGAUGAUGAUGUGGUCCGAGUUUGCGGGGGUCGAGGUCCUGCCCCCCAAGCCGGUCCCGAGGUGCCCGAGCGAAGAGCUCGACUUGAUGAAGUAACAACACAAUGCUACCGAAGUGGCAGUGAAGCCCCCUUCCAGCACAGGUGAUGCGCCAGGUUGACAAUAUAACUUUGGCUGACGAAGGCGAGGCGACAACGUGAGCAUGCCGAGGUGACCGCGUGACGCAGCCGAAGUUGAUUACCUACACUCAUGAAGUAGGACAAGCUAAAUAAUAAUAAGAAAAUAAAUAAAAAUUAUUUGUAGAAUUAUUUAUGUGAAAUAAAUUAUUUAGAAGAGAUGUGGCUUGGCGCGAUGCCGAUGUUGACACACACGGUCGGCACAACGAGGUAUAAAAUCCGAAUUCGAUGGGUCAUCGAAAUUUGUGCUAGGGUGACUACAGAAAUUGGUCCAUGGAGGUGGGGCAACGACGUCGGUACACCAGGGUGACAAUGAUAUCCGGUCUAAAUCCUUUAUCUGCACAUCUCAAAUAAUGCAAGCCAGAGAUAAUAAUAAUAUUUUUUACGUAAUAUUACACAGAGUAUGAAUAAUAAAACAAACAUGGCUUCCGUGUAGCAUAAGUAGAAUCAAGAACACUGUGAUGUCGAUGCAGAUAAGAGUCCGUUGGUUCAGCAGAAAUAACUUGGUUGAUGUCAUGUAGCUUGACAACUCGUGCCUGCUACCGUGGGGCGAAAGAUACUCUACCGAAUCACAACAACGAAGCUGGUUUCCCGAGGUGUCAGAUUAAAAUUGUGUCGACUGACGCAGGAGAGUUCGCAGCGAUCUCAGGUUAAUAAACACAAGCAAAGGAUGAGAGGCAUAGUUUAUCCAUAAGAUCUCGUAAUGUGUGCUGCAACCUAGCAUUCAAUUAACCUAAAUAAUAACGCCCACAUGUGCGGCACGAGGCAACAUGGUCCACACGCCUCUAUAAUCAUUCAUCUUGCCACAUCAAACAUAUGACAUCAGCGAAACCUUUUUGGACUUUUAGAUUUAAAAAUGUUUAAUCUCUUAAAUAAAAACCCCAAUUAAAAAUUUAUUUACACCAUUAAAUCCGUCUCGACGAGAUCUUUAAAACUAGAUACCAUAUUGAUAUGUUUCGACGAUAUUUUUUGGGGGCUACAAGUUGCCACAUGUUUACACUAAAGUUGCCAUAGGGUUUACAAUAAAGUUGCCACGACAUGUUUCAUCUUGUUUUUUCUUCUAGAUUUAAAGCUACCAUUGUAUUUGAACUACUUUUCAUGGUCUUUUUUAUUAAUUCGUCAUGACAAAUUUUAGUAAUUAACCAUGACAAAUUUAAUUCAUGAAUCAUGGAAACUUUUGGUAAUUCAUCAUGUCAAAUUGAGUCUAUAGAUCAUGGCAAUUCUAGUAUUUUGAACACGAAAAACAUUUUUUGUAUGAAUCAUGGCAAAUUUUAGUGCAUGUAUCAUGGAAAAUUUAAGUAAUUCAGCAUGGCAGUUUUAGUUUAUUGUUAAUGGCAAAUUUGAGUCAAUGACCAUGCAUUUUUAAAAUAACUAGCGACAUUUAUUUUUUACUUAUGAACCAUGUCAAAAUUAUUUCAUGGAUCAUGGAAAAUUUAGUAAUUCAUCAUAGCAAGUUUAGUUUGUCAAUUUCCUUUUUUAUAACAUGUAAAAGUUUAUUUUGAACAUAGAAGAAAAAGUAGUUAAAAUAUAUCAUGGCAACUUCAGCGUAAUCAUGAUGGCAAUUUUUGUGCAAUAGAAAUGGCAACUUUUAACCCCAAAAAUGUCGUCAAAAUAUAUCAAUACGAGAUCUAAUUCCAAGAUCUCGUUGCGGCGGAUUUAAUGGUGAAAACGGUUUUCCAAUUGAAUUUUUUAUUUAAGAGAUAAAACAUUUUACAAACUAAAAAGGCAAAAGAUUCUUGUUGACAUCAUCAGUUUCGUCACUUGUGCAUGCAUGCGGUGAUGUAUCACAACCUCUCAUCAUUGAGAGUGUGGGCUCUUGUUACUCCUAUCACACAUGUGGGCGUUAUCGCCACCCUUAAUUGAUGCAUUAGUACUCGUCUACGCUUGCAUCAACAGAAAUUAAUGGCCUCACAUCGACAAUCUUGAUAAUUCAGAAAAAAUAAAGGAGAAAAAGGAAAGAAUAUCCCUGAUGUGUGCUCUCAUCGAUCCGAGUUCCUCCCAUCACACUGCUUAACUACUCCGCAUGGUCUCCUCGGCUGGAUCGCCCAUCGGCUGUAUUGCAAAGUCCGAACAGCGGGCACCACCGUUGUUGAACUUUUUUUGAUCCGAUCAUACUACAAACAACAUAGCACGAUACGGCAGCAACGGUUCUGCAAAAGAAAUAAUUUAUGUGGAAUAGACCUAAUUGAAAAAGCAUCACUUGAUUAUCCCAUCGAACCAUGACGAUCACCCAACAUGCUCUCAAUGAAAACACCAAUAUCGGUUAUCAAUCUGGCAUAUCUUGUAGUAGGGGACCUCAGCUAGGCGUCUUGGAGCGAUGAUAACAUGGAAACAUGAUUUUACCCAGGUUCAGGCCCCCUCGAGGAUAUAAUACCCUGCAUCCUGCUUUUGAUUAUAUUGAUAUGGGGAUAGUACAUAGUACACGUAUCUACCACGAGAUUGUUGUAAUGAAUGUGAGAUCAUCUAUGGACUAGCCUGGCCUCAGUUUAUAUAACGUACUACGUGCCUAGGGUUUAGAAGAGUUCUUGUCUUGUGCGCCAAGUGUUGUGGAAUCUCCCUUGCAUGCAUCAUGUGCUGCCCGAAGUGGUCCAUUAGCAAACCGCUAGCCUUAACAUACAAACCAUACCUUCUACAUGAUGAUGUGCUUUCUCGUCCUAGCUACUCCCGUUGCUAAGUUUUUUGCUCUCCGAAAAGUCUUGAUUUAUUUAUGUGAAAGAAGGAAUGGGACUUCAUCGGGUAUAGCAUCAACAUGGUUUUGAUCAUCUAGAAACCUCACAAAAAACCAUACUACACGAGAUUUAUCUAAUUUCACAUUGAAAUGAGAAUCCGAGUAGAAUCGAGUCUCGAGUCUUAGCCUACGGUAGCAGCCACCCAUGGUUAAGAAUUGCUUUGCCGUUUCCCAACCCUGAAACAAAUAAAUCUCCUCAAGCGUAUUCUUCCCGAAGCACCUUUUCCUUGUUUCAUCCUUUCUCUUCUAAUGUUGAAGCAGCACUCUUUUUUGCAUAGUUAUGGUCGAACACGUAGGGCUCUUCCUUUGAACCAAACAUCACUGCAAUUAUCUUCCAAUGCCUAUCCAAUAUUUCUUGCUGAUAUUCAGCUUGCCCAAUAUCUUCAUCAUCAUCACUCACCGUGUCAACUGCCCACUAGGAGCACUGCCAACCUCCUAUGCAAAAUUAGAAAUAAACAUAUGUAAGUUGUUGUCACUCGGUUGUUAUAUCAUUCCCUGCCAUACAAAUUAUUCACUAUACUUGGCUCGCGUCAUCAACAUAAGAUUCGUCGAGAUCGUUCUGCCCAUUGUCAACAUCAACGUCUACGUGUAGAGCUUUAAAAGUAAGACAUGUAAGUUCCGAGUUGCUUGUUAAAAAAACUAUCAACAAAUGCGUCACUUACAUUAGCACUCUCGGCUUUGGCCUCACUGAUAUGGGUGUCUUCGGGAGGUAGGUUUUCAUAUGACAUCCAAGAUUAAUUCUAACUAGUAGAUUCAUAGCCAGCAUAUCCGAUUUGAUGCUCCAUCCAAACACCUUCAAAUGGAGUCCCGGAGCAAUCUAAACACCGCACAACAAUAUCAGUGACAUAUUCCAUUCAAAUACAAAAUCGAUGAUGUCCUAUGAGGAACAAAAUAAUAUGUCCAAAAGCAAAUUUUAUGUUAGAAACCACUGUUAAGAUGAUUUUUUCGGCACCAUAUCAAUGUGCGCAAAGGGACCACCAAAUGGUUAAGUUAUAUAAACAAAGUAGUGGUUUUUUUGGCACCAUUACAAUAUGCACAAAAAACAGGGGUGCCAAGAUCAAACCUUCUGUUGAUUAAGUUCCAACGUAGGCCGGGGGUCGAUUGUUAGAAAUAUGAGCAAUUUACCAUAGGAUUUUAUUAAAAGAAAAGCUAGGAUAAACAUGACCAUCAUAAUAAAGAUGAAAGAAGAAAAUGCAAAAUAGAGAUGAGAUGACAAAAGACAUGUGCACAUAUGAUCUAGAAAAGAACAUAUGUGUAACCAUUCUAUAUACACAAGGUAUCAUAUGGAGUGAUGAGCAGAAACGGAACAUAUCUAGAAGUGAAACUAUAGUAAGAAGUUGCGGUAGGAACUCAAAGAAAAAGAACAUGAGUACAUACUAAGUUGUAGCAGCAGUAGGGUUGGUGUUGGCGUUGGGCAUGUUACCGAAGAGGUGGUCGACGUCGGGGAAGCAGUCGUCGUCCGGGAAGAGAUUGUCGGUGUCCGUGAUGGAAGCCAGUAGUCGCGCUGAGCGCUCCCCAAAAACCUUAUUGCCCUUCUCCCCUACAUGACUCAAAGAGACGGAGUUUCGGAGGCCUACUGUCCCGACCUACGGUGCAAGCCGCAAGACGGGAUGGGAAAGAACGUAGCAACAACACAGAGAAAGGAACCGGUGGCGAGAGCAAGUUCUGAUGCGUAUUCUUUGGAGAGGAGUGACCUCUCUUUUAUAGACGCAAGAGAAGGAGGCGAGAGGCCAGCGACGGGAGCCGAAGAGAUCGAGGGAGCCGAAACGAACAGACAGCAGCCGAAGAGUGUAGUGUUCGCUUCCAAUAUCCACUACAGCAAAAAAAACGUUCAGCUUCUCCGCGUGACCUUUCGUAUAACAGUCAUGCGUGGCAAAAAUUUAGUUCGGCUCAGCUCAUUCCCGCAACCCACGGCGCGGCACGACGAGACGGGUGGCGGCGGAGGAGGAGGAGGAGCACGCAUGUUUGUCUCUCUUGUUCUCAAGCUCAUACAUGUGUGGAAACAUCCUCCCUUAUAAGGACAUCCAACUCCCACUAAACUAGCAAUGUGGGACUAAACAUUUCCACCUCUUGCCUUGCACAAAUAGGCUGCAUGGGCCCCUAGGAUUUAUUAGGAAUUUUCUGAAAUUAUAUAUUGGGCUGGCCAAAAAUUCCAACAAUCCCUCACCAGAUCCGAGAGGCACACAAAAUUUUCCUUUGGUUCCAAAACACUGUUUUAUAUACUGAUAUUGCAGUGGAGACUGUUAAGUUGAACUUCCACCUAGAACUCUAUGCUACACCAGUAGGCAACUUUAAAAGUGGACUAGGCCUUGAACUGCAAGUUUUCUGCGAAUCUAGCUUCACACUGAGCCUUGAUCGAUACUAGGCUAGCGUGGGACUUCCCCUGGGUGGAGCUUAUGCGUCAUACUCCGAGACCUUUCAUGAGUUUACUAGAGAGCACCCUACUCUCAUAGAUAGCGACGUUAACAAUCGGACUCAUAUAGGUAUGUUCUUCAAAAGAUGUUCUGCAGGACAACAUCUCUUCUUCAAUAAGCCACUUAGAACAUAUUAAGAUGUAUAUCAACCUGCCAUGCAGUUUAAGAAAGUAUUGCAUCUUCAUGGAGUGGUAUUAUCAAUGAUAAGGAUACUUUCCUCUCGGCUGAUCAAUAGCUUGUCUUCCACAUCUAAUUCACGGGAUCUCCGAUCACAAAGAAUAGGUUACCACUGUGAACAACUCAAAUUGUGGGUCUCAUACCCAUCUCCCUCGAUGCAUUAUCUAUCACAUUACGUGAUAGACCCUUAGUAAAAGGAUCUACCAGAUUUUAGGAUGUUUGGAUAUAAUCCAAUGCAAUAACUCCGGAGUUUCUCAUUUUCCUGACAGAUUUUAACCUUCUCUGAACGUGUCUUGAUGAUUUCAUGUUAUCCUUUGAGCUGCUCACUUUUGUGAUCACAGUUUGAUUGUCGCAGUUCAUAAGGAUACCCGGUACAGGUUUCUCGACAACUGGGAAGUCACUCAAGAGCCGGCAAAGUCAAUCUACUUCGACCGUAGCUGUAUCUAGUGUUGUGAGUUCUGCUUCCAUUGUUUACCUUGUUAAGAUCGUUUGCUUGCAAGACUUUCAAGAAACAACUACACCUCCAUGAGUGAAUACAUAUCCGCUCGUGGCAUUUAUCUCAUCAGCAUGAGAGAUCUAGUUUGAAUCACUAUACCCUUCAAGCACCUUUGGGUGUCCAGUAUAGUGAAUUCCAUAAUUUGCAGUGCCUUUUAAAUAACGCAAAACUCUCUCUAGAGCUUUCCAAUGCACAUCUCCUGGUUUUGAGACAAACCGACUCAGUUUGCUAACAUCAAAAGAGAUGUCAGGUCUUGUAGCACUGGCUAAGUACAUAAGCGAGCCAAUAAUCUGAGAAUAUUUCAAUUGGUCUCUAGCAAUUUUUCGAUUCUUUCGAAGCAGCACGCUCGCAUCAUAUGGUGUGGGAGAGGACUUGCAGUCACUAUACCCAAAGAGACUCGAGAUCUUUUCCAUAUAGUGAGAUUGAAGCAACGUGAUCCCACCAUCUUCGUUUCUCAACAACUUGAUGUUCAGAAUGACAUCAGCCACUCUUAAACCCUUCAUCUCAAAAUAGUGAUAUAGGAAAUCCUUGACCUCUUUAAUAACAUUCAGAUUUGUUCCGAAAAUCAGUAUGUCAUCAACAUACAAGCAAAGGAUAACUACCUCGCCCCCACCAUGGCGAUAGUACAUACAUUUAUCAGCUUCGUUUACAACAAAGCGUGCAGUUGUUAGAGUUCCUUCAAACUUCUCAUGCCACUGCUUGGGUGCUUGCUUAAGUCCAUAUAAAGACUUCAGCAACUUGCAUACUUUUCCUUCCUGACCAUCUACUACAAACCCAUCUGGUUGUUCCAUGUAAAUUUCCUCAUCCAACUCUCCAUUUAGGAAAGCAGUCUUAACAUCCACUUGAUGAACCAGAAGACCAUGUGAGGCGGCUAGUGAAAGUAGUACUCGAAUAGUGGUCAGUCGAGCCACAUGUGAGUAAGUAUCAAAGAAGUCUUCGCCUUCCUUUUGGGUAUAACCCUUAGCCAUGAGCCAUGCCUUGUACUUUUUGAUAGUACCAUCAGGCCUAAGUUUCAUCUUGAAUACCCAUUUACAUCCUAUAGGUUUGCACCCAUAAGGACGAUCAGUGAUCUCCCAAGUUUCAUUUGCCAAGAUGGAAUCCAUCUCACUACGGACUGCUUCCUUCCAGUAGUCAGCAUCUUCAGACGCAUAGGCCUCUAAAAUAGAGCUGGGAGUGUCAUCUAUGAGAUACACAAGAAAAUCAUCACCAAAGGACUUUGAAGUCCUUUGUCUCUUGCUCCUGGUAGGAACUUCAUUGUUCUCCUCCACAAUAUUUUCAAAGUGUUCCAUCGAAAUGAUAGGUUCAUGAAUUGUAACUAAUUCAUGAUUCGAUGAAUUAGGCAUAUCCUGAUUAGAUGAGGUAGCUUUAUCUUUCAUGGGAAAUAUAUCUUCGAAAAAAGUCGCAUCAUUCGACUCCAUGAUUGUACCGACAUGCAUGUGAGAUACAUCGAAUGGAGAAAUCUCUUUAUUCUUUGUGGGAACUUGGUUUAGGACAUGACAUGCAGUCAAUAUCGCCUCCCCCCCCACCAUGCCUUGGAGAGACCCGAUGUGUCUAACAUGGCGUUAACCAAAUCAGUUAGAGUACGGUUCUUUCUUUCAGCUACCCCAUUUGACUGAGGUGAAUAGGGAGGCAUCCUCUGAUGGAUUAUACCAUGUUCCUCACAGAAGUAAUCAAAUUCAUUUGAGAAAUACUCUCCACCAUGAUCGGACCUAAGCCGCUUGAUCUUCGAUCAAGUUGAUUUUCUACUUCAGCUUCAUAGAUCUUGAAAAAGUUCAAAGCCUCAUCCUUAAAUUUCAGAAGAUACAAUCGACAGUAUCUAGUGGAGUCAUCAAUUAACGUCAUGAAAUAUUUCUUUCCACCUUUUGUCAAAAUACCAUUCAUUUCACAUAGAUCUGAAUGUAUGAACUCUAGUGGUGCAAGAUUUCUCGUUUCGGCAGUCGUGUGAGACUUAGGAGGUUGCUUGGCUUGCACACAAACUUGACACUUAGAUCCCUUGACGGUGGUGAAGCUAGGGAUUAAGUUCAAUUUGACAAGUCGCGACAUGCAACGAAAAUUAACAUGGCAGAGACGUGAAUGCCACACAUUUGAUUCACUAUUGUUGUAAACAUGAUUAACAACUUUAUUGCAAACGUCUCCCAAGGAUAAACGGAACAGGCCUCCUGACUCGUAGCCUUUACCAACAAAAAUUAAAUACUUGGAUAUUACAGAUUUAUUCGACUCAAAGACAAGCUUGUAGCCAUCUCUACACAAAAGAGAUCCGCUAACAAGAUUUUUAUUCACAGAGGGGACAUAAUGCACGUUCUUCAGCCACACGACCUUCCCCGAAGUAAACUUCAGAUCGACCGUGCCAACACCACGAACAGAAGCACUUGAAACAUUUCCCAUCAGCACGGUGGAAGUCCCUGUGGACUGAUAAGACGAAAACAUGGAAAUAUCACCGCAUACAUGCACAUUAGCACCCGUGUCAGUCAACCAAUCGGGAAAAUGACAUACUGAAAGGAUAGUGGGAAAUAUACCACACCCAGCAUCCUCCACGUCAGUGUCACCAAUGAUAACAUUAGCGGACUUGCUGCCUCUCCCAUGUUGAUGCUUGUCAUAGCGGUUAGGGCACUUAGGUGCCCAAUGAUCAGGAUCUCCACACACAUGACAAACACCUUUCUUCUUGUCAUUCUUCUUCUUGAAGUUGGUGUGUUGUACAACCUUGUUCUUUCCAUCGAACUUUGCUUUACCAUCAAACUUCCCCUUGUUCUUGAAAUUGUGGGGCUGGAAGUUUUUCUUCUGUACCAGAUUGGCACUAGAACCUCCUUCAAUACCUCGAGCACGUGUGUCUUUUGCUCUCGCGUUUUCUUCCACAUCAAGAGUACCUAUGAGAUCCGAAACGGAAAACGCUUGCCUCUUAUGCUUCAGUAAGGUAGCAAAGUUCCUCCACGAAGGAGGAAGUUUAGUGAUGAUUCCUCCGGCAACAAACUUGUCGGGUUGCAGGCAAUUGAAGUUCUCAAAUUCUCUUGCAAAUGACUGUAUCUCGUGAGCUUGCUCAACCACGGAGCGCUCUUUAGUCAUCCUGUAGUCCUAGAAUAGUUCCAUGAUGUACAACUCAGUGCCAGCAUCAGAGACCCCAAACUUGGCCUCGAGUGCAUCCCACAUUUCUUUUCCAUUAUCAAUUGACGCAUAAGCAUCAACUAUGUUCUCACCAGGAACGCUCAAGAGAGCAGCCUUAAACAAGGUAUCCAUUUUCUGGAAAGCUAGUUCCUAUUGAGCAUCAUGAUCUCCUUCAGGUUUGCCAAGAGUGGUGUCAUAGCAGCUCAUGGUUUGAAACCAUAGAACAGCUCUCACGCGCCACCUCUUAUAGUGGAUACCCUCAAAAAUAGGAGGUCUCAUGGAAACAGCAAAACCACUCGGGGUAAAUGCCUAUAAUAAGGUUUUUGGAUUGUUGGAAAUAUGAGCAAUUUACCAUAGGAUUUUAUUAAAAGAAAAGCUAGGAUAAACAUGACCAUCAUAAUAAAGAUGAAAGAAGACAUGCAAAAUAGAGAUGAGAUGACGAAAGGCAUGUGCACAUAUGAUCUAGAAAAGAACAUAUGUGUAACUGUUCUAUAUACACAAGGUAUCAUAUGGAGUGAUGACCAGAAAUGGAACAUAUCUAGAAGUGAAACUAUAGUAAGAACAUGAGUACGUACUGAGUUGCAACAGCAAUAGGGUUGGUGUUGGCAUUGACCAUGUUCCCGAAGAGGUGGUUGACGUCACGAAAGUUGUCGUCGUCCGGGAAGAGAUUGUCGGUGUCCGUGAUGGAAGCCAGUAGUCACGCUGAGCGCUCCCCAAAUACCUUAUCGCCCUUCUCCCAUACAUGACUCAAAGAGACGGAGUUUCGGAGGCCUAGUGUCACGACCUACGGUGCACGUUGAUAACCCACAAGUGUAGGGGAUCGCAACAGUUUUCGAGGGUAGAGUAUUCAACCCAAAUUUAUUGAUUCGACUCAAGGGGAAGCGAAAGAAUAUUCUCAAGUAUUAGCAGCUGAGUUGUCAAUUCAACCACACCUGAAAGAUUAGUGUCUGCAAGCAAAGUAUCAGUAGCAAAGUGGUAUGAUAGCAAUGGUGCCAGAAAAAUAUCUGUUGGCAGCAGACUAUUCCUUACUUGUUGUAUCAAUGGCGCCUAAAAAAGUCUUGCACCAGGUAACAACAAAGUAGCAAGUAACAACAGCAGUGACAGCAGUAGCAAGGAACAACAGUAGUGACAACAGUAGCAAGUAACAGCAGUAGUGACAGUAGUAGCAAGUAACAGCAGUAGUGACAGUGGCGACAACAUAAUAGGUUCAUAUCUGAAAUCAUGGCACUCGGGCCCUAGUGACAAGCAUUAUUCAUGGCAAAGUAGUAGCAACAUCAAUCUCAGAACAUAGUAGAUACUAGGGAUCAAUCCCCGUCAAAACUAACUCGAUUACAUGAUUGAUAUAAUCCAACUCAUCACCGUCCAGCAAGCCUACGAUGAGAUUACUCACGAACGGUGAAGAGCAUCAUGGAAUUGUCGAUGGAGGAAGGUUGAUGAUGACGAUGGCGAUGACUUCCCCUCUCCGGAGCCCAGAACGGACUCCAGAUCUGCCCUCCAGAUGAAGAACAAGAGGUGGCGGCGCCUCCGUAUCACAAAACGCGAUGAAUCCUUCUCCCUGAUUUUUUUCCCAGGCGAAACGGAACAUAUAUAGCUGAGAUUGGAGGCGGUGGAGCCUCGUGGACCCCACAAGCCUGGUUGGUGCGGCCAGGGGGUCGCCGCGCCAUCUGGGCUUGUGGCCCACUGGCUUACCCCCUCCGGUGGAUCUUUGCGCAGGUAUUUUUCAUUAAUUCCAGAAAAAUUCUCCGUAAAUUUUCAGGUCAUUCCGAGAACUUCUAUUUCUGCCCAAGGCAAAACCAUGGCAAUUCUGCUGAAAACAGCAUUAGUCCGGGUUAGUUCCAUUCAAAUCAUGCAAGUUAGAGUCCAAAACAAGGGCAAAAGAGUUCGGAAAAGUAGAUACGACAGAGACGUAUCAACUCCCCCAAGCUUAAAGCCUUGCUUGUCCUCAAGCAAUUCAGUUGACAAACUGAAAGAGACAAAAGAAAAACUUUGACGAACUCUGUUUGAUCUUGUUGUUGCAACUAUGUCUAGCUCAUAACCAGAAUUUCAGCAAGAUCACAAGCGAACCACAUAAGCAAAUGACAUCUAGGUCUCACGGUAAACUCAUAUCAAUGGCAUAAUCAACUAGCGAGCAAAUAAUAAUAAGCCUCAAAUGUCAACACUUCAAUCAAAACAACGUGAAGUAGUACGAACAGAUGGUAUCUCGCUAGCUCUUUCUGAGACCGCAAAACAUAAAUGCAGAGCACCUUCAAAGACCAAGGGCUGACUAAACAUUUUAAUUCAAUGCAAUGAAGAUCCAGUCACAGUCAUACUCAGCACAGUUAAAAGCAAAGCAUAAAAAUGACAGAGGUGCUCUCUAAUUGGUGCUUUUAUAAGAGGAGGAUGACUCAACAGGAACAUAAAUAGAUAAGCCCUUCGCACAGGGAAGCAUUGAUUUGCAGAGGUGCCAGAGCUCAAGCUUUGAAAACAGAGAUAAUAAUUUUGGGUGGCAUGCUUUCAUUGUCAACGCAAUGACUAAGAGUUCUCAACAUCUUCCACGCUACACAUGCUAUAGGCGGUUCCCAAACAGAAAAGUAAAGUUUUGACUUCCCCACCACCAAUCAAUCACACUCCACGGCUAGCCGAAUCCUCGAGUACCGUCUAUACCAACAUCAAUCCUAGGGGAGUUUUGUUUGCAAUUAUCUUUUUGAUUUGAGCAUGGAACUGGGAAUUCCAAUUACCGGCCCCUUUCUCGUGAAUGAUAGUGAAUAAACACAUAUCGAGGAUAACACGCCUAGCAUGGAAGAUACCAAUAGCUCCCUGUCACCACAUGAGCGGUUCGGGCAUGCAAAACAGAUUAUUUCUUGAAGGUUUAGAGAGUAGCACAUGCAAAUUUACUUGGAACGGCAGGUAGAUACCGCACAUAGGUAGGUAUGGUGGACUCAUAUGACACAACUUUGGGUUUAUGGAAGUGGAUGCACAAGCAGUAUUCCCGCUUAGUACAAGUGAAGGCUAGCAAAAGACUGGGAAGCGACCAACUAGAGAGCGACAACAGUCAUCAAAAUGCAUUGAGAUUAACUAACAUUGAGUGCAAGCAUGAGUAGGACAUAAAUCACCAUGAACAUGAACAUCAUAGAGGCUAUGUUGAUUUUGUUUCAACUACAGUGUGAACAUGCUCCAAGUCAAGCCACUUGAAACAUUCAAAGGAGGAUACCAUCCUAUCAUACUACAUCACAGUCAUCUCAAAAUUCAUGUGGGCAUCCAAGACAAACCAUUAUAAGCUCCUAGCUAAGUAAGCAUGGCAUAAGCAACUAUGAUCUCUAAGUUGUCAUUGCAAACAUGUUUCUCUCACAACAAAGCUGACUCAGGCAUGAUGAGCUAGUCAUAAUUACAAAAACAAAAUAGAUCGAGUUCAUACCAGCUUUUCCAGGCUCAGUCACUUCAUCAUAUAUCAUCAUUAUUGCCUUUCACUUGCACGACCGAACGAUGUGAACAAUAAUAAGAGUGCCCGUGCAUUGGACUACACUGGAAUCUGCAGGCAAACACAAAGGAGAAGACAAAGUAAUAUGGCUCUUUGAAAGCUAAACAGGUAUGCAUGCAAGAGCCACUAAACAUUGUAACCAAUAUCUUCUACCUUGACCCAAAGAAAAAGAAAACUAUUUACACGGGAAAGCUCCCAACAAGCAAAAGAAGAACAAGAAAAUAUUUUUGGGUUUGCUCAAACUAGACAGACACACAAAAACAAAACUAGAAAAAGAAAAUAAACUAGCAUGCAUGAUACAGUGGAAAAGUGUGAACACCGGCGAACAAAGUGAAAGCAUAAGCAAGAAUGUAAAGUCGGUGAGAAACACGUACUNNNNNNNNNNNNNNNNNNNNNNNNNNNNNNNNNNNNNNNNNNNNNNNNNNNNNNNNNNNNNNNNNNNNNNNNNNNNNNNNNNNNNNNNNNNNNNNNNNNNGUGUUUCCUUCAUCUUUGCAAAGGGUCCCCCAGCGGUAGUACCGCUGGGCCUAGCGGUAGUACCGCUGGCCUUAGCGGUAGUACCGCUGGAGUGCUAGCAGUAGUACCGCUGCAUCCAGCGGUAGUACCUCUCCAGGAGCUUAGUACCACGUGCCUAGCGGUUGUACGUGGACGGACCUUUUUGCGAAGACUUUCUUGGCGGUGGUAGUGCUUAUGCACUACCAGGGGCCCAGCGGUAGUACCGCUGCACCCAGCGGUAGUACCGCAGGAGUGCCAGCGGUAGUACCGCUGCAUCCAGCAGUAGUACCGCUAGGCACGGGCUGUGAGUGGGAAAACGGUUGGAUUUCCCCCCCCCCCCACUAUAUAAAGGGUUCUUCUAGCUGUGGAACUCUAUCUCUGACCCUCCCAAGCUCCAUUGUUGCUCCCUAAGAUCAAAAGUGCCCGAUCUCUCUCCCUAGCCAAUCAAACUUGUUGAUUCUUUAGGGAUUGGUUGAGAUGGCCUAGAUCCAUACUUCCACCAAGAGAAAAAUUGAUUCCCCCACCAAUCCCUUGCGGAUCUUGUUACUCUUGGGUGCUUGAGCAUCCUAGAUGGUUGAGGUCACCUUGAAGCCACAUUCCAUUGUGGUGAAGCUUCGUGGUCUUGUUGGGAGCCUCCAAGCUUUGUGUGGAGUUUGCCCCAACCUUGUUUGUAAAGGUUCGGUCGCCGCGUUCAAGGGCACCUGUAGUGGAAUCACGGUACCUUGCAUCGUGCGAGGACAUGAGGAGAAUACGGUGGCCUUAGUGGCUUAUUGGGGAGCAUUGUGCCUCCACACCGCUUCAACGGAGACGUACUUCCCGUCAAAGGGAAGGAACUUCGGUAACAUAUCCUCUUCUUCAUUGGUUCCACUUGUGGUUAUCUCUAACCUUUACUUUGUGUAUGCUUAUGUUGUUGUCUUUCCCUUACUUGUCUUAGUAGCUAUUGCUGCUAGCUUCAUUACGGUUCACCCCAUUGUUGUCAUAUUUGUGAACCCGUAUGUUGUUUACCCUAUCUUGCUAAGAUUAAUUAAAAAGUGGUCGUUGCCUAUUCAAACCCCCCCCCNNNNNNNNNNNNNNNNNNNNNNNNNNNNNNNNNNNNNNNNNNNNNNNNNNNNNNNNNNNNNNNNNNNNNNNNNNNNNNNNNNNNNNNNNNNNNNNNNNNNNNNNNNNNNNNNNNNNNNNNNNNNNNNNNNNNNNNNNNNNNNNNNNNNNNNNNNNNNNNNNNNNNNNNNNNNNNNNNNNNNNNNNNNNNNNNNAGAUCCGAUCUUGCAAGUUGUAGUUACCUACUAUGUGUUAUGAUCCGGCAACCCCGGAGUGACAAUAACCGGAACCACUCCCGGUGAUGACCAUAGUUUGAGGAUUUCAUGUGUUCACAAAGUGCUAAUGCGUUGGUCCGGUUCUUUAUUAAAAGGAGAACCUUAAUAUCCCGUAGUUUCCUUUUGGACCCCGCUGCCACGGGAGGGAUGGACAAUAGAUGUCAUGCAAGUUCUUUUCCCUAAGCACGUACGACGACACACGGAAUGCAUGCCUACAUCACAUUGACGAACGGGAGCUAGCCACAUAUCUCUCCAUGUUAUAGCUGUUGCAUGAUGAAUAUCAUCCAAACAAAUAUCGACCCAUUGCCUACGAGUUUGUCCUACUGUUGCUACUAGUGUCGCUUGCUACUGCUGCUACUUGCUACUGUUGUCACUACUGUUGUUCCNNNNNNNNNNGCCGUUACUCGUUACUUUGCUGUUACUACAGUGCUUGCAGAUACUAAUCUUUCAGGUGUGGUUGAAUCUGACAAAUUCAGCUGCUAAUACUCGAGAGUAUUCUCUCACCUCCUUUUGGCGAUCUACAAAUUUGGGUCGAAUACUCUACCCUCGAAAACUGNNNNNNNNNNNNNNNNNNNNNNNNNNNNNNNNNNNNNNNNNNNNNNNNNNNNNNNNNNNNNNNNNNNNNNNNNNNNNNNNNNNNNNNNNNNNNNNNNNNNCGAAUGCUAGUAUCCGACUGGACGAUAUAGGACCCGUUCCUGACUUGAUAAUGGGGAUUCCUUAAUUCAGUCGGGGUAGACUUAGGGUCUUGUCUUUGUGUGGGGUAGUCCUUGGGUAGGACCUGUAUGGCAGGCCUAUGACCCUACCCUAGGACUACGACCCCAUCAUUAGUCCCCGAAUGGAUCGGGGUUGAAACGACGAAGCAGUGCUUGAAGUUCGGAUCCGACUGGAGUAGAUUCGUCUUGGGCGUUGCUUGCCUCUAUCCAUUUUACCUUUUCUGACCAACGAUCCGAGUGGAAGUGCUUGCGAAACCGACUGUUGGGAACCGAGUGUUUCCGCUGCAUCUUUUGACGCGACCGGUCAACUCACAGCGGUGGGUUUCCCGGGAUCUCAAAUUUUAGGUUCCGCGCGCUCAGCGGGGACGACGUCAGCGCACUCGAGUAGCGUCUGACGCCUUGAUUCUCGCGCCUUCAAGUCCUCCACUGAUAUCGCCGCAGCCGGUCGGGCGGAUAAGGUUUCGGGGCCACCCGCCAGUGACCUAGUCGGAACUCUAUUUAAAUCUGGGCGGCGAGGUUUCUUCGUUACGCUCGCCGAAUCUUUCGCUCUCGCCUGCUCCGUCUUCCUCGCCACCUCCAGCGCUCCCAUACUCCCUCCUUCUCCUUCCUCUCGAGAGUUCGCCGUCGCCUCCAUGACCAAGGGUCAGACCAGCAAGAUGGAGGCGAGGAAGAAGAAGGGCAAGGCGGCGGCAGCGGCCGCUGCCGGCGGGGUGGAUCCAAGGAGACUUCCUCCCCUCCAGAGUGACGGAGGGAGAUCUGCUGCAGCUGGUGGAGCAUGGAGUGCUCGUGCACAAGUCCUGGAGACUGCCGGCGGAGGACGAGGUCGAGCCAGCGCCCCGGGAGGGGGAGCGCGUCCUGCUCCUCAGCCAUGUCCACCGAGGUUUUUCUUUGCCCCCGCAUCCUUUCUUCAAGGGCAUCAUGAAUCACUUCGGUGCCCAACUUCACCAUUUCCCUCCGAAUGCCAUCGCGCACCUUUCUGCCUUCAUAGUCUUAUGUGAGUGUUUUAUCGGCUGCCCUCCCCAUUGGGGUUUGUUCAAACACAUCUUCUCCGUCUGAUCCCAAACCAUCAAACGACUUAGCCAGUCGGAUGAUAAGACGCACCUCCUCCAGCUCUGUGGGGGUUUAGGAUUCCAGAAGAAGAGUCGGAGUAGCUAUCCUGCUCUCCAGUUAAGUGAGUAGGUUAGGAACUGGCAGUCGACGUGGUUCUACUGCCAGGAUAUCGCCUGUCCAAAUGCGUCGACUGGUCUGCCUCCUUUUAGUCUAGACCGGCCCGCCCCGCCUAAGCAGCUCGCGCUCUCGAAGGCGGAGAAGAACGAUGUCCAGCCCUUGGUUGAGGCGCUCGUGGACGUCGUCAGGAGGGGGUCACCGGUAUAGACCUGCUGGAAGUCUUCCUUGGUCGGUGGAUCCAGCCUCUGCAGGCUCGCGACCAUGCCAUGUGGCAUUACACGGGGCCCGAGGAUUCCACUCGGACCAAUGUUGUGGGCGUGACUGAGGAGAGGGUGACCUCGUGGGUGCUCCAGAUCACGGGCCCCUGUGAGAAUCCCAAAGAAUCACGGCGAGUGAAGCCCUUCUGCGCGGAUAAUCCCCCGCCGAAUCAGGUGAGAGACUCUUGUCGAGUGCUCCUAAUUGUCUUAAUCUUGUCGUUUGCUUGAAUCUGUGUGUGAUGUUUGAUGUCGCCGACUGAAUUUUAUGCAGGAGUGGACCAACUGGUUUUCUCCCGUCUCGAACGGGAAUCCGACCGAGGAGGAGGAGGGCAGCUAGGAGGGCAGCGUGGAGAGCACGGAAUAUGUCUCCGACAGUGGGGAGUCGGAGGAAGAGUCCAGCGAGGAGGAGGAAGAAGACGAGGAGCAGGACUCGCCACCCCCACAACUGGAGCAUCGGACCAAGCGCCGACACGAACCCGCUGUCCCCUCAGCUCCUCCCGCGUCUUCGAGUGCUCCGCCUACUGCUCCAGUGGUCCCGAGUGUUCGAAGCGCUAAGAGUACCCGGGAUGCCGCCGCUGAGCCUGCAGGCCAAUCUUCUAAGGCGCCCAAGACGAGUGGGCCUAAACCUCGGAAGGCUCUGCCGCGAAUAAGGGUCGCUGUCCCCGUCACCUCCACGUAAGUGUACUCAGCUUUCAGUUUUUCUUCUGAUAUCCGAGUGAAUUUCUGCUUACUGGCCGACUGGAUAUCACUCGACAGGGUCGCUACUUCUGCCACCUCCCCGGCGCGUCAGGAAUACGACCCCAUGGACACGGACAACGUCGUCUCGUCUCAGCCAGGUGCAUUGUAGGAACGUCGAGUGUUUUAUACCAUCGCUUCUUUCUUUUUCUGAGACCUCGUGUCAUUCGGCCUGUCAGGGGCGAUCUGCCUGGAUGAGGGCGGCCAGGGGAGAGCCAACCCAGCUGUGGAGCCUGUUCUUGAGGCUGCUCCUCCCGCUGCCGCCCUCGCCGCCGACGUGCUGCCGACGGAGGCACCGCCGCCGACUGAACCAGUGCUGGUGGAGGAGGAGCCGACUGGGGCGGGCCUUGGAAUGCCUCAGGAACCUCCGACGAUUCCAGGUUCGUCGCAUGCUGAAUUCAGCAUCCAGCGUCUUCCAGAGGAGUAGGUGGGAGCGGCCAAGGGGGCUAUGGUGCAGGCGGAGCUGAUGACUGGAGAAGCCAAGAGGGCCUAUGACUCCAUUGCGGCCUUGUACCAGCGGAGCUUGGAGCUACGCGAUGAUAUCCGAGUAAGUGGUCUAGUAAGCAUUUACUUUUCCCCUGUAACCCUCUGGGUGUUAUUGAAUAUCAGCUGUUGUUUGCAAUGGGUUCACUCUGAGUGAACCCAGUGGGUGUAGUCCCCGAGACUUCUGUCGAGUGCUUGCACCGACAGUUGUCUUUAUACACUUUGCCUUGAGUUUGGUUGUGUCUGUAAAUAGGAUUACCGAGUGCGAGUAAUUGUUGCAGUCGGAGUGCACUUACGGUAAGAGUCCCCGAGAGUAAGUUGUACUCAGGUCGGGUAGUAUUGGCCUCGGAGGCGUAGGUGAUAACAUGCAUUUCAAUAGGGCAAGCCUGCUUGAGGUGCAUGCCAGUGGGGUCACGCUUAGUGAACCCACUGGGUGUAGUCCCCGAGACCGCUGUCGACUGCUUGCGUCAGCAGGGGUCUGAAGAACUUAGACUGUUAACUGUUGAACUUUCUGAUUGUCCCUUGUUUGUUGUUGGCAGAAAACUUGUGCAAUGGGAUCAGCCUAUGAGACUCUCAAGGCGGAGAGGAAUCAGUUCGCUGGCGAACUUGAUGCGGCCAUGCUUGCAAUGGCUGGCAUUAAGGAUUCCCUGGCGGAACGGGAGAAAUCAUUGGAGCAGGCGCGUGAAGUGAACAAGGUGUUGACUGAGGAAGGGGAAAAGAUGGGGAAGCAGAGGACUACGCUGAUGAGUCAGAUGGAUGUGCUGAACAAACGAUGUAGAGCACAAGAGAAAUAUGUCAGCGACUGGGCUCGGCAGAUGAUGACGCGUCUGGCUGGUAAGUCCUUAUUUUUCCGAGUGGUUGUGCUAUGCGCGUAGCACUCGGCGCUUAUUGUCUGUUUGUCCUAUUGUCGCAGAUUUUUGCUUUGACGCCGAAGCUGAAGCGGCUGACGUGGAGCGUUCGAUUCUUGAGAACUUUCCACUCGGCGACGACGCCAAUCGGGAUCUGCUCCGUGCGCACAUCCGCGUGGGCAAAGUUGGUCCUUUCAUCGGUCGACUGAGAGAAGUCGUCGGCCGAAUCGACAAGGAGCUUUGGCCAGAAGAUGAGUCGCGGCAGGAGAUGGAGAACCUGAUGACCCGACUGGCGGAGAUUCCCAACAGAGUGCAGUCGUGGAAGAAAUCUGCAGCUCGUUGUGGUGCAGAUGUUGCUCUGUCCCUGGUCCGAGUCCAUUGCAAGGAGGUGCGUGAGGAAAAAAUGAAGACGCGGAAGGUCGCCAACACGAAGAAGCUUCGAUUCGAAGACUUCAUGGAGACGUUCCUUGAGAGUGCUACCCGCAUCGCCGACGGAAUCGACUUGGACACUUUCGUGGAGCCCUCCAGUCCUGGUACCGGCCCAGCUGACGCGUAAGAAACUUUAUCCUCGGUAUGCCGAGUGUUUAUCUGUAAGGUACUUUGGCCACUUCUGUUGUCCGUCACACUUUUAAAUCGGUGCGGGCAAACUUGAUCCGCACCGAGUUAGCUAUCUUUGCGAGGAUUUUGGAAUCCGAUUUUUGCUCUUCUGUUGCAAUGUUGAUUCGAGUUUUUGGUUGGCGUUUCUUGGUGAAGCCAAAGGCAAACAGCCGAUGCUGGAUUGCUGUUAAGCUCCCUCCGAGUGUAACGUGAAGUGCACACUCGGAGAAGGUUAUUACUUAGGCGAUGCUGGAUCGCAGCUAAGCCCCCGAGUGUGACGUGUAGUGCACACUCAGAGAAGGUUAAUACUUAGGAGAUGCUGGAUCGCAGCUAAGCCCCGAGUGUGACGUUAAGUGCACACUCGGAGAGAGUGAAUACUUAGGCGAUGCUGGAUCGCAGCUAAGCCCCCGAGUGUGACGUUAAGUGCACACUCGGAGAGAGUUAAUACUUAGGCGAUGCUGGAUCGUAGCUAAGCCCCCGAGUGUGACGUUAAGUGCACACUCGGAGAGAGUUAAUACUUAGGCGAUGCUGGAUCGCAGCUAAGCCCCGAGUGUGACGUUAAGUGCACACUCGGAUAAAGAUAAUACUUAGGGGAUGCUGGGUCGCAGCUAAGCCCCCGAGUGAGACGUUAAGUACACACUCGGAUAAAGUUAAUACUUAGGCGAUGCUGGACCGCACCUAAGCCCCCGAGUGUGACGUUAAGUGCACAUUUGGAGAGAGUUAAUACUUAGGUGAUGCUGGAUCGCAGCUAAGCACCCGAGUGUGACGUUAAGUGCACACUCGGAGAGAGUUAAUACUUAGGCGAUGCUGGAUCGCAGCUAAGCCCCCGAGUGUGAUGUUAAGUGCACACUCGGAGAGAGUUAAUACUUAGGCGAUGCGGGAUCGCAGCUAAGCCCCCGAGUGUGACGUUAAGUACACACUCGGAGAAAGUUAAUACUUAGGCGAUGUUGGAUCGAAGCUAAGUUUUUUUUUUAAGACCGGAGUCUGCGACCGCGGAAGAACUUUGAACCUGCAAAAAACUCAAUCUGCUUUAUAUUACUUCGCCAACACUUGUUCUUUACAUCGCUUUAGUCGACGGUCACGUGUAGAAGCGCUUCAGGAGAUCUCCGUUCCAUGCGCGCGGCUCGUCAGUCUCUCUUUCGAUGUUGUAGAGUCUGUAUGCUCCGUUGUUCAGCACCUUGGAGAUGAUGAAGGGUCCUUCCCAGGCCGGAGCUAACUUGUGAGGUCUUUGUUGAUCCACUCGGAGCACCAGGUCGUCUGCUUGGAACGUCCGACUUCUGACGUGGCAUGCAUGAAAACGCCGCAGAUUUUGUUGAUAAAUGGUCGAGCGAGUUAAUGCCAUCUCGCGUUCUUCCUCUAGAAGAUCUACUCCAUCUUGCCUUGCUUGUUCUGCCUCAGCUUCGGAGAAGGGUUCGACUCGUGGGGCAUUAUGAAGCAGGUCACUCGGAAGGACCGCUUCUGCUCCAUAAACGAGGAAGAACGGUGAUCGCCCCGUUGAUCUGUUCGGAGUGGUGCGGAGGCCCCAAAGCACUGAAGGUAACUCGAUGACCCAUGCGCCAGCAGCGUGUCCCACCUCUCGCAGGAGUCGGGGCUUCAAACCUUGAAGAAUAAGCCCAUUCACCCGCUCAGCCUGUCCGUUGGAUUGAGGAUGUGCUACGGAAGCAAAAUCCACUCGGAUACCCUGACUCACGCAGAAACCCUUGAAUCUGUCCGAGUCGAAGUUUGUCCCGUUGUCCGUAAUUAUGCUGUGAGGUACACCGAAUCUGAAGAUGAUGUCCCUGACAAACUUGACGGCUGUCGAAGCGUCGAGCUUCUUGAUGGGCUUCGCUUCGAUCCACUUCGUGAACUUGUCGACUGCCACCAACAGAUGUGUGUAUCCACCUUGGCCUGUCUUGAAUGGGCCGACUGUAUCUAAUCCCCACACUGCAAACGGCCACACAAGAGGGAUCGUCUUCAAUGCAGACGUUGGCUUGUGGGACUUGUUGGAGUAGAACUGGCAGCCCUCACAUCGAUCAACCAUAUCCCUAGCCAUCUCAUUAGCCUGUAGCCAAAAUAACCAGCCCUGAACGCCUUGGCUACGAUUGCUCUCGAAGAAGCGUGAUGACCGCGGGUUCCCGAGUGAAUAUCCUCCAGAAUCAGCUGCCCCUCCUCUGGGGAGAUGCAUCGUUGAAGAACACCCGAGAUACUUUCCUUGUACAAUUGGCCUUCAAUGACAGUGAAUGACUUCGAUCUGCGGACUAUCUGCCUGGCUUGGCUUCGUCUUCUGGAAGUUCUUGCCUCAAGAUAUAUGCCAUGAUCGGCACAGUCCAAUCGGGAAUGACAGCCAGAAUCUCCAUGACCAGAUCAACCACCACAGGUACAUCGACUUCAGUCGGACCUGUUGCGCUCUUGGGUUGUACCAAUUCCUAUGUGAAAGGAUCUUCUUUGACUGACGGGAGGUGGAGGUGUUCAAGGCAGACGUCACUCGGGACUGGUCUCCGAGUGGAUCCGAGUUUUGCUAACUCGUCAGCUGCUUGGUUCUUCAGUCUUGGAACAUGGUGGAGCUCCAGACCUUCAAACUUCUUCUCUAGCUUCCUCACUGCAUUGCAGUAUGUGGUCAUGGUGGGGUUCUUGACGUCCCACUCUUUCAUCACUUGAUUGACCACCAAAUCUGAAUCGCCGUAGACCAUCAAGCGACGGACGCCGAGUGAGAUGGCCAUGCACAAUCCGUAGAGGAGAGCCUCGUACUCUGCCUCGUUGUUGGAGGAAUCAAAGUGUAUCUGCAACACGUAUUUGAGCUUGUCGCCCUUUGGUGAUAUGAUCACAACGCCAGCGCCGGAGCCAUUCAACAUCUUAGACCCAUCGAAGAACAUUGUCCAAUGAGCCGAGUAGAUGUGGGUCGGUUGCUGUUGUUCUACCCAUUCUGCUAUAAAGUCAGCUAGGGCUUGAGACUUAAUAGCUUUCUUGGCCUCGAACUUGAUGUCACAGUACAACAUCUCCAUUGCCCACUUCGCCACUCGGCCUGAUGCGUCUCGAUUGUGGAGAAUUUCCGACAACGGAGCAUUAGAAACGACAGAUACCGAGUGGUCUUGGAAAUAAUGAGCCACCUUCUUCGCAGUCAUAUAGAUCCCAUAGAUAAGUUUUUGAUAAUGGGGAUACCUCUGCUUGGAAGGAGUCGGGACUUCGGAAACAUAGUAGACUGGCCGCUGAACUUUGUAUGCUUUGCCUUCUUCUUCUCGCUCGACUGUAAGAACAGUACUGACAACUUGAUUUGUAGCCGCAAUAUAUAGAAGAAGGGGCUCUUUACUGAGCGGAGCAGUAAGAACCGGCUGGGUGGAAAGUAGGACUUUGAGGUCGUCGAAUGCGACUUGGGCUUCAUCUAUCCACUCGAAGGUAUCUGAUUUCUUCAUGAGUCGGUACAGAGGAAGUGCUUUUUCGCCGAGUCGACUGAUGAACCUGCUCAAAGCCGCUAGGCAACCUGUGAGCCGUUGAACAUCGUGUAUUCUGACCGGCCUUUCCAUUCGGACGAUGGUCCCGAUCUUUUCGGGGUUGACGUCGAUCCCUCGUUCGGAAAUGAAGAAACCGAGUAACUUUCCGCUGGGAACACCGAAUGAACAUUUGGAUGGGUUGAGCUUGAUAUCGUACCUACGAAGGUUGGCGAAUGUUUCUGCCAAGUCAGUCAGCAGGUCGGAACCUUUGUGUGACUUGACUACGAUAUCAUCCAUAUAUGCCUCCACAUUGCGACCGAUCUGGUCAAGGAGACAUUUUUGGAUCAUGCGCAUAAAGGUAGCUCCUGCAUUCUUCAGACCGAAAGGCAUAGUGAUGUAGCAGAAGCACCCGAAUGGGGUGAUGAAGGCUGUCUUUAACUCAUCGGGACCAUACAGACGGAUCUGAUGAUANNNNNNNNNNNNNNNNNNNNNNNNNNNNNNNNNNNNNNNNNNNNNNNNNNNNNNNNNNNNNNNNNNNNNNNNNNNNNNNNNNNNNNNNNNNNNNNNNNNNCGGUACUAGAUCGUGGGACUGAUCGCGGGAUUGUUCGCGGGGCGGAUCGAGGGACGUGAGGACGUUCCACUACAUCAACCGCGUUCUCUAACGCUUCUGCUGUACGAUCUACAAGGGUACGUAGAUCACUCAUCCCCUCUCGUAGAUGGACAUCACCAUGAUAGGUCUUCGUGCGCGUAGGAAAAUUUUUGUUUCCCAUGCGACGUUCCCCAACAAAAACUGGGUUGGAGGUUUAUGGAUGCACAAGUAGUAUCUCUACUUGGUGCGGGAGUUUUGGCUAAUAUGAGGUGGAAGCAAUCGUCACAUGCUAAGGGAUCUCUAAUCAUAUAACAUUGUUUGGAACCAAGCAAACACAAUUCAUUAUGUUGUCUUCCUUGUCCAACAUCUACUCCUAAGCAUGUAAUAGUUUGGUGAGUGCUCACAAUUGUAAAAAGUGUCUAAGAUGAUAUAUUUAUAUGUGAACCUCUCUUUCCUUAUUACUUCUUAUUAAUUGCAACAAUGACUGAGNNNNNNNNNNNNNNNNNNNNNNNNNNNNNNNNNNNNNNNNNNNNNNNNNNNNNNNNNNNNNNNNNNNNNNNNNNNNNNNNNNNNNNNNNNNNNNNNNNNNGCACACUUAAGGUUCGACAUUGUUUUAUGCGUAUUUGAGUUAUAUGGUUUGUUACCGAAUGUUGUUCGGAGUCCCGGAUGAGAUCACGGACGUCACGAGGGUUUCCGGAAUGGUCUGGAAACGAAGAUUGAUAUAUAGGAUGACCUCAUUUGAUUACCGGAAGGUUUUCGGAGUUACCGGGAAUGUACCGGGAAUGACGAAUGGGUUCCGGGAGUUCACCGGGGGGGGCAACCCACCCCGGGGAAGCCCAUAGGCUUUGGGGAGACACACCAGCCCUUAGUGGGCUGGUGGGACAGCCCCAAGGGGGCCUAUGCGCCAAGGAGAGGAAAUCAAAGGAAAAGAAAAAAAAAGAGGGAAGAAGUGGGAAGGGAGGGGGACUCCUCCCACCAAACCAAGUCCAACUCGGUUUGGGGGGGGAGUCCUCCCCACCUUGGCUCGGCCGACCCCUUGGGAGUCCCUUGGACCCCAAGGCAAGGUCCCCCUCCCUCCUCCUAUAUAUAUGGGGCUUUUAGGGCAGAUUUGAGACGACUUUCUCACGGCUGCCCGACCACAUAUCUCCAUAGUUUUUCCUCUAGAUCGCGUUUCUGCGGAGCUCGGGCGGAGCCCUGCUGAGACGAGAUCAUCACCAACCUCCGGAGCGCCGUCAUGCUGCCGGAGAACUCUUCUACCUCUCCGUCUCUCUUGCUGGAUCAAGAAGGCCGAGAUCAUCGUCGAGCUGUACGUGUGCUGAACGCGGAGGUGCCGUCCGUUCGGCACUAGAUCGCGGGACGGUUCGUGGGACGGUUCGCGGGGCGGAUCGAGGGACGUGAGGACGUUCCACUACAUCAACCGCGUUCUCUAACGCUUCUGCUGUACGAUCUACAAGGGUACGUAGAUCACUCAUCCCCUCUCGUAGAUGGACAUCACCAUGAUAGGUCUUCGUGCGCGUAGGAAAAUUUUUGUUUCCCAUGCGACGUUCCCCAACAAAAACUGGGUUGGAGGUUUAUGGAUGCACAAGUAGUAUCUCUACUUGGUGCGGGAGUUUUGGCUAAUAUGAGGUGGAAGCAAUCGUCACAUGCUAAGGGAUCUCUAAUCAUAUAACAUUGUUUGGAACCAAGCAAACACAAUUCAUUAUGUUGUCUUCCUUGUCCAACAUCUACUCCUAAGCAUGUAAUAGUUUGGUGAGUGCUCACAAUUGUAAAAAGUGUCUAAGAUGAUAUAUUUAUAUGUGAACCUCUCUUUCCUUAUUACUUCUUAUUAAUUGCAACAAUGACUGAGGUCUAUGUUGAUUUAUUCUCAACAAGUUUCAAUCAUCAUACGUGUCAUAAGUGAAGUUAUCACUUUCCAUAAGAUCGUCUCAUGAUCUUUCAUGCUAUCGUUCUUUUCAUACUUUUGAUCAUGGCACAAAGCAAAGCCCUUGACUAAGACACUCUUUAUUAUAUAGCUCGUAAGCUCGAAUACAUCGGGGGAGAGACAAAAGCAAAAGACUCAAACUAAAAACUAAAGACUUAUUCCUCUAAAAGAAAAAAUAAAAACUGAAAAGGAAAGAACUAAAACAAAGGUAAAAGCAAAAGAUAUAAAGGUGACACGAUACCAGAGCAACUCCCCCAAGCUUGGCAGAAGCCAAGGGGAUUGCCCAUACCAAUGCUUAGUUGUCUUCCUUUGGUGGUGAUGGUGGUGUUGUUGGAGCAGUUUUGAGCUUGUCUAAUUUCCACUUGAGCAAAAAGUUUUGCUCCCUUAGAUCGUCAUUUUCCUCCUCAAGUUUCAAAACUCUAUGGCAAAGCUCCUGCUUACUCUCCUGCAAGAAACGAGAAGGGAUAAACAAGGUCUUAGGCUUCUUCCUAUGGUCAGGGAGGCUUGACUUCUUGAACUCCAUAUGGGUGUUUGCAGGUUGAGGUAGAGGAGCCUCCUCUUCAUCGGAACACGUUUGCUCCUUCCCUUUGGGCUCAUAGUCCUCUUCCUCAUCAGUGGUCCAGCCAUAUGGUUCCAAGUCCCCAUUAAUCCUAGAGUUAGCACAAUCAUCGGCCACAUAGAUCUCUUCUUCUGAAUCUUGAGAAGACAUCUUGACCUAAAUCUGUGGCACACAACAAGCUCGAAACGAAAACAGAGGAAAACUACGCGAUACGGAGAUCAAAACCUUCGGGCGACUAUAUAUUGAUUUUUUUUCUGGGCCAGAAGGAGUAUUCCGCAAGAAAACGGAGUCUGGGAGGCACACGAGGUGCCCACAAGCUUGCCCUCCGCCACCAGGGGGUGGUGGCGGAGUGGGCCCUUGUGGCUGCCUCGUUCGCUCUCCGGACUGCUUUUUAUUUUUCUAAUUUUCAAAAAAUUCCAAAACGAAAGAAAUUUCCUAUUGGAAAAGUAUCGGAGUCCAAUUUCUUGCCGAAACAGAUACAUCUUCGUUUUGAAGGUCUGAAACAGGCUGAUAAACAUCCCUUAUGUACUACUCUGGAGUUAUGACAUUGAUGAUAUUGGUCUCAACAUUUAUGGGAGUACCAGAGAUGUGAUGCUUGAUUCUUUGCCCAUUUACCACUCUAGGAAAAUUUCCUUCCGUGUUAUUGAUUUUGAUGGCACCAAAAUGAUAUACUUCCUCGACAACAUAGGGACCUUCCCAUUUAGAGAGAAGCUUGCCUGCAAAGAAUCUCAAACGAGAAUUGUAUAGCAAGACAUAAUCACCUACAUUGAACUCUCGUUUCUGUAUUCGUUUGUCGUGUCAUCUCUUAACCUUUUCCUUGAACAACCUGGCAUUCUCAUAUGCCUGGGCUCUCCAUUCAUCUAACGAGCUGAUAUCAAACAACCGCUUCUCACCGGCAAGUUUGAAAUCAAAGUUGAGCUCUUUGAUUGCCCAAUAAGCUUUGUGUUCCAGCUCAAGAGGUAAAUGACAGGCCUUACCGUAAACCAUUUUAUACGGUGACAUGCCCAUGGGAUUCUUAUAAGCAGUCCUAUAAGCCCAUAGUGCAUCAUAAAGUUUGCUAGACCAGUUCUUUCGAGAUCUAUUGACGGUCUUUUGUAAGAUCAACUUGAUCUCCCUAUUACUCAACUCAACUUGACCACUAGACUGAGGAUGAUACGGAGAUGCAACUCUAUGGUUGACAUCAUACUUAGCUAGCAUCUUGCGGAAAACACCAUGAAUGAAGUGUGAACCGCCAUCAGUCAUCAAGUAUCUAGGGACUCCAAAUCUUGGGAAUAUGACUUCUCUAAGCAUCUUAAUAGAGGUGUGGUGAUCAACAUUUUUAGUGGGGAUAGCUUCUACCCACUUAGUAACGUAAUCCACAGCAACUAAGAUGUGAGUGUACCCAUUGGAACUCGGGAAGGGUCCCAUAUAAUCAAAGCCCCAGACAUCAAAUGGUUCAUUGACAAGUGAAUAGUUCAUAGGCAUUUCCUCACGCUUACUGAUUUCCCUAUCCUUUGUCAUUCGUCACAAGACAAUACAAACUUACGUGCAUCCUUGAAGAGAGUGAGCCAAUAGAAACCUGAUUGCAAUACCUUAUGGGCAGUUCUAUCUCCAGCGUGGUGUCCUCUGUAGGCUUCGGAAUUACACUUCUGCAGGAUCUGUCCCUGUUCAUGUUCAGGCACACAACGUUUAAUAACACCAUCUACUCCUUUCUUAUAAAGGUGAGGAUCAUCCCAAAAGUAGUGUCUCAAAUCAAAGAAGAAUUUCUUCUUUUGCAGAUAGGUGAAACUGGGUAGUAUGUAUUUGGCUACGAUAUAGUUUGCAUAAUCGGCAUACCACGGUGCACUAAGUGAAGUGCGGAUGACAUUUAUUUGCUCAUCAGGAAAGCUAUCAUCAAUAGGUAGUGGGUCAUCAAGGACAUUCUCUAGCCUAGACAAGUUAUAUGCUACAGGGUUAUCAGCACCCUUUCGGUCAAUGACGUGCAAAUCAAAUUCCUGUAGCAGAAGAACCCAUCUGAUCAGCCUAGGCUUAGCGUCCUUCUUCUCCAUGAGGUACUUAAUAGCAGCAUGAUCAGAGUGAAUAGUGACUUUGGAGUCAACUAUGUAAGAUCUGAACUUUUCACAUGCAAACACGACUGCUAAAAAUUCCUUCUUCGUAGUGGCAUAGUUUCUUUGGCCACUGUCUAGAAUUUUACUAGCAUAGUGAAUGACAUUCAACUUCUUGUCAACUCUUUGUCCUAGAACAACACCAACAGCGUAAUCACCCUCGUCACUCAUGAUUUCAAAGGGCAAGUUCCAGUCAGGUGGUUGAACAAUAGGUGCGGUUAUCAAAGCCUUCUUAAGUAUUUCGAAAGCUUCCUCACAAUCCUCAUCAAAAACAAAAGGAACAUCCUUCUGCAAGAGGUUGGUAAGAGGCCUAGAAAUCUUAGAGAAGUCUUCAAUAAACCUUCUAUAGAAACCAGCAUGACCUAGGAAACUUCGUAUACCUCUGAUAUCUAUGGGGCAAGGCAUUUUCUCAAUUGCAUCAACCUUAGCCUUAUCAACUUCAAUGCCUCUUUCAAAUAUUUUAUGUCCUAAGACGAUACCUUCAUUAACCAUAAAGUGACACUUCUCCCAAUUCAACAUGAGGUUGGUUUCUUCGCAUCUCUGUAAGACUCGAUCAAGGUUGCUGAGGCAAUCAUCAAAGGAAGACCCGUAAACGGAGAAGUCAUCCUUGAAAACCUCGACAAUCUUUUCACGAAAGUCAGAGAAUAUAGCCAUCAUACAUCUUUGAAAGGUGGCAGGUGCAUUGCAUAAGCCAAAAGGCAUACGUCUAUAGGCAAAGGUACCGAAAGAGCAGGUGAAAGUGGUAUUCUCUUGAUCAGAUUGUGCAACAGGUAUUUGCGAGAAACCUGAAUAACCGUCUAGAAAGCAGAAGUGUGUGUGUUUUUAUAGCCUUUCUAGCAUUUGGUCGAUGAACGGCAAAGGAUAAUGAUCUUUCCUUGUUGCCUUGUUCAGUUUCCGGAAGUCUAUCACCAUUCUAUAGCUGGUAAUAAUCCUUUGUGGGAUUAGUUCAUCCUUAUCAUUAGGAACGACGGUGAUACCUCCUUUCUUAGGUACGCAAUGUACUAGACUUACCCAAUCACUAUGAGCAACAGGAUAAAUGAUUCCUGCUUCCAAAAGCUUUAAUAUUUCUUUUCUAACGACCUCUUUCAUCUUAGGAUUUAAUCUCCUUUCAUGAUCAACAAUUGGUUUAAAGUCAGGAUCGGUUUUAAUCUUGUGUUGACAUAGAGUAGGACUAAUACCCUUAAGAUCAUCAAGAGUAUAUCCAAUAGCAGCGCGGUGCUUCCUCGGAGUUUUUAGUAACUUCUUCUCUUCGCGCUCUGAGAGGAGAGCACUAAUAAUGACAGGACAUAUCUCCUUCUCAUCAAGAUAGGCAUACUUAAGAGUAUCAGGCAACUUUUAAGCUCGAACACAGGAUCACCCUUUGGUGGGGGAGGAUCCCCAAGUAGUUCAACAGGCAGAUUAUUCUUGAGAAUAGGAUAUUGUUCUAAGACAAUUUUAUCUCUCUCAUCUCUCUCCUCCAUAUGCAUAUCAUUUUCAUGCUCAAGCAGAUAUUGCUCUAAAGGAUCCGUAGGAGGUACGGCAAUAGAGGCAAGAGAAAUGAUUUCAUCUCUACCAGAUGACUCUCUUUCAUGGGGAUGUCUUCCAAACUUGGAGAAGAUAAAUUCAUGAGACACACCCUCGAAACUUACUGUGACAGUCUGCUUAAUGCAAUCAUUGUGAGGAUUGACAGUGUUGAGAAAGGGUCUACCAAAUAUGAAGGGACAAAAGCUAUCUUGUGCAGUACCAAGGAUGAGGAAAUCAGUAGGAUACUUCGUCUUACCACAUAGGACUUCUACGUCUCUCACAAUUCCCAGAGGGCAGAUAAUGUCUCUAUUAGCUAGCGUAAUAGUGACAUCAAUGGGUUCUAACUCAGCAGGUGCAAUCUCAUCUUUGAUUUCAUCAUAUAGAGAAUGGGGUAUUGCACUAACACUACCUCCCAUAUCACAUAAACCAUGGUAACAUUGAUCUCCUAUCUUAACAGGAACAACGGGCAGGCCAACUACAGGUCCGUGUUUGUCUUUCGCGUGAGGUUUAGCAAUUCUAGCGGAGUCCUCAUAGAAUUUGAUAACAUGCCCAUCUAUGUCCUCGGCUAAAAGAUCUUUGAUAAUAGCAACAGUAGGUUCAACUCUAAUCUCCUCAGGGGGUGCAAGUGGUCUAAUGUAACCCCUAUGUAUAACAGUUCGAGGUUUAGAAUAAUCCUUUAUCCUAGCAGGGUAUGGUGGUUUCUCAGUGUAAGCACAAGGAACAACAGGAUCACUAAAAGCUAUGAUUUUCUCCUGAACUAGAUUGGUUUUGGCUAUGUUGCUUUCUACAGGAAGAUGAUAUUAAAACCACUUCUCUUUGGGAAUAUCAACAUGAGCAGCAAAAGAUUCACAUAGAGAAGCUACUAUCUUAGAGUCAAGUCCAUACUUAGCGCUAAAAUCUCUAGAAGUGUUUGUCUCAACAAAAGAUUUAACGCAAUCAAACUGGAAAUUCAUACCUGACUCCUUACCUUCCUCCAGCUCCCAAUCUUCAGAGUUGCGUUUGAUUCUCUCCAAUAAACUCCACUUGUCAUUGAUACGUCUCCAACGUAUCUACUUUUCCAAAGUCUUUUGCCCUUGUUUUGGACUAUAAUUUGCAUGAUUUGAAUGGAACUAACCUGGACUGACGCUGUUUUCAGCAGAAUUGCCUUGGUGUUAUUUUUGUGCAGAAAUCAAAGUUCUCCAAACGUCCUGAAAAUUUACGGGGAGCAGUUUUGGAAAAUAUCAAAAAUAUCUGCGCCAAGUUCCACCUCAGGGGGUGGGCCAGUGGGCCACAAGCCCCUGCUCCGCCACCACCCCCUGGUGGCGGUGGGCAGGCUUGUGGGGCCCAUAGGCACAUGCCGCCCCCAACUCCAGCUCUAUAAGUUGUCUUUCGUCCCAGAAAAAAUAAAAAGAGAAGUUUUCGUCGCGUUUUCGAUACGGAGGCGCAGCCACCACCUGUUCUUCAUCCGGAGGGCAGAUCUGGAGUCCGUCUUGGGCUCCGAAGAGGGGAAAUCGUAGCCAUUGUCAUCAUCAACCUUCUUCCCUCUCCAAUUCCAUGAAGCUCUUUGUCGUUCGUGAGUAAUCUAUUCGUAGGCUCGCUGGGCGGUGAUGAGUAGGAUGGGAUCUAUCAUGUAAUCGAGUUAGUUUUGAUGGGGAUUCAUCCCUAGUAUCCACUAUGUUCUGAGAUUUGAUGUUGCUACUACUUUGCCAUGCUUAAUGCUUGUCACUAAGGCCCGAGUGCCAUGAUUUCAGAUCUGAAAUUAUUAUGUUGUCACCAAUAUAUGUGUGUUUUUGAUCCGAUCUUGGAAGUUGUAGUUACCUCCUAUGUGUUAUGAUCCGGCAACCCCGGAGUGACAAUGACCGGAACCACUCCCGGUGAUGACCAUAGUUUGAGGAGUUCAUGUGUUCACCAAGUGCUAAUGCGUUGGUCCGGUUCUUUAUUAAAAGGAGAACAUUAAUAUCCCAUAGUUUCCUUUUGGACCCCGCUGCCACGGGACGGAUGGACAAUAGAUGUCAUGCAAGUUCUUUUCCCUAAGCACGUAUGACGACACACGGAAUGCAUGCCUACAUCACAUUGAUGAACGGAGCUAGCCACAUAUCUCUCCGUGUUAUAGCUGUUGCAUGAUGAAUAUCAUCCAAACAAAUAACCGACCCAUUGCCUACGAGUUUGUCCUGUUGUUGCUACUACUAUCGCUUGCUACUGCUGCUACUUGCUACUGUUGUCACUACUGUUGUUCCUUGCCACUGCUAUUGCUCGUUACACUGCCGUUACUCGUUACUUUGCUGUUACUACAGUGCUUGCAGAUACUAAUCUUUCAGGUGUGGUUGAAUCUGACAAAUUCAGCUGCUAAUACUCGAGAGUAUUCUCUCACCUCCUUUUGGCGAUCUACAAAUUUGGGUCGAAUACUCUACCCUCGAAAACUGUUGCGAACGCACGCGCUGGUGGGCCAUCAACAACAUUCUUCCAGUUUCAUUGUCGUGGAGUGCCAUCAGCAUUCUUCUGGUGCCGUUGCAGGAGAAGGUUUGUUGUCAUAAGCAUUCGUGUAGUUAACGCCAGAGAUUGCGCAGAUCAGCAUUUUUCUGGCGCCGUUGCCGGGGAGGCAUUGCUAUAUUCUUUGAGUCACUUGUGAUUUAUAUCUUCUGAUCACUAUGAAGAAUCUGAAGGAUCCGAAGACCAAAGUCUUUCCCUCAACUACGAGGGGAGGUAAGGAAUUGCCAUCUAGCUCUACACUUGAUUCACCUUCAGUUAUGAGUAAGUUUGCGACAUCACCUCCUGCUAGAAAUCUUGAUAUGUCGCCUGUGCUUGAUGAUGCUUGUGAUACUACUGCUAGAGAUUCUAUGCUUGAUACUAUGCCUGAUGAUACUAUGCAUGAUACUACUAGAGAUGUUAUGCUUGAUACUAUGCCUGAUAUUGCUAUAGAUGCUAUGCCUGAUACUGCUUUGCCUGAUGAUGCUAGAGAUGCUAUUUUUCCUGAUGAUGCUAUGCUUGAUACUGCUAGAGAUACUACUUUGCGUGAUGUUCCACUAGGAGUGUUCCUUGAUGCUCAUAUUGCUAGAGUUACUGCCAAUGCUCGUGAUGCUUCUAAAACUACCGAUACUAUUGAGAUAGAACCUGCUUUUGCUCCUGCUAGAUCUAUCUCUCCUAGAUAUGAAUUGCCUGAUAUACCUGAGGGUUACGUUGUGGAUGGAGAGAUAGUUGAGGAUUUUCUUGCGUGUAAGGAUUCUAUGACGCUGAGAAAUUAAUUCUCAAGUGGAAGGAAAAAUCUCGUGAAGCUAGGAUGAAAAAUGACCCGAAGUUGGCCACUUCGGCUAUCUUUGUCACCGAUAAGGAUUAUGAAUUCUCUGUCGACCCUCAGAUAAUCUCUCUAGUCGAAUCUGAUCCUUUUCACGGUUAUGAGUCUGAGACGGUCAUAGCCCAUCUUGCCAAACUAUCCAAAAUAUCCAACCUUUUCACUAAUGAGGAGAAGAUCCGCCACUACUAUAUCCUUAAGUUGUUUCCUUUCUCUCUAAAGGAUGACGCUAAAGCCUGGUUCACCUCUCUUGCUCCUGGAUGUGUGCGUAGUCCCCAGGAUAUGGUCUAUUACUUCUGUGAGAAAUAUUUCCCUGCCCAUAAGAAGCAAGCUGCCUUGCAGGAAAUAUACAACUUUGCUCAACUCCAAGAAGAGAGUCUUCCACAAGCUUGGGGGAGGCUCGUCCAGCUACAGAAUGCUUUGCCUGAUCACCCUCUUAAGAAGAACGAGAUACUUGAUAUCCUCUAUAACGGACUUACCGAUGCCUCUAGAGACCACCUAGAUAGUUGUGUUGGUUGUGUUUUUAGGGAACGGACUGUAGAACAAGCUGAGACCCUACUGAAUAACCUCUUGAUCAACGAUAAUGCUUGGACUAUUCCUGAACCACCUCCUAAGCCAACUCCUAAGAAAAGUGGUAUUCUAUUCCUCAGUCCCGAAGAUAUGCAAGAAGCCAAGAAAUCUAUGCAAGAGAAAGGCAUUAGAGCUGAAGAUGUCAAAAAUCUACCACCUAUCAAAGAGAUCCAUGGUCUCGAUAACCCGAUAGAGGUAGUAGAAGUGAAUUAUCUGCAUAGGUUUUAUGAGAGUGAUAUUCCUUUUGAUAAACCUGCUAGCCUAUGCUUUGAUGAAUUUGACAACUUUGUUGCCAAACAACAAAGUUUCAAUGAUUAUGUUAGCAGACAUUUGGAACAAAGUACUCGUAUGCUUAGCCAUUUAAGUGCUUGUGUAGACAGAAAUGUCAAUGCUCUGAAGCUUCUGAGUAAACAUGCCUCUAUGAUUACUACUCAGGUAGAACAAGUACUUAAAGCUCAGAAUGACCUGCUCAAUGAAUUAAAUGACAAGUUUGGCGGAAUCAUUACUAGAGGAGGCAAAAUGACUCAGGAACCUUUGUAUCCUAAAGGUCAUCCUAAGAGAAUUGAUCAAGAUUCUCAAGGAAUCAAUGCUGAUACACUGAGUCAUCCUAAGGAGAAGAAGAAGGAUGAUAGAAACCUGCAUGCCAGUUCACCAAAUACUGUCACACCUGAAGAACCUAAUGAUAUUUCUACGUCUGAUGCAGAAACACAAUCUGGUGAUGAACAUGAACGUGGUGACAAUAUGGACAAUGAUGUUCGUAAUAAUGCUCAACCUAGCCAUGAUGAGGAUGUGGAGAUUGAACCUAUGGUUAAUCCUGAUAAUCCACAACCUAAGAGAUACGAUAAGAAUGACUUCACUACAACGAAGCAUGGUAAAGAAAGAGAGCCAUGGGUUCAGAGACCUAUGCCCUUUCCUCCAAAGCCAUCCAAGAAAAAGAAUGAUGAGGAUUUUGAGCGCUUCGUUGAGAUGAUAAGACAUGUCUUUCUGCGGAUGCGGUUAACUGAUAUGCUCAAGAUGUCUCCGUAUGUCAUGUACAUGAAAGAUAUCGUGACUAAUAAACGGAAGAUACCAGAUCUUGAGAUCUCCACCAUGCUUGCCAAUUAUACUUUCAAAGGUGGAACUCCUAAGAAACUUGGUGAUCCCGGAGUGCCCACCAUACCUUGCUCCAUUAAAGGAAACUACGUAAGAACUGCCUUAUGUGACCUUGGAGUCGGUGUUAGUGUUAUGCCGCUCUCUCUUUAUUGUAGACUUGGAUUAGAUAAGUUGACACCCACUGAAAUUUCUCUGCAAAUGGCCGACAAAUCAACUGCUUUCCCUAUCGGCAUUUGCGAGGAUGUGCCUGUUGUGGUUGCUAAUACCACUAUCUUAACAGACUUUGUUAUCUUGGAUAUCCCCGAGGACGAUGUCAUGGCUAUUAUCCUUGGAAGACCCUUUUUAAACACUGCAGGGGCUGUUAUAGAUUGUAACAAAGGCAAUGUCACUUUCCAUGUCAACGGUAAUGAGCACACCGUGCACUUUCCGAAGAAAUGAUAUCGAGUACAUUGCAUCAAUGCUAUCGAAAAGACUUCAUCGAUUCUUAUUGGGAGCUUUGAAUGCCCUAUUCCUCGUGUCAAGAUGAAGUAUGAUUUUGUUUUUGGGGAGAUACAUAUCCCCAUUGAGGUGACUUAGUGGUUAUUUGAAAAUUCUCCGUUCUCUCUUGCGAUUCGAGAAGGUUUUGUCAUAAGGAUUUGAUCAACCCCAUUGACGAAUUUCUUCCGAUGACCAUGAAACGGAUGAAUUAAAGAGUCACAUACCUCUGUUUUGAGUCUUCAUUUUCUGUUGCUUAGAAGAAAAAUGAUAGAAUUAGUUUAGCUUUUCCUGUUUUCUGUUUUAGCGUCCCGGAGAAAAAUACCUCGAAAUAAAAGUUCUCCGAUGGUCCUGUAAAUUUAGUAUGAUUUUUUCUGGAAUUUUUGAUAAUUUCUGGGCCUGAGAGCUGGUCAGGGGGCCUGUCCAGUGGGCCACAAGCCCCUCCCCCACCGCCACCUACCCCCCUAUUGGCAGGGUGCAAGCUUGUGGGGGCCAUAGGCAUCCCCUCCACUCAUUCCAGCUCCGAGCCUCUUCUUCCACCUCCAGAAAAAAUUGUUUCGCAGCUCAAACCCGUGUUCUUGCUCAUUUGGCUGUGAUUUUCAAUCUCCUUGCUCAAAGCACCAUUCUCCAAACCGUUUUGGGGAAAUUUCUCCUUGGUAAGUGACUCCUCCAUUGGUCCAAUUAGUUUUUUCUCUAGUGCUUUAUCCUUCGCGUAUUCUUGCUACCUUGGUGACCCAGUUCUUCAGCUAGAAAUGUUGAUUUUAGCCGGUCCCAUGUAGUUUUAGCGCGUGAUACGGUCUCUAGGCACUAGUAAGAGUAGUUGCUACAAGUUGGGUUGAUCCUUGUUCACUUCUCUUUCGAAGUCUCUAAAAAUUUAAGAAUUUUGCAGAGCUAGAAAAAGGAAAAGAUGAGGAGGUUCUUGAGAGGCUCUUCAAGUCGUAACCACAAGGAGGAUGAGAAGAACCACCCCAAGUACGCAGUCCCUCGAGUCACAGAAGUUCGAGCGUGCGAGUGGCCAAGUGAUGAAUUUUUGCGAGCCAUCGGACUUUAUGAAGACUUGGUGGAGAAUGCAGGUCUUACUGCAUUCGUUGAAGAUAAGUGCCUACAAUAUCUCCUCCUCACCAAUAUUUUCGUCCAAAGCUUCAACUUUUAUCCGAGAAAGAAUCCUCCCAUGGUUGAGUUCAUGAUUUACGAUGUCCCCCGGUGCAUGACGUUGCAUGACUUUUGCAAUGUAUGCAAAUUACCUUAUGUUGGGAAUAUCCGUGACCCUCGUCCACGGGACUUGGAGGAUUUCAUUGGUUCUAUUGCUGUUGGAGAGGAGAGAGGAGUGUCUCGCGCUAGAAUUGCUAGCAUACAUUUUCCUGUGCUUCGGUACUUCUCACUAUUUGUGGGAAAAUGUUUGAUUGGCCGUGGGGAGGCUGGAUCACUUAGUUCUCCAGACCUUGCUGUUUUGCACGAAGGCCUUUAUAACGAUAAGACUUAUAGCUUGGGCGCUAUAGUAGCUCAACGGUUAAACUUGAACCGUUCCAAGGGUGUUGUCUAUGGAGAUAUCUAUGCUACCCUUCUUGCCAGACACUUUGAGAUACUGAUUAGACUGGGAGAGGAAGGAGAGAUGCUUCUCCCUAAGAGAUAUCUGGAUUAUGACAGCAUGGUUCGCCAUGAUUUUCUGGAUAGAGAUGCUAGUAGACGGAUGAUUUAUAACCUGGUGUUUAGUCAGGGUACUCGAGAGACUAUUACUUUGCGUGCUCCUUCUUUGUUUGAUCUUCAUGCAGGCAGGUGCACUAUUAUGCCCGCGGACAUCUACGCAUAUUGGGGCUUGGCCCAACCACAGGCGCCCGUGCCCGAGCCGCCAGUCGAGUACCAGACGCCAGUUUAUCAGUGGGAGCCAGAGGAGCUCACAAAGCAGUGGCAUCCACAGUCUGCUCCAGAGUAUCCUGCAGCUGGUUAUUUCCCACCAUGGGAGUAGACCAAGCUAGGCCAAAAGCCUAAGCUUGGGGGAGUACGUGUUCUCACCGACUUUACACUCAUGCUUAUGCUUUCACUUUGUUAGCCGGUGUUUACACUUUGCCACUGUAUUAUCCAUGCUAGUUUAUCUUUGUUUUCUUGUUUUCUUGUUUUGUGUCGUUUUGAGAAAACCGAAAAAGAUUUUCCUUUCUUCUUUUGCUUGUUGGGAGCUUUCCCAUGUAAAUAGUUUUCUUUUUCUUUGUGUCAAGGUAGAAGAUAUUGGUUACAAUGUUUAUUGGUUCUUACAUGCUUACCUAUUUAGCUUUCAAAGAGCCAUAUUAUUUUGUCUUCUCCUUUGUGUUUGCCUGCACAUUCAGCUUAGUCCAAUUCGCUUAUUAUCAUUUUCAUCGUUCGAUCGUGCAAAUGAAAGGCAACAAUGAUGAUAUAUGAUGAAGUGACUGAGACAGAAAAGCUGGUAUGAACUCUAUCUAUUUUGUUUUUGUAAUUAUGACUAUCUUGUCGACCCAGAUUUAGCUUUGUUGUGAGAGAACCAAGUUUGCAAUGACAACUUAGAGAUCAUAGUUUCUGAUGCCAUGCUUAUUUAGCAAAGAGCUUAUAAUGGUUUGUCUUGAUUGCCAACAUAGAUUUUGAGAUGACUAUGAUGUAGCAUGCUAGGAUGGUAUUCUCCUUUGAAUGUUUCAAGUGGAUUGACUUGGCACAUGUUCAUGCAUGUAGUUGAAACAAAAUCAACAUCGCCUCUAUGAUGUUCGUGUUCAUGGUGAUUUAUAUCCUGUUCAUGCUUGCAUUUAAUGUUAGUCAAACUCAUUGCAUCUUGAUGACUGUUGUCGCUCUCUAGUUGGUCGCUUCCCUGUCUUUUGCUAGCCUUCGCUUAUACUAAGCGGGAAUACUGCUUGUGCAUCCACUUCCAUAAACCCAAAAGUUUUUCCAUGAGAGUCCACCAUACCUACCUAUUUGCAGUAUCUACCUUCCGUUCCAAGUAAAUUUGCAUGUGCCACUCUCUAAACCUUCAAGAAAUAAAUCUGUUUUGCAUGCCCGAACCGCUCAUGUCGUGACAGAGGGCUAUUUGUAUCUUCCAUGCUAGGAGUGUUAUCCUCGACAUGUGUUUAUUCACAGUCAUUCACAAGAAAGGGGCCGGUAUUUGGGAUGCCCAGUUCCAUGCUUACAUCGAAAACAUAAUUGUAAAACAAGACUCCCCCCAUAUUGAUGUUAGUAUGGACGGUACCCGAGGAUUCGGCUAGCCGUGGAGUGUGAUUGAUUGGUGGUGCAGGAGUUAAAACUUUACUUUUCUGUUUGGGAACCACCUAUAGCAUGAGUAGCAUGGAAGAUAUUGAGAACUCUUGGUCAUUGCGUUGACAAUGAAAGCAUGCCACCCAAAAUUAUUAUCUUUGUUUCGAAAGCUUGAGCUCUGGCACCUCUGCAAAUCAAUGCUUCCCUCUGCGAAGGGCCUGUCGAGUCAUCCUCCUCUUAUAUAAGCCCCAAUUAGAGAGCACCUCUGUCAUUUUUAUGCUUUGUUUUGAUUGAUAUUGAGUAUGACUAUGACUGGAUCUUCGUUGCUACAAAUUACAAUGUUUAGUCAGCCCUUGAUCUUUGAAAGUGCUCUGCAUUUAUGUUUUGCGGUCUCAGAAAGAGCUAGCGAGACACCAGCUAUUCAUAUUGCUUCAUGCUUGUUUUGAUUGAAGUGUUGUUAUUUGAAACUCAUAAUUAUUUGCUCGUUAGCUGAUUAUGCCAUUGAUAUUAGUUUACCGUGAGACCUUUGUGUCAUUUGCUUAUGUGGUUAACUUGUGAUCUUGCUGAAAUUCUGGUUAUGAGUCAGACAUAGUUGCAACAACAAGAUCAAACAGAGUUUGUCAAAGUUUUUCUUUCUCUCUCAGUUUGUCAACUGAGUUGCUUGAGGACAAGCAAGGUUUUAAGCUUGGGGGAGUUGAUACGUCUCCAAUGUAUCUACUUUUCCAAACUCUUUUGCCCUUGUUUUGGACUAUAAUGUGCAUGAUUUGAAUGGAACUAACCUCGACUGACGCUGUUUUCAGCAGAAUUGCCUUGGUGUUAUUUUUGUGCAUAAAUCAAAGUUCUCCAAACAUCCUCAAAAUUUACGGGGAGCAGUUUUGGAAAAUAUCAAAAAUAUCUGCGCCAAGUUCCACCUCAGGGGGUGGGCCAGUGGGCCACAAGCCCCUGCUCCGCCACCACCCCCCUGGUGGCGGUGGGCAGGCUUGUGGGGCCCACAGGCACCUACCGCCCCCAAAUCCAGCUGUAUAAGUUGUCUUUUGUCCCAGAAAAAAUCAAAAGAGAAGUUUUCAUCGCGUUUUCGAUACGGAGGCGCCGCCACCACCUGUUCUUCAUCUGGAGGGCAGAUCUGGAGUCUGUCUUGGGCUCCGGAGAGGGGAAAUCAUCGCCAUUGUCAUCAUCAACCUUCUUCCUCUCCAAUUCCAUGAAGCUCUUCGUCGUUCGUGAGUAAUCUAUUCGUAGGCUCGCUCGGCGGUGAUGAGUAGGAUGAGAUCUAUCAUGUAAUCGAGUUAGUUUUGAUGGGGAUUGGUCCCUAGUAUCCACUAUCUUCUGAGAUUUGAUGUUGCUACUACUUUGCCAUGCUUAAUGCUUGUCACUAGGUGUUGGGGCAUAGUUUAUGCCUAAGUAAUUUUGGUGAUUGAUGACAGUACCACAAAGGACUAACCGUGUGUAUUAAGAUUUCAGAUAACACACGUCAACGGAACAAGACGAGUCGCCCCCUCUUUCGUGGAACAGAAGCACGGUGUUCCCUACGAUUCUCUUUAUUUGAGUCAUAGGAAAGCCGUACUAUUAAGAGGGGAACCGUAGUGGAAAGUUUUGGGUGGAAUCAAUCUUGCACGCGCACACUUCACAUAUUUUCCCCCUUGCCGGCAACUUUGGAGUGGCUCCCGCCGUACUGUUUCCUUCAUCUUUGCAAAGGGUCCCCGAGCGGUAGUACCGCUGGGCCUAGCGGUAGUACCGCUAGCGUGCUAGCGGUAGUACCGCCCCUGGUCAACGGUAGUACCGCUCCAGGAGCUUAGUACCGCCUGCCUAGCGGUUGUACGUGGACGGACCUUUUUGCGAAGACUUUCUUGGCGGUGGUAGUGCUUAUACACUACCACGGGCCCAGCGGUAGUACCGCUGAAGCGAGCGGUAGUACCGCUGGAGUGCCAGCGCUAGUACCGUUGCAUCCAGCGGUAGUACCGCUAGGCACGGGCUGUGAGUGGGAAAACAGUUGGAUUUUUCCCCCACUAUGUAAAGGGUUCUUCUAGCUGUGGAACCCUAUCUCUUACCCUCCCAAGCUCCAUUGUUGCUCCCUAAGCUCAAAAGUGCCCGAUCUCUCUCCCUAGCCAAUCAAACUUGUUGAUUCUUUAGGGAUUGGUUGAGAAGGCCUAGAUCCACACUUCCACCAAGAGAAAAGUUGAUUCCCCCACCAAUCCCUUGCGGAUCUUGUUACUCUUGGGUGCUUGAGCAUCCUAGAUGGUUGAGGUCACCUUGAAGCCACAUUCCAUUGUGGUGAAGCUUCGUGGUCUUGUUGGGAGCCUCCAAGCUUUGUGUGGAGUUUGCCCCAACCUUGUUUGUAAAGGUUCGGUCGCCGCCUUCAAGGGCACCUAUAGUGGAAUCACGGUACCUUGCAUCGUGCGAGGGCGUGAGGAGAAUACGGUGGCCUUAGUGGCUUAUUGGGGAGCAUUGUGCCUCCACACCGCUUCAACGGAGACGUACUUCCUGUCAAAGGGAAGGAACUUCGGUAACACAUCCUCGUCUUCAUUGGUUCCACUUGUGGUUAUCUCUAACCUUUACUUUGUGUAAGCUUAUGUUGUUGUCUUUCCCUUACUUGUCUUAGUAGCUACCGUUGCUAGUUUCAUUACGGUUCACCCCAUUGUUGUCAUAUUUGUGAACCCGUAUGUUGUUUACCCUAUCUUGCUAAGAUUAAUUAAAAAGUGGUCGUUGCCUAUUCAAACCCCCCCCCCUCUAGUCAACCAUAUUGAUCCUUUCAAUUGGUAUCAGGGCCACGUCUCUUUAUUAAGGGUUUCACCACCCGAAGAGUAUGGAAGGCGAAGAGGGAAUUAACCAUGGGCAACCCGAGGCCAUGGACUUGACUACGGUCACAAGGGACGACUUGAAUACGGCUAUGGCCGCCUUCAAGACGUCCUUGAUGAACGAAGUCAAGACCAUGCUUAAAGAGUUAAUUGAGGGAUUUAAAAGUCGACCCGAACCGGCAUUAGUGGUUAAACCCACCAACACCGAUUCGGAGGCUAAUUCCUCUAAGGAAGCGGCUAAAGGUAUGCGACCUUCCUCAUCUCACGAAAAGGAUGGGACUGGAACAUAUGCCUCAGUUCCACCCCCAUGGUCUAUGGAGGAUCCGUUCCCGCACCGCGUCUUAAUCCUGUUGGUCCUCCUCCUAAGCUUGUGAAAGGUGACUUUGCUAACUGGGUAUUUUCUAUUAAGUCUCAUUUGAAUCACAGCUCAACCAACUUGUGGAGAAUCAUCGAGCAAGGAUAUUAUCCCCAUGACCCAAGCAACCUCACUCCAAGAGAAGAUGCAGACAAUCAAUACAAUCACUCCGCCUUGUUUAUUCUCCAGUCUGCAGUGCCACCUGAAGAUCUUCCUCACAUGCGUCCCUUCACUUUGGCCAAAGAUUGUUGGGAGCAUAUUAUGGUGUUGUACAAGGGAAGCUCAAGCAUUCAACGAUCCAACUAUGAAGUGAUCCUUGAUAAGGCCGAUGAGUUUGUGAUGAAGGAAGACGAGGACCCUCGUGAUCUCUAUCGGAGGGUGACUUCUAUUGUUGUGGCACUCAAGGAUCAUGGGAGCAAGGAUGUGGAUGAUACAUGGGUCAAGCGCAAGUUUCUCAAAGCCAUCAUGCCUUUCAACAAAGCCAUGUCAUCUGUCAUUCGUUAGCGGCCAGACUUCCACUCCUUGUCUUCCAGUGAGGUGUUGGAUGAAUUCAUUGCAAUGUCAAUCAUGAACGAAACAGCCGACAAUGCACUUGCUCGUGUUCGCUCAAAGACAACUUCACCCAACCUUGCACUAAAAGCAAAAGCAAUGUUUGAAGAAGAAGAAGAGGAUGAGGAAGAGGAGAGUUGCCCUGAAGACACAAAGUAUGCCUAUCAUGAGCACAUGGCUCUUGCGUCAAGGCAAUUCUGGGGCAACAAGAGGAACUCAAGACCCACCUUCACCAAGAACAACUCGAGUGGUUUCAAACCCAAGCAACGAGUGAGGACAUGUUAUAACUGUGGUAACGUGAGCCACUUCGUGGCCGAAUGUCCCUAUGAAAAAAGGGAAGACAACGGGGGCAAGCUCAUUCGCAAAGACAAAACCAAAUCAUUUCCAAUCAAGAACAACUUUGUGAAGAAACCCCACCCAAAAGGGAUGGUGGCCCUUGAAGAGUACCCUUCCGAUGAUGAUGAUGAUGAUGCAGUGGCAACGGCAACUGUUGCUAUUGCCACUACCUCUCCCCAGAAGGUGUCUCUCUUCAACGCGCCCAACGAGAACCACAUCACCAAGUGCCUCAUGGCAAAAGGUAUCAAUCAGGUAACUCCCAUCAUUAAGACCAACAUCGCUACUGCUCCUUCAUUGUUAAAUUGUGUUGAUGAUAGUGAUGUUGGGGAACUUAAUGAGCAUGAUCUUGACAAGUUUCUGUGCACUAUUAAGGGAGAAUCCAAGAAGCACUUUGUUGCUCUCUGGAACAAUUGGGUGAGGCCACUGACCUCAUUGAGUCUCAUGAGGAGACCAUCUCUCAGCUUCAGGGACACAGUCGUGACUAUGCUGAUGAAAUUGCUGAAUUAUCUAUUGCUCUAGAAAAGGAGCGCACUCUUCGUUUGGCUCUUGAGGAGUCAUAUAACGAUGACUGCGCUAAAAUGCAAAAGAAACUUAAUCAUGAUGUCAUUCUUACUCGUAUGCUUAAGUCUGAAAAGUAUGCUCUUGGGGUUGGCCAUGACAGACUCAAAGUGGAGUUUGACACACUUGACAAGGCCCACAAGGUCUUGAAAGGUGUUCAUUUCUCUCUAAAAGAGUCUCAUGAUCAACUCCAAGCAAAGCUUACCAAGGAGAUCUCUACUUGUCCUCCCUUUGUGUUAAUUAAUAAUGCUUGUGCAACUAAUCCCUGUUGUGAUCAUGUACAUCUUGUGGAGGAAAAUGCCAAGUUAAAGGAGAAACUUGAGAAGGGCCUUGUGGCAUGCAUACAAGGUGAGAAGAGCCUGAACGAUCUCUUGAGCACUCAAAAAGGUGUUGUAGGGAAGGAGGGACUUGGACUUACCUCCAAGUCAAAAGGUAAAAGGAGAAACAGGAACAAACGAUCUCCUACCCUCAUGGACAUGUUUGUCAAAGAGGGUGAGGGGACUCAGAAGGUGAACAGGAACAAGAUGGACUAUGGAAACCACAACAAGGGCAACACCAUUCCUACUAACACAGCCGACCAACUCAAUUCUUCUUAUGUCUUAUGUCGUGCUAGUGAUGGGCAUGUUUAUGCCAGAUUUGUUGGUUCCUACGAUGAGUACAUUGAAUGGGCUAUCUGGGUUCCUAAGACCCUUGUCUCUAACAUGAAAGGACCCAUUAAAAAAUCGGUACCUAAAGCCAAGCCUUGAUCUAUUGCAGGAGUUUGCUUCCGGUGGGGUGUGAUGGUUUCUCGAUAGUGGAGCAACAAAUCAUAUGACCGGAAGCAAGGACUUAGUGGUGGAUGUGCAUCCUUCUCCAUCUAUGCCCACCCAUGUCCAAUUCGCCGAUGCAUCCUCGUCAAAGGUAUUGGGAUUUGGUAAGGUGGUCGUCUCUCAAGAUUUAUCUAUUGAGAAGGUCAUGCUUGUUGAGUCACUUGCCUACAAUUUACUUUCGGUUCGUCAACUUGCAAUUGUGGGUUUUCUACAUUCUUUAAUUUUGAUAUUGUGGUCUUCCUGUGGAGCAAGACUCUUAAAGUAGCCUAUGUUGGAUAUGUCAAAAAUGGUCUUUAUGUGGUGAACUUCUCAAAGCGACCCACUAAGACCGCGACGUGUUUAAUGGCUAAAGUUGAUGUGGGCUGGCUUUGGCAUCGCCGUUUAGCUCAUGUCAAUAUGAGAUCUUUGCAAAGUCUUCUAACAGGGGACCAUAUCCGUGGACUAACAAAUGUGAGUUUUGCUAAAGAUAGUGUUUGCAGUGCCUGCAUUGAAGGAAAGAUUCAUGAAACUGCUCAUCGUCCAACGACUCUCAUCUACACUAAGAGGCCAUUGGAGCUCCUCCAUAUGGAUCUGUUUGGCCCUCCAUCAUUUGAUAGUCUUGGAGGCAGAAAGUACUGCUUGGUGAUUGUUGACGACUACUCAAGAUACACCUGGGUAUAUUUCGUCAAAAGGAAGAGUGAAAAUCAACAAACUGUAACUUUGCUAAUGAAGAUCAACGUCAACAUGAAGCAAAGAUCUUGAUGAUUAGAAGUGACAACGACACCGAGUUCAAGAACUACAGCUUGGAUGAGUUUCUAGGUGAUGAGGGAAUAAAACAUCAAUAUUCAGCACCAUAUACCCCUCAACAAAACGGCAUGGCAGAAAGGAAGAACCGGACCUUGAUAGACGCUACAAGAACAAUGAUGGUGGAAUUCAAAUCUCCAUCUAACUUUUGGGCAGAGGCCAUCAACAUAGCAUGUCAUCCGUCCAAUCGGCUCUAUAUCCGCAAAGUCUUGAACAAGACUCCUUAUGAGAUUCUAACUAGAAACAAACCCAAUCUCAAGUACUUCCGGGUAUUCGGUUGUAAGUGUUUCAUUCUCAAGAAAGGUGCACGUUUAGUGAAAUUUGAUUCUAGAUCUCAUGAGGGCAUCUUUGUUGCUUAUGCUACAAACUCUCAUGCUUACCGAGUCCUCAACAAGUCCACUGGACUCAUUGAGGAGACGUGUAACAUGGAGUUUGAUGAAAAUAAUGGCUCCCAAGUGGAGCAAAGUGGUCUUUGUGAUAUAGGUGAUGAAAUUCCUCCCCAAGCCAUAAGAAGAAUGGGGAUUGGUCAAAUACUCCCCAUUGAGGAACCCCUUGUGGCCGAAGGAGAAGGACAAUGCUCUACUCAAGUGGAGCCAUCACCUCCACAAGCCCCACACGCUUCCGAUGAACAAAGAGAAGUCUCUCAACAAAAUGAACAAGCUCAAGGUCAAGAUAAAUUGCCCAACAACGAUGAUGUGUCUCAUGAUAUUCAAGCACUCACCCAAGACUCCGAACCGGCUCAUGAUCAAGAUCAAGUGCAACCACGAGAUCCAGACCAAGUAGAAGCACAAGAUCUAGAUCAAGAGCAACCACAAAUACAAGAUCAAACUAGUGAACCUGCUCAAGUCAAAAGUCAAGAUGAUCAGGAUACUGUCUUACAAUUCCCUUCCGCAGCACCAACAGCCGGUGCCAAGGGAGGCUCAAGACGCAAGGGCAAGCAAAGUAAACAAGUCGAUGCUCCCCCGCUAUCCAAUGAAGAAAUCUUGGAGCGUCGAGAAGCCAAGAUUGCGAACAAGCUGAGAGUCAAGUCACAUCUUAUGAAGAAUGUACUUGGCAGUUUAAAAAGGGGAGUAUCCACCCGUCAACAGAUUUGGAAUUAUUGUGAGCAUCGCGCGUUUGUUUCGUAUUGUGAACCUCAACAGGUACAGGAAGCGCUUGAUGAUGAGGAUUGGCUUAUGGCCAUGCAUGAAGAACUUAACAACUUCGAGCGCAACCAAGUGUAGGAUUUAGUGCCAAGGCCAACGGAGGAACAUAAUGUCAUCGGGACCAAAUGGAUAUUCAAGAACAAGCAAGAUGCCAAUGGGAUUGUGAUUCAAAACAAGGCAAGAUUGGUGGCUCAAGGCUACUCCCAAGUCGACGGUAUCGACUACGGUGAAACCUUUGCCCCUGUUGCUCAUCUAGAAUCUAUUCGCAUGUUGCUUGCAUUUGCUUCUCAUCAUAACUUCAAAUUACAACAAAUGGAUGUGAAAAGUGCCUUUCUUAAUGGUCCUUUAAAUGAGUUGGUCUAUGUCAAACAACCCCUGGGAUUUGAACAUCCCAAGCUCCCCAAUCAUGUGUACAAACUUAAUAAGGCACUGUAUGGCCUUAAACAAGCCCCACGUGCAUGGUAUGAGUAUCUUACUGAGUUGUUACAAGAUAGUGGGUUUGAAAUUGGGAAGAUAGAUCCCACUCUUUUUACUAAGAGGGUUAAAUGGGAUUUGUUCAUAUGCCAACUAUAUGUUGAUGAUAUUAUCUUUGGCUCUCCUAACAUUUCCUUCAAUGAAGAAUUUGCUGCACUGAUGACUGAGAAAUUUGAGAUGUCCAUGAUGGGAGAGUUGAAGUUCUUCCUCGGGUUUGAGAUUAAACAAGGCCUAGAAGGGACCUUCAUCAAAAAAGCCAAGUACACUCAAGACAUGCUUAAACGGUUCGAUCUUGAAGAUGUAAAACCGGUCAAGUUCCCCAUGCCAACAAGAUGCAAGCUUGACAGUGAUCCCAAUGGUAAAGCAGUGGAUCAAAAGGUAUAUCGCUCCAUGAUUGGAUCCCUCCUUUACCUUUGUGCAUCUAGACCGGAUAUUAUGUUGAGUGUAGGGAUAUGUGCACGGUUUCAAUCCGCACCAAAAGAAAGUCCUUAUAUGGCUGUUAAGCGAAUCUUUCGAUAUUUGGCUCAUACCCCAAACUUUGGCCUUUGGUAUCCCAAAGGAGCAAACUUCAAUCUAGUUGGCUAUUCUGACUCAGAUUGGGUAGGAGAUUGUGUGGAGAGGAUGUCAACUUCUGGAGGAUGCCAAUUCCUUGGUCGCUCAUUGGUAAGUUGGUCUUCAAAGAAGCAGAAUUGCAUCUCUCUAUCAUCCCCCGAAGCUGAGUAUGUGGCAACUGCAAGUUGUUGUGCACAAAUGCUAUGGAUGAGGCAAACUUUAAAGGAUUACGGUGUCACUUGUGACAAAGUGCCUCUUCUAUGUGACAAUCAAAGUGCUAUCAAGAUUUCCCUCAAUCGAGUGCAACAUAGCAAAACCAAGCAUAUUGAUAUUCGCCAUCACUUCAUUCGUGAACAUAUCAAGCUAGGUGAUAUUGAGGUUCAUUUCAUCCACACUAAAGAGCAACUUGCAGAUAUUUUCACUAAGCCCCUAGAUGAAGCAAGGUUCCGGGAGUUAAGGCAUGAGCUAAAUAUCAUUGAUUCAAGUAAUGUGGAUUGAAGCUAGGCACGUUGCACCUCACUAUGCAUUCUAUCUUGUUCUAGAUGUAGGCAUGGACAUAGGGGGAGUGUUGUUCUCUCAAUGAACUUUUCCUCCCCCCAUUAUGCAUAAAUCGAUCUAGUCUUUCACUUUAGCCAUUGUCAAAUGGCACUUUUGCUUCAAAGACGAGAAUUGGUCAUGAACCCAAGGAUAAUUCUUCAGGUGUCAUACUUUUGCCUCAAACAUAGGUGGCCUCGGCCACCGCCCCCCCCCCACCUUUCUCUCAUAUAGAAGGAAGGAUAUAAAAUGACAAGUUAGUAUAUCUUGCUGGUGCUAUCUUCUUUUUCACUCACUCGUCAUUUGCCCAUGUUCUUCUGUUAUUCUAGGCCCCGUGGUAACAUUGGCAGCGGUACUACCGCCAGGGGUAGCGGUAGUACCGCCAGGACCCCAGCGGUAGUACCGCCAGGGGUAGCGGUACUACCGCCAGGACCCCAGCGGUACUACCGCCAGGGAUACCGGUACUACCGCCAGGAUCCCAAUCUACCACGACCUAACUAGGACAUUUUUAGGGGUGUCUCAGGGGGAGCGGUACUACCGCCAGGACCCCAGCGAUACUACCGCUGCAGCCAGCGGUACUACCGCCAGGUAGCGGUACUACCACCAGGACCACAGCGGUACUACCACUGGCCCGUACCCUUGGGCUAUAUAAAGGAGGGGGAGCCCGUUUUUCUGCCUCCUUCAUCUUCCUCGCGGCUCCUCCCUCCCCAACCUCGAACUCCCCCGAUUUCGAUCUCUAUUCGUGGAGCCCCUUCUCUCCAUUGAGUUGGAGGGUUUGCUCCACUUCUCCUUCCUCCUCCAAGUGCCAUUGAUCCUGGUAAAGCUCCUCCCCUUCUUCUCUUGAUUGUUGUUCUUGUUCUAGGGUUAGGAGCAUUGGUGAUUUGGAUCCAUGUCUUUGAUAUUGUGCCUUGUUCUUGGAUGGCAUGAAGGAGAUGUUCAAGGGGAGUGUAGGUCCUAUGAAUCUGUGCUUUUAUUUUGCCAUGCCCUAGGAUUUACAUGUUUUAGAUCAAGCACUUGGACUAUGUUUGGAUUAGAUCUAAAACUUGCUCUCUCUUGACUAGGCAUGUGCUUAUUUAGAUGGUACUUGUGACCCUCAUGAGAUUAGGGCUAUGUUGCAGUUCUUAGUGUUCAUACACAGCCCAUAGCCCUCGUCAAAUCCAUGUAGCCAUCUCUAUGGGUUCCAUUCAUAUUUCCGAUCUGGAAAAUCAAACCCCAGCGGUACUACCGCCAGGGUAGCAUUACUACCGCCAGGACCCCGGCGUUACUACCGCCAGGGGUAGCGGUACUACCGCCAGGACCCCGGCGGUACUACCGCCAGGAGGAUCCUCUGUGUAUUCUUUUCAUGUGCUUGGCAAUGUGUGUUUAUUUUUCUUCCUUCUCUUGUUCAUUGCCUUGACUCCUUUUGUCGCUCUUUUUCGGUGUGUGUUUUGUGUCAUAGGUGGUGCUCGCCGCUCAAACCCCCCACGGGACAUGCAGUCAAAGCAUUAUCGCAACCCAGAGGCUCUAGAGGGCUCCGCCACUUCAGGUCUACAACCCAAAAAGCAGGCCUUCAAGAAGACCUCUCACAAGGACAAGGGGCUCAACGUUCGCACCAUGCCCCCUAAGUAUUUUCUGCGGUUCCGCACCCAAAACCACUAUCUCCAAGAGCGGGCUGUGAUCAAGAAUGUCGAGCAUGUGUGGACAAGGGAUCACUGCAGGAUCUACCGUGAUAUCAUCAACCAUUUCAACAAGAACUUUGUCCCUGUUCAGUGGAUUGACCUGGCUCACCUUUAGCGGAACUUGGACUACUUUGGUGAUGCUCUCUCUCUGAUUGACAAACUGGGCAUCAAGGAGAUCAUCUCUUUCAAGACAGACUUUGACCCCAAUGUUGUUGCCCAGUUCUAUGUCACGGUUCACUUCUCUCCUGAUGACGAGCGCUCCAUGGUGUGGAUGACUGGGACUCAAAAGAUGACCGGUUCCUAGCGUGAAUUCAUGGCAUUCCUCAAGGUUGAUUUCCAGGGAGCUGACACUCCACUUGGGUUGCGUCCUCAUGCUGCAGCUUCCACUGAUAGGGCCUCCACCAAGGACAGAUUGCAGCUACUCUAUGUGAAGAAGGGUGUGCUCCCCAGGCAUCUCGACAUCAUGCAUCGGAUCUUUCGCAACACCCUCUUUCCUUGCAUUGGCAACUUCGACGAGGUACAUGACUCUCUGGCUAAGAUGCUACUGCUCUGUGAGGAGGCUAUGACUAAGGAGUCUGCCCCUCUUGAUAUUUCUGAUGUGAUGUUCACUGAGCUCUGGAACUGCAUCACAAUGCGCAAGGUUCCCAUCUACGGGCCCUACUUGUUUGCUUAUAUCCGUUAGAAGUGGCAAGACACCUAUCCGCAGGAGGAGUUAUACAUUCAGGCUGACUACAUUGUGCACGAUCCUGUCAAGCUUCGCGUCAAGGACAAAUGGGCCAACCCAUCAACUUCAUCUCAGCACAUGAACACUCACACAGAGACUGCUGCUGACAGAGGGACCGCCUCUCAGUCCCGCUCUUCUGCCAUGCCAUCUUGGGCCAUGAAGCUGCAGGAUAAGAUGAAGACUCUCUUCUGUAUGCAGGCUAAGGGCUAGUAUCAGACGCACGUGGCUCAGAAGGAGAACCGCCAGAGGCACAAGCGUGUCCUGAGGACACUUGAUGUGGACAUCUCCAGCGGAUCAGAGGACGACAUCACUCCAGAGGCUGCUUGGAUGCGGGCUCAAGGUUACCAGUGGUCUGGCGUUGAGGAGGAAGAGGACAAUGAAGAGGAGCAGGACGAUCCGGAGGGUACGGACGAGUUUGGCGAUGCUGAGGAUGAGGAGUAACCACCUGUGGCGUUAGGUAUGCCCCUUAUCGUGGGUAUAAGCCUGACAGUAGAUGUGUAGGGUACGAAUGAGAUGGGCAGAGUCCUAGCUACGGCGAGGUUGUAUGAGUUCAGGCCCCUCUGCGGUGGAGGUAACAGCCCUAUGUCUCAGUGCUCUCGAAGCUUGUUACCGAGUGUAAUAUGGAAUACAAUGAUUUGCUAACCCUUCUACCAGUGGGGGAGGGCGGCUUAUAUAGAGUGCGCUGCCCUCCACAAUGGUUCUGGUAUAAGGGCGGAGUAGUGGGGAUUGAAUGCAUACGUUACAGGUAACGUAUGCUCUAAAUGCUAAUAAAUGCACCCGGAAACGUACGACCGUUUCCCUCCAGGGAGGUUACGAUGUACCGAGUGUAUCCAGUCGGUUAGCUUGGUAUUCUCCGAAUGCUAGUAUCCGACUGGACGAUAUAGGACCCGUUCCUGACUUGAUAAUGGGGAUUCCUUAAUUCAGUCGGGGUAGACUUAGGGUCUUGUCUUUGUGUGGGGUAGUCCUUGGGUAGGACCUGUAUGGCAGGCCUAUGACCCUACCCUAGGACUACGACCCCAUCAUUAGUCCCCGAAUGGAUCGGGGUUGAAACGACGAAGCAGUGCUUGAAGUUCGGAUCCGACUGGAGUAGAUUCGUCUUGGGCGUUGCUUGCCUCUAUCCAUUUUACCUUUUCUGACCAACGAUCCGAGUGGAAGUGCUUGCGAAACCGACUGUUGGGAACCGAGUGUUUCCGCUGCAUCUUUUGACGCGACCGGUCAACUCACAGCGGUGGGUUUCCCGGGAUCUCAAAUUUUAGGUUCCGCGCGCUCAGCGGGGACGACGUCAGCGCACUCGAGUAGCGUCUGACGCCUUGAUUCUCGCGCCUUCAAGUCCUCCACUGAUAUCGCCGCAGCCGGUCGGGCGGAUAAGGUUUCGGGGCCACCCGCCAGUGACCUAGUCGGAACUCUAUUUAAAUCUGGGCGGCGAGGUUUCUUCGUUACGCUCGCCGAAUCUUUCGCUCUCGCCUGCUCCGUCUUCCUCGCCACCUCCAGCGCUCCCAUACUCCCUCCUUCUCCUUCCUCUCGAGAGUUCGCCGUCGCCUCCAUGACCAAGGGUCAGACCAGCAAGAUGGAGGCGAGGAAGAAGAAGGGCAAGGCGGCGGCAGCGGCCGCUGCCGGCGGGGUGGAUCCAAGGAGACUUCCUCCCCUCCAGAGUGACGGAGGGAGAUCUGCUGCAGCUGGUGGAGCAUGGAGUGCUCGUGCACAAGUCCUGGAGACUGCCGGCGGAGGACGAGGUCGAGCCAGCGCCCCGGGAGGGGGAGCGCGUCCUGCUCCUCAGCCAUGUCCACCGAGGUUUUUCUUUGCCCCCGCAUCCUUUCUUCAAGGGCAUCAUGAAUCACUUCGGUGCCCAACUUCACCAUUUCCCUCCGAAUGCCAUCGCGCACCUUUCUGCCUUCAUAGUCUUAUGUGAGUGUUUUAUCGGCUGCCCUCCCCAUUGGGGUUUGUUCAAACACAUCUUCUCCGUCUGAUCCCAAACCAUCAAACGACUUAGCCAGUCGGAUGAUAAGACGCACCUCCUCCAGCUCUGUGGGGGUUUAGGAUUCCAGAAGAAGAGUCGGAGUAGCUAUCCUGCUCUCCAGUUAAGUGAGUAGGUUAGGAACUGGCAGUCGACGUGGUUCUACUGCCAGGAUAUCGCCUGUCCAAAUGCGUCGACUGGUCUGCCUCCUUUUAGUCUAGACCGGCCCGCCCCGCCUAAGCAGCUCGCGCUCUCGAAGGCGGAGAAGAACGAUGUCCAGCCCUUGGUUGAGGCGCUCGUGGACGUCGUCAGGAGGGGGUCACCGGUAUAGACCUGCUGGAAGUCUUCCUUGGUCGGUGGAUCCAGCCUCUGCAGGCUCGCGACCAUGCCAUGUGGCAUUACACGGGGCCCGAGGAUUCCACUCGGACCAAUGUUGUGGGCGUGACUGAGGAGAGGGUGACCUCGUGGGUGCUCCAGAUCACGGGCCCCUGUGAGAAUCCCAAAGAAUCACGGCGAGUGAAGCCCUUCUGCGCGGAUAAUCCCCCGCCGAAUCAGGUGAGAGACUCUUGUCGAGUGCUCCUAAUUGUCUUAAUCUUGUCGUUUGCUUGAAUCUGUGUGUGAUGUUUGAUGUCGCCGACUGAAUUUUAUGCAGGAGUGGACCAACUGGUUUUCUCCCGUCUCGAACGGGAAUCCGACCGAGGAGGAGGAGGGCAGCUAGGAGGGCAGCGUGGAGAGCACGGAAUAUGUCUCCGACAGUGGGGAGUCGGAGGAAGAGUCCAGCGAGGAGGAGGAAGAAGACGAGGAGCAGGACUCGCCACCCCCACAACUGGAGCAUCGGACCAAGCGCCGACACGAACCCGCUGUCCCCUCAGCUCCUCCCGCGUCUUCGAGUGCUCCGCCUACUGCUCCAGUGGUCCCGAGUGUUCGAAGCGCUAAGAGUACCCGGGAUGCCGCCGCUGAGCCUGCAGGCCAAUCUUCUAAGGCGCCCAAGACGAGUGGGCCUAAACCUCGGAAGGCUCUGCCGCGAAUAAGGGUCGCUGUCCCCGUCACCUCCACGUAAGUGUACUCAGCUUUCAGUUUUUCUUCUGAUAUCCGAGUGAAUUUCUGCUUACUGGCCGACUGGAUAUCACUCGACAGGGUCGCUACUUCUGCCACCUCCCCGGCGCGUCAGGAAUACGACCCCAUGGACACGGACAACGUCGUCUCGUCUCAGCCAGGUGCAUUGUAGGAACGUCGAGUGUUUUAUACCAUCGCUUCUUUCUUUUUCUGAGACCUCGUGUCAUUCGGCCUGUCAGGGGCGAUCUGCCUGGAUGAGGGCGGCCAGGGGAGAGCCAACCCAGCUGUGGAGCCUGUUCUUGAGGCUGCUCCUCCCGCUGCCGCCCUCGCCGCCGACGUGCUGCCGACGGAGGCACCGCCGCCGACUGAACCAGUGCUGGUGGAGGAGGAGCCGACUGGGGCGGGCCUUGGAAUGCCUCAGGAACCUCCGACGAUUCCAGGUUCGUCGCAUGCUGAAUUCAGCAUCCAGCGUCUUCCAGAGGAGUAGGUGGGAGCGGCCAAGGGGGCUAUGGUGCAGGCGGAGCUGAUGACUGGAGAAGCCAAGAGGGCCUAUGACUCCAUUGCGGCCUUGUACCAGCGGAGCUUGGAGCUACGCGAUGAUAUCCGAGUAAGUGGUCUAGUAAGCAUUUACUUUUCCCCUGUAACCCUCUGGGUGUUAUUGAAUAUCAGCUGUUGUUUGCAAUGGGUUCACUCUGAGUGAACCCAGUGGGUGUAGUCCCCGAGACUUCUGUCGAGUGCUUGCACCGACAGUUGUCUUUAUACACUUUGCCUUGAGUUUGGUUGUGUCUGUAAAUAGGAUUACCGAGUGCGAGUAAUUGUUGCAGUCGGAGUGCACUUACGGUAAGAGUCCCCGAGAGUAAGUUGUACUCAGGUCGGGUAGUAUUGGCCUCGGAGGCGUAGGUGAUAACAUGCAUUUCAAUAGGGCAAGCCUGCUUGAGGUGCAUGCCAGUGGGGUCACGCUUAGUGAACCCACUGGGUGUAGUCCCCGAGACCGCUGUCGACUGCUUGCGUCAGCAGGGGUCUGAAGAACUUAGACUGUUAACUGUUGAACUUUCUGAUUGUCCCUUGUUUGUUGUUGGCAGAAAACUUGUGCAAUGGGAUCAGCCUAUGAGACUCUCAAGGCGGAGAGGAAUCAGUUCGCUGGCGAACUUGAUGCGGCCAUGCUUGCAAUGGCUGGCAUUAAGGAUUCCCUGGCGGAACGGGAGAAAUCAUUGGAGCAGGCGCGUGAAGUGAACAAGGUGUUGACUGAGGAAGGGGAAAAGAUGGGGAAGCAGAGGACUACGCUGAUGAGUCAGAUGGAUGUGCUGAACAAACGAUGUAGAGCACAAGAGAAAUAUGUCAGCGACUGGGCUCGGCAGAUGAUGACGCGUCUGGCUGGUAAGUCCUUAUUUUUCCGAGUGGUUGUGCUAUGCGCGUAGCACUCGGCGCUUAUUGUCUGUUUGUCCUAUUGUCGCAGAUUUUUGCUUUGACGCCGAAGCUGAAGCGGCUGACGUGGAGCGUUCGAUUCUUGAGAACUUUCCACUCGGCGACGACGCCAAUCGGGAUCUGCUCCGUGCGCACAUCCGCGUGGGCAAAGUUGGUCCUUUCAUCGGUCGACUGAGAGAAGUCGUCGGCCGAAUCGACAAGGAGCUUUGGCCAGAAGAUGAGUCGCGGCAGGAGAUGGAGAACCUGAUGACCCGACUGGCGGAGAUUCCCAACAGAGUGCAGUCGUGGAAGAAAUCUGCAGCUCGUUGUGGUGCAGAUGUUGCUCUGUCCCUGGUCCGAGUCCAUUGCAAGGAGGUGCGUGAGGAAAAAAUGAAGACGCGGAAGGUCGCCAACACGAAGAAGCUUCGAUUCGAAGACUUCAUGGAGACGUUCCUUGAGAGUGCUACCCGCAUCGCCGACGGAAUCGACUUGGACACUUUCGUGGAGCCCUCCAGUCCUGGUACCGGCCCAGCUGACGCGUAAGAAACUUUAUCCUCGGUAUGCCGAGUGUUUAUCUGUAAGGUACUUUGGCCACUUCUGUUGUCCGUCACACUUUUAAAUCGGUGCGGGCAAACUUGAUCCGCACCGAGUUAGCUAUCUUUGCGAGGAUUUUGGAAUCCGAUUUUUGCUCUUCUGUUGCAAUGUUGAUUCGAGUUUUUGGUUGGCGUUUCUUGGUGAAGCCAAAGGCAAACAGCCGAUGCUGGAUUGCUGUUAAGCUCCCUCCGAGUGUAACGUGAAGUGCACACUCGGAGAAGGUUAUUACUUAGGCGAUGCUGGAUCGCAGCUAAGCCCCCGAGUGUGACGUGUAGUGCACACUCAGAGAAGGUUAAUACUUAGGAGAUGCUGGAUCGCAGCUAAGCCCCGAGUGUGACGUUAAGUGCACACUCGGAUAAAGAUAAUACUUAGGGGAUGCUGGGUCGCAGCUAAGCCCCCGAGUGAGACGUUAAGUACACACUCGGAUAAAGUUAAUACUUAGGCGAUGCUGGACCGCACCUAAGCCCCCGAGUGUGACGUUAAGUGCACAUUUGGAGAGAGUUAAUACUUAGGUGAUGCUGGAUCGCAGCUAAGCACCCGAGUGUGACGUUAAGUGCACACUCGGAGAGAGUUAAUACUUAGGCGAUGCUGGAUCGCAGCUAAGCCCCGAGUGUGACGUUAAGUGCACACUCGGAGAGAGUGAAUACUUAGGCGAUGCUGGAUCGCAGCUAAGCCCCCGAGUGUGACGUUAAGUGCACACUCGGAGAGAGUUAAUACUUAGGCGAUGCUGGAUCGCAGCUAAGCCCCCGAGUGUGAUGUUAAGUGCACACUCGGAGAGAGUUAAUACUUAGGCGAUGCGGGAUCGCAGCUAAGCCCCCGAGUGUGACGUUAAGUACACACUCGGAGAAAGUUAAUACUUAGGCGAUGUUGGAUCGAAGCUAAGUUUUUUUUUUAAGACCGGAGUCUGCGACCGCGGAAGAACUUUGAACCUGCAAAAAACUCAAUCUGCUUUAUAUUACUUCGCCAACACUUGUUCUUUACAUCGCUUUAGUCGACGGUCACGUGUAGAAGCGCUUCAGGAGAUCUCCGUUCCAUGCGCGCGGCUCGUCAGUCUCUCUUUCGAUGUUGUAGAGUCUGUAUGCUCCGUUGUUCAGCACCUUGGAGAUGAUGAAGGGUCCUUCCCAGGCCGGAGCUAACUUGUGAGGUCUUUGUUGAUCCACUCGGAGCACCAGGUCGUCUGCUUGGAACGUCCGACUUCUGACGUGGCAUGCAUGAAAACGCCGCAGAUUUUGUUGAUAAAUGGUCGAGCGAGUUAAUGCCAUCUCGCGUUCUUCCUCUAGAAGAUCUACUCCAUCUUGCCUUGCUUGUUCUGCCUCAGCUUCGGAGAAGGGUUCGACUCGUGGGGCAUUAUGAAGCAGGUCACUCGGAAGGACCGCUUCUGCUCCAUAAACGAGGAAGAACGGUGAUCGCCCCGUUGAUCUGUUCGGAGUGGUGCGGAGGCCCCAAAGCACUGAAGGUAACUCGAUGACCCAUGCGCCAGCAGCGUGUCCCACCUCUCGCAGGAGUCGGGGCUUCAAACCUUGAAGAAUAAGCCCAUUCACCCGCUCAGCCUGUCCGUUGGAUUGAGGAUGUGCUACGGAAGCAAAAUCCACUCGGAUACCCUGACUCACGCAGAAACCCUUGAAUCUGUCCGAGUCGAAGUUUGUCCCGUUGUCCGUAAUUAUGCUGUGAGGUACACCGAAUCUGAAGAUGAUGUCCCUGACAAACUUGACGGCUGUCGAAGCGUCGAGCUUCUUGAUGGGCUUCGCUUCGAUCCACUUCGUGAACUUGUCGACUGCCACCAACAGAUGUGUGUAUCCACCUUGGCCUGUCUUGAAUGGGCCGACUGUAUCUAAUCCCCACACUGCAAACGGCCACACAAGAGGGAUCGUCUUCAAUGCAGACGUUGGCUUGUGGGACUUGUUGGAGUAGAACUGGCAGCCCUCACAUCGAUCAACCAUAUCCCUAGCCAUCUCAUUAGCCUGUAGCCAAAAUAACCAGCCCUGAACGCCUUGGCUACGAUUGCUCUCGAAGAAGCGUGAUGACCGCGGGUUCCCGAGUGAAUAUCCUCCAGAAUCAGCUGCCCCUCCUCUGGGGAGAUGCAUCGUUGAAGAACACCCGAGAUACUUUCCUUGUACAAUUGGCCUUCAAUGACAGUGAAUGACUUCGAUCUGCGGACUAUCUGCCUGGCUUGGCUUCGUCUUCUGGAAGUUCUUGCCUCAAGAUAUAUGCCAUGAUCGGCACAGUCCAAUCGGGAAUGACAGCCAGAAUCUCCAUGACCAGAUCAACCACCACAGGUACAUCGACUUCAGUCGGACCUGUUGCGCUCUUGGGUUGUACCAAUUCCUAUGUGAAAGGAUCUUCUUUGACUGACGGGAGGUGGAGGUGUUCAAGGCAGACGUCACUCGGGACUGGUCUCCGAGUGGAUCCGAGUUUUGCUAACUCGUCAGCUGCUUGGUUCUUCAGUCUUGGAACAUGGUGGAGCUCCAGACCUUCAAACUUCUUCUCUAGCUUCCUCACUGCAUUGCAGUAUGUGGUCAUGGUGGGGUUCUUGACGUCCCACUCUUUCAUCACUUGAUUGACCACCAAAUCUGAAUCGCCGUAGACCAUCAAGCGACGGACGCCGAGUGAGAUGGCCAUGCACAAUCCGUAGAGGAGAGCCUCGUACUCUGCCUCGUUGUUGGAGGAAUCAAAGUGUAUCUGCAACACGUAUUUGAGCUUGUCGCCCUUUGGUGAUAUGAUCACAACGCCAGCGCCGGAGCCAUUCAACAUCUUAGACCCAUCGAAGAACAUUGUCCAAUGAGCCGAGUAGAUGUGGGUCGGUUGCUGUUGUUCUACCCAUUCUGCUAUAAAGUCAGCUAGGGCUUGAGACUUAAUAGCUUUCUUGGCCUCGAACUUGAUGUCACAGUACAACAUCUCCAUUGCCCACUUCGCCACUCGGCCUGAUGCGUCUCGAUUGUGGAGAAUUUCCGACAACGGAGCAUUAGAAACGACAGAUACCGAGUGGUCUUGGAAAUAAUGAGCCACCUUCUUCGCAGUCAUAUAGAUCCCAUAGAUAAGUUUUUGAUAAUGGGGAUACCUCUGCUUGGAAGGAGUCGGGACUUCGGAAACAUAGUAGACUGGCCGCUGAACUUUGUAUGCUUUGCCUUCUUCUUCUCGCUCGACUGUAAGAACAGUACUGACAACUUGAUUUGUAGCCGCAAUAUAUAGAAGAAGGGGCUCUUUACUGAGCGGAGCAGUAAGAACCGGCUGGGUGGAAAGUAGGACUUUGAGGUCGUCGAAUGCGACUUGGGCUUCAUCUAUCCACUCGAAGGUAUCUGAUUUCUUCAUGAGUCGGUACAGAGGAAGUGCUUUUUCGCCGAGUCGACUGAUGAACCUGCUCAAAGCCGCUAGGCAACCUGUGAGCCGUUGAACAUCGUGUAUUCUGACCGGCCUUUCCAUUCGGACGAUGGUCCCGAUCUUUUCGGGGUUGACGUCGAUCCCUCGUUCGGAAAUGAAGAAACCGAGUAACUUUCCGCUGGGAACACCGAAUGAACAUUUGGAUGGGUUGAGCUUGAUAUCGUACCUACGAAGGUUGGCGAAUGUUUCUGCCAAGUCAGUCAGCAGGUCGGAACCUUUGUGUGACUUGACUACGAUAUCAUCCAUAUAUGCCUCCACAUUGCGACCGAUCUGGUCAAGGAGACAUUUUUGGAUCAUGCGCAUAAAGGUAGCUCCUGCAUUCUUCAGACCGAAAGGCAUAGUGAUGUAGCAGAAGCACCCGAAUGGGGUGAUGAAGGCUGUCUUUAACUCAUCGGGACCAUACAGACGGAUCUGAUGAUAGCCCGAGUAGGCAUCGAGAAACGACAGACGCUCGCAACCCGCAGUCGAAUUGACAAUUUGAUCUAUGCGGGGGAGCGGAAAAUGGUCUUUCGGGCAGACCUUAUUGAGGUGCUUGAAGUCGAUGCACAUUCAGAGCGACUUGUCCUUCUUGGGCACCAUGACAACAUUGGCGAGCCACUCGGAGUGGUGAACCUCGCGAAUGAAGUUGGCUGCCAACAGCUUGGCCACCUCUUCCCCGAUUGCCUUCCUCUUGUGUGCGGCGGACCGGCGCAGGCGCUCUCGGACAGGCCGAGCUGUGGAAUCCACGUGCAGUCGGUGCUCAGCCAACUCCUUGGGUACACCUGGCAUGUCAAAGGGUUUCCAUGCGAAGAUGUCCCAGUUCUCACGGAGGAAUUGGGUGAGCUCGGCUUCCUAUUUAGGAUCGAGGGUGGUGGAGAUGCUCGUCGGGGCAGCAGUGGCGUCCGUCGGGUGGAUGCUGACCUUCUUCGUCUCUCCUGCCGACUGAAAUGCAGACUCUGAAGCUGGCUUCUUCGAGCGCAUCAGGUCGGUGGGGUCGAUUGUUUUCUUGUACUCGUCCAGCUCGAGGACGGCCAUCUGCUGGUCGGUGAUCCUUGAUCCCUGCUGCAGACACUCUUCAGCCCGCUGCCGAUUGCCUGUGAUGGUGAUCACGCCUUUCGGGCCGGCAUCUUCAACUUCAGGUACAUGUAACAUGGACGGGCCAUGAAAUGCGCAUACGCUGGGCGACCCAGAAUUGCGUGAUAAGCGCUCUGGAAGUCAACCACUUCGAACGUCACCCUUUCCUUGCGGAAGUUCUUGUCGGAGCCGAAAACGACGUCCAACGCAAUCUGGCCGAGUGAUUUGGCCUUCCGUCCAGGGACGACUCCCUGGAACUGCAUGCUGCUCUCGCUGAGUCUGGACAUCGGGAUGCCCAUCCCCUUGAGGGUGUCGGCGUACAUGAUGUUCAAGCCGCUGCCGCCAUCCAUGAGGACUUUGCGCAGUCGGACUCCUUGUACCACUGGGUCGACGACCAGGGCCUGUCUUCCCGGGGUGGGUACAUGUGCCGGAUGAUCCGACUGGUCGAAGGUGAUCGCAGUCUGGGACCAUUUGAGGAACUUGGGGUUGGAAGGGGUGGCCAUGUUCACCUCUCGGUUCACCAGCUUCAGUCGGCUCUUGCUCUCGACGUCAGCAAAGAUCAUCAGGGUGGCAUGGACUUGGGGGAACGGAUCCUCCUUAUCCUCCUCAUCCUGUUCAUGGUCCUUCUCACUCAGUUGCCCUUCGCUGAAUCCCUGGAUCAGGAGGCGACACUGUCGAGUGGUAUGCUUCGCAUAUAUGGGGUUGCCUUCUUCGUCCAUCUUCGUGUGCACCGGACAAGGCUAGUCCAGGAUGGGAUUGUUGAACGGCUUCUUCUUGGGGGUAAACUGCGCCUUCCCUUUGCCCUAGAACUUAGCAUUGGUCACGGCUGCAGCCUCUGCUUGCGGUGUGGGCGGAGCUUUCUGUUUCGGAGUGUUACCUCCGUCAACAUCGCCGACUGUCUUGUGCUUGCCGCUCCGGAUGUGGUCCUCUUCUUCACCAUUUGCAUAGCGCGCCGCUAUCUCCAUCAUCUUGCUCAUGGAGAUGUCGCCUGUUCGACCGAACUUUAAGUACAGCUCUCUGUACCGCACGCCUGCCUUGAAGGCGCAGACUGCCUGAUGCUCGGUGACGUUCUCCACCGUGUGGUAGAGAGUUGUCCAACGCUGGAUGAAGUCGCGCAGGGGCUCAUUCGGCUUCUGGACACAGUGCUGGAGUUCCACAAGGCCUGCAGGGUGUUUGCACGUCCCCUCGAAGGUCCUGAUGAAUACUCGGGCCAGAUCUGCCCAACUGUAAAUGCUCGAGGGGGCCAACUGGUUUAGCCACGCUCGCGCCGAGCCGUCGAGCAUCAGAGGGAGGUGCUUCAUAGCGACAUGGUCGUCCCCUCCUCCGAUCUGGACUGCCACUCGGUAGUCAUCCAGCCAUGUUUCCGGCUUGGACUCUCCUGUAAACUUACUGAUUCCCGCUUCAAUCGGAAGUUGGGCGGGAUGUCAGCCGAGCGGAUGGCUCGACUAAAACACUCGGGACCGGACACGAUGGCCCUGCUUCCACUCGGACGGUCCAUAUCGUAACCAUCACGGUGGGCUCGACCCCUGUCGACUCGUCACUGGGCGAUACAUCCUCUUGCCUCGGGUCUUGGGUCGUGAGUGUUGUCGAGUGAACGCCGAUCAUCAUGAUGUCGGGACCCAUAGGGCCCACCCCGCGGAGGGGUGAGUGAGCGGCGGCGAUCUUCAUGAAUCAAGGAACGACUGCCUCCCCUGUGGCGCUGAUGGGAUCCAGGGCUGUGAACCGACCGAUGCGUGUUGGCGUGGACGGAACUAUUGUAGAUCCGGUUGUGCGACUGGGAGACUGCCGAAUUCUGCUGCUGCGCCGUGUGCAAUAGGGCUCGGAUCUGCUCGAUCCCUCUACCAGCCUCUGAAUCAGUCGGCUGGAGGGAAUCGGCUAUCUUGGCAGCAGCAGCCAAGUUGAGGAGGGGCGUGCGGAACAACUCCACGUUGCUCCGCCGAGUGUGUCGACUGGCAGAACGGCGAGGUGGACGGCUCGCACCGGAUGCUUCGCCGACCUCGCGCUCGCUUCGACCAGCUUGAUGGGGAUCUUCAUGGGUGUUGGCCAUGUGAACUUCUAGUGCAGGCCCGCGGCCCGCGUACUCGAAAGGAAACUCAGUCAGAACUGAGCCCGAGUGCUGGGAAUGUAGGGCAACCACAACAGACUCCAGAACUGCCACUUGAGAAGACGCGAUCUGACGCGCUCGGGCAUGCUGCACCCAACGUUGGAGACGCGGACGGCGGGACCGCUUGUUGCGGCGCAUGAUGGAGGUGCAGGUCGACAACAGAGCCGAUUGUUGGAGAAGAAGAACGCCGUGGGCGCCGGCACGGAAGUGCGUGGCCCCGCGAUGGGGAAGCGCCUCAACGUCGAGAGGUGCCUCCCGAAGCCACGCCGAAUCGUCGACGGUGAAGGAGAGAGCACCGAAGAAGAUCUAGUGACCCAUGCUCGAAUCUCCACCGGAUGACAUGACGAAAGGAAGUAGUCGCAAACUCGCCGGAAGUCGCUUAGACGCCUGCCCCACGGUGGGCGCCAACUGUCGUGGGUAUAAGCCUGACAGUAGAUGUGUAGGGUACGAAUGAGAUGGGCAGAGUCCUAGCUACGGCGAGGUUGUAUGAGUUCAGGCCCCUCUGCGGUGGAGGUAACAGCCCUACGUCUCAGUGCUCUCGGAGCUUGUUACCGAGUGUAAUAUGGAAUACAAUGAUUUGCUAACCCUUCUACCAGUGGGGGAGGGCGGCUUAUAUAGAGUGCGCUGCCCUCCACAAUGGUUCUGGUAUAAGGGCGGAGUAGUGGGGAUUGAAUGCAUACGUUACAGGUAACGUAUGCUCUAAAUGCUAAUAAAUGCACCCGAAAACGUACGACCGUUUCCCUCCAGGGAGGUUACGAUGUACCGAGUGUAUCCAGUCGGUUAGCUUGGUAUUCUCUGAAUGCUAGUAUCCGACUGGACGAUAUAGGACCCGUUCCCGACUGGAUAAUGGGGAUUCCUUAAUUCGGUCGGGGUAGACUUAGGGUCUUGUCCUUUGUGUGGGGUAGUCCUUGGGUAGGACAUGUAUGGCAGGCCUAUGACCCUACCCUAGGACUACGACCCCAUCACCCCUUUUUGGUGUCUUGUGCCAAAGGGGGAGAGAGUCUAGGAGCUGGAUUUGCUUUGAGAGUUGAACUUUGCUUAGCUUUGCUUAUCUUUCGUGUUUUUCUUUGAACUUGGUUUGCUUCUAUUUUGCUAUCUUUCGUGAGACAUGAAUUUAUGUGAGAUUUAUUUCCAUCAUAUGAUGUGAGUCAUAUGUUCUUUAUUUUCAUAUAUCUCUAUCUUUCUGUUCUCAUAUUAUUCUUUGUGCAAAUCCGGUAUUGUCAUCAGUCCACCAAAAAGGGGGAGAUUGUUGGGGCAUAGUUUAUGCCUAAGUAAUUUGGGUGAUUGAUGAUAGGACCGCAAAGGACUAACCGUGUGUAUUAAGAUUUCAGAUAACACACGUCAAUGGCACAAGACGACUCGCCCCCUCUUUCGUGGAACAGAAGCACGGUGUUCCCUACGAUUCUCUUUAUUUGAGUCAUAGGAAACCCGUACUAUUAAGAGGGGAACCAUAGUGGAAAGGUUUGGGUGGAAUCAAUCUUGCACGCGCACACUUCACAUAUUUUCCCCCUUGCCGGCAACUUUGGAGUGGCUCCCGCCGUAGUGUUUCCUUCAUCUUUGCAAAGGGUCCCCCAGCGGUAGUACCGCUGGGCCUAGCGGUAGUACCGCUGGCCUUAGCGGUAGUACCGCUGGAGUGCUAGCAGUAGUACCGCUGCAUCCAGCGGUAGUACCUCUCCAGGAGCUUAGUACCACGUGCCUAGCGGUUGUACGUGGACGGACCUUUUUGCGAAGACUUUCUUGGCGGUGGUAGUGCUUAUGCACUACCAGGGGCCCAGCGGUAGUACCGCUGCACCCAGCGGUAGUACCGCAGGAGUGCCAGCGGUAGUACCGCUGCAUCCAGCAGUAGUACCGCUAGGCACGGGCUGUGAGUGGGAAAACGGUUGGAUUUCCCCCCCCCCCCACUAUAUAAAGGGUUCUUCUAGCUGUGGAACUCUAUCUCUGACCCUCCCAAGCUCCAUUGUUGCUCCCUAAGAUCAAAAGUGCCCGAUCUCUCUCCCUAGCCAAUCAAACUUGUUGAUUCUUUAGGGAUUGGUUGAGAAGGCCUAGAUCCACACUUCCACCAAGAGAAAAGUUGAUUCCCCCACCAAUCCCUUGCGGAUCUUGUUACUCUUGGGUGCUUGAGCAUCCUAGAUGGUUGAGGUCACCUUGAAGCCACAUUCCAUUGUGGUGAAGCUUCGUGGUCUUGUUGGGAGCCUCCAAGCUUUGUGUGGAGUUUGCCCCAACCUUGUUUGUAAAGGUUCGGUCGCCGCCUUCAAGGGCACCUAUAGUGGAAUCACGGUACCUUGCAUCGUGCGAGGGCGUGAGGAGAAUACGGUGGCCUUAGUGGCUUAUUGGGGAGCAUUGUGCCUCCACACCGCUUCAACGGAGACGUACUUCCCGUCAAAGGGAAGGAACUUCGGUAACAUAUCCUCUUCUUCAUUGGUUCCACUUGUGGUUAUCUCUAACCUUUACUUUGUGUAUGCUUAUGUUGUUGUCUUUCCCUUACUUGUCUUAGUAGCUAUUGCUGCUAGCUUCAUUACGGUUCACCCCAUUGUUGUCAUAUUUGUGAACCCGUAUGUUGUUUCCCCUAUCUUGCUAAGAUUAAUUAAAAAGUGGUCGUUGCCUAUUCACACCCCCCCCCCCCUCUACUCAACCAUAUCGAUCCUUUCACUAGGGCCCGAGUGCCAUGAUUUCAGAUCUGAAAUUAUUAUGUUGUCACCAAUAUAUGUGUGUUUUAGAUCCGAUCUUGCAAGUUGUAGUUACCUACUAUGUGUUAUGAUCCGGCAACCCCGGAGUGACAAUAACCGGAACCACUCCCGGUGAUGACCAUAGUUUGAGGAUUUCAUGUGUUCACAAAGUGCUAAUGCGUUGGUCCGGUUCUUUAUUAAAAGGAGAACCUUAAUAUCCCGUAGUUUCCUUUUGGACCCCGCUGCCACGGGAGGGAUGGACAAUAGAUGUCAUGCAAGUUCUUUUCCCUAAGCACGUACGACGACACACGGAAUGCAUGCCUACAUCACAUUGACGAACGGGAGCUAGCCACAUAUCUCUCCAUGUUAUAGCUGUUGCAUGAUGAAUAUCAUCCAAACAAAUAUCGACCCAUUGCCUACGAGUUUGUCCUACUGUUGCUACUAGUGUCGCUUGCUACUGCUGCUACUUGCUACUGUUGUCACUACUGUUGUUCCUUGCCACUGCUAUUGCUCGUUACACUGCCGUUACUCGUUACUUUGCUGUUACUACAGUGCUUGCAGAUACUAAUCUUUCAGGUGUGGUUAAAACUGACAAAUUCAGCUGCUAAUACUCGAGAGUAUUCUCUCUCCUCCUUUUGGCGAUCUACAAAUUUGGGUCGAAUACUCUACCCUCGAAAACUGCCGCGAACCCACGCCUUUGUGGGCCAUCAACAACAUUCUUCCAAUUUCAUUGCCGGGGAAUGCUAUCAGCAUUCUUCUGGUGCCGUUGCAGGAGAAGGUUUGUUGUCAUAAGCAUUCGUCUAGUUAACGCCAGAGAUUGUGCAGAUCAGUGGUCAAUAUCCUUCUUCAUAGAAGAACCGGCACAAGAAGUGUCAAGCAUGGUACGAUCUUCAUGAGAAAGCCGAGCAUAAAAGUUUUGAGUGAUGAUUUCUCUCGAGAGCUCAUGAUUGGGGCAUGAAUAUAGCAUUGAUUUAAGGCUCCCCCAAGCUUGAGCUAUACUUUCCCUGUCACGAGGCCAAAAGUUAUAAAUAAAGUUCCGAUCACGAUGUACUUAAUGCAUAGGAUAGAACUUUUGAUGAAAUUCCAAUUUCAACUGAUUGCAGCCCCAUGAUCCAGUAUCAUCACAUAGCCUAUAUCACGUCAAUGCCUUAUCCUUCAAAGAUAAAGGAAAGACUUUCUUCUUUACCUCAUCCUCGGGCAAACCUGCAAGCUUAAAUACAUCACAAACUUCAUCUACAUAGAUUAGAUGAAAGUCUCGAUGUGAAGAUCCAUCUCCUGUAAAAGGAUUAGCCAGCAGUUUCUCAAGCAUACCCAAAGGAAUUUCAUAAAAGAUAUUUUCAGUAGGUACCUCAGGUUGAGGAGCAACUCCUCGUGCUUCCGUUCGUGGUGAAGAUACCCCGAAAAAACUUCUCAAAGGAAGUGUUUCCAUAGUGACAAGUGACAAUAAAUUUCAGCAUAGUAUAUAAAUGUUUCCUUACCAAUUUCCACUUACCAAAGGCGCUUCACUCCCCGGCAACGGCGCCAGAAAAGAGUCUUUAUGACCCACAAGUAUAUGGGAUCAAUUGUACUCCUUUCGAUAAGUAAGAGUAUUGAACCCAACAAGGAGCAGAAGGCUCUGAUAAACGGAGUUCAGCAAGGUAAUAACUGCAAGCACUGAAAAUAGCGGUAACAAGUGAUUGUGUAGCGAGGUGAAACAUAGCAAGAAAAGAGUAACAAGUAACAAGUAGUAGCAACGGUGCAGCAAGUGGACCAAUCCCUUUUGUAGCAAGGGACAAGCCUAAACAAAGUCUUAUAGGAGGAAAAACGCUCCCGAGGACACAUGGGAAUUUCUGUCAUGCUAGUUUCAUCAUGUUCAUAUGAUUCGCAUUCGUUACUUUGAUAGUUUGAUAUGUGGGUGGACCGGCACUUGGGUACUGCCCUUACUUGGACAAGCAUCCCACUUAUUAUUAACCUCUCUCGCAAGCAUCCGCAACUACAAAAGAAGAAUUAAGACAAAGUCUAACCACGGCAUUAAACUAGUGGAUCCAAAUCAGCCCCUCACGAAGCAACGCAUAUACUGGGGUUUAAGCUUGUGUCACUCCAGCAACCCAUCAUCUACUUACUACUUCCCAAUGCCUUCCUGUAGGCCCAAAUAUGGUGAAGUGUUAUGUAGUCGACGUUCACAUAACACCACUAGAGGAAAAACAACAUACAUCAUAUCAAAAUACCGAACGAAUAUCAAAUUCACAUGACUAUUAUUAACAUGACUUAUCCCAUGUCCUCAAGAACAAAAGUAACUACUCACAAGACAUAAUCAUAAUCAUGACCAUAGGUGUAAUGAAUAGCAUCAACUAUUUGAACAUAAACUCUUCCACCAAGUAAUCCAACUAGCAUCAACUACAAAGAGUAAUCAACACUACUAGCAACCUUACAAGUACCAAUCGGAGUUGCGAGACGAAGACUGGUUACAAGAGAUGAACUAGGGAUUGGAGAGGAGAUGGUGCUGAUGAAUAUGUUGAUGAAGAUGCCUCCCCUCCGACGAGAGGAGUGUUGGUGAUGACGAUAGCGAUGAUUUCCCCCUCCAGGAGGGAAGUUUCCCCGGCAGGAUCGUCCUGCCGGAGCUCUAGAUUGGAUCUGCUCAAGUUCCGCCUCGUGGCGGCGGCGAAACCACGAAAAAGCUCCCUCUUGAUUUUUUCCAGACCAGGACGCUUCAUAUAGCAAAAGAGGGGGGCUAGUGGGCCUUCAGGCAGCCCACAAGCCUGCCCCGCGCCACUAGGGGGUGGUGGCGGUGGGCAAGCUUGUGGGCCCUGGUGGCCCCCCCUCCGGUAGUUCUUUCGCCCAGUAUUUUUAAUAUAUUCCAGAAAAAAUCCACGUAAAUUUUCAGGGCAUUUGGAGAUGUGCAGAAUAGUGGACUAGGAUUUGCUCCUUUUCCAGUCCAGAAUUCCAGUUGCCUGAAUUCUCCCUCUUCAAAUAAUCCUUGCAAAAUAAGAGAGAAGAGGCAUAAAUAUGGUACCACAAGUAAUAUAACACCCCAAAAAGCAAUAAAUAUCAACAUGAAAGCAUGAUAGAAAAAUGGACAUAUCACUAUCCAGCAUCCAUCUAGUGUAUUGAGUUCAUAACAAACAGAGUAACGCCUUAAGCAAGAUGACAUGAUGUAGAGGGAUAAAUUCAUGCAAUAGAUAUAAACCCCAUCUUUUUACUCUUGAUGGCAACAACACGAUGUGUGCCUCGCUACCCCUUCUGUCACUGGGUGAGGUCACCUCACGGUAUGAACCCAAAACCAAGCACUUCUCCCAUUGCAAGAAUUUAAGAUCAAGUUGGCCAAACAAAACCCACAACUCGGAGAGAAUUACAAGGAUAUGAAAUCAUGCAAAUAAGAGAUCAGAAGAAACUCAAAUAAGAUCCAUAGAUAAUCUGAUCAUAAAUCCACUAUUCAUCGGAUCUUGACAAACACACCGCAAAAGAAGAUUACAUCGGAUAGAUCUCCAUGAAGAUGAUGGAGAACUUUGUAUUGAAGAUCCAAGAGAGAGAAGAAGCCAUCUAGCUACUAGCUAUGGACCCGAAGGUGUAUGGUGAACUACUCACGCAUCAUCGGAGAGGCAAUGGUGUUGAUGAAGAAGCCCUCUGUGUCCGAAUGCCCCCCUUCGGCAAGGCACCAGAACAUGCCCCAGAUGGGAUCUUGCGGAGACAGAAGCUUGCGGCGGCGGAAAAGUAUUUUCGUGGCUCUCUCUCAUGGUUUCAGAUUUUUCGGGAUUUAUAGGCGGGCGAAGUAGGGCAAAGGAGCCACGGGGGGCCCACCAGCCUUCUAGGCGCCCCCCCAGGACGCGGCUAGGGGGCUUGUGGCCUCCCCCGGGAGCCUUUGCCUUGGUUCUCAAGCUCCCUGUGUAUCUUCUGUUCCGGAAAAAAUCUUUCCGGAGGUUUUAUUCCGUUUGGACUCCGUUUAAUAUUCUCCUCUGAAAAAGGUCAAAAACACGGAAAAACUGGAACUUGCACUUGGCACUGAGUUAAUAGGUUAGUCCCAAAAAAGAUAUAAAAUGCAUACAAAAGAUCCAAAGUUGACAAGAUAAUAGCAUGGAACUAUCAAAAAUUAUAGAUACGUUGGAGACGUAUCACAUACCAAGCCCUUGGUCCUUGUUUGAGGCCACACAACGCCUUGUUGAGCCUGUAGACCAUCUCUAGGUGUUUUGGAUCUUCAAACGCUAGUGGUUGAGCAACAUAUACUUCUUCCUCAAUCUUACCACUGAGGAAUUUACUUUUGGCAUCCAUUCGGUAUAAGCAUAUAUCAUGGUGGUUAUCAUAAGCAAGCAAUAUGCGUAUGGCUUCAAGUCUAGCAACAAGUGCAAAUGUUUCAUAGAAAUCAAUACCCUUAGCUUGUGUGUAUCCUUGAGUGACAAGUCGAGCCUUGUUUCUGAGCACCUGGCCAGAUUCAUCUUGCUUGUUGCAGUAGAUCCACUUUGUGUUGAUAAUAUUGUGUUUGCAUGGAUCGGGACGCUUAACUAACUCCCAUUUGUUGUUGAGCUUCAAUUGAUGAAGCUCUUCUUUCAUGGCUUGAAUCCAUUCCGAUUCCAUGAAGGCUUCAUCUACCUUGGUGGGAUCUGAGAUUGACACAAAAGCAAAAUGCCCACAAAAGUUAGCCCAUUGGUUAGCUCUUGAGCGAAUGAGAGGACCUAGCACAUUGAUGCUAUCGAGCGUUGAUGUCUAGUACACAACUUGUUCUUGUAGACUCGUGUUGGGCCUCCAAGCGUGGAGUUUUGUAGGAAGGUAGCAAUUUUCCCUCAAAUGGAUGACCUAAUGGUUAUCAAUCUUUGGGAGGUGUAGGAUGAAGAUGGUCUCUCUCAAACAACCCUGCAAUCAAAUACAAAAAAUCUCUUGUGUCCCCAACACACGCAAUACAAUGGGAACUCGUAUAGGUGCGCUAGUUCGGCGAAGAGAUGGUGAUACAAGUGUAGUAUGGAUGAUAAAAUGUAUUUUUAUAAUCUGAAUAAAUAAAAACAGCAAGGUAGCAAUUCCUAAAAUGUAGAACAAACGAUAUUGCAAUGCUUGAAAAUGAGGCAUAGGGUCCGUACUUUCGCUAGUGCAAUCUCUCAACAAUGCUAAUAUAAUUGGAUCACAUAAAAUUCUCUCAACGUGCGAUAAAAAAUCACUACAAAGUUCCUAUCUAGAGGAGAACAUAAGAAUAAAUUAUUUGUAGGGGAUGAAACCACCUCAAAGUUAUUCUUUCGGAUCAAUCUUUCCAAGAGUUCGUACUAAAAUAACAAGUUAUCCUUCUCGAUCGAUCUAUCCAAGAGUUUGUAGUAAAAUAACAUCAUAACAAAUUCAGAUUCAUAAUACUCAAUCCAACACAAAUAAACUCAAAUACUGCCCCAAGAUUUCUACCGGAGAAACAAAGACGAGAACGUGCAUCAACUCCUAUGCAUAGAUUACCCCAAUGACACAUCGGGAAUCCAUGAGUUGAGUGCCAAAACAUAUAUCAAGUGAAUCGAUAUGACACCCCAUUGUCACCACGAGUAUUCAUAGCAAUACAUAAAUCAAAGCUCUCAAAUACAUAAAAGUAUUCAAUCCGAUAAAAUGAAAUCUCAAAGGGAAAACUCAAUUCAUCACAACAAGAUAGAGAGGGAGAAACACCAUAUGAUCCAACUAUAUUAACAAAGCCCAUGAUACAUCAAGAUCAUGCCAUCUCAAGAACACGAGAGAGAGAGACAGAGAUUAAACACAUAGCUACCGGGACAAACCCUCAGCCCCGAGGGUGGACUACUCCCUCCUCAUCAUGGUGUCCAUAGGUAUGAUGAAGAUGGCCUCCGGUGAUGAUCUCCCCCUCCGACAGGGUGCCAUAACGGGCUCCCGAUUGGUUAUUAGUGUCCAUAGAGGCUUGCAGUGGUGGAACUUCUGAUCUAGGGUUAUCUCUAGAGGUUUCUCUGUUUACAUGAUUUUUGGGCAUUGGAGUCACGCCAAGAUGGGCCACGAGGUGCCCACUAGGUACGAGGUCACGUCAGGGGGCAGGCGCGCCCUAGUGCCUAGUGGGCAGCCUGGCCUCCUCUGGUUUGCUUCCUUGGUCCUCCCGAUGUCUUCUCGGCAGAAAAAAAAUCUCCAAAAAGGUUCAUGACAUUUGGACUCCGUUUGAUAUUGAUUUUGUGUAAAGUAAAAAAUAAGAAAAAACAUGAACUCGCAUUGGGCACUAUGUCAGUAGGUUAGUCCCCAAAAUGAUAUAGAGUUGCUAUAAAAUGAUUGUAAAACAUCCAAGAAUGAUAAUAUAACAACAUGGAACAAUCGAAAAAUAAAAAAAAGUGUUGCAUACGUAUUAGCAUCCCCAGGCUUAAUUCCUACUCGUCCUCGAGUAGGUAAAUGAUAAAAACAUAAUUUUUGAUGUGGAAUGUUGCCUAACAUGUUCAUGAUAUUAUUUUCUUUAUAGCAUGGACACAUAUGGACUGUAGAUUAUUCAAAACAAUAGUCUUUAAUUUGACAUGAAAACUUUAAUACUCAAGCAUAUCAACAAGCAACCAAGUCUUUCCAAAUAUCAACGCUAAAGAACAUUAUCCCUAGACCAUCAUGCUCAACCAUUGAUCCAUUCAUGCAACACACCAAAAUAUUAGCUACAUCUAAUUCUCAAGUAUGAUAACAUUGUUUCUUAGUUUUUUUGAAGGAAAACUGUAAGGGAAACCCGUACAACGAGUUUUUUAAAUAAUAAGAACCCAAAUUCGCGUCCGUGGGUACUUGAACCUGGGUGGCUGGGUUGUACAUCCACUCCACUAGCCAAGUGAUCUAGGAUCACUUCCUUAUAGUAUUCCGUAGUUCGUGCUUUAUAAGAGAAGAUGGAGACUCGAAUUUUUUUUGCCUAAAUGUAAAUAGAUAUGCCAUUCACACAGGGAAGCAGACAUUUGUAGAGGUGCGAGAGCUCAAGGCAAAAAAUUGAGAGAUAAAAUAUUUUGGGUGGCAUGCUUUUCGUGUCAAUGGAAAUGGCUAAGAGUUCCCAAUAUCUUCCAUGCUAAACAAAUCAUAGGCGGUUCCCAAACUGAAAAUAAAGUUUAUUCAUUUUUCCACCAUUCUUUCACACUCCAGGGCUAGACGCAUCCACGGGUACCGUCCAUACCAACACUUUCCAAGGAAUUUAUUGUUUGACAACAUAACAUAAAUUUUCUUUGCAUUUCGGGACUCGGCAUCCCUAUUACCGCCAUACUCUCAUCCAAUGACAAGUUAAUAAACACUCAUCUUGAGAAUAACCUAUUUAACAUGGAAGAUACUAGCCAUCCCUCGCCACUUCAUGAGCGGUACGGGCACACAAAACAGAAGGUUAUUUUGAAUAUUAGAGUUGGCACAUACAAAUUUACUUCGAAUGGAAGUAAAAUACCACAUAUAGGUAGGUAUGGUGGACUCAUUUGGCACAACUUUGGGUUCAGGACUUGGAUACACAAGCAGCAUUCCCGCUUAGUACAAGUGUUACAAAAUAUUUCUCCAUAUGUGGUUUUGGUAAUUGAUGACAAUCCCUAUGGACUUAUGGUUUCCUUGAGUUAUAUUCAAAGGAUUUGUACAUAGGCACUACUUGAUGUCCAUAUGUUGGUUUCAAGGAGUUUAUAUGAUGAUCAAGGUGGUAUUCGAGGUUUUAUCCAAAGAUUGGUCAUAAUGACACAAGGCUGAUCAAGACUAAGUCAAGAGUGAAUCAAGUUGAUCAACACACAAAGCGUACAAGAGGUACAGAGGGUGAUCAAGUGAUCCCAUGGUAUGGUAAACAUUGUCAUUACGCUUUGUGUACUAACCCAUGGUCUUCAUGAGACUUUUAUGUGGGGUUAGGUGAGUUUCCAUGGGCUUGUGUCAAGAUGAAGGUCUCAUUCAACCAAUGGAAGAUUAUGUUGUGCAAGUUCAAGUGGAGCAUCACGAUGAAAUCAUGUUUGAAGCUUGAUGUCCAUUGUGGUGACAAUGGAUUUGUGAAGAUGUGCUAAAGAUUGGAUCAUCCAUAGUGAGUAUGAGAGAGCAAUCAACUAGUCUUCAUCGAGGCAACGCAUUCAAGAAAGGUGGCCCAUCUUGAGGAAGUCAAGAUCGUCAUCAUCUAGCUCAAGUGGACUAUGUGCACGGUAUAUGUUUGCCCUUGAUAGGUUUUCUUUUACUGGUCUCACGAUGGUAGUUGGGAGACUGGGUUAUAGGAUAGGUUGUCGCACUAUUAAGGGGGGAUAUCAAGUGAGUAGCUUGAUCGUAUCAUUCGUCGAGAGCUUAUGGUCAUCUUGACGACAAGCUCGAGUUCAUCAAAAAUGGAGUCCACAUGCAUUUUCUAUGAUGUUUUCGAUGUUGAAUUUUUGUUGGUUCUUCAUUCAUAGAGGUUUCACAUAUCUAUAUCAUUGGAAUUUUGAUAAAUGCAUGUUCUUAAGAUAACCAACAAGCUUGAGUUUACUCAAUUCAGAGCUCGUAUGCGAAAGUUAUGGAAGUUCACGGCAGAUUUUCUCUCUCAAGCGGAAAUACCGCUCGGGCCGAGUGGUAGUACCGCUCUCGUAGUACUACCGCCCUCCCCUUCCGCUCCCACUUCUUCUUAAUUAUUUCUUCUGGUAUCUGUGUUCCCCUUUGACAAGACUAAGCAUAAAGUACCACUUGGAGUAGGGCGGUAGUACCACUUUGGCGGAACUACCGCCCCUUUGGCUAUGUACUAUCGCCUGUGGUGGCCUGCACUUCUGUGCAAGCGAAGUACUGCCCACCUGCAUGAUACUACCGCUUAGUUGAGUCGUUGGGUAGAAUAACGGCCAGAUUUCCUCCCACUAUUUAAGGGGGUCUUCUUCCCCAAUGGCCUUUUAUCCAUUGAGCUCUUGUUCUUCCCCCAUUGUUGACUUUCUUGGAGUUUUCUAACUCUCGAUCCCUCCAAUGAUUCUUGCUAGUUCUUGAGGGAAAAGAGAGAGGUGAUCUAGAUCCACAUUUCCACCAAUCACUUUCUCCUCUAUGUGAGGGGAACCCCUUGGAUCUUGAUCUUGGUGUUCUUUGUGAGCUCCUUGUUCUUCCUCACAUAUUCCUCUAUUGAUUUUUUUGUUGUGGAGGGAUUUGAGUGUGAGGGACUUGACCACUUUGUGUGUUCUUGCCAUUGCAUUAGUUGCAUCAGUUUGAGUUCUCCAUAGUGAUACGUGGAAGUGAAAAUUUGAGAAGCUUAUUACUCUUGGGUGCUUGGUACCCUAGAGCUUGUUCUUCUUGGGUUCUUUGGCAUCCUAGAAGCUUGGUGGUGCAUUGGAUCUCAACCAUUGUGGUGUAAAGCUCCGGGAAAGCGCCGGGGUCUCCAAUUAGGUUGUGAGAUUGCCCCGAGCAUUUGAGGUCAUCUCGGAGCCACAGUCCAUUGUGGUGAAGCUUCGUGGUGUUGUUGGGAGCCUUCAAUUAAGUUGUGGAGAUUGCACCAACCUUGUUUCGAGCAUUUGAGGUCAUCUCGGAGCCACAGUCCAUUGUGUGAAGCUUCGUGGUGUUGUUGGGAGCCUUCAAUUAAGAUGUGGAGAUUGCCCCAACCUUGUUUGUAUCGGUUCGGUGACCACCCUCAAGGGUCCCUUAGUGGGAUCAAGGCAUCUUGCAUUGUGCGAGGGCGUGAAGAUAUUAUGUUGGCCUUAGUGGCUCUUGGGGAUCAUUGUGCCUCCACACUGCGCCAAAUGGAGAUUAGCAUCUGCAAGGGUGUGAACUUCGGGAUGCAUCGUUGUCUCUGUGCCUCGGUUAUCUCUUACCCGAGUCUUUUACUUAUGCACUUUACUUUGUGAUAGCCGUAUUGUUUCUUGUUAUAUAUAUAUAUAUUGCUAUCACUUAGUUGGUUAUCUUGCAUAGCAUAAGUUGUUGAGGCACAUAGGUGAGCCUAGUUGUUUUAUGUUUUGUGCUUGACUAAUUGAACAUUAGUUUUAUUCCACAUUUAUUCAAGCCUAAACCAUAAUUAUUUUAAAGCGCCUAUUCACCCCCCUCUAGGCGACAUCCACGUCAUUUCAACAAGUUAAGUCUAGCAAAUAGAUUGAGAAGCGCCCAACCAAGGAAAGAAAACCAUCAUAAGUGAACAUUAAACAUAACUAACACCGAAUAAUGCAACACAAGUAGGAUGUAACUUCAUAGCAUAAUAUUGACUUCAUGCGCAUGCAUAGGGAAUCACAAACCUGAACACCAAUUUUCUUACUAAAGCAUAAUUACUCAUCAACACAACUCACAUAUCACUAUCUUCAUAUCGCAAAACUGUUGCAAAGAAUCAAGUUUAACAUUCAGUGAUCUUCAUGAACGUUUUUAUUAUAUCUCCCCUGGAUAUCUAUCACUUUGGGACCAAUUUCAUUUAAAGCAGAUUGCCAUUGCUAAUAACAAGCUCUCAAACAAAUAUAAGUGAAGCAGGAGAGCACAAGUUUCUUUAAAAUUUUCAACUCUCAAAAUAAUAUAAGUGACCAUGCUCAAAAGAUAUAAGUGAAGCACUAGCGAAAUUCAAUCAAACUACUCUCAAAAGAUAUAAGUGAAGAUCAAUGAGUAGUCAAACAAUUAAGUAGCUAUGUGAGGACUCUCUCUCAAUAAAGAUUUUUAAAUCUGAUAUUUUAUUUCAAACAUCAAAUAAAACAAAAGACACUCCAAGAAUAGCACAUAUCAUGUGGACAAAUAAAAAUUUAGGCUCAAUAUAGGCUAACCGAUAUUUGUUUGAUGAAGAGAGGUGGGAUGCAUCGAAUCCCCAAGCUUAGAUGCUUGAGAAUUCUUAAAAUAUUUACUUGGGUGCCUUGGGCAUCCCCAAGCUUGAUAUUUUGUAUCUCUUUCAAUCCUCUCAUAUCCUAGUUUCACCUAAGUCUCAAAAACUUCAUCCACACAAUACUUGAAAAGAACUCGUGAGAUAGGUUAGUGCACAUAAGCAUAAAUCAACUCUUUAUGGUGGGGUCAUUUGGCCUCCCCCAUUUUUUUCAUUUUUCGUCCGGAGUCUAUUCCUGACUUGUGGGGGAAUCAUAGUCUCCGUCAUCCUUUCCUCACUAGGAUAAUUCUCUAAUAAUGAUGAUCUUCACACUUUUAUUUACUUCCAAUUCAUGAAAACUAGAUAUCACUCAAUAGGAAUGCUUCUGAUAGUGUACCAGGAUGUGCAAUGAUCUGGCAUGACAUGUAUUCAGCUGUGUAAUGAAUGGUGGCUUUACCACAAAUGGUUGUCACCUCUAUAUGGUCAUGCAAAGCAAUAUGGUGAUGAAUGAACUAGUCAUAUGAUGUAAUAGUGUAAUUUGCAUGGCAAUAUAUCUAGGAAUGGAUAUGGAAAUGCCAUGAUAGGUAGGUAUGGUGGCUGUUUUGAAGAAUUUAAAGAAGUGUUUAUGUGUAAUAGAGCAUAUCAUGCCACGGGGUUAGGAUGCACCGGCGAAGUUUGCACCGAUCCUCGAGGUGAGAAUAGGCAAUGCACGAUACCUAAGAGGCUAGAAAAAUAUGAGGAGGUGAGAUUGCGUAUGUCCAAGGUUUCACAUUAGUCCUAAAAAACUCAUAUACUUAUUGCAAAGUUUUAUUAGUUUCAUCUCAAUCCAAAUUAUUAGUUGCAUGCUCCAAGGGAGAGGGUUGGGUGGAGUUAACCAUCGCGCGACUCCAACUCAAAAAACACUAGGAUUUCAGGGAGGGAUAGAAGUACUCAAACGUCCCCACCAUGCCUUUUUAUAUCCAAAGAAACAAGAAAUUAACACCUCUCAAUACAACUACUUCUACGAAUCAAGAAUGAUGCACUCACACCUUUCUAUUAUUACUACAUCAAUAUCAUUAAUCCACAAUUUCUCUUUAUGUUCUACAGGAUGGUUUUGAUUAUCAUUCAUUGGAUACUUAUUAUUUUGGACUAGCUUUAUGACCCACACAAAUUUCCGCUACUAUUUAUUAACUCUGAAACAAAUAUAAAUGAAGAGAAAGAGUUCAAAUACUUCUAUAAAAUCUACACGCCACCUUGCUCAAAAAUAUAUAAGUGAAUUACUAGAGAAAUUGUUUAGCUCAAAAGAUAUAAGUGGAGCACAAAGAGUAUUCUAACAAAUCAUAAUAGAUGUGUAUGUCUCUCAGGUUAGUAUGUCGAGCAAAAGAUGAUUGUGGAAAACUAAAAAUAAAAAGCAAACUAAAUAAAAUGACGCUCCAAGCGAAACUCAUAUCAUGUGAUGAAUAAAAAUGUAGUUUCAAGUGACAUACCGAUGGAUUGAGACGAAAGAGGGGAUGAUUUCUGGGGAAACCCCAAGCUUAGAUGCUUUAGUAUUCCUAGAAUAUUAACUUGGGGUGCCUUGGGAAUACCCAAGCUUAGGCUCUUGCUGCUCCUUAUUCCAUUGUCCAUCGCAAUAAGACCCAAAACUUAAAAAAUUCAAUCACACAAAACUCAACAAAACUUCAUGACAUCCAUUAGUAUAAGCAACAUAAAAAAUACUUAGGCACUGUUGUAAAUUUAUUCUUAUUUCAUUAUUGCAUAAUAGGUACUGUAUUCUAACUUCUCCAUGGAUUAUACCCCCGAUACAAUCCAUAACAUCAUCAAAACAAGAAAACUAUGCAAGAAAAAACAGAAUCUGCCUAAAACAAAACAAUUAGUAGUCAUCUCUAAUGAACAUAUACUUGUGUAACUCCAAAAAUUCUAUUACUUUAGGACAACCUGAGGAAUUUUUGCAGAAAUACUGUGUAAGAAAUGCAGAAUAAAAGAUGUUCCAGAAAAAUUAGAGGAAUUCUACACUCAACAUCAAAGUUUCUGUUUUUGCUCUGUAUCAAUUAUACUUAUCAUACAAGUAAUCCCAAAGGUUUAACCUAUCACAAAGACUAAAUUAAACACAAAAACAAAAUCAUUACAGAUAAAAUAAUCAUGUCAUCACACCUAAGCAGAAAGUAAAAAAGCAAUAAAUUAAGAUAACUAUUGGGUUGCCUCGCAACAAGCUCUAUUGUUUUAUGCCCCUGGCUAGGCAUAAUGCAUAUGAUCAAGUGUUGUCAUCUUUGACACUCAAUCCGUAAGUAGCGCUCAUGAUAGAUUCAUAAGGUGGUUUGAUUCUUUUUCUAGGGAAGUGUUCCAUCCAUUUCUUUAAUGGAAAUUGGAACCUUAUGUUUUUCUCUUUCAUAUCAAUAAUUGCACCUAUAGUUCGUAGGAAAGGUCUUCCAAGUAUUAUUGGACAAGUAGGAUUGCAAUCAAUACAAGCACAAUGAAAUCUAGAGGCACAUAUUUUUUAUUUGCAAUAAUGAGAACAUCAUUAAUUCUACCUAAGGGUUUCUUAAUGGUAGGAUCCGCAAGAUGCAUGUUUAGGGAACACUCUUGAAUAUUAGUGAGACCAAGCACAUCACAAGAGAUUUAGGUAUUGUUGAAACACUAGAACCAAGGUCACACAAAUCAUUGAAUUCAUAUUUAUUUAUUUAUAUUUCUAUAGUAGGUUAUCACUCAUCAUGAAAUUUUCUAGAAAUAGAAACUUCAAGUUCAAGUUUCUUAUCAUAUGCUUUUAUCAUCGCUUCCACUAUAUGAUUAGUGAAAGCCUUAUUUUAUUCAUAAGUAUUGGGUGAGGUAAUAAUGGAUUGCAACAAGGAGAUACAUUCUAUUGAAGAACAUCUUUCAUAAUUAAAAUCCUUGUAACCCAAAAUAAUGGGCACAUCACUAGUUAAAGUUUUGACCUUUCCAAACCCAUUUUUUCAUUCUUAGCAUUAGAAUCAUCACCCUCCAAGCAAACGAGAUGCUCACUAGCUAAAUUUGACUCAUAUAGAGUCCCUUUAUUAUUAAAUUCCAUAGAAGUAAAUAAAGAUUCAAUAGGAGAAGUGUCAAUCAUUUUAAGAUCUUCAUCAUGGUUUUGGCAAAAACCGAGUGGGAGAGAUUUUUCUAGGAAUUCCUGCUUAGCUUUCAACUUAGCGGUCCUCUCCCUAAUUUCAUUCAUAGAUAUUUGGAUACACUUAAUAGUCUCAUUAAAAUCAUGCUUGGGUGGCAAACCUUUACUUUUAAGAGUUUCUACAUCAAGAUCAAUUCUAUCCAUGUUCUUAGCCAAAGUACCGAGCGUAUGCAGCUUUGCCUCUACCAUAGUAUUGAAAACUUUUUGAUAUUUAAUUAAAAUUUUAAUAGCAUUUUCAGGAUUAUAGGAGAACUUAUUAUUAUUGGUAAAAGGAUUUCUAUAAGAAUUGCCCUAACCACUAGAAACAUUAACGGGAUAUGGCCUAGCAUUGAAAUUACCCCUACAAGCAUUGUUAUUGAAAUUAUUUCACGAGAUAAAAUUCACAUCAACGGCAUUAUAAUUUUGAUCUAUCAAAGUGGACAAGGUCAUGUCAUUAGGAUCAACAUGAUUAUUUUUUUAGCAACCAAAUUCAUGAGAGCGUCCACUUUUUCACUCAAGGUAGUGAUUUCCUCAACAGAAUUUACCUUCUUGCGCGUUGGAGCUCUUUCGAUAUGCCAUUAAGCAUAGGUUGCCAUGAUGUUUUAUAGAAGUUGGUGGCCUCUACUAAGGUCACCUCCAUGAAGGUACCACCUGCGGCAGAACCUAGAAGAUUUCUGGAUGCAAUGUUUAGUCCCGCAUAGUAAUUUUCGAUGAUCAUCCACAAGUUUAAACCAUGCAUAGGGCAAUUUCCAAUCAUUAAUUCCAUCCUAUCCCAAGAUUUUGCAACAUGUUCAUGAUCUUGCUGUUUAAAAUUCAUUAUUUGAUUUCUAAGGGUGAUGAUCUUAGUAGUAGGAAAAUACUUGGCAAUAAAAGCAUCUUUACACUUAUUCCAUGUUACAAUACUAUUACGUUGUAAAGAUGAAAACCAAGCCUUAGCUUUAUAUCUUAGCGAAAAAGGAAAUAAUUUUAGUUUCAAAAUAUCAUUAUCGACAUCCUUUUUGUUCCGCAUAUCACAAAGUUCAACAAAGGUAUUAACAUGAGAAGUGGGAUCCUCCUUAGGACUUGUCGAAAACUAUUCUUUUAUGACAAGAUUCAGCAAUGUAGCAUUUAUAUCAAAGGCAUCCGCACUAGUGGUGGGCAGUAUAGGAGUACUAAUAAAAUAAUUAUUAUUAGUUUUUGAUAAGUCAAACAACUUAGUAGUAUCUUGAGACAUUAUGACCGAGAAAGCAAAGUAACAAGCACGACAAGUAAAUCAGAGGGUGAAGAUGCAAACUAGUGACAAGCAAAGCAAGCAAAGGUAAAUAUUUUUGUAUUUUUGAUUAUUUUUUUGAACAAGCAAUAUAUAACAACAAAUAAAAAGAAGAACAAGUGAAUAAUAAUUUGUGUGAAUUUACUUCAUAGUUGGUGAUGAUAUUUCCCAACAAAUACGCAAGAAAUCCUUCGUGAUGCUUGUGAUCUGCAUUGGGUUUUCUGUUAAGAGGAACUGAUUAUCGCAACACAACGCUGGGUAAGUAUUUCCCUAGAUUAAGAAACCAAGGUUUAUUGAACCAAAAGGAAUAUCAAUCCUCAACCAUCUUCAGCGGCUGCACACAAAAUAGCAAACAACUUGCACCCAACGCGGGCAACAGGGUUGGCAAUCCCCUUGAUCUCGUUAUUUGCGAGCGGAUAUGGUGUGUAGAUAAUUGUAGUUAGUUCUGACUUGCAAAAUAAAAUAAAAGCCAAAUAAUAACAGCAAGGAAAUUAUCAGUUUUCUAAAUAUAUAAGUGAAUAGACCCGGGGGGCAUAGUGUUCUAUAGUGGCAUCUCUCAUGAAAGGAAUAAACGGUGGGUAAGCAAAUUACUGUUGGGCAAUUGAUAGAAUAGCGGAUAAUUAUGCGAUUUUCACGACAAUGAUCAUGUGUAUAUAGGCAUCACCUCGAUAAGCAAAUAGGGAGACUCAUGCCUGCACCUACUACUGUUACUCCACCCAUAGACCGCUCUUCAGCAUGCAUCUAGAGUAUUAAGUAAAACACAAUAAUGCUUGGGGAACGAUGACAUGAUGAAGAGAAAGUAAACUCAAUCAAUAUGAAUAAACCCUAUCAUUUUAUCCUUAGUGGAAGCAUCACAAAGAUGCAACUUGUCCCCAUUCUUUCAUUGGGAUAUAUAAACUAGACAGGUUGAACCCACUACAACGCACAUCUACCACUGAAGAAAGAUCAGACUACUUGGCCAAAGCAAUUCAAUAGACCGGAUAGAUUUACGAUGCUAUGAUGAUCAUGCAAAUAAGAAUAAUAAACUCAUAGAGUAUUACAAUAAUUUUCAUGAAUAGUAUGAAUAUAAUCCCACAAUUCAUUGGAUCACAAGAAACACACCGCACAAAAGAAUUACAUUGUAUAGAUCAAAGCGGAGAUGCGAUUAUCAUUGUAUUGAAGAUCAAGAGAGAUAGAUAACCAUCUAGACACUAACUAUGGACCCAUAGAUCUGUGGUGAACUACUCACACAGCAUCACGAGGGCACCAAGGUUGAUGAAGAGGCCAUCCGUGAUCGACCCCUCCUAGUCGUGCCCUGUUUCCUUGUCGGCUUCCUGUGGGGCUUCAGGUCUCCUCCCAAAGCUUCUAGGUCUUCUUUUGGUCAGAAAAAAUCAUCAAAUUUUUUCAUGCCAAUUGGACUUCGUUUGGUACUCCCUCUAUCACGGUUUAGAAGGCGCGCAUGAGCAAUCUCUGCAACCAAGGUGAAUCUUGAUUGGAUCUAAUUUUUUUGCAAGUGCUCACACAAUAAUCGCAUGUCGCCUAAUUAUUUGAGAAGAUAAUGCACAGUAACUCACACAACCCCUAAACGAGGAGAGCAUGAAGCCUACUAGUAUUCCUAAUUAACCAAGCAGUAAAUGUCAUGCACCUUAAUCCUCUAUUCUCGAAUUGCCUAAUUAUUUGAGAAGAUAAUGCACAGUAACUCACACAACCACUAAACGAGGAGUGCAUGAAGCCUACUAGUAUUCCUAAUUAACCAAGAAGUAAAUAUCAUGCACCUUAAUCCUCUUCUAUUCUCGAAAUGCAUGUAAACGGAACCGUGCCAUCUAAACCAUGGCGGAGGGAGUACUGAAAACCUGAAAAACAAAAAACACACGGAAAACAGCAACUAGCACUAGACACUCGGUUAAUAUGUUUGUGCUAAAAAAUAAUAUAAAUUGGUGCAUUAUCACCCAAAAAGUAUCUUAAGAUGAUAAUAUAACAACUUGGAACAAUCAAAAAUUAUAGAUACCUUGGAGAUGUAUUGAUACGUCCAUUUUGCAUCAUGCUUUCAUGUUGAUAUUUAUCGCUUUUGGGGCUGUUAUUACACUUCACGGUACAAUACUUAUGCCUUCUCUCUUAUUUUGCAAGGUUUAUAUGAAGAGGUAGAAUGCCGACAGCUGGAAUUCUGGCCUGAAAAGGGAGCAAGUUUGAGAUGCCUAUUCUGCGCAACUCCAAAAGCCGUGAAAAUCAACGUGGAUUUUGUUUGGGAUUUAUAAAAAAUACUGGGCCAAAGAAGUGACACACGGGCGACAGCAGGAGGCCACAAGCCUGCUAGGCGUGGCCUCCCCCCUAACCGCGCCUAGGGGACUUGUGAGCUCCCUGCUGGCCCACUGGCCCCCCUCUUUUGCUACAAGAAGGGUUUCGGUCUGGAAAAAAUUAAGAGGAGGAUUUUCGGAGGAUUCGCCGCCGACACGAGGCGUAACUUGAGCAGAACCAAUCUACAGCUCCGACAGGACGAUCCUGUCGGGGAAACUUCCCUCCCGGAGGGGGAAAUCGUCGCCAUCGUCAUCACCAACACUCCUCUCAUCGGAGGGAACUCAUCACCAUCAACAUCUUCAUCAGCAACAUCUCAUCUGCAAACCCUAGUUCAUCUCUUGUAAGUAAUCUCCGUCUCGCGACUCCGAUUGGUACUUGUAAGGUUGCUAGUAGUGUUAAUUACUCUUUGUAGUUGAUGCUAGUUGGAUUACUUGGUGGAAGAGUUUAUGUUCAGAUCUUUGAUGCUACUCAUUACCUCUCUGGUCAUGAUUAUGAUUAUGCUUUGUGAGUGGUUACUUUUGUUCCUGAGGACAUGGGAUAAGUCAUGCUAUAAGUAGUCAUGUGAAUUUGGUAUUCGUUCGAUAUUUUGAUGUGUUGUAUGUUGUUUUUCCUCUAGUGGUGUUAUGUGAACGUCGACUACAUAACACUUCACCAUUAUUUGGGCCUAGAGGAAGGCAUUGGGAAGUAGUAAGUAGAUGAUGGGUUGCUAGAGUGACAGAAGCUUAAACCCUAGUUUAUGCAUUGCUUCGCAAGGGGCUGAUUUGGAUCCACUAGUUUAAUGCUAUGGUUAGACUUUGACUUAAUUAUUCUUUCGUAGUUGCGGAUGCUUGCGAGAGGGGUUAAUCAUAAGUGGGAUUCUUGUCCAAGUAAGGGCAGUACCCAAGCGCCGGUCCACCCACAUAUCAAACUAUCAAAGUAACGAACGCGAAUCAUAUGAACAUGAUGAAAACUAGCUUGACAGAAAUUCCCAUGUGUCCUCGGGAGCGUUUUACCUCCUAUAAGAGUUUGUACAGGCUUGUCCCUUGCUACAAAAGGGAUUGGGACACUUUGCUGCACCGUUGUUACUUUUGCUAAUUGCUACUUGCUACGAAUCAUCUCGCCACACAACUACUUGUUACCGAUAAUUUCAGAGCUUGCAGAGAUUACCUUGCUGAAAACCAUUUGUCAGAUCCUUCUGCUCCUCAUUGGGUUCGACACUCUUACUUAUUGAAAGGACUAUGAUAGAUCCCCUAUACUUGUGGUUUAUCAAGACUCUUUUCUGGCGCUGUUGCCGGGGAGUGAAGUGCCUUUGGGAAGUGGAAUUUGGUAAGGAGACAUUUAUAUAGUGUGCUGAAAUUUAUUGUCACUUGUCACUAUGGAAACUAAUCCUUUGAGGGGCUUGUUCGGGGUAUCUUCACCUCGAACGGAAGCACAAAGAGUUGCUCCUCAACCUGCUGCACCUACUGAAAAUAUUUGCUUUGAAUUUCCUUCGGGUAUGCUUGAGAAACUGCUGGCUAAUCCUUUUACAAAAGAUGGAACAUCAUAUCCAGACUUGCAUCUAAUCUAUGUAGAUGUAGUUUGUGGUUUAUUUAAGCUUGCAGGUUUGCCUGAGGAUGAGGUCAAGAAGAAGUUAUUUCCCUUAUCUUUGAGGGAUAAGGCGUUGACAUGGUAUAGUCUAUGUGAUGAUACUGGAUCAUGGAACUACAAUCGGUUGAAAUUGGAAUUUCAUCAAAAGUUUUAUCCUAUGCAUUUAGUACAUCGUGAUCGGAAUUAUAUUUAUAAUUUUUGGCCUCGUGACAGAGAAAGCAUCGCUCAAGCUUGGGGGAGGCUUAAAUCAAUGUUAUAUUGAUUCCCCCAACCAUGAGCUCUCGAGAGAAAUUAUCAUUCAGAACUUCUAUGCUCGGCUUUCUCAUGAUGAUCGCACCAUGCUUGACACUUCUUGUACCGGCUCUUUAUGAAGAGAGAUAUUGACUUCAGAUGGAAUUUAUUGGAAAGAAUUAAACGUAACUCUGAAGAUUGGGAGCUUGAUGAAGGUAAAGAGUCAGGUAUGAAUUUCAAGUUUGAUUGCGUUAAAUCCUUUGUUGAAACAAAUACCUUUUGUGAUUUUAGCGCUAAGUAUGGACUUGACUCUGAGAUAGUAGCUUCAUUGUGUGAAUCAUUUACUGCUCAUAUUGAUCUCCCUAAAGAGAAGUGGUUUAAAUAUCAUCCUCCCUUAGAAGUCAAUGUAGUUAAACCCAAUCCAGUUGAAGAGAGAGUCAUUGCCUAUAAUGAUCCUAUUGUUCCUAGUGCUUACAUUGAGAAACCACCUUUCCCUGUUAGGAUAAAGGAUCAUUCUAAAGCUUCAACUGUGACACGUAGAGACUACAUUAGAACACCUACACCCCCUGAGAAAAUUAGAGUUGAACCUAGCAUUGCUAUUAUCAAAGAUCUCCUGUCCGACAAUGUUGAUGGCCAUGAUAUUCACUUCUGUGAAGAUGGUGCUAGAAUUGCUAAACCACACGCUAGAGACAAACAUAGGCCUGUUGUUGGCACGCCUGUUGUUUCUGUUAAGAUAGGAGAUCAUUGUUAUCAUGGUUUAUGUGACGUGAGUGCUAGUGUUAGUGCAAUAACUCAAUCCAUAUAUGAUGAAAUUAAAGACGAGAUUGCACCUAUCGAGAUAGAACCCAUUGAUAUCACUAUUCAGCUUGCUAAUAGAGAUACUAUCUGCCCUGUGGUAAUUGUUAAGGAUGUUGAAGUCUUGUGUGGUAAAAUGAAGUAUCCUGCUGAUUUCCCCGUUCUUGCUACCACACAAGAUAGCUUUUGUCCCAUCAUAUUUGGUAGACCUUUUCUCAAUACUGUCAAUGCUCAUAUUGACUGUGAGAAGCAAACUGUCACUGUUGGCUUUGAAGGUGUGUCACAUGAGUUCAAUUUCUCCAAGUUUGGUAGACAACCCCAUGAAAAAGAGUUGCCUAGUAGGGAUGAAACUAUUGCCCUAGCUUCUAUUGCCGUGACUCCUACUGAUCCUUUAGAGCAAUACUUUCUUGAGCAUGAAAAUGAUAUGCAUAUGGAUGAAAGGGAUGAGAUAGAUAGAGUUGUCUUAGAACAAUAUCCUAUCCUUAAGAAUAACUAGCAUGUUGAACUGCUUGGAGAUCCACCCCCACCAAAGGGUGAUCCUGUAUUCGAGCUUAAACAGUUGCCUGAUACUCUUAAGUAUGCUUAUCUUGAUGAGAAAGAGAUAUAUCCUCUUAUUAUUAGUGCUAGCCUCUCAAAGCAUGAAGAAAAUAAGUUACUAAAAACUCUGAGGAAGCAUCAUGCUGCUAUUGGAUAUACUCUUGAUGAUCUUAAGGGCAUUAGUCCCACUCUAUGCCAGCACAAGAUUAAAACUGGUCCUGAUUCCAAGCCAGUUGUUGAUCAUCAACGGAGAUUAAAUCCUAAGAUGAAAGAGGUAGUAAGAAAAGAAAUACUAAAGCUCCUGGAAGCAGGUAUUAUCUAUCAUGUUGCUCAUAGUGAUUGGGUGAGUCCGGUGCAUUGCGUCCCUAAGAAGGGAGGUAUUACCGUAGUCCCUAAUGAUAAGGAUGAAUUGAUCCCACACAGGAUUAUUACUGGCUAAAGGAUGGUGAUCGAUUUUAGGAAAUUGAAUAAAGCCACUAGGAAAGAUCAUUACCCUUUGCCUUUUAUCGACAAAAUGCUAGAAAGACUGUCUAAACACACACACUUCUGCUUUCUAGACGAUUAUUCUGGUUUCUCCCGAAUACCAGUUGCACAAGCUGAUCAGGAGAAAACCACUUUCACCUGCCCUUUCGGUACCUUUGCUUAUAGAUGUAUGCCUUUUGGCUUAUGUAAUGCACCUGCUACCUUUCAAAGAUGUAUGAUGGCUAUAUUCUCAGACUUUUGUGAAAAGAUUGUUGAGGUUUUCAUGGAUGACUUCUCCGUCUACGGGUCUUCUUUUGAUGAUUGCCUCAACAACCUUGAUCGGGUCUUGCAGAGAUGUAAAGACACCAAUCUUGUCUUGAAUUGGGAGAAGUGCCACUUUAUGGUUAAUGAAGGCAUCAUCUUAGGACAUAAAAUUUCUGAAAGAGGUAUUGAAGUCGAUAAGGCUAAGGUUGAUGCGAUCGAGAAAAUGCCAUACCCCACAGAUACCAAAGGUAUAAUAAGUUUCCUUGGUCAUGCUGGUUUCUAUAGGAGGUUCAUUAGAGACUUCUCUAAGAUUUCUAGGCCUCUUACCAAUCUCUUGCAAAAGGAUAUUCCUUUUGUUUUUGACGAUGAUUGUGAGGAAGCCUUUGAAAUACUUAAGAAGGCCUUGAUAACUGCACCUAUUGUUCAACCACCUGAUUGGAACUUACCUUUUGAAAUCAUGUGUGAUGCUAGUGAUUAUGUUGUUGGUGCUGUCCUAGGGCAAAGAGUUGAUAAGAAGUUGAAUGUUAUUCACUAUGCUAGUAAAACUCUAGACAGUGCCCAAAGAAACUAUGGUACUACGGAAAAGGAAUUUUUAGCAGUCGUGUUUGCAUGUGAAAAGUUUAGGUCUUACAUAGUUGAUUCCAAAGUCACUAUUCACACUGAUCACGCUGCUAUUAAGUACCUCAUGGAGAAGAAGGACGCUAAACCUAGACUUAUCAGAUGGGUUCUCUUCCCACAACCUAUUGAUGAUAGCUUUCCUGAUGAGCAAUUGAAUGUCAUCAAUACUUCACGUAGUGCACCGUGGUAUGCUGAUUAUGCAAAUUAUAUCAUUGCCAAAUAUAUACCACCUAGUUUCACAUACGAGCAAAAGAAGAAAUUCUUUUUUGACUUGAGACAUUACUUCUGGGAUGAUCCUCACCUUUAUAAGGAAGGAGUAGAUGGUGUUAUUAGCCGUUGUGUACCUGAAUAUGAAUAGGGACAGAUCCUACAAAAGUGUCACUACGAGGCCUACGGAGGACACCAUGCGGGAGAUAGAACUGCACGCAAGGUAUUGCAAUCAGGUUUCUAUUGGCCCACUCUCUUUAAAGAUGCUCGUAAGUUUGUCUUGUCUUGUGAAGAAUGUCAAAGAAUAGGUAAUAUCAGUAAACGUCAGGAAAUGCCUAUGAAUUAUUCACUUGUCAUUGAACCAUUUGAUGUUUGGGGCUUUGAUUAUAUGGGACCUUUUCCAAAAUCCAACGGGUAUACUCAUGUCCUAGUUGCUCUUGAUUACGUCACUAAGUGAGUAGAAGCUAUCACCACUAGUAGUGUUGAUCGCAACACCUCUAUGAGGAUGCUUAAAAAAGUUAUUUUUCCUAUAUUUGGAGUCCCUAGAUAUCUAAUGACCGACGGUGGUUCACAUUUCAUUCAUGGUGCUUUCCUUAAAACGCUUGCUAAGUACGAUGUCAACCAUAGAAUUGCGUCCCCCUAUCACCCUCAGUCAAGUGGUCAAGUAGAGCUAAGCAAUAGAGAGAUUAAACUAAUUCUGCAAAAGACUGUCAACAGGUCUAGAAAGAAUUGGUCUAAGAAGCACGAUGAUGCACUGUGGGCUUAUAGAACUGCCUAUAAGAAUCCCAUGGGCACGUCUCCGUACAAAAUGGUGUAUGGUAAAGCAUGUCUCUUACCUCUUGAGCUAAAGCAUAAGCCUUAUUGGGCAAUCAAAGAGCUCAACUUUGAUUUCAAACUUGCUGGUGAGAAGAGGUUAUUUGACAUUAGCUCGCUUGAUGAAUGGAGAACUCAGGCAUAUGAGAAUGCCAAGUUGUUCAAAGAAAAAGUUAAGAGGUGGCAUGAUAAAAGGAUACAAAAGCGUGAGUUCAAUGUAGGUGAUUAUUUCUUGCUAUAAAAUUCUCGUUUAAGAUUUUUUGCAGGCAAGAUUCUCUCUAAAUGGGAAGGUCCCUAUAUUGUUGAGGAAGUAUAUCGUUCCGGUUCUAUCAAGAUCAACAACACGGAAGGUAAUUGUCCGAGAGUGGUAAAUGGGUAGAGAAUCAAGCAUUAUAUCUCAGGUACUCCCAUAAAUGUUGAAAGAAAUAUUAUCAAUACCAUAACUCCGGAGGAGUACCUAAGGGAUAUAUAUCACCCUCUUUCAGACUCCGAAAACGAAGAGGUAUGUGAUUCGGUAAGUAAACCGACUCCAAAACUUUUCCAGUAGGAUUUUUCCUCCAUUUUGGAAUUUUUAGAAAAAUAGAAAAAUUUGAAGUAGUCCACAAAGCGCACGAGGAGGCGACAAGCCUGCUAGGCGCGGGCCACCCCCUGGCCGCGCCUAGGGGGCUUGUGGCCAUCUUGUGUGCCUCCCGUACUCUGUUUUCUUGUGGAGUACUCCUUUUGGUCUGGAAAAAAUCAUUAUAUAUUAUCCCGAAAGGUCUGACCCUUGUAUCACGCGAAUUUCCUCUGUUUUCGUUUCGAGCGUGUUUCUGUUGCAGAUCUAGAUUGCUAUGACGUCCCCAAAAGCUCCGAAGGACAAGAUCUUCGAGAACGUCAUCAAUCCCUACCUCACGGGAGUGCUGCAACACCCUCAAUCUAUCGAUAUGCGUGAGGGGAUGCUGCACAUCCGUGAUGUUGAGGGGCCUAAGAAGACUGGAAGCGUGGAGGCGAGGCUCGAAGCAAUAGAGCAACAGGUCUUCAAGUGCCAAGGGAUGGUGGAGCGUGGACUCAAAGCCAACCACAUGAUGAUCACGAAGUUCACCAACAAGCACAAGAUCAAUGCCAAUGACAUCGGGAAGCACCUCUCCAGGCUCUAUGACAGAAUUGAUCACCUCCAAGCCCAGAUCUAUGACCUGCAGAACCAAAAUUGUGAGUAUGAGUAUAGAUUUAAAUCAAUACGGUUGGCUGUAGAUUUGAGGAUUCCGGAGACUCGGUCAUCUUUCCAUGAUGGAGCACCUAUGCCUUGGAAGACGGAGGAUCAAACCUAUGUUGCAACAACUCCACCACCAUCACCUCCAAAGGAAGACAACUAAGCAUGGGUAUGGGCAAUCCCCUUGGCUUGUGCCAAGCUUGGGGGAGUUGCCCCGGUAUCGUACCACCAUCACAUCUUUUGCCUUUACCUUUGUUUUAGUUUGUUCCUUUUCAGCUUUCUCUUUCUCUAGUAUAAUAAAGGUCUUAGUGUUUUAUGCUUGAGUUUUGCUUUGUCUCACCCCCGAUGUAUUCAAGUUCGUGAGUCAUAUAAUAAAGAGUGUAUCAGUUAAGGGGCUUGCCUCAUGUCAUGAUCAAAAGAAUGAGAAAAGAACAAAAGCAUGAAAGAUCAUGCAAUGAUCUUAUGGGAAGUGAUGGCUUCACAUAUAAAAAGAAUGAUGAUUGAAACUUGUUGAGGGUAGACAAACGUAGACCUUGGUCAUUGUUGCAAUUAAUAGGAAGUGAUAAAUAAGGAGAGGUUAACAUAUAAAUACAUCAUCCUUAACACCAUCUAUGAUUGUGAACACUCACUAAACUAUACCAUGCUUAGAAGUAGAUGUUGGACAAGGAAGACAACAUAAUGAAUUGUGUUUGCUUGGUUCCGAACAAUGUUAUAUGACUAGAGAUCCCUUAGCAUGUGACGAUUGCUUUCACCUCAUAUUAGCCAAAACUCCCGCACGAAGUAGAAAUACUACUUGUGCAUCCGCAAACCUUCAACCCAGUUUUGCCAUGAGAGUCCACCAUACCUACCUAUGGAUUGAAUAAGAUCCCUCAAGUAAGUUGUCAUCGGUGCAAGCAAUAAAACUUGCUCCCUAAUAUGUAUCAUCUAUUAGUGUGUGGAAAAUAAGCUUUGUACGAACCUGUGAUGAGGAAGACAUAAAAGCGAAAGACUGCAUAAUAAAGUUCUUUAUCACAGGAGGCAAUAUAAAGUGACGUUCCUCCACACUAAGAGGACACACAUCCAAACCUCAAAAGCGCAUGACAACCUCUGCUUCCCUCUGCGAAGGGCCUAUCUUGUACCUUUACUUUUUGCCCUUGAAAGAGUCAUGGUGAUCUACACCAAUUCCUUGUUUCGCCUUUAUCUUGGCUAACGUCAUAUACUUGGGAAAGAUCUAUAUUCAUAUGUCAACUUGGAAGUAAGUAUUCAUGAACUAUUAUUGUUGACAUUACCCUUGAGGUAAAUGGUUGGGAGGCGAAACUAUAAGCCCCUAUUUUUCUGUGUCCGACUAAAACUUUGAUCUCUUGAGUACCACGUGAGUUGUAGAAAUUGUAGAAGACAAAAGGAUGAUUGAGUAUGUUGUGAUGUGGAAGACAAAAUGAUGUAGAAAUUGUAGAAAUUGUAGAAAUUACAAGCUCUUAUUUGACUCUUUUUGAUGUUGUGAUAAAUUGCAAUUGCUUCAAUGACUAAAAGCUAUCGGUUGUUAAUUCUCGGUAAGGUUCUUGAUCCAUGCUUUACUUUGUGAAGGAAUUGUCACUUUAGCAUAAGAGAUGAUCUGAUGGUAUUGCUGUUUUGAUCAUUAUCAUGAUGCCUGCAUGUUCGUAUCUUGUUUUGUCGACACCUCUCUCCCUAAACAUGUGGGCAUAUUUAUUGAUCUCGGCUUUCUCUUGAGGACAAGCGAGGUCUAAGCUUGGGGGAAUUGAUACGUUCAUUGUGCAUCAUGCUUUCAUGUUCAUAUUUAUCGCUUUUUGGGCUGUUAUUACACUUCACGGUACAAUACUUAUGCCUUUUCUCUCUUAUUUUGCAAGGUUUAUAUGAAGAGGGAGAAUGCCGACAGCUGGAAUUCUGGCUUGAAAAGGGAGCUAGUUUGAGAUGCCUAUUCUGCGCAACUCCAAAAGCCGUGAAAAUCAACGUGGAUUUUUUUGGGAUUUAUAAAAAAUACUGGGCCGAAGAAGUGCCAGAGGGCCGCCAGCAGGAGGCCACAAGCCUGCUAGGCGCGGCCUCCCCCCUGGCCAUGCCUAGGGGGCUUGUGAGCUACCUGCUGGCCCACUGGCCCCCCCCCUCUUUUGCUACAAGAAGGGUUUCGGUCUGGAAAAAAUUAAGAGGAGGCUUUUCGGAGGACUCACCGCUGCCACGAGGCGGAACUUGAGCAGAACCAAUCUAGAGCUCCGGCAGGACGAUCCUGCCGGGGAAACUUCCCACCCGGAGGGGGAAAUCGUCGCCAUCGUCAUCACCAACACUCCUCUCAUCGGAGGGGACUCGUCACCAUCAACAUCUUCAUCAGCACCAUCUCAUCUCCAAACCCUAGUUCAUCUCUUGUAACCAAUCUCCGUCUCGCGACUCCGGUUGGUACUUGUAAGGUUUCUAGUAGUGUUAAUUACUCUUUGUAGUUGAUGCUAGUUGGAUUACUUGGUGGAAGAGUUUAUGUUUGGAUCUUUGAUGCUACUCAUUACCUCUCUGUUCAUGUUUAUGAUUAUGCUUUGUGAGUAGUUACUUUUGUUCCUAAGGACAUGGGAUAAGUCAUGCUAUAAGUAGUCAUGUGAAUUUGGUAUUCGUUCGAUAUUUUGAUGUGUUGUAUGUUGUUUUUCCUCUAGUGGUGUUAUGUGAACGUCGACUACAUAAGACUUCACCAUUAUUUGGGCCCAGAGGAAGGCAUUGGGAAGUAGUAAGUAGAUGAUGGGUUGCUAGAGUGACAGAAGCGUAAACCCUAGUUUAUGCGUUGCUUCGCAAGGGGUUGAUUUGGAUCCACCAGUUUAAUGCUAUGGUCAGACUUUGUCUUAAUUCUUCUUUCGUACUUGCGGAUGCUUGCGAGGGUGGUUAAUCAUAAGUGGGAUGCUUGUCCAAGUAAGGGCAGUACCCAAGCGCCGGUCCACCCACAUAUCAAACUAUCAAAGUAACGAACGUGAAUCAUAUGAACAUGAUGAAAACUAGCUUGACAGAAAUUCCCAUGUGUCCUCGGGAGCGUUUUCCCUCCUAUAAGAUUUUGUGCAGGCUUGUCCCUUGCUACAAAAGGGAUUGGGCCACUUUGUUGCACCGUUGUGACUUUUGCUACUUGCUACUUGCUAUGAAUCAUCUCACCACACAACUACUUGUUACCGAUAAUGUCAGUGCUUGCAGAGAUUACCUUGCUGAAAACCACUUGUCAGAUCCUUCUGCUCCUCGUUGGGUUCGACACUCUUACUUAUCGAAAGGACUACGAUAGAUCCCCUAUACUUGUGGGUUAUCACGUAUCACGUGUCCAGCGCGACAAGGCGCAUCAGAUGGUGGCCGUAGGGUGGCCGAAGAUGGCCGGAGUCGAUGGCGGGGUUGACAACCGCGACGAUAGCGAGGGGUGGAGAACGGACACGGCGAGCAGCAUGGUAGGAGGAGCAGCUGCACGAUCGCAAGCGGGUGGCAACGAGCACACGUGGGCGACGCACCACGGGCACAACACACACGAGUGUUGGUUCGAGACGGGAGGGCCGAGAACGACGAAGACAAGCACAACGGAGGUGACGGAAGCUCGACAGCAGCAUCAACAUGUUACGAGCUCGAGAUCGAGCUAAGAAAAGAGGGGUUUCAUGGGGAUGCUCACUACGAAGCUCAAGAUGGCUCGAUGAUUGGGUUAGUAGCAUUAGUGGCUUAGAAUUGAUUGAAGAGGCGCCGACAACCGGGGCGGGGAAGAGCUCGAUCCGCUUGUUGGGAUGGCGCCGUGCUCGAGCUGGUCUACGUAGGCGAAGAAGAGGAGUACAUCGGAGCUUCUAGAUAGCGCGGAACGGCGAAUGAUGGUCGGUGUCCAUGCCUACGAUGGAGCCAAGGCGACGACAUAGGUGGCCAUGGCGAGGGUCGGAAGGAGCGGUGCAAGGAGGGAGAAGUGGGCCGAUCUAGGGUUCGGGGGAGGCCGUGGGGUCUUGUAGACCUCGGGGAGGCGGCGGAUGGCCGCCUAGACGGCGACCGUGGCCGUGGCGAGCAUCGGCGGCGUCCACACCCCUCUUGGUAAACACAAGAAGGAGAAGGGGGGCUAGGUGGGCUGGGCCUCACUAUGGACUAAGGCCCAGUCCAUAGUGGCCCUUUUUAUUUUAUUUUCCAUUUUCUAUUUUUUUUAUUUUUCUUUAUUUUGUUUUGUUUUGCAUUGAAUUUUAAAAGAAAACUAGUUUUACAAAAUAUAUAACUUGGUCCAUAAUUAGCAUUGCAUUUUUGGAUAGUGCCACAAAAAGUUUGGGAGGCAAUUGGAAUGUCUUAGAUUUUUCAUAAUUUAAAAGACAUUUAUAUUAUUGUUUUCACUUUCGUUGUAAUUAUUUUAGAGCUUUUAGUUACUUACAAAAAUGUUGGUUCCUCCAUCAUAAUUAUCUUUAGAUUAUUUAUCACCUUUGAAACAUCUUAGUUUCCAUGUUUGUGAAUUUUUUGAUGCACUUUUUAUUUGAAUGUUGAAUUUCAAACUGGAAUAUGGAAUGAGAUAUGAUUCUAAAGAUGGUCAAGCAUUGAUUGGUAAAAUUAUUAGCUUAAUAUCAUAGGGUUUACUGUAGCUUAAUUACACGGGUGUUACAAGAAAGAAGAGCAUGUGGUGCACCAUAUGAUUGGGAUUUAUUACAACAAGAAAAAUGGGGAGAAGUUGAGACGAAACCGGACGAGCCCAAGUUUCGCCAUGGAGCCGACUGAGGGAUGCCAUCGACGGAUCUGCAACCACAGAUCAUCUUUGCGUGUCUCCACGAGCGUGGCCCCACGGGAGAGUUAAAAAAACCAUCUAAACAAGAUCCAAAACACAGCUCCACUUUAUUUUUCUGGAGAGAGACACUCAUACAACACUAGACCUACGAUCCACAUCUCCAUCCUACCCAGCGUCGACCACCAUGGCCGCCGGCAGCGAGGGGGAGGGAGGCCGAACGAGGAAGCCUUAGGUGAAGCUCUUAAGUAAACGGCAGAAUGCAAGUUUGUUGCAUGUUGCGGCGAACUGUUGCCGCUAGCAUAAGGAAAGCGCACCAAUGAAGCAUGUCGGCCAGCCAUUUUUUUAGCGAUAGGCACAAAAGGGUUCUCGUUUUGGUUUUGAAACCUUCUUCAAAAUUUGAGCUGGCGUUUACCCUUCUUGUGUUUUUUGUUUUUCCCUUUGUGUUUUUUUUUCCUUUUCCUUUUUAGGAUCAGUUUAGUUAUUAUAUAAUGCUCAGAAAUUUCAAAAAUAUCUACGUGUUUAACAAAGUGUUGUGAAUUUCAAAUAUUGUUUGAAAAUUUAGGAAUGUGCAUUGCCAAAAAUUGUUUGGGAAUUUCCGAAAGUUUGAAGAAAAUGAAAAUAAAAUUAUGGUUUCGAAAAAUAUUCAAUAAAUAAAUAAAUAAAAAUGCGUAUUUUCAAAAUUUAUUAAUAUAUUCAAUAUAUAUUCUUCAAAAUGAAAUUAUUUGGACAAAACUUAAUUUAUGUUUUCCAUAAGGCAUUUGGGAAAUUCACAAGUGUAUGAAAAUUCAAAAUUUUAACAACUUUAAAUAUUAUUAUUAUUUCCAAUUUUCCCAUUUCUUAUUCCUUUAUUUCUUUUUUUCCUUAUAGUUGAUAAUAUCCUAAAUAUUAAUAUUACAAAAACUUUUCUUAAAUUUUAUGAAACGUUAAUCUUACAUUUUUGAGGAUUUGAAUAUGUAUCAUAAAAUGUUUCUGAUGUAUACAGAAAAUGUAUAAAUGAGAAUGUAAAAAGUACUUCCUCCGUCCCAAAAUGUUAAACUGUUUUUGACAUCGUGAUAGUGUCAAAAACCGUCAUAUAUUUUGGGACGAAGGCAGUAGAAAAUGUUAAUCAUAGGUUUGAAAAAAGUUUGCGACAAUUUAAAAAACAUAACAUAUUUCGAAAUAAUGUAUGUAAAAUUUUAAAAAUUAUUUAUACAAAUGUAAAAAAUGUUUGUGUAAUCUAUAUUUUUCAAAAAAAAUUAAGAAAUGCAUGUCACAUUUUAUAAAAUGUUAACAUGUUUCCAAGUUGUCUUUGUGUCAUUUCAAAACAGUAUGUACAUUGUACAAAAAUAUAUUCAUAGUUAAAAAAGAAUGUUAUUUGUCAUUUGAAAAAUGUGUUAACGUAUAUUUGAAAAAAUAUAACCUGAAUUUGAAAAAAUAUUCAAAACAUGCUUAGAUGAAAUGUUAAAAAAGUUAAACAUGCAUAAAAAAGCUUUUGCAUGUAGACAAUAAAUAUAAAGCGUGUGUAAAAAAGUAGACAUGUGUCAAAAAUCAGAAAAAAAUAGCAAAGAAACAAAAACAAAUGCGAAGAAACCAGAAAAAAACUUGAAAACCCCUAGGAAGAAAAAAAAAGAAAAACAAAGUAAAAAAAGAAAAAAAGAAAAACCAAGAAAACCCAAGAAAAUCAUUGAAUAACCAAAGAAAACUAAUAACAUAACGUAGAAAAAAGAAAAUACGAGGAACCAGUGAAAAGAACAAAGAAACCCAGAAAGAAAAAACUGAAAACAAUAAAAGGAAGGGAAAAACCCGGACAGGUCAAGGGAUUCAGAUAUACAAACUCAGGUCAAGGUACUAGGCCAACGCAUAGUCGCCCCCGUAAGCCAUAUAUGUACAACUAUAUUAAAAUGGUUAAGGAGGAGCUCCUCUCGUGUGUUCCCAUAAUCCCAGUUUUAUGAGGUAAGUUUUUAUACACUCACACGUGCUAAAAAAAUUAUAUUUUUGAAUUUUUUUACUAUCUAGCAGGGAUUUACUACUUAAGGCACCACAAAAUAUACAACUAUAUUAAAAUGGUUAAGGAGGAGCUCCUCUCGUGUGUUCCCAUAAUCCCAGUUCUAUGAGGUAAGUUUUUAGACACUCACACGUGCUAAAAAAAUUAGAUUUUUGAAUUUUUUUACUAUCUAGCAGGGAUUUACUACUUAAAGCACCACAAAAUAAUAUUUUUUAAUACAGUACAAUCGAAUUCGUUGUGCACCAGCAUACAUUCACCUCUAUGAACACACACCCACCUUACCCCUAUAAACACCUCUGAGAGAAUGAACCGUCAUAGCAUCUUGAGAUUCUAGAUUUCAUCACAGGCGUCUCGCAAUCGACAGAAACGUAUCCUCUCACUAAACGAACAUCGCCAGAAGCGUUAAAUAUAUCCAGAAAAAUCCAGUCAUCAUUGUUAAAUCUAGAACUUAAACCGUGACGGACUAAAGAUACUACUGUCCUCCUAACUAUCCAACCACACGGGUUGGUUCGGACGGCUACAAAAUACGUAAAGGAUGAGGUUUUGCUCUAUCUCUCACCGCUUAAUGCGAACAGCUGCGAAGCCAUCAUAAGAUUUACGUCGUGCCUAUUCUUUCUCCCCUAAAAUAUUGUUCUCUCCUGGGCUCUCCCCCUCUUUUAGACGGUGUUGGUUGAAAACUAUUAGUCACUCAAAAUUUAAUAGUUGACAAAAGUAUUCCUUAAAUUCUAAUCUUAUCAUUCAGACUUUAUUACCUGCAGGUAAGGAAAAGAUGAGGGUUCAAUUCUGGGAUCCAUGCCAAUAUUUGCAAUAUUUUUCUAUUGCUCGGUGGUAGAAGCUAAAUACGCAGUAUGUAUUCCAAUAUUUUAAAUUUCAAAGUCCGAACGGCACUGAUCUGUUUUUGUUAUUUAUUAAUUUAGAAACACCUUUAUAUAUGUCCUUGUUUUUUUAUUUAACUAGGCUUGACAUGUUUCAGUAUAUUCAUAUAAUUUACAUCGUGCUCAUGUGUACUUUCUGGCAUUUAUCGCUAUAUUUUCUUCUGGUGUUGUCAGUUAAAGGAAAAUCGAUGAACUUCUUAUAGCCAAAAGUAUAGUUGCUUCAGGACUAAAACAGAAUGCAUCAAUGUCAUUUCUCCUUUGUGCUCAAGGACUUGAUCCACGCCUUGGUCGGAUAACUCUAUCUAUAAACAUUUAUGUGUUGUUAGUUCUGAAUUGGUGACCAGCUUUACAGCCAUCUCCCGGCUUUCAUGUUAGGAAAAUAAAAUGUGGUAUGGUGUGUUUAUAGGAUUUCACACAGUAGCCUAAUUUAACGUGAUAUUCAUGAUCUUCAUGCACAAUUUUCAAGGCAAGUUUCAGAAUUCUCCAUUCAUGUAUUCCAAGUCACCGUGAAGUCUUCUUUUCUUAAAUUAAAAAGUUUCGUAAUAGUUUGGCUUCUUUGAUGUGGGAACUACUAUACCAUAUAAACAAUUUAACUUUCAUUUGACAGAUUUUUCUUAAAUGAAGUUUCUAAAUUAGUUUGGCUUCUUUGCUGUGAGAACUACUAUACAGAGAAUUCAAAUUUAUUUUCACCUGUUAAUCAAAUCAUGUCCUUCUAAUUUUUUCAAAAGGGGUGCAAGUGUCUAAAGAAGUAUUUCACUGUAUGUAUGUGCAUGAUGUACAUCAAUUUCUUUUACCGGAUGCAAAAUAGAAAAUUCUUGAAAAAUGUUAAUUUUGGUAGCACUACCUAGGAAACUUUUGCUCAUAAUACUGUAGGAGAGUGCAAUAAUGGAUUGAUUAUAAGGUACAACCCACAUGAAUAUACUCUGGAAAAUAUUUUAAUUUUGAACUUGCAACAAUUACGAAGUUUACUUUUCAUCGAGUCAUAUCUGUCGAAUUUUUGUUAAUGAUGCAUAAUAUUUUGAUGGCUAGAUAGAAGUUUGAAGUGUCAAAUAAUGAAAAACCGAUUCCAAAUCUUAAUUAUGUUUUCAUAGUCUACCAGCAUGCAAUGAAAAUUUUCGAAGUCUUAUCAAAAGGGCAGUGCUUUGCGCCUGCGCGUCGGUCGAAAUUUUCGGCGGGCCGCCUGAUCCGUCAGAUUGAAUCUGGUUUGAUUGUCAGAUCUGACCAUGCAACAAAAAUCCUCGAUGCAGCAAAUUUCGACCACGAUGCAGCAAAUUCCGGUCAUGGAUGAAGGAAAAAUAUGAUUGUAACAAAAAAAUAUCAACGUGGUCGUACCAAAAACGACGCUGAUGAUGCAUGGUAGCAAAAUGGGUUAUAGCAAAACAAUCCAAUGAACUCGGGUUGCAACUCUCACGAGCGUGUAUGCAACUUUUUUAGUUAACGAUUGUAGCAAAAAAGGAUACCGGUUGUAACAAAAAUUAACACGGUUGUAGGGNNNNNNNNNNNNNNNNNNNNNNNNNNNNNNNNNNNNNNNNGUAGGGAAAAAAUCCGACGAACUCGAACUGCAACUAAACGUGGAUGCAACUUUUUAAUGAAUUAAAUAUAGUAAAAAUCAACAACAAUUAUAGCAAAAAUCUUAUCGAUAGUAGUAAAAAAGAUAAUAAUUACAGCAAAAAUGACGUCUCGCAGUAAAAAAAAAAAAGAUACGACGCGCGGGAUCAGACUAUGCAGGCAGGACCGGCCGACGCACCCUCCAGAAUCGUUUCCCUUAUCAAAAAUUUGUAACCAGCCACAACUUCUUUAUUUUGGGACGGAGGGAGUAAAACACACAGCGUAGAUAAGGGCGCGGCGUUCUAUUCUAUUCCUACGGGCGAGGCAUAGGCCUGACGGAGUACAGUCUCCCCUGCAAUAAUUCUAGACGUACGGACCCUUACAGACAAUUACGGACUCUUUCCUUAAAUCUCUUCGCCCCACCCCCUGAUUUCAACCGGGAUGGUCCCGCCUCACUCUCCUUGUUUACAAUCCUGUUAAGCCAACUCAGCCUGUAAUUAGUCCUUGCCCGUAAUUUCCCGUACGUGUAGCGUUACUCGUCUCCCCUGCUAGCCAGGGAAAUGUAAACUCUAUCACUGCUAAAUUUAGACGAAACUGCAAUAUUUACGUUUUCAAGUGACAUCUCUGUAAGGAGAAUUUUUAACUGAGAUUUAGUACCAAAACUAGCAAUGCGAAUUACAAAUCAAGACAGUGUUGCAAACAAUCUGGGUACGGAAUCAGUCAAACCCUGCCAAUACACAACCGCUCCAACAGUUGUAGUAGGCCUGUAAAAUUAAAACUGGAAUGCACAUCCGACAGAUCAUGUUAUGUUUGCACUCAGGUUAUUUCCAAUUUAAGCACGCAACCGAGGUUAGCAAGCUGGAGAUCGGGCCACGAGGCUAGGUCAGCAGAAGCAGGCAAUCGAUCUAGCCGACGCAUCGGCGGCAAGGUUAGCUUCCCCCCGUAUGCGAUUCCCAAAUCGCACGCGCACGCACCAACAGAUCUGAUCGGAACCAACAGGCAAGAACACAUGAUCCCCCCCGGUGAUUUUUCAAAAAGAAAACAGUCUCCCCUGCUGUCCGAAUUUCAGCCCUAAUAGAAUAGACCGAACAGUCAGCAGAACGAACACAUGGGAAGAAGAUUGAACAGCUGCAGAAAGAAAUAGCAGCCUGAACGCUUCAAGAGUCCAACCAUGUGAUCUCCGGUCCAAGUUCAUCAAUUACUAUUUUAUGGAUCUCUUGCCUUGCUCUGAAUUUUUCUUUUGCACCUACUCUAUAUAAAUCAGCCCCUUGCUUGCUCUCACUCAUCACCGGUCUUCACUCUUCACUAGAACUUGCCAGCAGCGCUAGUGUGCAGCGAGCCAGUGACCGACGGACAAGAACAAGAUGGUCGCCGGCUGUGUCAUCACCGAGCAGUGUGCCCUGGCGGUGUCGACAGAGCGGCUGUGGAAGGUGGUCUUCUCCGGCGAGGACACGGCCGCCCUGCCCAAGGCCUGCGCGGGCUUCAUCGACGUUGUGGACGUCGAGGGCGACGGCGGACCCGGCAGCGUCUUCACCAUGACGCUCAGUCCGGCGGCGGCGGAGCUGUCAGGCUCGGGCGUGAUGAGGAGCCGCGUGAUGGCCCGCGACAACGCGGCUAGGGUGUUCAAGACGGAGAUACUGGAGGGCGGCAAGGUGAGCGGCCAGCUCAAGUCGCAGGUGGUCGAGAUGAAGCUUGAGGCGGCCGGGGACGGUGCUUGUGUGGCGAAGCUCAGGGUGGAGUACGAGAGGCUCGACGGCGGCGGGGCGCUGUCGGCGGAGGACCAGGUGGCUAUCGCCGCCGGGUACCUCGACCUGCUCAAGACGGCACUCGCCGCCGGGUACCUCGACCAGCUCAAGAUGGUCGAGGCAUACCUGGUCGCCCACCCUGCCGAGUACGUCUAAUUAAAACAACGCGACAAACAUCAGAAAUAAAUCAAUCUUCCUUUAUAAGAAAGAAUAAAUAAAUAAACUAUUAAGGUGAGUACAUAUCUUUGUUUUGAAGAAAUUAUAUGAGCAAGUAGCCCGGUGUUGUUUGCUUCGUGGUUGACUUCGCGAGAAGAAUCAAGUAGUAAUCAUUAGUAUAAAUUGUUUGGGGUGUGUAUUGAGUUUUUCAUCCCUGUUUUAAGUUUGUAUUUCGUGUGUAAGUUACUUCAAGCAUUAAUGUAGAUAAAUAUUAAAGCCGUUUGGUUUUGUGACAAAUGCACUUUCGUACGUGUGGUGGCCCGUUGGCACGACCUCGUAUAAGCAUACGUUCGGCUACACUAUAUACCGGCCCCUCGCAAGAAAAAAAACCGAAACCGCCGCCUCUCCUGAUCUAUAGUUGUCAUCACGAGUUCGAUCGGUGGCCAUCAUGAAUCGUCGCCGUCCCCUGCAUGGAUCCCGUUUGAUUUCACGUCAACGUUGGGCUCAUCGGACGUGUCGCACGUGGCGCCGUCUAGCAUCCCUCCUUGCAUGCGGCACCGUUGUCAUCGCCCUCACCGCAAUUGGCGGCGCCAAGCAUAUCGUUUUCGGCACUCCUCCCCGCCUGGCGUUGUGUGACACACUUGCCUCUUCCACGUCGUCGAACGAGACAAGGACGUCGUCGAUCCCAGACUACGUCAAAACUUAAUCAACCAAAGGUUUGAUCUUGGCACCCUUCUUUUUUUGUGCACAUUGUAAUGGUGCCAAAAAAAUUCACGGGUCGCACCGGUCGCAGACUAGUCGUCAGAUCCACGGAUCGCACCGUUAGAUCUUCCAUGCAGCAAAAAUCCUUCGAUGCAACAAAUUUAGGCCACGACGCAGUAAAUUUCGUCCACGGUUGCAAAAAAAAAAAGAUUGUAGCAAAAAAAUUCAACGUGGUCGUAGCAAAAAAAGGACGUUGAUAAUGCGUGGUAGCAAAACAAAAUGUGGGUUGUAGCAAAACAAUCAAAUGAACUCGGGUUGCAACUCUCACGUACGUGUAUGUAACUUUUUUAAUGAACGGUUGUGGCAAAAAUUAACACGGUUGUAACAAAAAUCAAACUCCGAUUGUAGAAAAAAAUCCAACAAACUCAAGUUGUAACCAAACGUGGAUAUAACUUUGCAAUGGACAAAUUGUAACAAAAUGAAAACGGUUAUAGCAAAUUUAAAUAUGGUUACAAUAAAUCUGAACGAAAAAAUGUUGCAAACCCUGUCCAAUCAACCGUGCGGACCGCACGCGAACGAUUCGACCGACGCGCCGGUUAGAAGGUUUCCUUUUUAUUAGGAAUCGGUACGGACGAGGCAUAACUCCGGGCGAGUAAAGUCACCCCAGCUGUGCGAAUUUGCGACCUAGAAUCUGGACCGAGGAGUCAGCAGCACGAACACAUGGGAAGAAGAUUCAACAGCUGCAGAAAGAAAUAGCAGCCUGAACGUUCCAAGAGUCAAACCAUGUGAUCUUCGGUCCAAGUUCAUCAAUUACUAUUUUAUGGAUCUCUUGCUUUGCUCUGUAUUUUUCUUUUGCACCUACUCUAUAUAAAUCAGCCCCUUGCUUGCUCUCACUCAUCACCAGUCUUCACUCUUCACUAGAACUUGCCAGCAGCGCUAGUGUGCAGCGAGCAAGUGACCGACGGACAAGAACAAGAUGGUCGCCGGCUGUGUCAUCACCGAGCAGUGCGCCCUGGCGGUGUCGACGGAGCGACUGUGGAAGGUGGUCUUCUCCGGCGAGGACACGGCCGCCCUGCCCAAGGCCUGCGCGGGCUUCAUCGACGUUGUGGACGUGGAGGGCGACGGCGGACCGGGCAGCGUCUUCACCAUGACGCUCAGCCCGGCGGCGGCGGAGCUGUCAGGCUCGGGCGUGAUGAGGAGCUGCGUGGUGGCGCGCGACAACGCGGCCAGGAUGUUCAAGACGGAGGUGCUGGAGGGCGACAAGGUAAGUGGCCAGCUCAAGUCGCAGGUGGUCGAGAUGAAGCUCGAGGCGUCCGGGGAUGGUGCUUGCGUGGCGAAGCUCAGGGUAGAGUACGAGAGGCUGGACGGUGGCGGGGCGCUGUCGGCGGAGGACCAGGCGGCGCUCGCCGCCGGGUACCUCGACCUGCUCAAGAUGGUCGAGGCAUACCUGGUCGCCCACCCUGCCGAGUACGCCUAAUUAAACCAAAACGAGAAACAUCAGAAAUAAAUCAACUUUCCCUUCGUUCGAAAUUAUUUGUCGCAUAAAUAAAUAAAGUAAUAUGAUCAAGUAGCUUGUGUUGUUUGCCUCCUCAUCGACUUCGCGAGAAAAAUCAAUUGAUAAGCUUUAGUAUAAAUUAUUGAGGUAUAUAUGAGUGUUUAAUCCCUGUUUUAAGCUCGCAUUUCGUGUGUAAGUUGCUUCAAGCAUUGAUGGAGAUAAAUAUUUGAGCAGUUUGGUUUUGUGAUACAUGCACUUCUUUCUUAUCAGUCAAUUCAAAAUUAAAUGACGAGACAAGCCAAACGUAUAAAGGGCAAUAUCGAUCAUGUAACCAUUUUCAUAUGUGUGAUGGACCGUCGAUACCUAUACGCCAUACGUACAAGCUGGCAGAGGAUAAAAAAAAGGUAGGGCAAAUCUGACAUAAAAAGGUUCUGUCACUACAAGUAAUAGCGAUGGACCGAAAGACUAAGUUUUAUUGGGAUGUGAGACAACGAUAGAGCUUGACGUGACUUUAUAACUAAUGCAUUCAACUUUUAUAGGGAAUGCACUCAUAUUUUUGAGUCGAUGCAGUGGAACAUGUGCUUGCAAAAACCAAAUGCCAACUUAAGUGCUAAAUUGAUGGCCAACAACCCAACAGGGCGAGUUCAUACACAGGGCCUCGUUGUAUUUAUCUUAUUUUCCCAGCUAGACCAUGACUAGUUCAAAGAAAACCAUCCAGUCGAACAAGACAUAUACCUGAAUGAACGCCUUUUAGAAAAUCAAGGUGAGGCGGCCGCCCAACCUUGCCUUACCGGCUCCUCCGUCCUUAACGAGCAUACGUUCGGUUUAACCAUGUAUCGGCCCCUCACAAGAAAAAAAAAACAAAAUCUCUGGGCCAAUCCAAUCCAUAGUCGUCAUCACGACUUUGACCAGCAGCCAACAUGAGUCGUCGCCGCCCCCAGCGUCGACCCCGCUCGAGUUCACGUCGUCGUUGGGCUCAUCUACGUCGUCGCACAUGGCGCCAUCCAGCAACCCUGCUCUCACGCGGCACUGUCGUCGUCGCCCUACCCGUCAUUGGAGGGGCGAAGUACACCGUCUUUGGUGCAUUUCCCCGCAAGACGUCAUGUGAUGCACUUUCGCGCUCUUCCAAAUCGUCGACCAAGACGAGGAAGACGUCGAUGCUGAAAUUUUUGGCCAGCCCAAUAUAUAAUUUUAAAAAAUUCCUAAUAAAUCCUAGAGGCCCACGCAGCCCAUUUGUGCAAGGCAAAAUGUUGAAAUGUUUAGUCCCACAUUGCUAGUUUAGUGGGAGUCGGAUCUCCUUAUAAGGGAGGAUGUUUCCACACAUGUAUGAGCUUGAGAACAAGAGAGACAUGCACGCGUGCUCCUCCUCCUCCAUCGCCCGCCGCGCCGCGGGUUGCGGGAAUGAGCCGAACUAAAUUUUUGCCAUGCACGACUGGUAUACGAAAGGUCACUCGGAGAAGCUGAACUCUUCGGCUGUUGUGUGUUCGUUUUGUCUCCGUCGCUGGCCUCUCGCCUCCUUCUCUCGCGUCUAUAAAAGAGAGGUCGCUCCUCUCCAGAGAAGACGCAUCAGAACUUCCUCUCGCCACCGGUUCCUUUCUCUAUGAUGCUGCUACGUUCUUCCCCAUCCCGUCUUGCGACGUGGGAUACGUCUCCGUCGUAUCUACUUUUCCGAACACUUUUGCCCUUGUUUUGGACUCUAAUUUGCAUGAUUUGAAUGGAACUAACCCGGACUAACGUUGUUUUCAGCAGAAUUGCCAUGGUGUUGUUUUUGUGCGGAAAUAAAAGUUCUCGGAAUGACCUGGAAAUUUACGAAGAAUUUUUCUGGAAUUAAUGAAAAAUACCUGCGCAAAGAUCCACCGGAGGGGGUGAGCCAGUGGGCCACAAGCCCAGACGGCGCGACCACCCCCAAGGCCGCACCAACCAGGCUUGUGGGGCCCACAGGACUCCACCGCCUCCAAACUCAGCUCCAUAUAUUCUGUUUCGCCCGGAAAAAAAUUAGAGAGAAGGAUUCAUCGCGUUUUACGAUAAGGAGGCGCCGCCACCUCCUGUUCUUCAUCUGGAGGGCAGAUCUGGAGUCCGUUCUGGGCUCUGGAGAGGGGAAAUCGUUGCCAUCAUCAUCAUCAACCUUCCUCCAUCGCCAAUUCCAUGAUGCUCUUCACCGUUGGCUUGCUGGACGGUGAUGAGUUGGAUGAGAUCUAUCAUGUAAUCGAGUUAGUUUUGACGGGGAUUGAUCCCUAGUAUCCACUAUGUUCUGAGAUUGAUGUUGCUACUACUUUGCCAUGCUUAAUGCUUGUCACUAGGGCCCGAGUGCCAUGAUUUCAGAUUUGAACCUAUUAUUUUGUCGCCAAUAUACGUGUGUUUUAGAUCCUAUCUUGCAAGCUGUAGUCACCUACUAUGUGUUAUGACCCAGCAACCCCGGAGUGACAAUAGCCGGAACCACUCCCGGAGAUGACCAUAGUAUGAGGAGUUCAUGUAUUCACCAAGUAUUAAUGCGUUGGUCCGGUUCUUUAUUAAAAUGAGAACCUUAAUAUCCCGUAGUUUCCAUUAGGACCCUGCUGCCACGGGAGGGAUGGACAAUAGAUGUCAUGCAAGUUCUUUUUCCUAAGCAUGUAUGACUACAUACGGAAUACAUGCCUACAUUAGAUUGACGAACGGGAGCUAGUUACUUAUCUCUCCGUGUUAUAGCUGUUACAUUAUGAAUCACAUCCGGCAUAAUCAUCCAUCACCGAUCCAAUGCCUACGAGUCUUUUACUACUGGUCCUUGCUAUGUUACUUUGUCACUACUGUUGUUUCUUGCUGCUGCUGUCACUACUGCUGUUACUUGUUACUUUGCUGUUACCUGCUGCAAUACUAUUUACUGGCGCCAUUGAUACAACAAGUUACGAAUAGUCUGCCGUCAACAGACCUGUUUCUGGCACCGUUGCUAUCAUACCACUUUGCUACUGAUACUUUGCCUGCAGACACUAAUCUUUCAGGUGUGGUUGAAUUGACAACUCAGCUCCUAAUACUUGAGAAUAUUCUUUCGCCUCCCCUUGAGUUGAGUCAAUAAAUUUGGGUUGAAUACUCUACCCUCGAAAACUGUUGAGAUCCUCUACACUUGUGGGUUAUCAAUGUGCACCAUAGGUCGGGACAAUAGACCUCCGAAACUCGUGCACCGUAGGUCGUGACACUAGGCCUCCGAAACUCCGUCUCUUUGAGUCAUGUAUGGGAGAAGGGCGAUAAGGUAUUUGGGGAGCGCUCAGCGUGACUACUGGCUUCCAUCACGGACACCGACAAUCUCUUCCCGGACGACGACAACUUUCGUGACGUCAACCACCUCUUCGGGAACAUGGUCAAUGCCAACACCAACCCUAUUGCUGUUGCAACUCAGUACGUACUCAUGUUCUUNNNNNNNNNNNNNNNNNNNNNNNNNNNNNNNNNNNNNNNNNNNNNNNNNNNNNNNNNNNNNNNNNNNNNNNNNNNNNNNNNNNNNNNNNNNNNNNNNNNNNNNNNNNNNNNNNNNNNNNNNUUACACAUAUGUUCUUUUCUAGAUCAUAUGUGCACAUAUCUUUUGUCGUCUCAUCUAUAUUUUGCAUGUCUUCUUUCAUCUUUAUUAUGAUGGUCAUGUUUAUCCUAAUUUUCUUUUAAUAAAAUCCUAUGGUAAAUUGCUCAUAUUUCCAACAAUCCAAAAACCUUAUUAUAGGCAUUUACCCCGAGUGGUUUUGCUGUUUCCAUGAGACCUCCUAUUUUUGAGGGUAUCCACUAUAAGAGGUGGCGCGUGAGAGCUGUUCUAUGGUUUCAAACCAUGAGCUGCUAUGACACCACUCUUGGCAAACCUGAAGGAGAUCAUGAUGCUCAAUAGGAACUAGCUUUCCAGAAAAUGGAUACCUUGUUUAAGGCUGCUCUCNNNNNNNNNNNNNNNNNNNNNNNNNNNNNNNNNNNNNNNNNNNNNNNNNNNNNNNNNNNNNNNNNNNNNNNNNNNNNNNNNNNNNNNNNNNNNNNNNNNNCUUGUGAAUUUUAAGGCACCCCCUUGCGCUUAUUUAGGUGUGCAAGCUUAGCUGGCGAGGUAACCUCCGUUCCCUUCGAGUUCUUAGUACUAGCUGAUCGUGAUUCACGAGUGCUAUUUGGUUGAUCUUGCUUCUCCUUCGCGGUAUGCUCACCCGAAGUUGUUCUCUUCCUGUCCUCCGGUGCCCUAAGGCUUGGUUUGAAGGGCAAAGCCCCGUUCUCAUCACGUGUUCCUGGAGUAGGACAGAAGAGGUCUGAAUGCCUAAGGUGGCCACAUGAGAAACUGAAGUGCGGAAUAUUCUCAUAUUGAAUGUCAUAGCAAUCUGUUUGCUUCCUUUUGGCUGAUGUAAUCAAGAUCCAUCGGCGCAACGGUUUCUCCACCGCGAUCAUUACUCGGGCUCUGAGAUACCCGCCCACCGGAUCAACCUCUACCAUAGUGGCAUUUGCAUCAAUUUGCUUAGCAAUAGUGAGACCUCUACUGCUAGUUUUCAGAUUAUAGGGUAAGUUGAUAACCCUAGCCCACACCUGUAGCCGAUCAAACUUGAGUUCCGAUGGCUGUAUGUGCGGCUCAAAGUCCUCCAAGAUCAUAGCAUGCUUGCUGAUAUGCUAGGGAGACCCAUUCCACACGCGAUCUCUAUCGUGCUUGGUAGCGAAUUCUCCAUCGUGGUGGAAUCAUAGUCUCCAUCGUACUUUCCUCACUGGAAUAAUGCUCUAAUAAUGAUGAUCAUCACACUUUUAUUUAGUUACAACUCAAUGAGAACUCGAUAUGAACCAAUAUGACUCAAGAUGAAUGCCUCUCGCAGUGUACUAGGAUGUUUAAUGAUCUGGCAUGAGAUGUAUCAACAAUAUGAUGAUGAAUGAACUAGUCAUAUGAUAUAACGGUGGAAUUUGUAUGGUAAUAUAUCUCGGAAUGGCUAUGGAAAUGCCAUGAUAUGUAGGUAUGGUAGCUUUUUUGAGGAAGAUAUAGGAAUGCGUAUGUGUGACAGAACCUAUCAUGCCACGGGGUUUGGAUGCACCGACGAAGUUUGCACCGAUCCUCGAGGUGAGAAUGGGCAAUGCACGGUACCGAAGAGGCUAGCAAAAUACGAGGAGGUGAGAUUGAGUAUGUACAUGAACUCACAUUAGUAAUGAAGAACUCGUAUACUUAUUGCAAAGUUUAUUAGUUUCAUCACACAUUAAAGCACUAUUCGCAUGCCCCGAGGGAGGGGAUUGGGAGGAGUUAACCAUCCCGCGGUUCCGACCUGAAAUAACACUAAAUAACCACCUCAAUAUUAAACAAUAAAUAACCACCUCUUAAUACCGAUACUUAUACGAAUCAACAAUGAUACAUUCACACCUUUUUCAUAUUACCACAUCAAUAUCAUUAACCCACAGUUUCUCUUUGUGAGAUACAUGAUGGUUUUNNNNNNNNNNNNNNNNNNNNNNNNNNNNNNNNNNNNNNNNNNNNNNNNNNNNNNNNNNNNNNNNNNNNNNNNNNNNNNNNNNNNNNNNNNNNNNNNNNNNUUUUGCUUGUUGGGAGCUUUCCCGUGUAAAUAGUUUUCUUUUUCUUUGGGUCAAGGUAGAAGAUAAUGGUUACAAUGUUUAGUGGCUCUCGCAUGCAUACGUGUUUACCUGUUAAAUAGCCAUAUUACUUUGUCUUCUCCUUUGUGUCUGCCUGCAGAUUCCAGCUUAGUCCAAUGCACGAGCACUCUUAUUAUUGUUCACAUCGUUCGGUCGUGCAAGUGAAAGGCAACAAUGACGAUAUAUGAUGAAGUGACUGAGCCUGGAAAAGCUGGUAUGAACUCGAUCUAUUUUGUUUUUGUAAAUAUGACUAGCUCAUCAUGCCUGAUUCAGCUUUGUUGUGAGAGAAACAUGUUUGCAAUAACAACUUAGAGAUCAUAGUUGCUGAUGCCAUGCUUACUUAGCAAGGAGCUUAUAAUGGUUUAUCUUGGAUGCCCACAUGAAUUUUGAGAUGACUAUGAUGUAGUGUGAUAGGAUGAUAUCCUCCUUUGAAUGUUUCAAGUGGCUUCACUUGGCGCAUGUUCACACAUGUAGUUGAAACAAAAUCAACAUAGCCUCUACGAUAUUCAUGUUCAUGGUGAUUUAUGUCCUACUCAUGCUUGCACUCAAUGUUGGUUAAUCUCAUUGCAUUUUGAUGACUGUUGUCGCUCUCUAGUUGGUCGCUUCCCAGUCUUAUGCUAGCCUUCACUUGUACUAAGCGGGAAUACUGCUUGUGCAUCCACUUCCAUAAACCCAAAGUUGUUCCAUAUGAGUCCACCAUACCUACCUAUAUGUGGUAUCUACCUGCCGUUCCAAGUAAAUUUGCAUGUGCCACUCUCUAAAUCUUCAAGAAAUAAUCUAUUUUGCAUGCCCGAACCGCUCAUGUGGUGAUAGGGGGCUAUCAGUAUUUUCCAUGCUAGGCGUGUUAUCCUCGAUAUGUGUUUAUUCACUAUCAUUCACGAGAAAGGGGCGGUAAUUGGAAUUCCGAGUUCCAUGCUCAAAUCGAAAAGAUAAUUGCAAACAAAACUCCCGCAGGAUUGAUAUUGGUAUGGACGGCACCCGAGGAUUCGGCUAGUCAUGGUGUGUGAUUGAUUGGUGGUGGGGGAGUCAAAACUUUACUUUUCUGUUUGGGAACCGCCUAUAACAUGUGUAGCGUGGAAGAUGAUGAGAACUCUUAGUCAUUGCAUUGACAAUGAAAGCAUGCCACCCAAAAUUAUUGUCUCUGUUUGAAAAGCUUCAGCUCUGGCACCUCUGCAAAUCAAUGCUUCCCUCUGCGAAGGGCCUGUCUAUUUAUGUUCCUGUUGAGUCGUCCUCCUCUUACAAAAGCACCAAUUAGAGAGCACCUCUGUCAUUUUUAUUCUUUGCUUUUAACUAUGUUGAGUAUGACUAUGACUGGAUCUUCUUUGCCAUGAAUUACAAUGUUUAGUCAGCCCUUGGUCUUUGAAGGUGCUCUGCAUUUAUGUUUUGCGGUCUCAGAAAGAGCUAUCGAGAUACCAUCUAUUCGUACUGCUUCAUGAUUGUUUUGAUUGAAGUGUUGACGUUUGAGACUUAUUAUUAUUUGCUCGCUAGUUGAUUAUGCCAUUGAUAUGAGUUUACCGUAAGACCUUGAUGUCAUUUGCUUAUGUGGUUUGCUUGUGAUCUUGCUAAAAUUCUGGUUAUGAGUUAGACAUAGUUGCAACAACAAGAUCAAACAGAGUUCGUCAAAGUUUUUCUUUUGUCUCUUUCAGUUUGUCAACUAAAUUGCUUAAGGACAAGCAAGGCUUUAAGCUUGGGGGAGUUGAUACGCCUCCGUCGUAUCUACUUUUCCGAACUCUUUUGCCCUUGUUUUGGACUCUAAUUUGCAUAAUUUGAAUGGAACUAACCCGGACUAAUGAUGUUUUCAGCAGAAUUGCCAUGGUGUUGUUUUUGUGUAGAAAUAAAAGUUUUCGGAAUGACCUGAAAAUUUACGGAGAAUUUUUCUGGAAUUAAUGAAAAAUACCUACACAGACAUCCACCGGAGGAGGUGAGCCAAUGGGCCACAAGCCCAGGAGGUGCGGCCACCCCCCUGGCCGCGCCUACCAGGCUUGUGGGGACCACGUUGCUCCACCGCCUCCAAUCUCAGCUCUAUUUAGUCCGUCUCGCCCGGAAAAAAUCAAGGAGAAGGAUUCAUCGCGUUUUACGACCCGCCACCUCCUGUUCUUCAUCUGGAGGACAGAUCUGGAGUCCGUUCUGGGCUCCGGAGAGGGGAAAUUGUCGCCAUCGUCAUCAUCAACCUUCCUUCAUCGCCAAUUCCAUGAUGCUCUUCACCGUUCGUGAGUAAUCACAUCGUAGGCUUGCUGGACGGUGAUGGGUUGGAUGAGAUCUAUCAUGUAACUGAGUUAGUUUUGACGGGGAUUGAUCCCUAUUUUCCACUAUGUUCUCAGAUUGAAGUUGCUACUACUUUGCCAUGCUUAGUGCUUGUCACUAGGGCCCGAGUGCCAUGAUUUCAUAUGUGAACCUAUUAUGUUGUCGCCAAUAUAUGUGUGUUUUAGAUCCUAUCUUGCAAGUUGUAGUCACCUACUAUGUGUUAUGACCUGGCAACCCCGGAGUGACAAUAGCCGGAACCACUCUCGGAGAUGACCAUAGUAUGAGGAGUUCAUGUAUUCACCAAGUUUUAAUGCGUUGGUACGGUUCUUUAUUAAAAGGAGAACCUUAAUAUCCCGUAGUUUCCAUUAGGACCCCGCUGCCACGGGAGGGAUGGACAAUAGAUGUCAUGCAAGUUCUUCCCUAAGCACGUAUGAUUACAUACAGAAUACAUGCCUACAUUAGAUUGACGAACUGGAGCUAGUUACUUAUGUCUCCGUGUUAUAACUGUUACAUGAUGAAUCACAUCCGGCAUAAUCAUCCAUCACCGAUCCAAUGCCUACGAGUCUUUUACUACUGGUCCUUGCUACGUUACUUUGCUGCUGCUACUGUUACUCUGUUGCUACUACUGUUACUCUGUUGCUACUGCUGCUAUCACCCUACCUUGCUACUGAUACUUUGAUGCAGACACUAAAUCUUUCAGGUGUGGUUGAAUUGACAACUCAACUGCUAAUACCUGAGAAUAUUCUUUCGCUUCCCCUUGAGUCGUAUCAAUAAAUUUGGGUUGAAUACUCUACCCUCAAAAACUGUUGCGAUCCCCUAUACUUGUGGGUUAUCACUCUGUGAAGCAUCACCCUUUCCUCUUCAAGGGAAAAACCAAUGCAAGCUCAAGAGGUAGGAGUAUGACACACUCAAGGCAUUUCUCAAGGAGAAAGGUUUCAAGCCUGGCUCACUCGAUCCUACUCUUCUCAAUAAAUCAUAUGAAGGUGAACUGUUUGUAUGUCAAAUCUAUCUUGAUGACAUUAUCUUCGGCUAUACUAACAACCGAUAUAGUGAUGAGUUCAAAGGGCUUGAAGUUUGAUCUCAUUGGUUAUUCAGAUUCAUAUUUUGCUGGUGAUAGAGUUGAUCGCAAGUCUACAUGAGGUACAUGUCAAUUUUUGGGUCGAUCUCUUGUAUGUUGGUCUUCGAAGAAGCAAAACUACGUCUCACUCUCCACUGCUAAAGCCGAAUACAUUGCUGUUGGCGCCUGCUGUACACAACUUCUAUGGAUCAAGCAAACUCUCAAGGACUAUGGCAUCAACGAUAAGAAAGUACCACUCUACUACAAUAAUGAGAGUGCUAAAAAGAUUGCCUACAACACUCGGAGACAAAGUACAUUCACACACGACAUCAUUCUCUUCGCGAUCUUGUGUUGAAGGGAGACAUCAUCAUCAAACCUUUGAAGUGAGAGGAGCAAUUGGUUGAUAUCUUCACGAAGCCUUUGGAUGAGAGGAGUAUCAGUUAUCAAUCCGGCAUAUCUCGUAGUAGUGGCCCUAAGCUAGGCCUCUUGGAGCGAUGGUAGCAUGGACACAUGAUUUNNNNNNNNNNNNNNNNNNNNNNNNNNNNNNNNNNNNNNNNNNNNNNNNNNNNNNNNNNNNNNNNNNNNNNNNNNNNNNNNNNNNNNNNNNNNNNNNNNNNGUGGUGGAAUAGUCUAGUUCCACCAGGGAGGUGGUGGGUUCGACCCCCCCUCUUGCACCUUUUUUCCUUUUAGUUUGUUUUUCCCAUGUAUGUAUGUGUGUGUGUAUGUGUAUAUGAGGGUGUGUCUAUAGCAUGUAAGGGUAGUGUGUGUGUAUGACAGUGGGUCCAGAGGACCCACAUGUCAUACUGAGAGAGAGCCACUGCCAAGUGGACCCCCUCACCAUGUUUAUAUUUUUUCCUAAGUAUUGCACUUUAUUAUUUCAUGGCCUGUUUAGAGCUUCAUAUUAGGUGGACCUUUGAUCUAUUGAUGUUGAUUCCUUGAUGGAAUGGUAGUGGGUGAACCCCUCUACAACUUGGGGCAAAUAUGUUGCUCUUAGGAUUUUGCAUGUGCUUAUUACACCUUGUCAAAGUGGGCACUUGACUGAAAAAUGACAGAUUUGUGAAAACCUGUGAAUUUCAUUAAGUCUGGGAAUCUGGAGUUAUUUUCUUCCCCUGUUGUGUUGUUCAUAUUUGCUCCUCUGUUGGGAAUUAGCCCAAGCAACAAACUGAUGUUUGUUUGCUGGUAUGCUUGUCUAGCUCUAUGUAAAAUUUCAUGCCCAGAUACCUCCUGUAGAUAUCAUUUUGGAGGCUGCUAAAAUGCUUCAGAGCAUAAGCAGCUGGUGAAAAUCUGUAAUUUUCACUAAGUCCCAAUCUAUGAUAUUUUGUCCAAGUUAGAGGUUAUAUAUCUGCUGAUGUGUGAGCCCUUUGCUUUAGCUACUUGUUGGAGGUUGUAAUGCAGUUGGAUGGCUUCAGUUUCAUGUCUUGUUUGAAUUAUUUAGAGGGUUGUAGCUGCUGUAGAUCUUGUAGUCAAAGUGCUAUGUUGUUGUUAAAAACAGAUUGUGUGUCUAGAUGGUUUUUGAGCUUGUGUGAGCUAUGGUUGAUGGUGUGGUGUGUUCUCAAGCACCAUUCCACUUGUAUUUUGGUGCUUGAUCAUUUGGCAUCCUGGUUACACCAGUGAGUGCCCAUUUAAUUAAGUUUGUGGUUGUUUUGAACCCUUAGACCUUCGUAACUAGUUUUGUAGUUUCCAGUUGAUCCGAGACUCCGUUCACGAUGUUCUUCAUAUGUUUUUGCAUCGUUUUCUCAUGAUGCAUAUGAUUAUGCCAUGUUCAUGCAUGUCAAGAUAAAUUAACAUGAGGUUCUGUCCAGAAUAUAAACAACUCAACUAAUGCAUGUGAAAGUGACUAGAAUAGUGGUGUGUGCCUUCUUCUUCACACAUGCAUCAUGGUGGUUGUUGCAUUAUGUUUUGCUGGUGUUUAUUUGUUGUUAUCUUAUCUUUGGGUAGCAUCGGGAACGGAGAGCGAGUACGUGGAUUCUGGAGAGUUCAUGCAGGAAGAACAAGAGCAGUUCCAGUCUGAAGAAAUCACACGCAAGAUGACCGUGACCUUGGCACCGUUUCUAGCUUUGUUAUGCUUAGAGAUACGUUUCCUUCGUUACAUGCCCGCUGCCUACCACAUGAUAUAUAUGCCAUCUGUCUUUGCCAUGAAACCUNNNNNNNNNNNNNNNNNNNNNNNNNNNNNNNNNNNNNNNNNNNNNNNNNNNNNNNNNNNNNNNNNNNNNNNNNNNNNNNNNNNNNNNNNNNNNNNNNNNNCUGCCUACCACAUGAUAUAUAUGCCAUCUGUCUUUGCCAUGAAACCUCAAACACUUCCCUCUCCUAGCAAAUAUUGUUUGGAUAAGUAGGCAUGAUCAACCUCUAAUGGAUAGCUUUGCUAGUUGCAGGUGCCAGCUGGUCCAUGUGAUAGCAUGGGCAUUUUGAUAUCAUUAUGUUUAACUGCUAUUUAAUUAAUGCACCUAUAUACUGGUGUUUUAAUCCAUAACUGAGCGCUCCUAACACGUUCGGGGUUGUUAUGGGGACCCCCUUGAUAAAUUGUAUAGUGUUAAGGCUUCUCUAGCAGGACCCAACUUUGGUUUUAAUCUUGAAAGGAUGUGGAUGUCGCCUAGAGGGGGGGUGAAUAGGCGCUUUAAAAUAAUCACGGUUUCGGCAUGAACAAAUGCGGAAUAAAACUAUCGUUUAAUUUGUCAAGCACAAAACCUAAAACAACUAGGCUCACCUAUGUGCACCAACUCCUUAUGCUAAGCAAGAUGAACAACUAAGUGAUAGGAAGAUAUAUGACAAUAAACAAUAUGGCUAUCAGAAAGUAAAGUGCAUAAGUAAAGGGUUCGGGUAAGAGAUAACCGAGGCACGCAGAGACGAUGAUGUAUCCCGAAGUUCACACCCUUGCAGAUGCUAAUCUCCGUUGGAGCGGUGUGGAGGCACAAUGCUCCCCAAGAUGCCACUAAGGCCACCGUAAUCUCCUCACGCCCUCGCACAAUGCAAGAUGUCGUGAUUCUACUAAGGGACCCUUGAGGGCGGUCACCGAACCCGUACAAAUGGCAAACCUUGGGGGCGGUCACCGGUACCCGUACAAAUUGCUCGGGGCAAUCUCCACAACCUAAUUGGAGACCCCGACGCUUGCCCGGAGCUAUACACCACAAUGAUUGAGCUUUGAGACACCACCAAGCUUCUAGGACGCCAAAGCAUCCACGGAGAACAAUAUCUAGGGUACUAAGUACCAAAGGUAAUAAGCUUCUCAAACUUCACUUCCACAUAUCAACGUGGAGAACUCAAACCGAUGCAACUAAUGCAAUGGAAAGAACACACGAAGUGGACAAGUCCCUCACACUCAAAUCCCUCCACAACAACAAAAGCUAUGGAGAAAUAUAAGAGGAAGAACAAGGAGCUCACAAAGAACUCCAAGAUCUAGAUCCAAGGGGUUCCCCUCACAUAUAGGAGAAAGUGAUUGGUGGAGAUGUGGAUCUAGAUCUCCUCUCUCUUUUCCCUCAAGAACAAGAAAGAAUUAUUGGAUGGAUUGAGAGUAAGCAAGCUCUAAGAAGGUCAACAAUGGGGGUAGAACAUGAGCUCAACGAAUAGGAAAGCACCAAGGGGGGAGAAGGACCCCUUUAUAUAGUGGGGGAAAGAAUCAUACCGUUACCCCCACUUACAACCCGAGCACAGCGGUACUACCGCUGCCCCCAGCGGUACUACCGCUCAGGGAGGAGCCAUACUACCGCUGCCCCUGGCGGUACUACCGCUAUCCCUAGCGGUACUACCGCUAGGACUGGAGCGGUACUACCGCUCGAGAAAGUCUUUGCAAAAAGUCCGACGGAGAACAACCGCUCGGAGAGAGAUACUACCGUCCCGAAGCGGUACUACCGCCCACCCGGAGCGGUACUACCACUAGGCCCCUGGCGGUACUACCGCUAGGACUGGAGCGGUACUACCGCUCGCCACUGAAACAACCAUAACUUUCGCAUACGAGCUCCGAAUCGAGGAAACCCAAGCUUGUUGGAUUCAGGACGACAGGAGCUAUCCAAACAGAAAAUGAUAUAGAGAUGUGAGACCUCCAUGAAUGAAGAACCGGCAAAAACUCCAACAUCAAAAACAUCAUAGUAGAAUGCAUAUGGACUCUGUUUUCGAUGAACUCGAGCUUGUCAUGAAGAUGACCAUAAGCUCUAAAACUCACAAAGAGAAACACCAAACAAGAACCAAGAAGUAUGAUGCAAGGAUGCAAAUGGUUUGAGGUCUCAACGAACGAUACGAUCGAGCUAAUCACUUGAGAUCCCCCCUUGACAGUACGGCAAUCUAUCCUAAAACAGAAAAACUAUCAAGGGCAAACCUAUACCUUGCACCUCAUCCUCUUGAGCUAGAUGACGAUGAUUUUGGCUUCCUCAAGAUGGACCACCUUCUUGAUUGCGUUGGCUUGAUGAAGACUAGUUGAUUGCUCCCCCAUACCCAACAUGGGUGAGCCUCUCUUCAACAUAUCUUCACAAGUCCAUUGCCACCACAAUGGACGGCAAGCUUCAAGCAUGAUAUCUUCAUGCUAAUCCACUUGAACUUGCACACCGCAAUCUUGAUGACGAUCACCACUUGACGUCAUCCUUCAUGGGUUGUAUGAGAUCUUCCUCUAGACGCAAGCCCAUGGAAACACACCUAACCCCACAUAGAACUCUCACGAAGACCAUGGGUUAGUACACAAACACGUAAUGGACAAUGCUUACCAUACCAUGGGAUCACUUGAUCUCUCUCGGUACAUCUUGUACUCUUUGUGUGUUGAUCAUCUUGAUUUACUCUUUGUCUGACGAUCUUGAUCAACCUUGUGUCUCUAUGACCAUUCUUUGGAUAAUACCUUGAAUACCAUCUUGGUCAUCAUAUAAACUCCUUGAACCCAAUAGAUGGAAUUCAAGAAGUGCCUAUGGAAAAAUCCUAUAAAUAUAACUUAAGGCAACCAUUAGUCCAUAGGAAUUGUCAUCAAUUACCAAAACCACAUAUGGAGAAAUAUGCUCUCAAAAAUUUGCUAAUAACUUAAUAAUGAAAUGCAUAGGGAAUAGCUACCCCGAGGAAUCUAACCAACCCUCGGGCCAGCGCUCCUCAUGAGUGUUGGUCCAAACAAGAGAACUGUGCGGGGCCGACUCAGGGCAACUUGAGCGAUUUCUAUCAGGCCACUAUACGCGUCGCUUAUCCGUCGUGUCCUGAGAACAAGAUAUACGGCUCCUAUCGGGAUCGUCAACAUGUCGGGAGGUCUUGCCAGAUUUGUCUUACCUUAAUGAUAUAUCUUGCGCAUUGGAAUUCCGUGAAACUUUGGGUCUCCUCAAAGUUGAGGUUUUCCUCCAAGGAAUCCGACAAGAUCACGAGUUUCGUGAUAGAGGAUUACUAUGCGGCCUGUGGUAAUUUGUAAUGGACUAGUUGGAGCACCCCUGCAGGGUUUAAUCUAUCGGAAAGCCGUGCCCGCGGUUAUGUGGAAAAUAUGGAUAUUUUAUUUAACAUCCGGUUCUAGACAACUUAAAGUAAUUCUAAUAAAACUGCCAACUGAAUGCGUAACUGUGACUGUCUCUUUCGGAGAUCCUUCUCUGAUCGAGAACACGGUGGGGUUAUGUUUGACGUAAGUAGGUGUGCAGGGUCACUUAGUGAUCAAACUAGUCUUCGACCGACUUGCGUAGACCGCCAUAUGUUUACUCUGACCAUCGUAAGGUAGCCACCAUAUAUGCUUAGGUUGCUGCAAACCCAUACACUUAACCUUCCUCACCCAUUAACUCGGCUAGAUUCGAUACCAAGGUCAUUCGAUUGUUGAGUCCUCGUGGCUCACGGUUUACUACAAACACCCACAGGUACAGGUACGCCUAAGGCAGGAGAUCCUGAUGACAGCCAGUUGAAGUGAGAGUUUGAUGAGGACUCUGGCAGACUGUACGUGACUUAUUCGGAGGACUAGAGGUCGUGGUCGUGAUCAUGGGGCCAGCAUGCGGGAUAUCGUAGCUUUAUCUGUUUUCUUAUUGUCCGUAGCUGGACCAUACCAUGUUCUGAAUAAGUGUGUUUGCAUGACUAUAUGACUAUGUUCUUAUCAGAUGGCAAGUGUAUGCCCUACUUGUCACUCUUUUAGUUAUGUAAUGUUAUGAUUAUCUCGCUUGCGAAACGUGUAGAUGCGCCCCUUUCCCUUUUGGGGCCUCGUCCCCAAAUAAGGAAAGGGUCGCAUCUUAGUCGUUACAGGCUGCCACCAAGAGCAACGGCGCAUCCCUCCUCUCUCUCUCUCGUAGUACUUCUCCACCGUCACAAUCACAGUAGUGCUUGUCGAAGCCCUGCCGUGAUCACAUCAUCGCCUCCGCCACCACGCCAUCGUGCUACCGGAGAACUCAGCUACUACUUCACCUUCGCUCGUUGGAUCGAGGUGGUGAAGGCGUCAUCGAGUUGUACGUGUGCUGAACGCGGAGGUGUCGUCCGUUCGGCGCUUGAUCGGGAUGGCUCGUGAUUGGAUCGCGGGAUGGCUCGUGAUUGGAUCGCGGGAUGGCUCGUGAUUGAAUCACGAAGACAUUUGACUACAUCAACCGCAUUUCUUAACACUUCUGCUUAGCGAUAUACAAGGGUAUGUAGAUGCACUCCCCUCUCGUAGUUGUUGAUCUCCAUAUAUUGAUGUAUAUUGAUCUUGGGUGUUCGUAGGAAAAUUGUUGUUUCCCAUGCAACGUUCCCUAACACUGGGCCGGUCCCUGGUGACUAUGGCACGGCUAUGGCGGCUGGCCGCACGGGUGCAUGCCUGGCGGCUUCGAUGCUUGGAGUUCGUCGGGCGAUGCGGGUUGGGCAGUAGCCCGGUGUGGCUGCUUUCCUGGUCAUGGAUGGCUCCAUGGUGGCUUGGCAGAUCGACUAUGGCGGCCACUAGUCCAAUGUGUGCUUGUCUACAGGCGGUCUAUGUCGGCCUUUGAUCCCCCUCCUCAUCGUUCGGACGCUACUUUAUCAAAGGGUUGGCCCCUCUCCCAGUUGUGGUCCAUCGGUCGUCUCACGCCCGGUGCUGCAGGUUCGAGCUUGUCUCAUGCCCGACUGCGGGACCGAGCUCGUCUCGCGCCCGACGGCAGGAUUGAUCUCGUCUCGUGCCCGGAGCUGAGAAAUGGUCGAUAGAGGCCAGUCUUGUCCGGCCUAUCAGGUCUCAGCGCUGGGGCCGCCGAGGGAUGCGAAAGGCAGUUCCUUUCCACCCGUCUCUUUGGUUGGGGUAGCGGCGGGUCUCGAGUGAGGUGGUGUUAAGGUCUUGGAUGCCGGGGCGGCGGCCCUAUUAGUGGUAGCGCGGUGCUCAUAGGCAGGGCUCGUGGCUUGGUGCUGCCCGAUGGCCAUGGUCGUGUGGGCGGCGUGAUUCUCGGGGUGUGGCGUCAGGUGAUGGUGAGUGUUGGCCAGGGUGAAAACCUGUUCUAUCUUCGUACGGAUCGGCAGCGGCGAAGCUCGUUCCCUUCUUGAAGGCGUUGUCGCGGCUCUCAUUACCCGUCGUGUUGCUCCAGAGGAAACUCUGAUCCUUGGAUCGAACGAUGACGGCGCUCCGGUGUCGUAACCUUCUUGAAGGCGCCGCCUUGAAGCCACGAUUCGUCAUAUGCGGCUUCACCUCUUUGCGGUGACGUGUUGGUUGAAGCCCUCGGUUGCUCUUGUAAUGCUGGGGUUGAUGUUGCUGCGCUCGGCGCCUAUGUAUCAUGUCUUGAAUGUGUGUUGUGAUGUGGUAUGUUUGUACUGAAUUGUCAAUGAUCGUUGCUUUAUAUAUAAAAUGGACAAAAGCCUUUUGAUAAAGCAAUCCACAUCAAUCAACUUCAAGCCAGUCUAACAGAAACUAGCUCGCCAUAAGCUUGGUAACAAAAGUGCAACCGGUAUUUCUGUAGAAGCAGGGUAAGAAAAAUAAUAAUUUACGAAGAAAGCUUCACAAACGAGCUACAACAUGAUAGCAUCACUUCAUACACCAAUUUCAUAAGUAGCUUUGCUAAAAUUACGAUCAUCCGUUCCCUUAACAUGUUUCUUCCGUUUGAUGGAUGCUCACUCAUUAAGUCAAGGGAAAAAGCAUGCACACUUUUGGCUAGCCUUUCAAGAGGAGAUUUUAUCUAUUUUUCUCUGGUUUAGGAAAAAUAGUUCAUAUGAUAUACUCCCUCUAUCAACUACUCCCUCCGUUCCUAAAUAUAAGUCUGUUUAGACAUUUCACUAGAGGGCUACAUACGGAACAAAAUAGAUGAAUCUAUAUUUUAAAUUAUGUCUAUAUACAUCCGUAUGUAGUUCUUUUAGUGAAACCUUUUAAAAGACUUAUAUUUAGGAACAGAAGGAGUAAUAUAGAAGCAUUUAGAUCACACAUUUAGAUUAUUACUUUAAUGAUCUAAACGCUUUUAUAUUAAUUAACAGAGGGAGUACUAUACUAGCGUCAGAAAAAGAAUGAUAUACUACUUAAAAAGCUAAUCCUUUUAUAUACUAAUGUAAGACGUUUUUACAGUGAGAAAAUUGCCACUAUACCACUAAUGAAAACCGCAAGUGCUAAAAUACCACUAUAAAAAACCAAAGUGCCAAAAUAACACUGCUCUCUUAGUUUUUCAGACCAGAAUAACACUUCCGUUAGCUGUCAAACAUAUUCUGUUAGUCAAACCGUUAGCAUCUGUCAGUUUUUUUGGGUAUUUCCAAAAUGCCCCUGAUCUCUAAACCUAGUCCCGUAUUCCCCAUCGUUCUGCUCCCGGUCUCUAUCCAUGGCGUGCGUCCGCUCGCCCCGCCGCCCUCCCGCUCGCUCCGCCGCCCUCCCCUAGCUUCGCCCCCGACGACGCCGCCCUCCCGCUCGCCCCCGACGAGGCCGCGGCUCGCCCCCGACGAGGCCGUCCUCCCGCUCGACCAGGCCCUCCGCUCGCCACCGACGAGGCCGCGGCUCGCCCUCGACGAGGCCGUCCUCCCGCUCGACCAGGCCUUCCGCUCGCCCCCGACGAGGUCGCGGCUCGCCCCCGACGAGGCCGUCCUCCCGCUCGCCCCCGACGAGGCCGCCCUCCCGCUCUCCAGGGUCCCGACGCCGCCCUCCCGCUCGCCCCUCGACCAGGCCCUCGACGGCCUUGCUGCUGGCCCUCUGGGUGAAUAUCUGAUGCUUUAAAUCUGAUGUUUUUAUUCUAAAUGAUGAUCCUCUGUUUCCAUUUUUAGAUUCGAUGGGCGAUUUCAAAGUAGAAAUAGAUGUUCAAUCUUACUUGACGGUUGUAGACGACAGAAAAGUGUAUACAAGGGGCAGAACAUGGAAUUUUCUGGCUGGUCGGGGCUUGUCCAUUGCGCGGAUAAAGGAGGUUGUGGAGGGGAGGUACACAUGGUCUGCUGAUCAGAGAAUGGUCAUUUGGUAUGGAUCCGGAGGUAACACCGUCCCAUUGAUCUCUGAAUCAGAGAUAGCUCAAUUGUUUGACAUAUGUUCUAACACAAAAAUAGUAAGGUUCGGUGUGACCAUUGAGAGUAAACAACAACAGAAUGAACCAGCCCAUGUUAUGACCGAGGAGAUGGAUGAUCAGCCAGUUCACGCUCCAUUCUUUGCUUGGCCUAAGCAAGCCUAUGAAGGGGAGUACGAGGAUGAUGAGCCUGUGGGAUGCAACGAGGAGAGCACCUAUUUGCAUGAGGAGAAUGUUGAGUCAAAGGAGAAUGCUGAGCCACAAAAGAAUGUCGAGCCAAAGGCUGCAAGAGUUCCAUUGGGAACACUGGAUGUGGACAACUCUUAUGAUCCACAACAUGUGCGAGGGGAUGAUGAGGCUUUACUUGCGAACAAUAUGGCUCCUACUUAUAUCCAUGAUAAAAGCAAUCCUCGAAUUGAAGUAGGAGCCACAUUUCCUAACUCUAAAGCAUUUAAAGUUGCUUUGAGACAAUUAGCAAUUAGAGAAGAUUGGUCCUUUGGCAUGCAGUAUAGUGACCCUCAAAGAUUUAGGGCUAAUUGCACUGAUGAGGAUUGCCCAUGGAGGAUACAUGCCUCAAAAUUACCUAACACAAAAACUUUCAUGGUAUUGUAUAGUGACCCUCAAAGAUUUAGAGCUUAUGUUAUUGUUGAUUUCUUUCUUUUUACUGCUGUUUAUUUGGCACUUAUGUUUCUUAAUGUUAUUGUAGGUAAAAAAACUCCCUUUUGGCCAUACUUGUGGGAGUACCAAUUGCAGCAAAGGAAUGGCAAAUAGAGAUUGGCUUGCUGAUAAAGGGAAUGCUGCACUUGAGGAGAAUCCCACGGUGAGUGCAAAACAACUUAGAGAAACUUUGCAAAAGGAGUAUGAUAUUAAGCUUCAGUACACCGAUGUUUGGAAAGGAAGAGCUCGUGCAAAGGAUCAAUUGGAAGGUACAUAUAAGGAGAAUUUUCAGCAAUUGUGGAACUUUAGAGCCGAAUUGUUGGCAACCAAUCCUGGAAGUAUAUUUGAGAUAGACAUAAAAACAACUACCAACAAAAGGAGUGACGUUGUGCAUGUUUUCAAUAGGUUGUUCAUUGCCUUCAAGCCAUGCAUUGAUGGGUUCUUGGCAGGGUGUAGACCAUAUUUGGGGGUUGAUGCAACAUUUCUUAGUGGGAAAUAUACCGGACAAUUGGCAGCCGCAAUUGGUGUGGAUGGGCAUAGUUGAAUGUUUCCGGUAGCAUUUGGAAUAUUUGAGAAAGAAAAUACAGAAAAUUGGGUAUGGUUCAUGGAGCAGCUGAAAUUGGCUGUUGGAGAGCCACAAGGGCUUGUAAUCCAUACAGAUGCAUGUAAGGGGUUGGAGAAUGCCGUUUCUAAGGUCUGCCCAAAUUGUGAACAUAGAGAAUGCAUGAUGCAUCUAAUGCUUAACUUCAAGAAAAAGUUCAAAGGUGACAUACUAGAUAAUAUGUGGCCUGCAGCUUGGACCUAUGAAGUAGAGAAGCAUGCAUCUAGGAUGGCAGAAAUACAAGCACAAAGUGCUGAAGCAAUAGCCUAUUUGAAUAUGCAUCACAACCGUGUGUGGACAAGAAGCAAUGACAAAAGUUGAGUAUGUCUGCAAUAAUUUGGCAGAGGUCUUCAAUAAUUGGAUUAAGGACAUGAAGCAACUUGCACUUGUUGAGCUUUUGGACAACCUGAGGGAAAUGAUAAUGAAAUUGUUCGAGAAAAGGAGAGCCGUUGCCGAAACGCUGCUAGGUUACAUACUACCUAGUGUGAUAAAGGAGUUGAAUUUGAAAAGCAAGGGGCUGCACUAUUUGGAAGCAAGGGCAUCACCAAAUAUAGCUGAGAUUUCAGGAAAUGGAUGGAGGCACACCGUUAACUUGGAGAAAAACGAGUGCUCUUGUAGAAGAUGGCAGAUUUGUGGUAAGCCAUGCACACAUGCUCUUCGGUUCAUAUUCUCCAAAAAAGCCAAGCUAGAGGAUUAUAUUGAUGAGUGCUUCUCAGUGGCAAGGUUCAAAGCGGCAUAUGAGGGAAUUCUCAUGCCAAUUAGGGGUAGGUCCCAAUGGCCCAAGGUAAAUCCUGGAUUUGAUAUGAUCCCUCCCAAGCUUACCAAGAGUGCUGGACGUCCAAGAACUAGGAGGAUAAAGAAUUACACUGAAGGUGGAACUGGCAGAAAACACAAAUGCAAAAGGUGUGGAGCAUUAGGUCAUCUUCGAAAGACAUGCAAGGAGCCAGAGAUUGAAAGUGACGCGGACCGAGAUGCUACUCCUCCACGGUAAUUAUUUCAUGAGUCGAAAUUUCUUUCACUUGCUGCCAAAUGUCUUGCAUAUUAAUUGUAUUGAACUGUAGGAAAAAAUCAAAGGUUGAAGCAAGCAUCACAGCUACUUCUUCUCCUAAGACACCAACUAAGCAAGGUACUCAGCUUGGUAGUCCUACAAGUCCAAUGACAAGGCAAAGGGCAGCAGCUAUUGCAAUUGCUUCAACACCUCCUAGUGCAUCUACAAGGAGCAAAAUUGCUGCUCCUAGCCCUCUUCUGUGAGUUCAGUUCAUUUGAUUGUGAGAAGCAUGAUUUUUCUGUGAAAACAUUCGGAUUCCAAAUUGCCUUCAUCCUGAUCUUUACUUUGUUUUCUCUCAAAACAGCAAUGCCAUGUGAAGGAGGAUAUCAGGAAGCUUUUGGAUGUUGACCGUCCUAGAUUAUAACUUGUAGUAGAUUAAUUAGAUGUUAUGUAAUCAGAGUCAGUACUAAGACUGUUUGCAACCGUGUAUGCAUGCAUAGUAGGCACAAUGGUGUACAGGAGGUGCUCUUUUGGUAUGCUAUACUGUGUUGUGACUUAUAUGAACCAUUUUGUGUAUGUUUUCUAUGUUGAAGAGGUAAGGGCAUUCAAGUCUUUUUCAGAUGAUGUUAGUCUCAGUUAUGAACCAGUGCUAUUUUGGCAAGUUGGCUUUUAGUAGUGGUAUUUUGGCAUGUUUGGUUUUGACUAGUGGUAGUUUGGCUAUUCGCUCUUUUACAGUUUAAUUUUGAGCAUGUGAAUAGCUGAAGACGCAAGCAAGCCAACUACCUCAACACCUCUUGCAUCUCCGAGCUCUUGCAAAUAAAUUGCCCAAUUAGUUGAGCUAUUUAUUUGUCUCAUGAUACUCCUUUUUGCAGCAUGCUAAUGAAGUGAGUACCAAGGAUGAUUAGCAACGCACUCGCACUCUGCUAGUUAUGAUGAACGGUCCAAAAAGAGAGAAGGGAAUUCCAAACGAAAGCAAAACAACGAGCGCAGACUUUCAUCAGUUACCUUUUUUGUAAUGUUAAAUUGAAUUGAAAUAGGGAUUCAUCAGUCAAAAAAUCUAGGAAAAUAAUAAGAAACACAGAGAAAAGAUACAAGCUUUNNNNNNNNNNNNNNNNNNNNNNNNNNNNNNNNNNNNNNNNNNNNNNNNNNNNNNNNNNNNNNNNNNNNNNNNNNNNNNNNNNNNNNNNNNNNNNNNNNNNCUUGAUGUUAUUUCCGGAGUUCUGACUCUGCGACCUUUAGCAUCGCAAACAACUCGCCGGGUGACUUGUUCAUCCCUUGCAUGUUAUAGUACAACACAAAGCUCUUGUAGCUAGGUGGCAGUGAUUGAACAAUUAUGUCAAUGAUAGCCUCUUGCGGGAGUUCAACUCCCAACUCAGCUAGAUGGUUUGAGUACCUAGACAUUUUGAGCACAUGUUCACUGUUAGACGAAUUUUCCUCCAUUUUGCAAGUAUAGAAUUUAUCGGACGUCUCAUACCUCUCAAUCCGGGCAUUAUUCUGAAAGAUAAACUUCAACUCUUGGAACAUCUCAUAUGCUCCAUGACGUUCAAAGCAUCGCUGAAGUCCCGGUUCUAAGCCAUACAAGACUGCACAUUUAACUACUGAGUAGUCCUCCUUACGUGCUUGCCAAGCGUUCAAAACAUCUUGUUCAUACGUAGCGGGUGGUUCAUCUCCUAGCACUGCAUCAAGGACAUAAUUCUUUUUCCCAGCUUGUAGGAUAAGCCUCACAUUACGAGCCCAGUCUACAAAGUUGCUACCAUCAUCUUUCAGCUUAGCUUUCUCUAGGAACGUGUUGAAAUUCAGGGUUGCUACUGCGUGAGCCAUUGAUCUACAACAUAAAAUAUUGCAAAGUGGACUUAGACUAUGUUCAAGAUAAUUAGAGUUCAACUUAAUCAAAUUAUUCGCUAAACUCCCACUCAAAAAGUACAUCUCUCUAGUCAUUUGAGUGGUACAUGAUCCAAAUCCACUAUCUCAAGUCCGAUCAUCACGUGAGUCGAGAGUAGUUUCAGUGGUAUACAUCUCUAUGCUAAUCAUAUCAACCAUAUGAUUCAUGCUUGACUUUCGGUCUCUUAUGUUCCGAGGCCAUGUCUGUACAUGCUAGGCUCGUCAAGUUUAACCCGAGUGUUCCGCGUGUGCAACUGUUUUGCACCCGUUGUAUGUGAACGUUGAGUCUAUCACACCCGAUCAUCACGUGGUGUCUCGAAACGACGAACUGUAGCAACGGUGCACAGUCGGGGAGAACACAAUUUCGUCUUGAAAUUUUAGUGAGAGAUCACCUCAUAAUGCUACCGUCGUUCUAAGCAAAAUAAGGUGCAUAAAAGGAUUAACAUCACAUGCAAUUCAUAAGUGACAUGAUAUGGCCAUCAUCACGUGCUCCUUGAUCUCCAUCACCAAAGCACCGGCACGAUCUUCUUGUCACCGGCGUUCUUGUGCUUAUUGAUCUCCAUCACCAAAGCACCGGCAUGAUCUCCAUCAUCACCGGCACCACACCAUGAUCUCGAUCAUCAUGAUCUCCAUCAUCGUGCCGCCAUCGAGGUUGUCGUGCUAUCUAUGUUAUUUCUACUAAAGCUACAACCUAGCAAUAUAGUAAAUGCAUCUGCAAACACAAACGUUAGUUUAAAGACAACCCUAUGGCUCAUGCCGGUUGCCGUAGNNNNNNNNNNNNNNNNNNNNNNNNNNNNNNNNNNNNNNNNNNNNNNNNNNNNNNNNNNNNNNNNNNNNNNNNNNNNNNNNNNNNNNNNNNNNNNNNNNNNCGGGACGACCGUUCGUGAGGAGGCGUCGGACUAGCGCGCGGUGCGGUGGCGCUGCAUGUGGAUCCUAGCGGCGGCGUGCGGAGCGCGUCCACAGCUGGGGUUCGUUCUUGUCGCGCGGUGUGGCGACUGCAAGAGGGGCAAGACAUAGUGGUCGCGUGCAUCGUCGAGUUCGGGUCAUAUCCUUCUGGAUCCGGCGCCCGGACGCCACAAGCCAGUGCAGGGUGGUGGUACUCAUCACUGUUCAGAUUGAAUCUUCAUUGAUCCAGAUACCCGCGGUGUGCUUCUCUCCUGGCAUUGAGCGUGGCCGCGGAUGAAGCUGGUGGAGGAGACUCAGAUAAGGGGAAACCCAUUGAUCGGCCUUGGCUGACCGCGUCGACGACGACGCUCAAGGGCGCCGUUUUUCUUCCUGGAGACGUCGGUCUACGUCUGCUCCUCCAUUUCCUACCUCACUGCCUCUUGGGUGAAAACCCUAACUCCGGUGGGCGGCGGCGGCGGCGUUGAUGUCGUGACCUUCCUGAAGGCGUCGCUUUGAGGGCUGAGUGGUGGUGGGCACUAUGUGGGUCCUGGACAGUUGCUGGUGGUGGGCACUUCUUCGGGAGAAACCCUAAGAUCUGACUUUCCAGAUCGGAUGAUGGCGGUACUGCGGUGUCUUUCUCUCUUGGGAGCAUCGUUCGCGGAGCAGCGCUGGAUGACAGAGGUAGGAGAUGGAGCGGAUUCGUCUGGCCCGAAGAUUUGGUGGAACUAUCAAGUCAUGCCGGGCCAACAGGUGCUACGCUGAGUCAUGCCUGGUUUGUAGGUGCUACGCACGACAGUUCUUCCAGAAUCUUCGUGUCUGGACGAAUAAGCGCAGGGCGGUGGCGCUGUUUGGCGUCGUGGCUGCGUCGAUCAUCUUGCAUGGAGCUUUCGGUGGAUAUGUCAAGUCAUGUCUGGCCGACAGGUGCUACGUUGUGUCAUGCCUGGUCGGCAGGUGCUACGCACGACAGAUCUUUCAGAAUCUUUACGUCUGGACUGACGAGUCGUGGUGGCGUCGACGGAUGGACGGACUAGUAAGGAUGAUACAGAUCUCUCUCUUGAAGAUGGGUUAGCGGCCUGAUGAUGAUGACGACAUCUAAAACGUGUGCAUGUGUUAUACGCUUUAGGUUUGCUGCACCGGCUAUGGGUUCCGAUACGUUAUGUGGAUGUAUCGGUGACGACACCCGUUUUAGAUAUGAAGAGUGAGAGCACUCCACAUUAUCAAGUUUUGUAGGUGCGAGUAGUGGCUUCGGAUGGUUUCAUGUAUGUUCUUAUUAGACCUAUGUUGAAUAAUUAAUAAAAAUGAUCGUAUGCAUCGAUUAAUACAGAGGCUGGGGAUUUGAACCUCCUUUUCCAAAAAAAAACCAUUANNNNNNNNNNNNNNNNNNNNNNNNNNNNNNNNNNNNNNNNNNNNNNNNNNNNNNNNNNNNNNNNNNNNNNNNNNNNNNNNNNNNNNNNNNNNNNNNNNNNUAGCUUAUUGUGUUACUUUGUUUCUAUAAACUUAAUACUUUGAGAUGAAUGUUGGACGGAGGUCUUGCACUUCAGUAUUAGUAGUAUAUGCAGUUGGAUUAAUGGCCUAGUUUCACUGACAUAAUACCAAUAUUAGAUUAUGCCACGAAUAAUCACAAUUAUAACUAUUCCUAAUUAUAUAAAUUUUCCAAUAGUAAUUUGUUUACCCGCCAUUGCUAUGCUUUCGAUAGAGAUGUCACUAGUGAACCUAUGGCCCUCGGGUCUAUUUUCAUUCAACACAAAAGCUUCUACAAUUGCCAAAGUGUGUGCAUGUUCCCGAGCUCAAAUGAGCUCCGUGAACAGUAAAAUCAAAAAAAUCAAACACAUCUGAUUUUAUUUUGUNNNNNNNNAGUAAAAUCAAAAAAAUCAAACAAAUCUGAUUUUAUUUUGUGACAACCAUUGAUAAAACUUUUAAGUGGUUGGAAACGAUCAUCAUGGAAACACAUUCCUAUAAGGCGUGUAAAAAAAAUUCAAUGUUUCAAAAUGCUUUUGAAAGUAGCAUUCUAAGAGCAUCGGUUUUUUGCCACGCUUUCUUGAAUGUGAUUCUAUGACAAUUUUUUGCUAGAACUUAAAACUUUUGUCAAUGUUUAUCACAAAAGAAAAUUAUUUUUUUAAUUGGUUUUACUGUUCACUCGGGCUCAUUUGAGAUCGGGCUACAUAAUUUGUGUGCCUACACUUGCUAAUUUUUAGUGUUUUAUUAUUUUGCCUUCUGCUACUAGAGUUAAUCUUGUAAUUAGUAAGAACAAGGGGAGGGACAACCUCAUUGCUUUUGGUGGAUGCAAGCAAUUGUUGUGUUUGUGUGCAGGUACUACUAACAUUGUUACUAAGGUGCCUCCUACUGUUUCGAUGAACCUUGGUUAUUAACGAAGAUAAAUAAUUUCUACUAUUGUGCUACAUCACCCUUCAUCUUCGGGGAAAUCCAACAACUACUACACGAGUAGCAUGCCUUGGGAGACAAUCUGCUAGUGGGGUUUAAGUGAGAAAAAAUUAUCCUAUAUGACGCUUUUUCUUCCAUCACAAGGAUUUUCGUCAUAGAAUAGCACACAUUUUGUAGUCAAUUCCAUGCCUUUGACGCUUGUUGAANNNNNNNNNNNNNNNNNNNNNNNNNNNNNNNNNNNNNNNNNNNNNNNNNNNNNNNNNNNNNNNNNNNNNNNNNNNNNNNNNNNNNNNNNNNNNNNNNNNNGCACACUUAAGGUUCGACGUUGUUUUAUGCGUAUUUGAGUUAUAUGGCUGGUUACCGAAUGUUGUUCGGAGUCCCGGAUGAGAUCACGGACAUCACGAGGGUUUCCGGAAUGGUCCGGAAAUGAAGAUUGAUAUAUAGGAUGACUUCAUUUGGUUACCGGAAGGUUUUCGGGCAUUACCGGUAAUGUACCGGGAAUGACGAAUGGGUUCCGGAUCUUCACCGGGAGGGGGGACCACCCACUCGGGAGGGCCCAAGGACCUUGGGGGUGGCGCACCAAGUAGGUGGGGUCAGCCCAAGGCUGUAUUGCACAAGAGAAAGAAAAACCAAAAGAAGAGAAAAAAAGGAAAGGUGGGAAAAGAGAGAAGGACUCCACCUUCCAAUCCUAGUUGGACUAGGAUUGGAGGAGGACUCCUCCUCCCCUUGGUGGCGCAGCCCUUGGGGCUCCUUGAGCCUCAAGGCAAGCCUCCCCUCCCUCCUCCUAUAUAUAUGGAGCAAUUAGGGCUGAUUUGAGACAGCUUUUUCAAGGCAGCCCGACCACAUACCUCCACGGUUUUACCUCUAGAUCGCGUUUCUGCGGAGCUCAGGCGGAGCCGUGCCGAGAUUAGAUCACCACCAACCUCCGGAGCACCGUCACGCUGCCGGAGAACUCAUCAACCUCUCCGUCUCUCUUGCUGGAUCAAGAAGGCCGAGAUCAUCGUCGAGCUGUACGUGUGCUGAACGCGGAGGUGCCGUCCGUUCGGCACUAGAUCGCGGGACGGUUCGUGGGACGGUUCGCGGGGCGGAUCGAGGGACGUGAGGACGUUCCACUACAUCAACCACAUUCACUAACGCUUCUGCUGUGCGAUCUAACAGGGUACAUAGAUCGGAAAUCCCCUCUCAUAGAUGAACAUCACCAUGAUAGGUCUUCGCGCGCGUAGGAAAAAUUUUGUUUCCCAUGCGACGUUCCCCAACAAUAGGAGGGAUUCAUCAUCCCUCUCAAGGAACUGGUAGCGUGUCAAAGCGACGCGGUCAAGGAAAGCUAUAUGGAGAGGGGGAUCUCCUUCGCGGAUGGGUACUCCAAGAAAAUUUGCUAUGCGAGUGGCAUAGAUCGCACCAAAGAAAUCCCCUUCAUUAGCAUUAUUAUUCAGCCUCCUUGCUAUAAUAGCUCCCAUGUUGAAACUUUUCUCACCCGUUACUGCGCUCUUAAGGAUACAAAGGUCAGGUGCGCAGAGGUGACAAUGCUCAAUCUUGCCAUUAAUGCAUCUGCCUAUGAAGAGGGCAAAAUAAUGCAAGGCAGGAAAAUGAAUGCUCCCCAUGGUAGCAUGCGUAAUAUCUCUAGUUUCUACAAUAGUUAUACCAGAGAAAAGAUCUCUAACCGAAGACUUAGGACGAUCAUUGAGACUACCCCAAAUAGGUAUCGUGCAAAUUCUAUUGAAAUCCUCUAAAUCCAUGGUAUACAAUUUGUCAUAGAGAUCAAACAGUACAGAUGUAUCACGGCCAACUGAAAAUUUGAAUCUACGAACAAAAGAGGCAGUGAGAGCAACCUACUGUUCACAUUUAUCGGAGAUGAAUUCUUCGAGUCCGACAUUGUGAACAAGUGCAUCAAACUCAUCUUUGAAACCUGCCUCAAUCAUAAAUUCAUCAGAAGGCCAUUCACAUGGUUGUACCUGCGCGUCCCUUGGUUGGUAAGGAUCGGGCUCCCGAAUCGCAAGACGGGGACCUCUCUUGCUUGAGGAACCACCAUGAUAGUUUCUCCUAAACAUCUUCCUUUUCUGAAAUUUUCAGUGACCCAAAGGAAAAGUGAAAAAGGCUCAACUAAACUUGUAGCAACUACUCCCACAAGUGCCUAGAGGCCAUAUUACGCAUCAAAACUACUUAGGACCAGCUAAAAUUAGCAUGCAAAGCUCAAGAACAUGGUCACCAAGGAAGAAAAAAUGCGCGAAGUAUAAGGCACUAGAGCAGAAACUAAUUGGACCAAUGGAGGAGUCACUUACCAAUGAGUAAUUUCCCCAAAACAGUUCGGAGAAUGGUGCUUUGAGCAAAGAAAUCGAAAAUCCCAGCAGGAGGAGCAAGAACACGGGUUUGAGCUAUGAAACGAUUUUUUUUCUGAAGGUAGGAGAACCAGAUGAGACAAAGAAUGAGUGGAGGGGGUGCACGUGGGCCCCACAAGCCAGGUAGGCGCGGCCAGGGGGUGCCUGCGCCUCCAAGGCUUGUGGCCCAUUGGUGCAGCCCCCAUACUAGCUCUUUGUCUCAGUAUUUUUCAAAAAUUCCAGAAAAAAUCAUACUAGAUUUUCAGGACGUUCGGAGAAUUUUUUUUCGGGGUACUUUUCUACGGGACGCUAAGACAGAAAACAGGGAAAACUAAACUAAAUCUAUCAUUUUUCUUCUAAGCAACCUAAGGUGAAAGCUUGGAACAGAGGUUUGUGACUCCUUGAUUCAUCCAUCUCAUGGUCAUCGAAAGAAAUCCGUCGAUGAGGUUGAUCAAGUCUCCUUGACAAACUUUUUCGAAUCGCAAAAGAAGACGGCGAAUUUUCGAAUAGUCACUAGGUCACCUCAAUGGGGAUGUGUAUCUCCCCAACAAGCAAAUCAUACAUCUUCAUAGGAGGAAUAGGGCAUUCAAAGCUCCCAAUAAGAAUCGAUAUUGUUUCUUCGGAAAGUGCACUGUAUGCUCAUUACCGUUGACAUAAAGUGACAUUGCCUUUGUUGCAAUCUAUAAUAGCUCCUGCAGUGUUUAAAAAGGGUCUUCCGAGGAUGACCACCAUGUCAUCGUCCUCGAAAAUAUCCAGAAUAACAAAGUCUGUUAAGAUAGUGACAUUAACAACCACAACAGGCACAUCCUCGCAAAUGUCGAUAGGGAAAGCAGUUGAUUUGUCACCCAUUUGCACAGAGAUUUUAGUGGGUGUCAACUUAUCCAGUUCAAGCCUAAGAUAAAGAGAGAGAGGCAUAACACUAACACCGUCUCCAAGAUCGCAUAAAGCAGUUCUAAUGUAGGUGCCUUUAAUGGAGCAAGGUAUAGUGGGCACACCGGGAUCACCUAGUUUCUUAGGAGUUCCACCCUUGAAGGUAUAGUUAGCAAGCAUGGUGGAAAUCUUAACCUCGGGUAUCCUCCUCUUAUUAGUCAAAAUAUCCUUCAUGUACUUAACAUACAGAGACAUCUUGAGCAUAUCUGUCAAACACAUUUGCAGAAAGACAGGUCUAAUCAUUUCAACAAAGCGCUCAAAACCCUCAUCAUCGUUUUUCUUGGAUGGUUUGGGAGGAAAGGGCAUGGGUUUCUGAACCCAUGGUUCCCUUUCUUUACCAUGCUUCCUAGCAGCAAAGUCAUUCUUAUCGUAUCUCUUAUUCUUAGGCUGUGGGUUAUCAAGAUCAACACUAGGUUCAAUCUCCACAUCCUUAUCAUUGCUAGGUUGAGCAUCAUCAUGAACAUCGCUAUCGAUAUUAUCAUUAGGCUCAUGUUCAUCACCAGAUUGUGUUUCAGCAUCAGAGACAGAGACAUCGUUUGGACUCUCAGGUGUAGCAGCAACAUGGUUGCUAGCGUGCAAAUUCCAAUCAUCUUUCUUCUUCUUUCUAGGAUGACUAGGUGCAUCAGUGCUAACUCCUUGAGAAUCUUGUUCAAUUCUCUUUGGAUGACCCUCGGGAUACAAAGGUUCCUGGGUCAUUCUACCGCCUCUAGUAAUGACUCUGACAGAAUUGUCAUUCAACUCAUUGAGCAAGUCAUUCUGAGCUUUAAGUACUUGUUCUACCUGAGUAUCAAAGGGAUAUGGAGAUGCCCAUCAAUAGAUAUCAAUGUGAAUGUGUACGGAUUACCAUGCAACGGAUGCACUUAGAGCUAUAAGUAUGUGAAAGCUCAAAAGGAGAACUAGUGGGUGUGCAUCCAACUUGCUUGCUCACGAAGACCUAGGGAAAUUUUGAGGAAGCCCAUCAUUGGAAUAUACAAGCCAAGUUGUAUAAUGAAGAUUCCCACUAGUAUAUGGAAGUGUCAAAACAAGAGACUCUCUAUAAUGAAGAACAUGGUGCUAUUGUGAAGCACAAGUGUGGAGAAAGAUAGUAGCAUUGUCCCUUCUCUCUUUUUCUCUCUCUUUUUUUUGUUUGGGCUCUUUGGCCUCUUUUUUUUGUGGGCAUAUUUGGCCACUUUUUUUUAUUUCCUUACAUGGGACAAUGCUCUAAUAAUGAUGAUCAUCACACUUUUAAUUACUCACAGCUCAAUGCUUAGAAUAAUGAUGACUCUUAUAGGAAAUGCCUCCGGCAGCGUACCGGGAUGUGCAACGAUCUAGCUUAGCGUAUGACUCAUACGUCUCCGUCGUAUCUACUUUUCCGAAUUCUUUUGCCCUUGUUUUGGACUCUAACUUGCAUGAUUUGAAUGGAAAUAACCCGGACUAACGCUGUUUUCAGCAGAAUUGCCAUGGUGUUGUUUUUGUGCAGAAAUAAAAGUUCUCGGAAUGACCUGAAAAUUUACGGAGAAUUUUUCUGGAAUUAAUGAAAAAUACAUGCGCAAAGAUCCACCGAAGGGGGUGAGCUAGUGGGCCACAAGCCCCGCCGGCGCGGCCACCCCCCCAGGCCGCACCAACCAGGCUUGUGGGGCCCACGAGGCUCCACCGCCUCCAAUCUCAGCUCUAUAUGUUCCGUUUCGCCCAAAAAAAUCAGGGAGAAGGAUUCAUCGCGUUUUAUGAUAAGGAGGCGCCGCCACCUCCUUUUCUUCAUCUGGAGGGCAGAUGUGGAGUCCGCUCUGGGCUCCGGAGAGGGGAAAUCGUCGCCAUCGUCAUCAUCAACCUUCCCCCAUCGACAGUUCCAUGAUGCUCUUCACCGUUCGUGAGUAAUCUUAUCGUAGGCUUGCUGGACGGUGAUUAGUUGGAUGACAUCUAUCAUGUAAUCGAGUUAGUUUUGACGGGGAUUGAUCCCUAGUAUCCACUAUGUUCUGAGAUUGAUGUUGCUACUACUUUGCCAUGCUUAAUGCUUGUCACUAGGGCCCGAGUGCCAUGAUUUCAGAUCUAAACCUAUUAUGUUGUCGCCAAUAUAUGUGUGUUUGAGAUGCUAUCUUGCAAGUUGUAGUCACUGACUAUGUGUUAUGACCCGGCAACCCCGGAGUGACAAUAGCCGGAACCACUCCCGGAGAUGACCAUAGUAUGAGGAGUUCAUGUAUUCACCAAGUGUUAAUGUGUUGGUCCGGUUCUUUAUUAAAAGGAGAACCUUAAUAUCCCGUAGUUUCCAUUAGGACCAUGCUGCCAUGGGAGGGAUGGACAAUAGAUGUCAUGCAAGUUCUUUUCCCUAAGCACGUAUGACUACAUACGGAAUAAAUGCUACAUUAGAUUGACGAACGGGAGCUAGUUACUUAUCUCUCCAUGUUAUAGAUGUUACAUGAUGAAUCACAUCCCGCAUAAUCAUCCAUCACCGAUCCACUGCCUACCAGUCUUUCACUACUGGUCCUUGCUACGUUACUUUGCCGCUACUGUUGUCACUACUGCUCUUACUUGCUGCUGUUGUCACUACUGCUGUUACUUGCUACUCCUGUCACUACUGUUGUUCCUUGCUACUGCUGUCACUACUGCUGUUACUUGAUACUUUGUUGUUACCUGUUGCAAGACUUUUUUAGGCGCCAUUGAUACAACAAGUCAGGAAUAGUCUGCCGUCAACAGACCUUUUUCUGGCACCAUUGCUAUCAUACCACUUUGCUACUGAUACUUUGCUUGCAGACACUAAUCUUUCAGGUGUCGUUGAAUUGACAACUCAGCAGCUAAUACUUGAGAAUAUUCUUUUGCUUCCCCUUGAGUCGAAUCAAUAAAUUUGGGUUGAAUACUCUACCCUCGAAAACUGUUGCGAUCCCCUACACUUGUGGGUUAUCAAGACUAUUUUCUGGCGCCGUUGUCGGGGAAGCACAGCUAUAUUUUCUGAGUCACUUGGGAUUUUCGUUUGCUCGUCACUAUGAGGAAUCCGAAAGAUCCAAGAACUGAAAUCUUGCCUUCCACUACGAGGACAGGUAAGGAACUGACAUCUAGCUCUGCACUUGAUUCACCUCCAGUUAUGAGUAAGUUUGCGACUUCACCUCCUGCUAGAAUUCUUGAAUGUUGCAUGUGCUUGAUGAUGCUACUUCUGCUGCCCAUGAUGCUUAUGAUGAUGAUAUGCCUGAUACUGCUUUGCCUUAUGAUGCUACUACUGCUUUGCCUGAUGAUGCUAUCCUUGAUACUGCUUUGCCACUAGGUGCAUUCCUUGAUGCACAAAUUUCUAGAGUUGCUGCUAGACGUGAUGAUACUUCUGAAACUGCUGAUACUACUAAAGUAGAACCUGCUACUAUGCCUGUUAUGUCUGAGCACUGUGUUAUGGAAGGAGAGAUAGGUGAGGACUUUCUUGCGUGCAAGGAUAGCUAUGAUGUUGAGAAACUACUGUGCAAGUGGAAAUAAAAAUCUCUGAAAGCUAGGAUGAAAUACGACCCGAAGUUUGCUACUUCGCCUAUCUUUGUGACCGAUAAGGAUUAUGAAUUCUAUGUCGACCCUGAGUUAAUCAGUCUGGUCGAAUCUGAUCCUUUUCACGGUUAUGAGUCUGAAACGGUUGUAGUCCGUCUUACCAAACUGCACGAUUUAGCCACCCUAUUCACUAGUGAGGAAAAGAUCCGCCACUACUAUAUCCUCAAGCUAUUUCCUUUCUCGCUAAAGGAUGAUGCUAAGACUUGCUUCACUUCUCUUGCUCUUGGUUGUGUGCGUAGCCCCCAGGAUAUGGUCUACUACUUCUCUGAAAAAUAUUUCCCUGCCCAUAAAAAGCAAGUUGCCUUGCAGGAAAUAUACAACUUUGCUCAAGCUGAGGAAGAGAGUCUCCCACAAGCUUGGGGGAGGCUCAUCCAGCUACUGAAUGCUUUGCCUGAUCACCCUCUUGAGAAGAAUGAAAUACUUGAUAUCUUCUAUAAUGGACUUAUCGAUGCUUCUAAAUACCACCUAGAUAGUUGUGCCAGUUGUGUUUUUAGGGAACGAACUGUAGAACAAGCUGAGAUUCUACUGAAUAACAUCUUGUGCAAUGAGAAUGCUUGGACUAUUCCCGAACCACCUCCUAAGCCAACUCCAAAGAAAAGAGGUAUUCUAUUCCUCAGUCCUGAAGAUAUGCAAGAAGCCAAUAAAUCGAUGCGAGAGAAAGGCAUUAAAUCUGAAGAUGUCAAAAAUCUACCACUUAUCGAAGAGAUCCCUGGUCUUGAUAACCCGAUACACGUAGUAGAAGUAAACUCUCUGCGUAGGUUUGAUGAGAAUGAUAUUCCUUUUGAUAAACCUGCUAGAUUAUGCUUGGAUGAAUUUGAUAAUUUUGUUGCCAAACAACAGAGUUUCAAUGAUGAUGUUAGCAGACAAUUGGAACACGAUGCUCGUAUGCUUAGUCAUUUAAGUGCUUGUGUGGACAGAAACGUCAAUGAUCUUAAGCUUCUCAGUAAACAUGCGUCUAUGGUUACUACUCAAGUAGAACAAGUACUUAAAGCUCAGAAUGACUUGCUCAAUGAGUUGAAUAAUAAUUUUGUUAGAGUCAUCACUAGAGGCAGUAGAAUGACCCAGGAACCUUUGUAUCCUGAGGGUCAUCCUAAGAGAAUUGAACAAGAUUCUCAAGGAGUUAGCACUGAUGCACCUAGUCAUCCUAGAAAGAAGAAGAAAGAUGAUAGCAACCUGCACGCUAGCAACCCUGUUGCUACUACACCUGAGAGUCCAAACAAUGCCUCUGUCUCUAAUGGUGAAACACAAUCUGGUGAUGAACAUGAGCCUAACGAUGAUAUGAAUAGUGAUGUUCAUGAUGAUGCUCAACCUAGCAAUGAUAAGGAUGUGGAGAUUGAACCUGUUGAUCUUGAUAACCCACAGUCUAAGACUAAGAGGUACGAUAAGAAUGACUUCGCUGCUAGGAAGCAUGGUAAAGAAAGGGAACCAUGGGUUCAAAAACCCAUGCCCUUUCCUCACAAACCAUCCAAGAAAAAGGAUGAUGAGGAUUUUGAGCGAUUCAUUGAAAUGGUCAGACCUGUCUUUCUCCAGAUGUGUUUGACAGAUAUGCUCAAAAUGUCUCUGUAUGCUAAGUAUAUGAAAAAUACUAUGACUAAUAAGAGGAGGAUACCUGAGGUUGAGAUUUCCACCAUGCUUGCUAACUAUACCAUCUAGGGUGGAACUCCUAAGAAACUAGGUGAUCCCGGUGUGCCCACUAUACCUAGCUCCAUUAAAGGCAACUAAGUUAGAACUGCGUUAUGCGACCUUGGAGCCAAUGUUAGUGUUAUGCCUCUCUCUCUUUAUCGUAGACUUGAACUGGAUAAGUUGACACCCACUGAAAUCUCUCUAUAAAUGGCCGACAAAUCAACUACUUUCCCUAUCGGCAUUUGCGAGGAUGUGCCUGUUGUGGUUGCUAACGUCACUAUCUUAACAGACUUUGUUAUCUUGGAUAUUCCCGAGGACGAUGCCAUGGCGGUCAUCCUCGGAAGACCCUGUUUAAACACCGCAGCGGCUGUUAUAGAUUGCAACAAAGAAAAUAUCACUUUCCAUGUCAACGGUAAUGAGCAUACGUUGCACUUUCCAAAGAAACAAUAUCGAGUACAUUGCAUCAAUGCUAUCGAAAAAACUUCAUCGAUUCUUCUUAUGCGCUUUGAAUUCCCUAUUCCACCUAUUAAGAUGAAGUAUGAUUUGCUUGUUGGGGAGAUUCACAUCCCCAUUGAGGUGACCUAGUGACUAUUCGAAAAUUUCCGUUCUCUUUUACGAUUCGAAAAGGUUUGUCGAGAAGACUUGAUCAACCUCAUUGGCGGAUUUUCAUUCGAUGACCAUGAGAUGGAUGAAUCGAGGAGUCACAAACCUUUGUUCCAAGCUUUCACUUUAGGUUGCUUAGAAGAAAAAUGAUAGAUUUAGUUUAGUUUACCCUGUUUUCUGUUUUAGCGUCCCGUGGAAAAGUACCCCGAAAAUAAAAGUUCUCCAAACGUCCUGAAAAUCAAGUAUGAUUUUUACUGGAAUUUUUUAAAAAUUCUGAGACAAAGAGCUUGUCUGGGGGCAGCACCAGUGGGCCACAAGCCCUGAUGGCGCGGGCACCCCCCUGGCCGCGCCACCCAAGCUUGUGGGGCCCACAGGCACCCGCUCCACUCAUUCUUGCUCUCAUCUGGUUCUCCUACCUCCAGAAAAAAUCGUUUCGCAGCUGAAACCCGUGUUCUUGCUCCUCUUGCUGGGAUUUUCGAUCUCUUUGUUCAAAUCACCAUUCUCCGAACUGUUUUGGGGAAAUUAAUCCUUGGUAAGUGAUUCCUCCAUUGGUCCAAUUAGUUUUUUCUCUAGUGCCUUAUACUCCCGUAUUUUUGUUUCCUUGGUGACCCUGUUCUUGAGCUUUGCAUGCUAAUUUUAGCUGGUCCCAAGUAGUUUUGAUACGUGAUAUGGCCUCUAGGCACUUGUUGGAGUAGUUGCUACGAGUUUUGUUGAGCCUUGUUCAUUUUUCCUUAGAAUCACUAAAAUGUCAGAAAUUUUCAGAGAUAGAAAAGGGAAAAGAUGAGGAGGUUCUUAAGAGACUCUUCAACCCGUGACCCCAAGGAUGAUGGAAGUGAGAAGAAUCCCAAGUAUUUGGUCCCUCGAGUCGCAGAAGUUCGAGCGUGCGAGUGGCCAAGUGACGUGUUCUUACGCGCCGCUGGAAUUUAUGAGGACUUUUAUUACUUGGUGGAGAACAGAAGCCUUACCGCCUUCGUUGAAGAUAAGUGUCCGCAAUACCUCCUCCUCACUAAUAUCUUUGUACAAAGCUUUAACUUCUAUCCGAGGAAGAAUCCUCCUAUGGUUGAGUUCAAACUUUAUGAUAUCCCCCAGCGCAUGUCACUCCAGGAUUUUUGCAAUGUUUGCAAAUUGCCUUUUGUUGGGGAUAUUCAUGAACCUCGUCCACGGGACUUGGAAGCUUUCAUCGAUACAAUUGUUGUAGGAGAGGAGAGAGGAGUGUCUUGCGCUAGAUCUGCUAGCAUACAUUUUCCCGUGCUUCGGUACUUCUCAUUAUUUGUGGGAAAAUGUUUGAUUGGCCGUGGGAAAGCUGGGUCACUUAGUUCCCUAUAUCUUGCGGUCUUGCGCGAAGCCCUUUGUAAUGAUAAAACUUAUAGCUUGGGCGCUAUAGUAUGUCAACGGUUGAACCUGAACCAUUCUAAAGGUGUUGUCUAUGGAGGUAUCUAUACUUCCCGUCUUGCCAGACACUUUGAGAUACCUAUUAGACUGGAGGAGGAAGAAGAGGUUCUUCUUCCCGAGAGAUAUCUAGAUUACGAUAGCAUGGUUCGCCAUGACUUUCUUGAUAGAGAUAUAAAUAGAAGGAUGAUUUAUAACCUGGUAUUUAAUCAAGGUACUCGUGAGACUAUUACUUUGCCUGCUCCUUCUUUGUUCAAUCUUCAUGCAGGCAGGUACAUUAUUAUGCCCUCGGACAUCUACGCAUAUUGGGGCCUAGCCCAACCACAAGUGCCCGUGCCCGAGCCACCAGUCGAGUACUAGACGCCGGUUUAUCAGUGGGAGCCAGAGGAGCUCACAUAGCAGUGGCAUCCUCAGUCCACUCCGGAGUACCCCGGAGCUGGUUAUUUCCCUCCUUGGGAGUAGACCAGCUUAGGACAAAAGCCUAAGCUUGGGGGNNNNNNNNNNNNNNNNNNNNNNNNNNNNNNNNNNNNNNNNNNNNNNNNNNNNNNNNNNNNNNNNNNNNNNNNNNNNNNNNNNNNNNNNNNNNNNNNNNNNUGGCCUUCCCUUAUAAACCACUAUCAUCACCAUGUUUUGCAUCAUAAGUGCUAAAGACAUUGGCUCAUGCUCAAGUAUUGCAUGAAAGUUUAAAAAGCUGAAGCAAGAAAAAGUAUGCUUUAGUUACUUGAUUGACAAGAGGUGUGUUCUUAAUUUUAUAUCUAUAUUCUUUUUACUCCCCUGUCACUGUUUAUAAGGUACGAUUAAAUUUUAUGUGCAUUUCUACAAUAGAAAAGGUUUAAGGCGCAUUUUGAACGGCAAUAAUUAUUCAAAUGCAUGUUUAUGUGUUAUUGUUUCAUUGCCAAAUUAAUAGACUAUUGUCUUGAAUCGUUUGUAUACUAGUAUUAAUACCAUGAUUAAAUGAAUUGAUCAAGGACAUGUUUGGUAGCAUUCAACAUAAAAAAUGUUAUCAUUUACCUACUUGAGUACGAGUAGGAAUUAAGCUUGGGGAUGUCCAUAUGUAUGUGGCAUAUCUAUAAUGUUUUAUUGUUAAAUUAUAUUAUAUUAUCACGUUAGUAUGCUUUACAUGUCAUUUUGUAUUAUUUUUCCAAAGUAACCUAUUAAUUUAGUGUCAAUUCAUGUUUUUUGCAUGUUUAUGGUUUCGUAGAAAACCCAUACCUAUAGAAGUCCAAACACGACAAAACUUGUUGACGUGUUUUCCGGGAAAAUAAGAGACACUUGAAACUUCAGAGGAGGACGAGAAGGCCCAUAGGGGCCCAUAAGCCAUGUGCCCACGCCCCUGGGGUACGGUGCGCCUAGGUUAUUGGUGGGCCCCCUGUAGCUCACUUUGCCUUAAUUCUCGACCUAUAAAUUCCCAUAUAUUCUGACCCACGAAGAGAAACCAAAAAAAUAUAGCCUCUGCUCCGUCGCAAUCCCAUCUGGAACCCUAUUUCGAUACUAUGUCGGAGGGGGAAUCACUGGGGAGGCCAUCUUCGUGAACAUUGUUGCCUCCACGAUGAUGUGUGAAUAGUUCCACCAGGACCUACGGGUCCAUCAUAGUAGCUAGAUAGCUCCCCCUCAUAGCUAGAUGGCUCUUCGUCUAUCUAUCUGUCUCUGUCUAUCUAUCUAUCUAUCUANNNNNNNNNNNNNNNNNNNNNNNNNNNNNNNNNNNNNNNNNNNNNNNNNNNNNNNNNNNNNNNNNNNNNNNNNNNNNNNNNNNNNNNNNNNNNNNNNNNNUUACCUCAAUGGGGAUGUGUAUUUCCCCAACAAGCAAAUCAUACUUCAUCUUAACAGGAGGAAUAGGUCAUUCGAAGCUCCCAAUAAGAAUCGAUGAAGUUUUUUGAUAGCAUUGAUGCAAUGUACUCGAUAUUGUUUCUUCGGAAAGUGUACCGUAUCCUCAUUACCGUUGACAUGGAAAGUGACAUUGCCUUUGUUGCAAUCAAUAAGAGCCCAUGCGAUGUUUAAAAAGGGUCUUCCAAGGAUGACCGCCAUGGCAUCAUCCUCGGGAAUAUCCAGGAUAACAAAGUAUGUUAAGGUAGUGACGUUCGCAACCACAACAGGCACAUCCUCGCAAAUGCCGAUAGGGAAAGCAGUUGAUUUGUCGUCCAUUUGCAGAGAUAUUUUAGUGGGUGUCAACUUAUCCAGUUCAAGUCUACAAUAAAGAGAGAGAGGCAUAACACUAACACCGGCUCCAAGGUCGCAUUAAGCAGUUCUAACGUAGUUACCUUUAAUGUAACAUUGGCUCCAAGGUCGCAUAACGCAGUUCUAACUUAGUUGCCUUUAAUGGAGCUAGGUAUAGUGGGCACACCGGGAUCACCUAGUUUCUUAGGAGUUCCACCCUAGAUGGUAUAGUUAGCAAGCAUGGUGGAAAUCUCAACCUCAGGUAUCCUCCUCUUAUUAGUCAUAGUAUUUUUCAUAUACUUAGCAUACAGAGACAUUUUGAGCAUAUCUGUCAAACACAUCUGGAGAAAGACAGGUCUGACCAUUUCAAUGAAUCGCUCAAAAUCCUCAUCAUCCUUUUUCUUGGAUGGUUUGUGAGGAAAGGGCAUGGGUUUCUGAACCCAUGGUUCCCUUUCUUUACCAUGAUUCCUAGCAGCAAAGUCAUUCUUAUCGUAUCUCCUAGUCUUAGGCUGUGGGUUAUCAAGAUCAACAGGUUCAGUCUCCACAUCAUUAUCAUUGCUAGGUUGAGCAUCAUCAUGAACAUCACUAUCGAUAUUAUCAUUAGGCUCAUGUUCAUCACCAGAUUGUGUUUCAGCAUCAGAGACAGAGACAUCGUUUGGACUCUCAGGUGUAGCAGCAACAUGGUUGCUAGCGUGCAAAUUCCAAUCAUCUUUCUUCUUCUUUCUAGGAUGACUAGGUGCAUCAGUGCUAACUCCUUGAGAAUCUUGUUCAAUUCUCUUUGGAUGACCCUCAGGAUACAAAGGUUCCUGGGUCAUUCUACUGCCUCUAGUGAUGACUCUCUGCUAACAUAAUUAUUGAAACUUUGUUGUUUGGCAACAAAGUUAUCAAAUUCAUCCAGGCAUAGGCUAGCAGGUUUAUCAAAAGUAAUAUCACUCUCAUCAANNNNNNNNNNNNNNNNNNNNNNNNNNNNNNNNNNNNNNNNNNNNNNNNNNNNNNNNNNNNNNNNNNNNNNNNNNNNNNNNNNNNNNNNNNNNNNNNNNNNUAGACGUUGAUGUUGACAAUGAGCAGAACGAUCUCGACGAAUCUUAUAUUGAUGACCCAAGCCAAGUAUAAUGAAUAAUUUGUACGGCAGGAAAUGAUAUAACAACCGAGUGAUAACAACUUACAUCUCUUUAUUUCUAAUUUUGCAUAGGAGGUUGGCAGUGCUCCUAGCGGGUAGUUGGCACGAUGAGUGAUGAUGAUGAAGAUAUUGGGCAAGCUGAAUAUGAGCAAGAGGCAUUGGAAGAUAAUAGCAAUGAUGUUUGGUUCAAAGGAAGACCCCUAUGUGUUCUACCAUAACUAUGCAAAAGUGUAUUGCUUCAACAUUAGAAAAGAAAGCCUAACAGUCAAAGUCAACACUUUGACUUUUAUGUCAUGUCAGACCUCACGGGUUAAGCACUCGGACACUUAAAUUUUUUGACUCAGCAAAUCAAAAUUAUGAUAGCACUUCAAGAAAUUAAAAAACAAGUAGUUUUUCGUAGCCCUAGCAUGCAGUAGCUUUUUGGACGCAGACUUUUUGCUAUUUACUCUAGAAGGAUCAUCAGGGUCACGCAAUCGGAGUAGUAGACAUGGUUAAGCAACUACAACCGAACAUAACAAAUAUAACCCCUAAACGCCCGCGGACGCGCCCGGUUAAUAAUCGGACGUGUCUCUGUUUAUCCUCCCGCACAGCCAUAUUUCUCAAUUUUCUCUCAUUUGUCCGGCCACUUGCACGUGCUUUAUGAAGACGAAAAGAGAGCAAGAAAAAAAAUAAAGAAAAGGAAAAAUUGCUCCGGGAUGGGGUCAUGUUCUACUCCUAUGUGGCGAACCGUCAAGACGCGUCCGCGAGUCCUCGUAUACUUUCUAUAUUUGGGUACGAGGGUUUGCCGAUAGGCCAAUAGUAUAUGAAUAAUAUGUAGGAUUUGGUUAAAUCAUUUUUUUUCCUUUUUUUCUGUCCGAUCAAUUUAUAGAUGCUUUUACGAUCGAUGUGCCAUAAAAAUUCUUGAAAAAUGGUAACUUUGAUAGCACUAUCCAGGAAACUUUUGGUCAUAAUACUGUAGAAGAGUGCAAUACUGGAUUGAUUAUAAGGUACAACCCACAUGAAUAUACGCUAUACUAAGGAAAAUAAUUUUAUUUUGAACUUGCAACAAUUACAAAGUUGACUUUUCACAGAGCCAUAUGCAUUGAAUUUUUUGUUAAUGAUGCAUAAGAUUUUGAUAGAUAGAGAGAAGUUUGAAGUGUCAAAUAAUAAACAACCGAUUCCAAAUCAUCAUAUUGUUUUCAUAGUUUACCAGUGUGCAAUGAAAACCCCAAUAUUACUGUCAUCCCAUCUUUACUUUACAAUAAAAAAUAAAAUACACACACAGACACUUACGGGCUUAGAAAAGGGCGUGGCAAUGCCGCCGCGCCUUCGAUCUGCUAGUUCCUAAUAGGAAUUUUAACCCUUCUAUAAUCUAGACCGAGCAGUCAACAACAGGAACAGAUGGGAAGAAGAUUGAACAGCUGCACAAAGAAAUAGCAGCCUGAACGCUCCAAGAGUGAAACCUACUCUAUCUUCGGUCCAAGUUCAUCAAUUACUAUUUUAUGGAUCUCUUGCCUUGCUCUGUAUUUUUGUUUUGCACCUACUCUAUAUAAAUCAGCCUCUUGCUUGCUCUCACUCAUCACCAGUCUUCACUCUUCACUAGAACUUGCCAGCAGCGGUAGUGUGCAGCGAGCCAGUGACCGACGGACAAGAACAAAAUGGUCGCCGGCUGUGUCAUCACCGAGCAGUGCGCCCUGUCGGUGUCGACGGAGCGGCUGUGGAAGGUGGUCUUCUCCGGCGAGGAGACGGCCGCCCUGCCCAAGUCCUGUGCGGGCUUCAUCGACGCUGUGGACAUCGAGGGCGACGGCGGACCCGGCAGCAUCUUCACCAUGACGCUCAGCCCGGCGGCGGCAGAGCUGUCAGGCUCGGGCGUGAUGAGGAGCCGGGUGAUGGUGAGGCGGCAGGGGAUGGUGCUUGCGUGGCGAAGCUCCGGGUAGAGUACGAGAGGCUGGACGGCGGUGGGGCGCUGUCGGUGGAGGACCAGGCGGCGCUCGCCGCCGGGUACCUCGACCUGCUCAAGAUGGUCGAGGCAUACCUGGUCGCCCAUCCUGCCGAGUACGCCUAAUUAAACCAAAACGAGAAAAAUCAACUCUCCCUUCGUUUGAAAUUAUUUGUCGCAUAAAUAAAUAAAGUAAUAUGACCAAGUAGCCUGUGUUGUUUGCCUCCUGAUCGACUUCGCGAGAAAAAUCAAUUGGUAAGCUUUAGUAUAAAUUAUUAAGGUAUAUAUGAGUGUUUAAUCCCUGUUUUAAGAUCGCAUUUCGUGUGUAAGUUGCUUCGAGCAUUGAUGGAGAUAAAUAUUUAAGCAGUUUGGUUUUGUGAUAAAUGAAUUAAUGGAGAUAAAUAUUUGAGCAGUUUGGUUUUGUGACAAAUGCACUUCUUUCUAAUCAGUCAAUUCAAAUUAAUUGGCGAGACAAGCCAAACGUAUAAAGGACAAUAUCAAUCAUGUAAUCAUUUUCAUAUGAGUGAUGGACUGUCGAUACCUAUACGCCAUACGUACAAGCUGGCAGAGGACCCAAAAAAAAAUAAGGCAAAUCUGAUAUAAAAAGUUGCUGUCACUAUAAGUAAUAGCGAUGGGCCGAAAAACUAAGUUUUAUUAGGAUGUGAGAUAACGAUAGAGCUUGACGUGACUUGUAACUAAUGCAUUCAACUUUUAUAGGGAAUGCACUCAUAUUUUUGAGUCAGAUGCAGUGGAACAUGUGCUUGCAAAAACCAGAUGCCCUAUCGUGCGUGACUGAGGUGCAUGACUGAGUUUGCAGCCACUUGAGCUUAAGUGCUAAAUUGAUGGCCAACAACCCAGCAGCGCGAGUUCAUAGAGAGGGCCUCAUUGUGUUUAUCUUAUUUUCCCAGCAAGACCAUGACUAGUUCAAAAAAAACCAUCCAGUCGAACAAGACAUAUACCUGAAUGAACGCCUUUUAUAAAAUCAAGGUGAGGCGGCCGCCCAACCUUGCUUUACUGGCUCCUUCGUCCUUAACGAGCAUACGUUCGGUUUAACUAUGUAUCGGCCCCUCGCAAGAAAAAAAAAAUCUCCGGACCAAUCCAAUCCAUAGUCGUCAUCACGACUUUGACCGGCGGCCAUCAUGAGUCGUCGCCGCCCCUAGCGUCGACCCCGCUCGAGUUCACGUCGUCGUUGGGCUCAUCUGCGUCGUCGCACGUGGCGCCAUCCAGCAACCCUGCUCUCACGCGGCACUGUCGUCGUCGCCCUACCCGUCAUUGGAGGUGCCAAGCACACCGUCUUUGGUGCACCUCCCCGCAAGACGUCAUGUGAUGCACUUUCGCGCUCUUCCAAAUCGUCGACCAAGACGAGGAAGACGUCGAUGCUGGAAUUAUUGGCCAGCCCAAUUAUUAUUUCAAAAAAAAUCAUAAUAAAUCCUAGAGGCCCACGCAGCCCAUUUGUGCAAGGCAAGAGGUGGAAAUAUUUAGUCCCACAUUUCUAGUUUAGUGGGAGUCGGAUCUCCUUAUAAGGGAGGAUGUUUCCACACAUGUAUGAGCUUGAGAACAAGAGAGACAUACACACGUGCUCCUCCUCCUCCAUCGCCCGUCACGCCUCGUCACGACGCGUCGUGGGUUGCGGGAAUGAGCCGAACUAAAUUUUUUCCACGCACGACUGGUAUACGAAAGGUCACUCGAAGAAGCUGAACUCUUCGACUGUUGUCUGUUCGUUUCGUCUCCGUCACUGGCCUCUCGCCUCCUUCUCUUGCGUCUAUAAAAGAGAGGUCGCUCCUCUCCAGAGAAGACGCAUCAGAACUUCCUCUCGCCACUGUUUCCUUUCUCUGUGAUGCUGCUACGUUUUUUACCAUCCCGUCUUGCGACGUGCACCGUAGGUCCGGACAGUAGGCCUUCGAAACUCCGUCUCUUUGAGUCCCGUACGGGAGAUGGGCGAUAAGGUAUUUGGGGAGCGCUCAGCGCGACUACUGGUUUCCAUCACGGACACAGACGAUCUCUUCCCGGACGACGACUACUUCCCUGACGUCGACCACCUCUUCGGGAACAUGGUAAACGCCAACACCAACCCUAUUGUUGUUGCAACUCAGUACGUACUCAUGUUUUUUUUAGUUCCUACCGCAACUUUUACUAUAGUUUCACUUCUAGAUAUGUUCCGUUUCUGCUCAUCACUCCAUAUGAUACCUUGUGUAUAUAGAACGAUUACACAUAUGUUCUUUUCUAGAUCAUAUGUGCACAUAUCUUUUGUCGUCUCAUCUAUAUUUUGCAUGUCUUCUUUCAUCUUUAUUAUGAUGGUCAUGUUUAUCCUAAUUUUCUUUUAAUAAAAUCCUAUGGUAAAUUGCUCACAUUUCCAACAAUCCAAAAACCUUAUUAUAGGCAUUUACCCCGAGUGGUUUUGUUGCUUCCAUGAGACCUCCUAUUUUUGAGGGUAUCCACUAUAAGAGGUGGCGCAUGAGAGCUGUUCUAUGGUUUCAAACCAUGAGAUGCUAUGACGCCACUCUUGACAAACCUGAUGGAGAUCAUGAUGCUCAACAGGAACUAGUUUUCCAGAAAAUGGAUACCUUGUUUAAGGCUGCUCUCUUGAGCGUUCCUGGUGAGAACAUAGUUGAUGCUUAUGCGUCAAUUGAUAAUGGAAAAGAAAUGUGGGAUGCACUCGAGGCCAAGUUUGGGGUCUCGGAUGCUGGCACUGAGUUGUACAUCAUGGAACAAUUCUAUGACUACAGGAUGACAGAAGAGCGCUCCCUGGUUGAGCAAGCUCACGACAUACAGUCAUUUGCAAGAGAAUUUGAGCACUUCAAUUGCAUGCUACCCGACAAGUUUGUUGCCGGAGGCAUCAUCACUAAACUUCUCCUUCGUGGAGGAACUUUGCUACCUUACUGAAGCAUAAAAGGCAAGAGUUUUCCGUUUUGGAUCUCAUAGGUACUCUUGAUGUGGAAGAAAACGCGAGAGCAAAAGACACACGUGCUCGAGGUAUUGAGGGAGGUUCUAGUGCUAAUCUGGUACAGAAGAAAAACUUCCAGCCCCACAAUUUCAAGAACAAGGGCAAGUUUGAUGGUAAAGCAAAGUUCGAUGGGAAGAACAAGGUUGUACAACACACCAACUUCAAGAAGAAGAAUGACAAGAAGAAAGGUGUUUUUUAUGUGUGUGGAGAUCCUGAUCAUUGGGCACCUAACUGUCCUAACCGUUAUGACAAGCGUCAACAUGGGAAAGGUGGCAAGUCCGCUAAUGUUGUCAUUGGUGACACUGACGUGGAGGAUGCUGGGUAUGGUAUAUUUCCCACUAUCCUUUCAGUAUGUCAUUUCCCCGAUUGGUUGAUUGACACGGGGGCUAAUGUGCAUGUGUGCGGUGAUAUUUCCAUGUUUUCGUCUUAUCAGUCCACACGGACUUCCACCGUGCUGAUGGGCAACGUAUCAAGUGCUUCUGUCCAUGAUGUUGGCACGGUCGAUCUGAAUUUUACUUCGGGGAAGGUCAUGCGGCUGAAGAACGUGCACUAUCUCCCCUCUAUGAAUAACAAUCUUGUUAGCAGAUCUCUUUUGUGUAGAGAUGGCUACAAGCUUGUCUUUGAGUCAAAUAAAUUUGUAAUAUCCGAGUAUGGAAUUUUUGUUGGUAAAGGCUACGAGUCAGGAGGCCUGUUCCAUUUAUCCUUGGUAGACGUUUGCAAUAAAGUUGUUAAUCAUGUUUACAACAAUUGUGAAUCAAAUGUGUGGCAUUCACGUCUCUGUCAUGUUAAUUUUGGUUGCAUGUCGCGACUUUUCAAAUGGAACUUAAUCCCUAGCUUCACCACUGUCAAGGGAUCUAAGUGUCAAGUUUGUGUGCAAGCCAAGCAACCUUGUAAGUCUCACACGACUGCCGAAACGAGAAAUCUUGCACCAUAGAGUUCAUACAUUCAGAUCUAUGUGAAAUGAAUGGUGUUUUGACAAAAGGUGGAAAGAAAUAUUUCAUGACGUUAAUUGAUGACUCCACUAGAUACUGCCGAGUGUAUCUUCUGAAAUCUAAGGAUGAGGCUUUGAACUUUUUCAAGAUUUAUGAAGCUAAAGUAGAAAAUCAACUUGAUCGAAGAUCAAGCGGCUUAGAUCCGAUCAUGGUGGAGAGUAUUUCUCAAAUGAAUUUGAUUACUUCUAUGAGGAACAUGGUAUAAUCCAUCAGAGGACACCUCCCAAUUCACCUAAGUCAAAUGGGAUAGCUGAAAGAAAGAACCAUACUCUAACUGAUUUGGUUAACGCCAUGUUAGACACAUCGGGUCUCUCCAAGACAUGGUGGGGGAGGCGAUAUUGACUGCAUGUCAUGUCCUAAACCGAGUUCUCACUAAGAAUAAAGAGAUUUCUCCAUUCAAGGAAUGGGAAAAGAAAAGGUUAAAACUCUCUUAUCUACGAACCUGGGGUUGUUUGACGAAAGUUAAUGUGCCAAUCCCAAAGAAGCACAAGCUAGGACCAAAAACUGUGGAUUGUGUAUUCCUGGGAUAUGCUUUUCAUAGCAUUGGAUAUAGAUUCUUGGUUCUAAAAUCUGAUGUAUCUGACAUGCAUGUCGGUACAAUCAUGGAGUCGAAUGAUGCAACUUUUUUCGAAGAUAUCUUUCCCAUGAAAGAUAUAGCUACCUCAUCUAAUCAGGAUAUGCCUAAUUCAUCGAAUCAUGAAUUAGUUACAAUUCAUGAGCCUAUCAUUUCGAUGGAACACUUUGAAAAUAUUAUGGAGGAGAACAAUGAAGUUCCUACCAGGAGCAAGAGACAAAGGACUGCAAAGUCCUUUGGUGAUGAUUUUCUUGUGUAUCUCAUAGAUGACACUCCCAGCUUUAUUUCAGAGGCCUACGCGUUUGAAGAUGCUGACUACUGGAAGGAAGCAGUCCAUAGUAAGAUGGAUUCCAUCUUGGCAAAUGAAACUUGGGACAUCACUGAUUGUCCUUAUGGGUGCAAACCUAUAGGAUGCAAAUGGGUAUUCAAGAAGAAACUUAGGCAUGCGCGGGCUUCAUCGAUGCCGUGGAGGUUGAGGGCGACGGCGGGCCCGGCAGCGUCUCCACCAUGACGCUCAGCCCGGCGGCGACGGAGCUGUCAGGCUCGGGAGUGAUGAGGAGCCGCGUGGUGGCGCGCGACAACGCGGCCAGGGUGAUCAAGACGGAGAUGUUGGAGGGCGGCAAGGUCAGCGGCGAGCUCAAGUCGCAGGUGGUCGAGAUGAAGCUCGAGCUGGCCGGGGACGGCGCUUGUGUGGCGAAGCUCACGGUGGAGUACUAGAGGCUCGACGGCGGCGGGGCGCUGUCGGCGGAGGACCAGGCGGCUGUCGCCACCGGGUACCUUGACCUGCUCAAGAUGGUCGAGGCAUACCUGGUCGCCCACCCUGCCGAAUACGCCUAAUUAAAACAACGCGAGAAACAUCAAAAAUAAAUCUAUCUUCCCCUAUAAGAAAGAAGGGCAACACUAGACAGCGGCGCCGCACCCGCGUCUUGCAGUGUGGCGGCUCAAUUAAUCAUCUUCCAAUACAAAAAUUAGCACCCUAUUAAUCACUCAUCUAAUGCAAAAUUAGUGUGAGUGGAGUAUCUUUCUCAUGCAUACAUGUAUGCAUGCAAUGAUAUCAUCAUGUAUAAUGAAAACUUCUACAUGCAUGCAAUGAUGUCAUCAAGAUUUCCUUUGAUGUUUAAAAUUCAUAUUUUUUUAUCUACAAGACUGUUAAUUCAAUUGAUGAUCCGCUUUCAUCAUUACCUUUCUCGCGAUAAGUUCUUCGAAACUAGAUCACAUGUUGACAUGUUCCAUCAACUAUUUUUUUACGUUCAUACUUGCCACAUUAUUUGACCCACUUGUCAUAUUAUUAACCACUUACUUGCCUGAAAAAAAUAACUUAAUUAACACUUUUUGAUAUUGUUUCGUACAAAAUCUUGUAGCAGUUUUCAUUAUACGUGAUAUAAAAGCAUGUUAUAAGUUGUGCUUGUCAAUUUAAAUAUGAUAACUUGUCAUAUUUACAUACAACUUUGCCAGAAAACUAUUUUGUGUGAUUGUUAGUUUAAUUAUGCCGAGUUGUCAUAUUUAAAAACGAUGGUCAAAAAAUAUUUUUUGUGGUUACCGGUUUUUAAUAUGUUGAGUUGUCAUAUAUUUUUGCGCGUAAUCGUCUAAAAAAGUUAUUUGUGCUUGCCAUUUUAAUUAUGUCGAGAUGUCAUAUUCAUACACAAUUUCUAAAAAUUUGACGAUUAAGUUAUUUUUAUCAGAGAAAUAAGUACUUACUAAUAUGACAAGUAAGUGCAAUAAAUGUGGUAAGUGCGAGCAAAAAAAGUUGUCGAAACAUAUCGACAUGGGAUCUAGUUUUGAAGAUUUUGUCGAAACAAAUCAACGGUGAAAACGGAUCAUCGAUCGAAUUAAUGGUUUAUAAGAUAAUUUUUUUUAAUUCCAGUCAUUUAAAACGAAUCUGAUGACAUCAUAGCAUGCAUGCAUGCAUGCAUGAGGAAGAGAGCCGCCGCACGGGAUGUCGAGGAUGCGGCGCUUCUUGAUAAAAUUUUCCAAGAAAGAAUCAAUAAAUCUACUAUUAAGGUGAGUACAUAUCUUUGUUUUGAUAAAAUCAUAUGAGCAAGUAGCCCGGUGUAUAUUGCCCCGUGAUCGACUUCGUGAGAAAAAUCAAUUGGUAAUCUUUAGUAUGAAUUGUUUGAGGUAUGUAUUGACGGUUUUAUCCCUGUUUUAAGCUCACAUUUCGUGUGUAAGUUACUUCAAGCAUCAAUGAAGAUAAAUAUUCGAGCAGUUUGGUUUUGUGACAAAUGCAUUUCUUUCUUAUCAGUCAAUUCAAAUUAAAUGACGAGACAACCCCUAGGGCAAUAUUGAUCAUAUAACAUUUUCAUAUGUGUGAUGGACCGUCAAUACAUAUACGCAAUACGUACAAGCUGUCACAGGACGGAAUAAAAUGAGGUAGGGCAAACUCUAGCAUAAAACGUUGUUGCCACUAUAAGUAACAAUGACGGAUCGAAAGACUAAGGUUUGUUGAGAUGUCGGACAACGAUAGAACUCGACGUGACUUAUAACUAAUGCAUUCAGCUUUUAUAGGGAGUAGUCUCAUAUUUUGUGAGUCGAUGCACUGGACCAUACACUUGCAAAAACCGAAUGCCCACAAUAGUGUGUGACUGAUAUGCAUGACUGAGUUCACGGCAUCUUGAGCUUAGUGCUAAAUUGAUGACCAACAACCUAACAUCAGGAGUUCAUACACAUGGCCGUGGUUGCUUGUCCGUUUGUCUUAUUUUCCCAGCUAGACCACGACUAGCUCGAAGACAACCAUCCAGUCGGACAAGAACACUUUUUUUAGUAAAUCAAGGUGAGGCAGUCACCCAACCUUGCCCGACCGUCUUCUCCGCCCCCUAAUAAACAUACAUUCGGCUAAACUAUGUACCGUCCCCUCGUAAGAAAAAAACGUUGGCCCAACCCGAUCCAUAGUCAUCAUCAUGACUUUGACCAGCAGCCAUCAUGAGUUGUCGCCGCCCCCAGCGUCGACCCCGCUCGAGUUCACAUCGUCGUUGGGCUCAUCUACGUCAUCGCACGUGGCGCCAUCCAGCAACCCUGCUCUCACACGGCACUGUCGUCGUCGCCCUACCCAUAAUUGGAGGUGCCAAGCACACCGUCUUUGGUGCACCUCCCCGCAAGACGUCGUGUGAUGCACUUUCGCGCUCUUCCAAAUUGUCGACCAAGACGAGGACGACGUCUUAGCACCCCUGUUUUUUGUGCAUAUUGUAAUGGUGCCAAAAAACAACUAGUUUGUUUAUAUAACUUAACCAUUUCGUGGUCCCUUUGUGAACAUUGAUAUGGUGCCGAAAAAAUCAUCUUAACAGUGAUUGCUACCGUAAAAUUUGCUUUUGGACAUAUUAUUUUGUUUGUCAUAGGACAUCAUCAAUUUUGCAUUUGAAUGGAAUAUGUCACUGAUAAUGUUGUGCGGUGUUUAGAUUGAUCCGGGACUCCAUUUGAAGGUGUUUGGAUGGAGCAUGAAAUCGGAUAUGCUGGCUAUGAAUCUACUAGUUUGAAUUAAUCUUGGACGUCAUAUGAAAACCUACCGCCCGAGGACACCCAUAUCAGUGAGGCCGAAGCCGAGAGUGCUAAUGUAAGUGGUGCAUUUGUUGAUAGUUUUUUUAACAAGCAACUCGGAACUUACAUGUCUUGCUUUUAAAGCUCUACACGUAGACGUUGAUGUUGACAAUGAGAAGAACGAUCUCGACGAAUCUUAUGUUGAUAACGCGAGCCAAGUAUAGUGAAUAAUUUGUACGGCAGGGAAUGAUAUAACAACCGAGUGACCACAACUUACAUCUCUUUAUUUCUAAUUUUGCAUAGGAGGUUGGCGGUGCUCCUAGCGGGCAGUUGGCACGAUGAGUGAUGAUGAUGAAGAUAUUGGGCAAGCUGAAUAUCAGCAAGAGGCAUUGGAAGAUAAUAGCAAUGAUGUUUGGUUCCAAGGAAGACCCCUAUGUGUUCUACCAUAACUAUGCAAAAGAGUAUUGCUUCAACAUUAGAAGAGAAAACUUAACAGUCAAAGUUAACAGUUUGACUUUUAUGUCAUGUCAAACCUAACAGAUAGCCCAACGCUUAAAAGUUAAGCACUCGGACACUAAUUUUUUUUGAAUCAGCACAUCAAAAUUAUGAUAGCAUUUCAAGAAAUUAAAAAACAGGUAGUUUUUCGUAGCCCUAGCAUGCAGUAGCUUUUUGGACGCAGAGUUUUUCCUAUUUACUCUAGAAGGAUCAUCAGGAUCACGCAAUCUAAAUAGUAGAUAUGGGUUAAGCAUCUAGAGUCGAACAUAGCAAAUAUAACCCCUAAACGUCCGCGGACGCGUCCGGUUAAUAAUCGGACGUGUCUCUGUUUAUCCGCCUGCACAACCAUAUUUCUCAGUUUUUUCUCAUUUGUCCGGCCACUUGCACGUGAUUUGUGAAGACGAAGAGAGAUCAAGAAAAAAAAUAAAGAAAAGGAAAAUUGCUCCGGGAUGGGGUCAUGUUCUACUCCUAUGUGGCGAACUGACGCGUCCGCGAGCCCUCAUAUACUUUCUAUAUUUGAGAUGGAUACGAGGGAUUCGGUUAAGCCAUUUUUUCCCUUUUUUCGGUCUGGUCAAUUUAUAGAUGAUUUUACGAUCGACGUGUCAUGAAAAUUCUUGAAAAAUGGUAACUUUGAUAGCACUAUUCAGAAAACUUUUGGUCAUAAUACCGUAGGAGAGUGCAAUACUGGAUUGAUUAUAAGGUACAACCCACAUGAAUAUACUCUACACUCAGGAAAAUAGUUUUAUUUUGAACUUACAGCAAUUACAAAGUUGACUUUUCACAGAGCCAUAUGCAUUAAUUUUUUUGUUAAUGAUGCAUAAGAUUUUGAUAGAUAGAGAGAAGUUUGAAGUGUCAAAUAAUAAACAACCGAUUCCAAAUCAUCAUAUUGUUUUCAUAGUUUACCAGUGUGCAAUGAAAACCCCAAUAUUACUGUCAUCCCAUCUUUACUUUACAAUAAAAAAUAAAAUACACACACAGACACUUACGGGCUUAGAAAAGGGCGUGGCAAUGCCGCCGCGCCUUCGAUCUGCUAGUUCCUAAUAGGAAUUUUAACCCUUCUAUAAUCUAGACCGAGCAGUCAACAACAGGAACAGAUGGGAAGAAGAUUGAACAGCUGCACAAAGAAAUAGCAGCCUGAACGCUCCAAGAGUGAAACCUACUCUAUCUUCGGUCCAAGUUCAUCAAUUACUAUUUUAUGGAUCUCUUGCCUUGCUCUGUAUUUUUGUUUUGCACCUACUCUAUAUAAAUCAGCCUCUUGCUUGCUCUCACUCAUCACCAGUCUUCACUCUUCACUAGAACUUGCCAGCAGCGGUAGUGUGCAGCGAGCCAGUGACCGACGGACAAGAACAAAAUGGUCGCCGGCUGUGUCAUCACCGAGCAGUGCGCCCUGUCGGUGUCGACGGAGCGGCUGUGGAAGGUGGUCUUCUCCGGCGAGGAGACGGCCGCCCUGCCCAAGUCCUGUGCGGGCUUCAUCGACGCUGUGGACAUCGAGGGCGACGGCGGACCCGGCAGCAUCUUCACCAUGACGCUCAGCCCGGCGGCGGCAGAGCUGUCAGGCUCGGGCGUGAUGAGGAGCCGCGUGAUGGCCCGCGACAACGCGGCUAGGGUGUUCAAGACGGAGGUGCUGGAGGGCGACAAGGUAAGUGGGCAGCUCAAGUCGCAGGCAGUCGAGAUGAAGCUCGAGGCGGCCGGGGAUGGUGCUUGCGUGGCGAAGCUCAAGGUAGAGUACGAGAGGCUGGACGGCGGCGGGGCGCUGUCGGUGGAGGACCAGGCGGCGCUCGCCGCUGGGUACCUCGACCUGUUCAAGAUGGUCGAGGCAUACCUAGUCGCCCAUCCUGCCGAGUACGCCUAAUUAAACCAAAACGAGAAACAUCGGAAAUAAAUCAACUUUUCCUUCUUUCGAAAUUAUUUAUCGUAUAAAUAAAUAAAGUAAUAUGAUUAAGUAGCCUGUGUUGUUUGCCUCCUGAUGGACUUCGCGAGAAAAAUCAAUUGGUAAGCUUUAGUAUAAAUUAUUGAGGUAUACAUGAGUGUUAAAUCCCUGUUUUAAGCUCGCAUUUCCUGUGUAAGUUGCUUCAAGCAUUGAUGGAGAUAAAUAUUUGAAUAGUUUGGUUUUGUGACAAAUGCAUUUUUGUCUUAUCAGUCAAUUCAAAUUAAAUGGCGAGACAAGCCAAACGUAUAAAGGGCAAUAUCGAUCAUAUAACCAUAUUCAUAUGAGUGAUGGAGUGUCGAUACCUAUACGCCAUACGUACAAGCUGGCAGAGGAUAAAAAAAAGUAGGGCAAAUCUGACAUAAAAAGUUGCUGUCACUAUAAGUAAUAGCGAUGGACCGAAACACUAAGUUUGAUUGGAAUGUGAGACAACGAUAGAGCUUGACGUGACUUAUAACUAAUGCAUUCAACUUUUAUAGGGAAUGCACUCAUAUUUUUUAGUCGAUGCAGUGGAACAUGUGCUUGCAAAAACCAAAUGCCCAAUCGUACGUGACUGAGGUGCAUGACUGAGUUCGCAGCCACUUGAGCUUAAGUGCUAAAUUGAUGGCGAACAACCCAGCAGCGCGAGUUCAUAGAGAGGGCCUCAUUGUGUUUAUCUUAUUUUCCCAGCAAGACCAUGACUAGUUCAAAGAAAACCAUCCUGUCGAACAAGACAUAUACCUCAAUGAACGCCUUUUAGAAAAUCAAGGUGAGGCGGCCGCCCAACCUUGUCUUACCGGCUCCUCCGUCCUUAACGAGCAUACGUUCGGUUUAACUAUGUAUCGACCCCUCGCAAGAAAAAAAACAAAAUCUCAGGGCCAAUCCAAUCCAUAGUCGUCAUCACGACUUUAACCAGCGGCCAACAUGAGUCGUCGCCGCCCCCAGCGUCGACCCCACUCGAGUUCACGUCGUCGUUGGGCUCAUCUGCGUCCUUGCACGUGGCGCCAUCCAGCAACCCUGCUCUCACGCGGCACUUUCAUCGCUGCCCUACCCGUCAUUGGAGGUGCCAAGCACACCGUCUUUGGUGCACCUCCCCGCAAGACGUCAUGUGAUGCACUUUCGCGCUCUUCCAAAUCGUCGACCAAGACGAGGAAGACGUCGAUGCUGGAAUUUUUGGCCAACCCAAUUAUUAUUUCAAAAAAAAAUCCUAAUAAAUCCUAGAGGCCCACGCAGCGCAUUUGUGCAAGGCAAGAGGUGGAAAUAUUUAGUCCCAGGUUGCUAGUUUAGUGGUAGUCGGAUCUCCUUAUAAGGGAGGAUGUUUCCACACAUGUAUGAGCUUGAAAACAAGAGAGACAUACACGCGUGCUCCUCCUCCUCCAUCGCCCGCCGCGCCUCAUCCCGAUGCGCCGCGGGUUGCGGGAAUGAGCCGAACUAAAUUUUUGCCACGCACGACUGGUAUACGAAAGGUCACUCGGAGAAGCUGAACUCUUCGGCUGUUGUCUGUUUGUUUCAUCUCCGUCGCUGGCCUCUCGCCUCCUUCUCUUGCGUCUAUAAAAGAGAGGUUGCUCCUCUCCAGAGAAGACGCAUCAGAACUUUCUCUCGCCACCGAUUCCUUUCUGUGUGAUGCUGCUACAUUCUUUCCCAUCCCGUCUUGCAACGUGCACCGUAGGUCGGGACAGUAGGCCUCCGAAACUCCGUCUCUUUGAGUCCUGUACGGGAGAAGGGCGAUAAGGUAUUUGGGGAGCGCUCAACGUGACUACUGGCUUCCAUCACGGAUACUGACGAUCUCUUCCCAGACGACGACUACUUCCCUGACGUUUACCACCUCUUCGGGAACAUGGUCAACGCCAACACCAAUCCUAUUCCUGUUGCAACUCAGUACGUACUCAUGUUCUUUUUCUUGGAGUUCCUACCGCAACAAGUACGUAGUCAUGUUCUUUUUUCUGAGUUCCUACCGCAACUUCUUACUAUAGUUUCACUUCUAGAUAAAUUCUGUUUCUGCUCAUCACUCCAUAUGAUACCUUGUAUAUAUAGAACGGUUACACAUAUGUUCUUUUCUAGAUCAUAUGUGCACAUGUAUUUUGUCGUCUCAUCUCUAUUUUGCAUGUCUUCUUUCAUCUUUAUUAUGAUGGUCAUGUUUAUCCUAACUUUUUUUUAAUAAAAUCCUAUGGUAAAUUACUCAUAUUUCCAACAAUCCAAAAACCUUAUUAUAGGCAUUUACUCCGAGUGGUUUUGCUGCUUCCUUGAGACCUCCUAUUUUUGAGGGUAUCCACUAUAAGAGGUGGCGCGUGAGAGUUGUUCUAUGGUUUCAAACCAUGAGCUGCUAUGACGCCACUCUUGGCAAACCUGAAGGAGAUCAUAAUGCUCAACAGGAACUAGCUUUCCAGAAAAUGGAUACCUUGUUUAAGGCUGCUCUCUUGAGCGUUCCUGGUGAGAACGUAGUUGAUGCUUAUGCGUCAAUUGAUAAUGGAAAAGAAAUGUGGGAUGCACUCGAGGCCAAGUUUGGGGUGUCAGAUGCUGGCACUGAGUUGUACAUCAUGGAACAAUUCUAUGACUACAGGAUGACUGAAGAGCGCUCCGUGGUUGAGCAAGCUCACGAGAUACAGUCAUUUGCAAGAGAAUUUGAGCACUUCAAUUGCAUGCUACACGACAAGUUUGUUGCCGGAGGCAUCAUCACUAAACUUCCUCCUUCGUGGAGGAACUUUGCUACCUUACUGAAGCAUAAGAGGCAAGAGUUUUCCGUUUUGGAUCUCAUAGGUACUCUUGAUGUGGAAGAAAACGUGAGAGCAAAAGACACACGUGCUCUAGGUAUUGAGGGAGGUUCUAGUCCCAAUCUGGUACAGAAGAAAAACUUCCAACCCCACAGUUUCAAGAACUAGGACAAGUUUGAUGGUAAAGAAAAGUUCGAUGGGAAGAACAAGGCUGUACAACACACCAACUUCAAGAACAAGAAUGACAAGAAGAAAGGUGUUUGUCAUGUGUGUGGAGAUCCUGAUCAUUGGGCAUCUAACUGCCCUAACUGUUAUGACAAGCAUCAACAUGGGAAAGGCGGCAAGUCCGCUAAUGUUGUCAUUGGUGACACUGACAUGGAGGAUGCUGGGUAUGGUAUAUUUCCCACUAUCCUUUCAGUAUGUCAUUUCCCGAUUGGUUGAUUGACACGGGUGCUAAUGUGCAUGUAUGCGGUGAUAUUUCCAUGUUUUCGUCUUAUCAGUCCACACGGACUUCCAUUGUGCUGACGGGCAACGGUUCAAGUGCUUCUGUUCGCGGUGUUGGCACGGUCAAUCUGAAGUUUACUUCAGGGAAGGUCGUGCGGCUGAAGAACGUGCACUAUGUUCCCUCUGUGAAUAAAAAUCUUGUUAGCGGAUCUCAUUUGUGUAGAGAUGGCUACAAGCUUGUCUUUGAGUCGAAUAAAUUUGUAAUAUCCAAGUAUGGAAUUUUUGUUGGUAAAGGCUACGAGUCAGGAGGCAUGUUCCUUUUAUCCAUGGCAGACGUUUGCAAUAAAGUUGUUAAUCAUGUUUAGAACAAUAGUGAAUCAAAUGUGUGGCAUUCACGUCUCUGUCAUGUUAAUUUUGGUUGCAUGUCCCGACUUGUCAAAUUGAACUUAAUCCCUAGCUUCACCACCGUCAAGGGAUCUAAGUGUCAAGCUUGUGUGCAAGCCAAGCAACCUCGUAAGUUUCACACGACUGUUGAAAUGAGAAAUCUUGCACUACUAGAGUUCAUACAUUCAGAUCUAUGUGAAAUGAAUGGUAUUUUGACAAAAGGUGGAAAGAAAUAGUUCAUGGCGUUAAUUGAUGACUCCACUAGAUACUGCUGAGUGUAUCUUCUGAAAUCUAAGGAUGAGGCUUUGAACUUUUUCAAGAUUUAUGAAGCUAAAGUAGAAAAUCAACUUGAUCGAAGAUCAAGCGGCUUAGGUCCGAUCAUGAUGGAGAGUAUUUCUCAAAUGAAUUUGAUUACUUCUGUGAGGAACAUGGUAUAAUCCAUCAGAGGACGCCUCCCUAUUCACCUCAGUCAAAUGGGGUAGCUGAAAGAAAGAACUGUACUCUAACUCAUUUGGUUAACGCCAUGUUAGACACAUCGGGUCUGUCGGGACCCCGAUCCUAAGCCAUCGGAAUCCAGCGUGUAACACAUCGCAUCUCUUUGCGUCUCACGCACGGUUAACCCUACGGCUGCAGCCUUACCUUAGCCGGGACCGUUUGCGCCUUUUUACUCGCGUAUGUGAUUGUGUCGCUAGCAAUCCAAUGUCAAAGAACCCAGAUCGACAUGUCUAGUCAUAAGCUAAAUUGGUAGUUCCGUACAGGACCAUGCAUACAUGACCCAGCAAAGUAGUUGUCCGUCAUCAACGAAUGUAGACGAGUCGUAGCAAGCUACAAGGACUCCAUUACAUGCGCGUGACAUUUCCCAAAGGGACAAACACAACAGCUAAGAAGGACACAUGCCGGUCAACCAAUGUGUCCGGAGCAGUAGCGAACUACUAGGGCUCGAUGGAAUCACAAAGGGGCAUUUCCACAUAGGAGUGCUACUAAAGCAUACGACUAGGUAUUCGAACCCCAUACAUAUCAAGUACAACACACAUACGCAUGGCAUACCGAUAUGUAUAGAUACAUCGAUGACAUCACAACAUAACCAUAAACAUACAAACUUUAUUUAGAAGGCUCGAAAGAGCCUCACACAUAAUAUUACACAGAUAGGGGCCUCACGACCCAUCAUCAUAAUUCAUACACACAAGUCUUACAAGCCAGCGGAAUAUUAAAAAACUGUCUGAGUACAGAUAGAUGGAGAGACAAAGGCACAUGGCCUGACUAUCUACAGACCCAUGCUGGGGCCAGAUCGUAGCUGGGAUACCAGCUACUCAUCUUGGUCGAUGUCUAGGUAGAACCCUCCAUUAGGGUCAUUAACAACCUCUGCAACAAUUAUUAAGCAAACGUGAGUACAAAAGUACUCAGCAAGACUUUAGGAUAAUCUAUCUACUCAUGCAAUGUAUCAACAAGGAGUUGUGGGGUUUCAUGCGGAAAGCCAGCAUUUGACUCUUGGCUAGACAACUUGGAUUUUAAAUAGUUUUUACAACUAUGUUUCUCGCACACGAGUCCACUAACACCACCACAAUACUCUAUCGUGGAAUCAUCCCGUCUCCCUACGGAAAUGCCGUCCACGACAAUCACGCUUAUCUUGACAAUUUUAUGAGUAACCAUUAUAGUUAUCUAUGAACAACAUAUGUUUCCAAGCAGUCCAUAUCCGCGAACGCAGCUAUUCGAAUAGAUCAUAACCCUGCAGGGUGUACUUCUUCACACCCGCUCUCGCCACUUAUCGACAUGUGCACGUCAUGCACCUCGGCAACCUUCAAGCGGAAGCCCAGCAAGGGAGUCGGCCACGGUCGUUAACCACGCUAAUACUUAGUCCAGGUCUAUCACCUAUCUAAGGGUAACCCGCAUGGAAGUCCGGCCAAGGUUUCCGCCAUGGCCCCAAACGAUGUGCGUAGGGUUCCCAAGCCCACCAUCCGUGUGCCACUUGGUACACCGUGCCACUGCCUACCGCAUCAUAGCCCACCUCUAAGGUCAGCGCUACGCAUGGCCUCCAGCAUGACUAUAAACACCCGAAACUACUUGCAACUCCUGGACCGAGUAGUAAGCGAUUAAUAAGUCGAGAGGGUCAAUUAAGUAUCCCAACGUGUGGUAGUAUCUAGUCUUGGAUUACAUACACGGAACUCAGUUCCUAAGGACGGUUCCAAUGAAACAACCCGCCCUGUACUCCUACAUAGCCGUUCACCGGUACCUUUACCAAAUCAGGUUCAACACAUGAGCUUUACCAACUAAACAUAUUCUCACGAUCCUGUUCAUCACCCGGAUGACAGACCAUACACAACUCUAAGCAUAGCAUGCAUAACAGGAUAAGGCAUAUCAUGGCUCAAGCAUCUACCAGGUAUGCUAGGUUGCAAGGUUCAGCUAUUUACUGUGACAAGGACAUGUCAUGCAAAGGAAGUGGGUUCAACUAACGUGGCAAAAGCAGAUAAAGCAUUUGAUCCUAAUGCAAUAAAUAAGAGUAGGAGCGAGAACAUGAGAUUUCUUGGGAUGAUCAAAAUGGUUGCGUGCCUUGUUGCUCAGCAGAGGGGUGAUAACCGUCAGUCGGAUAAUCAGACGUAUCCGGAGGGGCGGAGCCUACCGGAAUAACAACAAUCAAUCAAUAUCAAACAUAUGCAACAAAAUGAUGCAUGAAAUGCAAUGUAGCAUGGCUUAAGAUGACUAGCACAACCCUUUGGGGCGAUCUUGAUUUGAAAUCAUAAUUCAAAUAUCAUUUGAAUUAUAAUUUAUCAUAUUAUUUUAAUUGAUUUGACCUGAUGCUGUUUCAUAACUUUGUUUUUCAUGCAUGAAAAUAGCACCAUUGGAUUCCUUGAAUUUUUCUAAUCCAUUUACAUAUAUUAUGUGUCAGAUUUGGAGUUAUAUUCAAUUUUCUAUGAAUUUCCAAAGUUUUGAACUUAUUCUGGAAUUAUUUUUAAACAGAAAAGUCAUUAUUGCAUCAGCAUGACAUCAGUGGGUAUAACUGGUCAUUGAAAUUCAAACCUGACUAGUGGGACCCACUGGUCAGUGACUCUGGCCAGGUUUUAGUUGAAAUUUAACUUAAUUAGUUAAUUAACAGAGUAGGACCCACCUGUCAGUGUCUAUUUAGGUUAAUUAAAUAAGUUAUUUUUUAUUUUUACUAAACUUAAUUAGCCAGGGGCUGGCCCCACCUGUCAUAGGCUCAGGGGGGUCAGAUCCACCGGCGGCGAGGUCGAUCUUGCCAGCGGUGAGCCUCAGGCGACCACCAGAAUGGCGGAGGGGCUCGGGAUUGCAUCUCCGACGACCAAAUGCACGGCGGAGGGCACCCAACGAACCAGCGCACAGCCGCGGUUCCAUUUCUGCAAAGACCCAAGGCUAAGAUGGUCGGAGAUGAUGCCGGCUACGAGCUUGGCGGCGGCCGAAGCUCGGGCUAUGUCGGGAUUGACGAAACCGAAGGCAAAAUGAGCAGGGAUUAGCUCCUAGAGCACCUACGCGACGUACUGAAGCCAUUGAUGGCCUUAGAAUGACCAGCCGAUCACCGGAGGGCUACCGGCGAAGAGGUCCCGCGGCGGAUCUCGUCGGGCUAAGGUGGAAUCGGGGCCUAGAGCUCGGGGUCGAAGGGGAAAACUUAGGGGAAAGAACCCUGAGGUCACGGGGAGUGCAGAGGCGUCGAGAGUGCGCUCGGGGAUGGCCUGAGGAGGGAGAACGACGGCGGCGAGCUCUGGUGACCCGAGGAAGAAGACGAUGGCUUCACGGUGUUUGAGAGCUUCUCGGCGUCGCACGACUAGCUGGAGAGCUUCACGGGAUCACAGCGAAGCUGUUGCGCGGCUCAGGUGAGAGGGAGAGGGGCAGGAGCGACGACGAGCUCGAGCUCAAGCUUCCGUCAUGGCGGCCGAGAGAGAGAGAGAAGAGAGCAGGGCGAAUGGGGAGGGGAUGAGCUCGGGGAGGCCUCGGAGAGCUUAUCCCCUUCGCUCCAGCGCAUCAGGGCAAAGCAGACGAGCACGCAGCUACGUGGGCGCGUCGGGGAAACGCGGCGGCCACUUCCUGCUCCGACUGGCAGGAGGAAGACGACAGGGAGCAGCUGGGCCUCGGCCAGGUAAGCGCUAGAUAGAGCUUUUUUCAUUUUCUUUUCUUUUCUGUUUCUGUUCUAUUCUUUCUGAUAUUGUUUCAUUUGUUUUUGGCUCCAAACUAUUCCUAAAAAUAGUUUGAGAAAUACCAGAGUGUUCUCAACAUUUUUGGAAACUUUGAAUUAUUUGAAAUCAAAUAUAUAAUUGAUUUCAGUAGUUUUUAACUUAAAUUUAAAUUUCCAAAGAUAGUUUGAAAAUAAGUUUCAUCUCUGAUAUUUUGUUUUCAACAUUUAUCAGAAAUAUUGAACUUUUAUGAAGGCCAAUUUUGGGUUCAUUGAUUUGGCAGUUGUUGUAAUUCUUUUGAAUAAGGAGUGGCUAGGGUUUUGCUUUGGUUUUCUUUACUUUGCUUUGGAUUUCUUUUGCUUUAUUGAAUGCAAUGAAAGAAGAUAUGAGCACAAGUUGUUAAACCCUAACAGGGAAUACCGGGGAUGUGACAACUCACCCCCACUCAAAAGAAUCUCGUCCCGAGAUUUGGAAGUCGUCGGGAAUAGUGCGGGGUACUCAAGUCGGAGACGAUCCUCUCUUUCCCAUGUUGCCUCCUUUUCAGAAUGAUUUGACCAUUGAACUUUAAGAAACUUGAGGUUUCGACGUUGAGUGGUAUGCUCAGCUAGAUCAAGAAUACGCACAGGGUAUUCUCGGUAUGAAAGGUUAUCUUGGAGAUCAAGCGUUUCGUGGUCCACUUCGCGGAUAGGAUCCGAAAAGCAACGCAUGAGUUGCGAGACAUGGAAUACAUCAUGAACCUUGGAAAGAUGCGGAGGAAGUUCCAAUUGGUAGGCAACUUCCCCUCGUUUGGCAAGAAUGCGAAAAGGACCAAUGUAAUGAGGAGCCAACUUGCCCUUGAUACCGAAUCGAUGGGUACCCUUCAAAGGUGUAACCCGAAGGUAAGCCUUCUCAUCAACUUCAAAGUUCACAGCCUUAUGAUGACGAUCAUAUUGGCUCUUUUGACGAGACUGGGUUGUUGUCAACUUUUCAAGAAUAAUGCGAACUUGCUCUUAUGCAUCCUGGAUCAUAUCCGGACCAAAGAGUUGCCUCUCUCCGGUUUCUGACGAAUUAAGAGGUGUUCGACAUCUUCAUCCAUACAAAACUUCAAAAGGAGCUUUGCCUAGGCUUGAUUGAUAACUAUUGUUAUAUGCAAAUUUGGCGAAUGGAAGGAACUUCUCCCAAUUCAUACCGAACGAUAUAACACAAGCUCAGAGCAUAUCUUGUAGGACUUGAUUCACUCUUUCUACUUGACCACUUGAUUGAGGAUGGAAAACAGUGCUAAAAGAUAAGUGAGUCCCCAUGGCAUUCUGAAAACUCUCCCAGAAGCGAGAAGUAAAGAUACUCCCACGGUCUGAGUUAAUCUCCAGAGGAACACCAUGAAGAGACACUAUUUGAGAGAUAUAUAACUUUGCUAGCUGGCUAGCUCUUAUACUCUCACGAACUCGAAGAAAAUGAGCUACUUUGGAAAUACGGUCAAUGACCACAAAGAUAACAUUAUUUCCUUUCUUGGUCUUGGGAAAUCCGGUGAUGAAAUCCAUACUGACUUUAUCCCAUUUCCAUUCAGGAAUAGCUAAAGGUUGAAGGGUGCCAGCAGGCCUUUGAUGUUCUGCCUUAACUCGACGACAAACGUCGCAGAUAGCAACGAACUCAGCAAUUUCUCUCUUCAUCCUAGUCCACCAACACCUCUGGCGUAGGUCCUCAUACAUCUUAGUACUACCAGGAUGAAUGGUGAGAGGAGAAUGAUGAGCCUCCUUAAGGAUCAAUUGCCGCAGACGUUUUCUCUUUGGAAUAACUAGACGGUUCUGAAAGAACACCACACCUUGCUCAUUGAUAGAGAAAUCCCUAGCGUUUCCGCUAGCAAUAUUCUCCUUGAUCCGGGAUAUACCCUUAUCAUAUGCCUGCACGGCUAUGAUUUUAUCCCUAAGAGUAGGCUUCGCCACCAGGUUAGAAAGGAAUCCUUGAGGAACAAUGUGAAGAUUUAGCUUCCGAAAUUCCUCAUAGAGAUGUGGUUGACCUCGUUGUAGCAUCAGGUUGUUACAGUACGACUUACGACUUAGUGCAUCAGCCAUAACAUUGGCCUUCCCCGGGGUGUAAGUUAUCCCUAAGUCGUAAUCCGUGAUUAACUCAACCCACCGUCUUUGCGUGAGAUUCAAAUCCGGCUGGGUGAAGAUAUAUUUCAGACUUUGGUGAUGAGUGAAUAUUUCGCAACGAUUACCAAGAAGGUAAUGUCGCCAGGUUUAAAGUGCAUGGACUACUGCUGCAAGCUCAAGAUCAUGUGUGGGAUAAUUAUCCUCAUGUGGACGCAACUAUCGACAUGCGUAUGCAAUCACAUGACGAUCCUACAUGAGAAUGCAACCUAAUCCUUGUCGCGAGGCGUCGCAGCAGAUAACAAAGUCCUUAAAGAAAUCUGGUGGUAACAACACAGGUGCGGAAGUCAGGCAUCUUUUUAGUUCCUGAAAACUAUACUCACACUGUGGUGUCCACUCGAACUUUUUAUCUUUCUUGAGGAGUUCAGUUAGAGGCUUUGCAACCUUGGAGAAAUUCUCGACAAAGCGGCGACAAUAGCUUGCUAGACCAAGAAAACUCCUAACUUGCUUAACCGAUUCAGGUUGAGUCCAAUCAAGGACAGUUGAACUCGCUCGGGAUUGACAACAAUACCCUUACCAGAGAUUACUUGACCUAGAUAGGUCACUUCUGGUAACCAAUAUUCACAUUUUGAAAACAUGGCAUAAAGGCGAUGCUCUCGAAGUUUCAUCAAUACCAGCCUUAGAUGCUCGGCAUGUUCUUGUUCGUUCUUCGAGUAGAUGAGGAUAUCAUUGAGGUAUAAUACGACGAAUUUAUCCAAAUACUCCAUGAAGAUUGAAUUCAUCAAGCGAGAGAAGGUGGAUGGGGCAUUGGUUAAACCGAAGGACAUGACGGUGUACACGUAUUGGCCAUAACGAGUGACAAAAGCCAUUUUUGGAAUGUCCUCGUUCUUGAUCUUGAUUUGAUGGUAUCCCAACCUCAAAUCCAUUUUUGAGAAGACUGAGGAUCCAGCAAGCUGAUCAUACCGAUCGUUGAUCCUGGGGAGCGGGUACUUAUUCUUUAUGGUGACCAGAUUAACUGGUCGAUAAUCUACAACCGUCGGAUCCGUUCCGUCUUUCUUCUUGACGAAGAGGACGGGACAAGCCCAAGGAGAAGAGCUAGGACGAAUGAAACCUUUAUUCAAGGCCUCAUCUAAUUGCUUCUUAAGUUCGGCUAGCUCGAGGGGUGCCAUCUUAUAAGGUCUUGUGGCUAUUGGAACGGUUCCCAGAACAAGGUCUAUCACAAACUCUACAUCUCUGUCAGGUGGAAUUCCUGGCAGUUCCUCUGGAAAAACAUCCGGGAAGUCACGGACUACUGGAAUGUCUUCAUGUUUCGAAAGAGGGUUGGCAUUGAGGGAAUAGAGUUGGCAUUUGGCAACUCGAGUAGAGACAUUGACUAUCUCACCCGAGGGAUGGGUAAGAUGAACAUUUCUAGAAUGAGUAUCAAUCUUGGCAUAAUGAGCUGACAUCCAUUUCAUACCCAAGAUGAUAUUGAUAUACGAAGAUUUCAGGGCUAUCAAAGAUGCUUGAAAAACUAGCCUGUCUACUAGAAUUUCAUUGUCAUAGGUUAUCCUGGAGGUUUUCCACUUACUACCAGGGGUUUGGACAACCAAUGGGAUUGGCAUAUCACAGAAAGACAUGUUAUGCAACUAUGCAUAACUUUCUCAAAUGAAGGAAUGAGAAGACUCAGUGUCAAAAAGAACAGAUGCUAGGUGAUGAUUAACAAGGAGCGUACCCAGAAGACGUCGGGAUCCUCUGCAGCUUCUUCUGCUGAAACAUAGUUCACACGACCACGUGGAGGAGUUGGCUUCACAUAGUAAGCUUUGCCCGACUUGCCUUGCCCAACGAAUUUUCUGGGUUGCUUGGCACCCAUAUUCCAAGAACACUCUCGGGAAUAGUGCCCUGGUUCUCCACACUUGUAACAGAUCACCUGAUUGGCACGUGGUGCAGCAUUGCUAGCUGGACCACCAUAGGUUUUUCCUGGAGGGUUGGUCUGAUUUUUCUGAGGCGCCACAUAGGAUGGCCUCGGGGUAUAUCUUGGCGGCAGAGAACUAUUUGGAACCCACAACCUGCGUUUUGGGAACGCGGAACUAGAUGACGAGCCAGAGUCACGGGAGUGCUUCUUUCUGGCUUCAUAGUCGGUAUGACCAGUCUCGGAACUGAUCGCCUUGUUGACAAGAGCUUGAAAGCUUGUACAUUCGUGGAGGCGCAAAUCAUGACGAAGUUCAGGGCUCAGACCCUUACGGAAUCUUGCUUGCUUCUUGGCGUCAGUUGACACCUCCUUAGUUGCAUAACGGGCGAGGUUACCGAACUCACCUCUAUAGGCAUCCACGGUCAACUUUCCUUGGAUGAAUGCACAAAACUCCUCUCUCUUUCUGUCCAUGAGGCCCUCUGGAAUAUGGUGCAGAUGGAAGGCUGCACUAAAGUUUGCCCAUGUGGCUGCUGGUUCAGCANNNNNNNNNNNNNNNNNNNNNNNNNNNNNNNNGGAUGCAUAGCUUCAAAGUUCUCCCACCACAGAUUGGUGGGUCCUUCCAGAAAGUACGCCGCAAAGGUCACCUUGUCGGCCUCAGAAACAUCUGCAGAGCGAAUCUUGCGCGAUAUACUACACAACCAAUCAUCAACGUCGAGGGGAUCGACGGAGUGAUGGAACUUUGGAGGAUUCAGCUUCACAAAGUCAUUGAGAGACACUGCAUCAUUCCUAGGCUGACGAGCCGUAUUUUGCUCAAUACGCUCUAACAGACGGUUGGUCUCCCUUUUGUUUCUCUCUGCCUCAAGCAUAACUUCCGCCAGAGAGGGCGGGUGAGGCAGUUCCUCCUGCGAUGCUUGACUACCCUCUCCUUGCUCAUGAGCAGGGGCAUGGUUCAACCUGGUGAACACCAUCCUGACAAACAAACUCACAACUUAGACCAAAAUCAACAUCAACACCAACUAUGGAUUAAGAAUGCACUGAACACAUGGAAUGCGGAAAUGAACAUCCGAACAACAUGGGAACAAGCAACUGCUAUAUAUACACCAUGGUUCAUACACACCAUUACAUAGUUCAGUACAACCUUAACCAAAGAGCAAACUACUAAAAAGGUGAUACAACUCAUCAGAGGCUUUCCAAGCUUCCUAUAUAUUAUUUAUCUAUGCCUCCGGAAUUCAUCUCACGACACAAGCAUACUCCACAAGACACACAAGACUGUGGAAGUAUAACUACUACCAUACUAUCCUUCCACUCACGGGUUCAGGCAUCCGCAUAGGACAUCUCAUAAAGAUUGCCUCCAUGGCCUGGGAGCUCAACCUGCGGAUCAGGAAAUACUCCAGCCUAAGACCCCUGGGAACCGUAAGGACACGGGUGUGGCCUUGGUCCCCUGACUGGUGGUAGUAGAGGUCCCCGAAGAGGGGUGACUCCUCCUAUAGCAGGCUAGUCAACAUGAGCCGGAAGAUGGUUCCUAACAGGGUUCAGCAUCUCCAUAUCUCCAUACCCUGUCUGGACUAUAGGUGCCAGCUGUGUCAAAGCCGUCCACAGACGGGCACGUGUAGCAUAGAGGUCCAUACGAAGGGCACGAGCAUCCCUAUCUCUGUUCUCUAGCAUCUCAGCAGUGGACUGCAGCAGCGGAUCCUCCAUAGAGGAAUCAUAGUAGAAACCACUAAGGUAUCCUUCUUCACCUGGCUGAGAGGCAGGAACAUAGCAGAACUCUGAAUUCUACAGCAGUGCAUGUCUAGCUCUCAUGAUGGUCAGCAUUGAACAGGCAGCAUCUUGUACUGCCAUGUCAACAGUGACCCCCAAUCCAUAAGACCAAUGGAUCGGCUCCUCAACUCCAGGGUAAUCUGGGAAUACCCUAACAGUGCAGAGGUACUGGCUCUGAUUAAAAUCCCGGUACUGCUCCUCCACUAUGUACUCUGGGUAUCAACGGUAACCGGAUACUGACAUCAUCCUGACUAGCAUGGCCGUAUGACCCGGCACAUCAAUGCACCUAGUCAGGCGGACCACCUGACGAGAAGGACGGCCAGGCAUCUGAAAAUAGAGAGUAAUGCAAAAAGCAUUAGAGCUCUGAAGACAAAAUUGGGCAGCAUAACGGGUGUAAAUGCUCAAAAACAAUUUUGAGACAACCCAUAAAAAUAGGAUAGCGUAACCACUCAACUACCAAGUUCAAUUCCAUGGUCAUCAAAACCUUCUUUCUUUUCCUUGGAAUAAAAGGAACCCGAAGUAACUCUCGACCCGUUUUCCUACAAUCUACCGAUUGGUAACACGCGGUCCUCAGAGGAAGAUGAGUAACCUAGUUCUUAAUCCCCGCAGAGAAGACGAGGAUGACCAGAAUAUAAUAAUUUAAGAAGAGAAGCAAGAGUCUUACGUUCCCUUCCACAAAAAAUUCCCUUAUGUAUAACUAAAGCAAUUCUAGAGUCAACUUCGACCAGUUUGGCUUAGUAAUCCGACAGUCAGUCAAGCUCUGAUACAAACGCUGUCGGGACCCCGAUCCUAAGCCAUAGGAAUCCAGCCUGUAACAUAUCGCAUCUCUUUGCGGUCUCACGCACGGUUAACCCCACGGUUGCAGCAUUACCUUAGCCGGGACCGUUUGCGCCUUUUGACUCGCGUAUGCGAUUGUGUCGCCAUCAAUCCAAUGUCAAAGAACCCGAAUCGACAUGUCUAGUCAUAAACUAAAGUGGCAGUUCCGUACAGGAACAUGCAUACAUGAACCAGCAAAGCAGUUGUCGGUCAUCAACGAGUGUAGACGAGUCGUAGCAAGCUACAAGGACUCCAUUACACGCGCGUGACAUUUCCCAAAGGGACAGACACAACAGCUAAGAAGGACACAUACCGUUCAACCAAUGUGUCCAGAGGAGUAGCGAACUACCAGGGCUCGAUGGAAUCACAAAGGGGCAUUUCCCUGUAAGGAGUGCUACUAAAGCAUACGACUAGGUAUUCGAACCCCAUACAUAUCAAGUACAACACACAUACGCAUGGCAUACCGAUAUGUAUAGAUACAUCGAUGACAUCACAACAUAACCAUAAACAUACAAACUUUAUUUAGAAGGCUCGAAAGAGCCUCACACAUAAUAUUACACAGAUAGGGGCCUCACGACCCAUCAUCAUAAUUCAUACAGACAACUCUUACAACCAGCGGAAGAUUUAAAAAAAUUCUGAGUACAGACAGAUGGAAAGACAAAGGCACAUGGCAUGACUAUCUACAGACCCAUCCUAGGGCCAGAUCGUAGCUGGGAUACCAGCUACUCGUUGUCGUCGAUGUCUAGGUAGAACCCUCCAUUGCGGUCAUUAACAACCUGUGCAACAAUUAUUAAGCAAACGUGAGUACAAAAGUACUCAGCAAGACUUUGGGAUAAUCUAUCUACUCAUGCAAUGUAUCAACAAGGAGUUGUGCGGUUUCAUGCGAAAAGCCAGCAUUUGACUCUUGGCUAGACAACUUGCAUUUUUAAAUAGUUUUUACAACUAAGUUUCUCGCACACGAGUCCACUAACACCACGACAAUACUCUAUCGUGGAAUCAUCCUGUCUCCCUACGGAAAUGCCGUCCACGACACUCACGCUUAUCUUGAAAAUUUUAUGAGUAGCCAUUAUAGUUAUCUAUGAACAACAUAUGUUUCCAAGCAGUCCAUAUCCGCGGACGCAACUAUUCGAAUAGAUCAUAACCCUGCACGGUUGUACUUCUUCACACACUCGCUCGCCACUUAUCGCCAUGUGCAUGUCAUGCACCUCGGCAACCUUCAAGCGGAAGCCCAGCGAGGGAGUCGGCCACGACUGUUAACCACGCUAAUACUUAGUCCAGGUCUAUCGCCUAUCUGAGGGUAACCCGCACGGAAGUCCGGCCGAGGUUUCCGCCACGGCCCCAAAAGAUGUGCGCAGGGUUCCAAAGCCCACCAUCCGGGUGCCACUUGGUACACCGUGCCACUGCCUACCGCAUCAUAGCCCACCUCUAAGGUCAGCGCUAGGCACGGCCUCCAGCAUGACUAUAAACACGAGAAACUACUUGCAACUCCUGGACCGAAUACUAAGCGAUUAAUAAGUUGAGAGGGUCAAUUAAGUAUCCCAACGUGUGGUAGUAUCUAGUCUUGGAUUACAUACACGGAACUCAGUUCCUAAGGACGGUUCCAAUGAAACAACCCGCCAUGUACUCCUACAUAGCCUUUCACCGGUACCUUUACCAAAUCAGGUUCAACACACGACCUUUACCAACUGAACACAUUCUAACGAUCCUAUUCAUCACCCAGAUGAAAGACCAUACACAACUCUAAGCACAAUAGGCAUAGCAGGAUAAGGCACAUCAUGGCUCAAGCAUCUACCAGGUAUGCUAGGUUGCAAGGUUCAACUAUUUACUGCGACAAGGACAGGUCAUGCAAAGGAAGUGGGUUCAACUAAUGUGGCAAAAGCAGAUAAAGCAUUUGAUCCUAAUGCAAUAAAUAAGAGCAGGAGCGAGAACAUGGGAUUUCUCGGGAUGAUCAAAAUGGUUGCUUGCCUUGUUGCUCAGCAGAGGGGUGAUAACCGUCAGUCGGAUAAUUAGACGUAUCCGGAGGGGCGGAGCCUACCGGAAUAACAACAAUCAAUCCAUAUCAAACAUAUGCAACAAAAUGAUGCAUGAAAUGCAAUGUAGCAUGGCUUAGGAUGACUAGCAGAACCCUUUGGGGUGAUCUUGAUUUGAAAUCAUAAUUCAAAUAUCAUUUGAAUUAUAAUUUAUCAUAUUCUUUUAAUUGAUGUGACCUGAUGCUGUUUCAUAACUUUUUUUUUCAUGCAUGAAAAUAGCACCAUUGGAUUCCUUGAUUUUUUCUGAUCCAUUUACAUAUAUUAUUUGUCAAAUUUGGAGUUAUAUUCAAUUUUCUAUGAAUUUCCAAAGUUUUGAACUUAUUCUGGAAUUAUUUUUAAACAGAAAAGUCAUUAUUGCAUCAGCAUGACAUCAGCAGGUACAACUGGCCGUUGAAAGUCAAACCUGACCAGUGGGACCCACUGGUUAGUGACUCUGGCCUGGUUUUAGUUUAAAUUUAACUUAAUUAGUUAAUUAACAGAGUAGGACCCACCUGUCAGUGUCUGUUUAGGUUAAUUAAAUAAGGUAUUUUUAAUUUUUACUAAACUUAUUUAGCUAGGGGCUGGCCCCACCUGUCAUAGGCUCGGGGGGGGGGGGGCAGAUCCACCGNNAGUGGAGUGCGAGGGGGGGGGGGGGUCAGAUCCACCGUCGGCGAGGUUGAUCUCGCCGGCGGUGAGCCUCAGGCGACCACCAGAACAUCGGAGGGGCUCGGGAUUGCAUCUCCGACGACCAAAUGCACGGCGGAGGGCACCAAACGAACCAGCGCACAACCGCGGUUCCAUUUCUGCAAAGACUCAAGGCUAAGAUGGCCGGAGAUGAUGCCGGCGACGAGCUUGGCGGCGGCCGAAGCUCGGGCUAUGUCGGGAUCGACGAAACCGAAGGCAAAACGAUUGGGGCUUAGCUCCUAGAGCACCUACGCGACGCACUGAAGCCAUUGAUGGCCUCAGAAUGACUAGCCGAUCACCGGAGGGCUACCAACGACGAGGUCCCGCGGCGGAUCUCGUCGGGCUCCGGUGGAAUCGGGGCCUAGAGCUCGGGGUCGAAGGGGAAAACUUAGGGGAAAGAACCCUGAGCUCACGGGGAGUACAGAGGCGUCGAGAGUGGGAUCGGGGAUGACCUGAGGAGGGAGAACAACGGCGGCGAGCUCCGGUGACCCGAGGAAGAAGACGAUGGCUUCACGGCGUUUCAGAGCUUCUCGGCGUCGCGCGACUAGCUGGAGAGCUUCAGGGGAUCACACCGAAGCUGUUGCGCGGCUCAGGUGAGAGGGAGAGGGGCAGGAGCAAUGGCGAGCUCGAGCUCAAGCUUCGGUCAUGGCGGCCGUGAGAGAGAGAGAAGAGAGCAGGGCGAAUGGGGAGGGGAUGAGCUUGGGGAGGCCUCGGGGAGCUUAUCCCCUUCGAUCCAGCGCAUCAGGGCGAAGCAGACGAGCACGCAGCUGCGUGGGCGCGCCGGGGAAAUCUGGCGGCCACCUACUGCUCCGACUGGCAGGAGGAAGACGACAGGGAGCAGCUGGGCCUGGGCCAGGUAAGCGCUAGAUAGAGCUAUUUUAAUUUUCUUUUCUUUUCUGUUUCUGUUUUUCUUUCUGAUAUUGUUUCAUUUGUUUUUGGCUCCAAACUAUUCCUAAAAAUAGUUUGAGAUAUACCAAAGUGUUUGUUGGAAUAUUUCCAACCACUCAUAAAGUUUUCAACAUUUUUGGAAACUUUGAAUUAUUUGGAAUCAAAUAUAUAAUUGAUUUCAGUACCUUUUAACUUAAAUUUAAAAUGCCAAAGAUAGUUUGAAAAUAAGUUUCAUCUCUGAUAUUUUCUUUUCAACAUUUAUCAGAAAUAUUGAACUUUUAUGAAGGCCAUUUUGGGUUCAUUGAUUUGGCACUUGUUGGAAUUCUUUUGAAUAAGGAGUGGCUAGGGUUUUGCUUUGGUUUUCUUUACUUUGCUUUCAAUUUCUUUUCCUUUCUUGAAUGCAAUGAAAGAAGAUAUGAGCACAAGUUGUUAAACCCUAACAGGGAAUACCAGGGAUGUGACAGGGUCUCUCCAAGACAUGGUGGGGGGAGGCUAUAUUGACUAAAUGUCAUGUCCUAAACCGAGUUCCCACUAAGAAUAAACAGAUUUCUCCAUUCGAGGAAUGGGAAAAGAAAAGGUUAAAACUCUCUUAUCUACGAACCUGGGGUUGUUUGACGAAAGUCAAUGGGCCAAUCCAAAAGAAGCACAAGCUAGGACCAAAAACUGUGUAUUGUGUAUUCCUGGGAUAUGCUUUUCAUAGCAUUGGAUAUUGAUUCUUGGUUUUAAAAUCUGAUGUAUCUGACAUGCAUGUCGGUACAAUCAUGGAGUCGAAUGAUGCGACUUGUUUCGAAGAUAUCUUUCCCAUGAAAGAUAUAGCUACCUCACCUAAUCAGGAUAUGCUUAAUUCAUCGAAUCAUGAAUUAGUUACAAUUCAUGAACCUAUCAUUUCGAUGGAACAGUUUGAAAAUAUUGUGGAGGAGAACAAUGAAGUUCCUACCAGGAGCAAGAGACAAAGGACUGCAAAGUCCUUUGGUGAUGAUUUUCUAGUGUAUCUCAUAGAUGACACUCCCAGCUCUAUUUCAGAGGCCUAUGCGUCUAAAGAUGCUGACUACUAGAAGGAAGCAGUCCGUAGUGAGAUGGAUUCCAUCUUGGCAAAUGAAACUUGGGACAUCAUUGAUUGUCCUUAUGGGUGCAAACCUAUAUGAUGCAAAUGGGAAUUCAAGAAGAAACUUAGGCCUGCGCGGGGUUCAUCGACGCCGUGGAGGUUGAGGGCGACGACGGGCCCGACAGCGUCUCCACCAUGACGCUCAGCCCGGCGGUGGCGGAGCUAUCAGGCUCGGGCGUGAUGAGGAGCCGCGUGGUGGCGCGCGACAACGCGGCCAGGGUGAUCAAGACGGAGAUGCUGGAGGGCGGCAAGGUGAGCGGCCAGCUCAAGUCGCAGGUGGUCGAGAUGAAGCUCGAGCCGGCCGGGGACGGUGCUUGUGUGGCGAAGCUCAGGGUGGAGUACGAGAGGCUCGACGGCGGCGGGGCGCUGUCGGCGGAGGACCAGGUGGCUAUCGCCGCCGGGUACCUCGACCUGCUCAAGAUGGUCGAGGCAUACCUGGUCACCCACCCUGCCGAAUACGCCUAAUUAAAACAACGCGAGAAACAUAAAAAAUUAAUCAAUCUUCCCCUAUAAGAAAGAAGGACAACACUAGACAGCGGCGCCGCACCCGCGUCUUGCAGUGUGGCGGCUCAAUUAAUCAUGUUCCAAUACAAAAAUUAACACCCUAUUAAUCACUCAUCUAAUGCAAAAUUAGUGUGAGUUGAGUAUCUUUCUCAUGCAUACAUGUAUGCAUGCAAUGAUAUCAUCAUGUAUAAUGAAAACUUCUACAUGCAUGCAAUGAUGUCAUCAAGAUUUCCUUUGAUGUUGAAAAUUCAUAUUUUUUUAUCUACAAGAUCGUUAAUUCAAUCCAUGAUCCGCUUUCAUCAUUACCUUUCUCGCGACGAGUUCUUCAAAACUAGAUCCCAUGUUGACAUGUUCCGUCAACUAUUUUUUUACGUUCAUACUUGCCACAUUAUUUGACCCACUUGUCAUAUUAUUAACCACUUACUUGCCUGAAAAAAUAACUUAAUUAACACUUUUUGAUGUUGUUUCGUACAGUCUUGUACAGUUUUCAUUAUACAUGAUAUAAAAGCAUGUUAUAAGUUGUGUUUGUCAAUUUAAAUAUGCUAACUUGUCAUAUUUACAUACAACUUUGCGAGGAAACUAUUUUGUGUGCUUGUUAGUUUAAUUAUGCCGAGUUGUCAUAUUUAGAAGUAAUGAUCAAAAAAUAUUUUUUGUGGUUACCGGUUUUUAAUAUGUUGAGUUGUCAUAUAUUUUUGCGCGUAAUCGUCUAAAAAAAGUUAUUUGUGCUUGUCAUUUUGAUUAUGUCGAGAUGUCAUAUUCAUACAUAAUUUCUAAAAAUUUGACGAUUAAGUUAUUUUUUAUCAGACAAGUAAGUACUUACUAAUAUGACAAGUAAGUGCAAUAAAUGUGGUAAGUGCGAGCGAAAAAAAGUUAUCGAAACAUAUCGACAUGGAAUCUAGUUUUAAAGAUUUCAUCGAAACAAAUCAACCACGAAAACGGAUCAUCGAUCGAAUUAACGGUUUAAGAGAUUUUUUUUUUAAUUCCAGUCAUUUAAAACGAAUCCGAUGACAUCGUAGCAUGCAUGCAUGCAUGCAUGACGAAGAGAGCCGCCGCACAGGAUGUCGACGAUGCGGCGCUUCUUGAUAGAAUUUUUCAAGAAAGAAUCAAUAAAUCUACUAUUAAGGUGAGUACAUAUCUUUGUUUUGAUAAAAUCAUAUGAGCAAGUAGCCCGGUGUUUAUUGCCUCGUGAUCGACUUCGCGAGAAAAAUCAAUUGGUAAUCUUUAGUAUGAAUUGUUUGAGGUAUGUAUUGAGUGUUUUAUCCCUGUUUUAAGCUCGCAUUUCGUGUGUAAGUUACUUCAAGUAUCAACAAAGAUAAAUAUUCGAGCAUUUUGGUUUUGUGACAAAUGCAUUUCUUUCUUAUCAGUCAAUUCAAAUUAAAUGACGAGACAACCCCAGACAUAGGGCAAUAUUGAUCAUAUAACAUUUUCAUAUGUGUGAUGGACCGUCAAUAUAUAUACGCCAUACGUACAAGCUGUCACAGGACGGAAAAAAACUGAGGUAGGGCAAACUAUAGCAUAAAACGUUGUUGCCACUACAAGUAACAAUGGCGGAUCGAAAGACUAAGGUUUGUUGAGAUGUCGGACAACGAUAGAGCUCGACGUGACUUAUAACUAAUGCAUUCAGCUUUUAUAGGGAGUAGACUCAUAUUUUCUGAGUCGAUGCACUGGAACAUACACUUGCAAAAACCGAAUGCCCACAAUAGUGUGUGACUGAGGUGCAUGACUGAGUUCACGGUCUCUUGAGCUUAAGUGCUAAAUUGAUGGCAAACAUCCUAACAGCGGGAGUUCAUACACACUGCCGUGGUUGCUUGUCCGUUUGUCUUAUUUUCCCAGCUAGAUCACGACUAGCUCGAAGACAACCAUCCAGUCGGACAAGAACACUUUUUUUAGAAAAUCAAGGUGAGGCAGUCACCCAACCUUGCCCUACCGAUCUUCUCCGCCCCCUAAUAAACAUACAUUCGGCUAAACUAUGUACCGUCCCCUCGCAAGAAAAAGACGUUGGCCCAACCCGAUCCAUAGUCGUCAUCACGACUUUGACCAGCGGCCAUCAUGAGUUGUCGCCGCCCCCAGCGUCGACCCCGCUCGAGUUCCACAUCGUCGUUGGGCUCAUCUACGUCGUCGCACGUGGCGCCAUCCAGCAACCCUGCUCUCACAUGGCACUAUCGUCGUCACCCUACCCGUAAUUGGAGGUGCCUAGCACACCGUCUUUGGUGCACCUCCCCACAAGACGUCGUGUGAUGCACUUUCGCGCUCUUUCAAAUUGUCGACCAAGACGAGGACGACGUCGGCCCCCGGCCUACGUUGGAACUUAAUCAACAUAAGGUUUGAUCUUAGCACCCCUGUUUUUUGUGCAUAUUGUAAUGGUGCCAAAAAAACCACUAGUUUGUUUAUAUAACUUAACCAUUUGGUGGUCCCUUUGUGAACAUUGAUAUGGUGCCGAAAAAAUCAUCUUAACAGUGAUUGCUACCAUAAAAUUUGCUUUCGGACAUAUUAUUUUGUUCGUCAUAGGACAUCAUCAAUUUUGCAUUUGAAUGGAAUAUGUCACUGAUAAUGUUGUGCGGUGUUUAGAUUGAUCCGGGACUCCAUUUGAAGGUGUUUGGAUGGAGCAUGAAAUCGGAUAUGCUGGCUAUGAAUCUACUAGUUAGAAUUAAUCUUGGAUGUCAUAUGAAAACCUACCUCCCGAAGACACCCAUAGAAUUAACCUUGGAUGUCAUAUGAAAACCUACCUCCCGAGGACACCUAUAUCAGUGAGGCCGAAGCCAAGAAUGCUAAUGUAAGUGACGCAUUUGUUGAUAGUUUUUUAACAAGCAACUCGGAACUUACAUGUCUUACUUUUAAAGCUCUACACGUAGACGUUGAUGUUGACAAUGAGAAAAACGAUCUCGACGAAUCUUAUGUUGAUAACGCGAGCCAAGUAUAGUGAAUAAUUUGUACGGCAGGGAAUGAUAUAACAACCGAGUGACCACAACUUACAUCUCUUUAUUUCUAAUUUUGCAUAGGAGGUUGGCGGUGCUCCUAGCGGGCAGUUGGCACGAUGAGUGAUGAUGAUGAAGAUAUUGGGCAAGCUGAAUAUCAGCAAGAAAUAUUGGAUAGGCAUUGGAAGAUAAUUGCAGUGAUGUUUGGUUCAAAGGAAGAGCCCUACGUGUUCGACCAAAAAACGAUCUCUACGAAUCCUAUGUUGAUAACGCGAGCCAAGUAUAGUGAAUAAUUUGUACGGCAGGGAAUGAUAUAACAACCGAGUGACCACAACUUACAUCUCUUUAUUUCUAAUUUUGCAUAGGAGGUUGGCGGUGCUCCUAGCGGGCAGUUGGCACGAUGAGUGAUGAUGAUGAAGAUAUUGGGCAAGCUGAAUAUCAGCAAGAGGCAUUGGAAGAUAAUAGCAAUGAUGUUUGGUUCAAAGGAAGACCCCUAUGUGUUCUACCAUAACUAUGCAAAAGAGUAUUGCUUCAACAUUAGAAGAGAAAGCCUAACAGUCAAAGUCAACACUUUGACUUUUAUGUCAUGUCAGACCUCUAGUCAAAGUUAACAGUUUGACUUUUAUGUCAUGGCAAACCUGACAGAUAGCCCAACGCUUAAAAGUUAAGCACUUGGACACUAAUUUUUUUUGAAUCAGCAAAUCAAAAUUAUGAUAGCACUUCAAGAAAUUAAAAAACAGGUAGUUUUUCGUAGCUCUAGCAUGCAGUAGCUUUCUGGACGCAGAGUUUUUGCUAUUUACUCUAGAAGGAUCAUCAAGAUCAGGCAAUGUGAAUAGUAGACAUGGGUUAAGCAUCUACAGUCGAAAUAGCAAAUAUAUCCCCUAAACGCGCGCGAACGCGCCCGGUUAAUAAUCGGACGUGUCUCUGUUUAUCCGCCCGCACAACCAUAUUUGUCAGUUGUUACUCAUUUGUCCGACCACUUGCACGUGAUUUGUGAAGACGAAGAGAGAUCAAGAAAAGAAAUAAAGAAAAGGAAAAUUGCUGCGGAAUGGGGUCAUGUUCUACUCCUAUGUGGCGAACUGACACGUCCACAAGCCCUCAUAUACUUUAUAUAUUUGAGAUGGAUACGAGUGAUUCGGUUAAAUUAUUGUUUCCUUUUUUUCUGUCCGGUCAAUUUAUAGAUGCUUUUACGAUCGACGUGUCAUGAAAUUUUUUGAAAAUGGUAACUUUGAUAGCACUAUCCAGGAAACUUUUGGUCAUAAUACUGUAGGAGAGUGCAAUACUGGAUUGAUUAUAAGGUACAACCCACAUGAAUAUACUCUACACUCAGGAAAAUAGUUUUAUUUUGAACUUCCAGCAAUUACAAAGUUGACUUUUCACAGAGCCAUAUGCAUUAAUUUUUUUGUUAAUGAUGCAUAAGAUUUUGAUAGAUAGAGAGAAGUUUGAAGUGUCAAAUACUCCCUCCGUUUUUUAAUAUAAGGUGUAUUAGUUUUUCAGAAAGUCAAAAGAUAUCUAUGUUUGACCAACUUUAUAGUAAAAUAUAUAAACAUUUACAAUACUAUAAAUACAAAAUAUAAAAAUAUAUUUCAUGGUUAAUCUAGUGAUAAUGAUUUAGUAUUCUAAACAUUGAUAUUUUUAUCAAUAAACUUGAUCAAAGUUAGAGAAGUUUGGCUUUUUGAAAAAAUAAUACACCUUAUACAACCGAUUCCAAAUAAUAAUUUUGUUUUCAUAGUCUACCAGUGUGCAAAGAAAAUCCCAAUAUUACUGUCAUCCCAUCUUUACUUUACAAUAAAAAAUAAAACACACACACACAGACACGUACGGGCUUAGAUAAUUUUGCCUAUUUGAAAUUUCAGCCCUUCUAGAAUAGACCAAGCAGUCAACAGCACGAACGCAUGGGAAGAAGAUUGAACAGCUGUACAAAGAAAUAGCAGCCUGAACGCUCCAAAAGUCCAACCAUGUGAUCUCCGGUCCAAGUUCAUCAAUUAAAGGUAUAUAUGAGUGUUUAAUCCCUGUUUUAAGAUCGCAUUUCGUGUGUAAGUUGCUUCGAGCAUUGAUGGAGAUAAAUAUUUAAGCAGUUUGGUUUUGUGAUAAAUGCACUUCUUUCUUACGAGUCAAUUCAAAUUAAAUGGCGAGACAAGCCAAACGUAUAAAGGGCAAUAUCGAUCAUGUAACCAUUUUCAUAUGUGUGAUGGACCGUCGAUACAUAGACGCCAUACGUACAAGCUGGUAGAGGACAAAAAAUAGUAGGGCAAAUCUGACAUAAAAAGUUGAUGUCACUAUAAGUAAUAGCGACGGACCGAAAGACUAAGUUUUAUUGGGGUGUGAGACAACGAUAGAGCUUGACGUGACUUAUAACUAAUGCAUUCAGCUUUUAUAGGGAAUGCACUCAUAUUUUUUAAGUGGGACAUGUGCUUGCAAAAAUCAAAUACCCUAUCGUGCGUGACUGAGGUGCAUGAUUGAGUUCGCGGCCACCUGAGCUUAAGUGCUAAAUUGAUGGCCAACAACCCAGCAGCAUGAGUUCAUACAGAGGGCCUCGUUGUGUUUAUCUUAUUUUCCCAGCUAAACCAUGACUAGUUCAAAGAAAACCAUCCAGUCGAACAAGACAUAUACCUCAAUGUACGCCUUGUAGAAAAUCAAGGUGAGGCGGCCGCCCAACCUUGCCUUACCGGCUCCUCCGUCCUUAACGAGCAUAUGUUCGGUUUAACGAUGUAUCGAUCCCUUGCAAGAAAAAAAACAAAAUCUCCGGGCGAAUCCAAUCCAUAGUCGUCAUCACGACUUUAACCAGCGGCCAACAUGAGUCGUCGCGGCCCCCAGCGUCGACCCCACUCGAGUUCACGUCGUCGUUGGGCUCAUCUGCGUCGUCGCACGUGGCGCCAUCCAGCAACCCUGCUCUCACGCGACACUUUCGUCGUCGCCCUACCCGUCAUUGGAGGUGCCAAGCACACCGUCUUUGGUGCACCUGCCCGCAAGACGUCAUGUGAUGCACUUUCGCGCUCUUCCAAAUCGUCGACCAAGACGAGGAAGACGUCGAUGCUGGAAUUUUUGGCCAGCCCAAUAUAUAAUUUCAGAAAAUUCCUAAUAAAUCCUAGAGGCCCACGCAGCCCAUUUGUGCAAGGCAAGAGGUGAAAAUGUUUAGUCCCACAUUGCUAGUUUAGUGAGAGUGGGAUCUCCUUAUAAGGGAGGAUGUUUCCACACAUGUAUGAGCUUGAGAACAAGAGAGACAUACACCUGUGCUCCUCCUCCUCCAUCGCCCGCCGCGCCUCGUCACGACGCGCCGCGGGUUGCGGGAAUGAGCCGAACUAAAUUUUUGCCACGCACGACUGGUAUACGAAAGGUCACUCGGAGAAGCUGAACUCUUCGGUUGUUGUCUGUUCGUUUCGUCUCCGUCGCUAGCCUCUCGCCUCCUUCUCUUGUGUCUAUAAAAGAGAGGUCGCUCCUCUCUAGAGAAGACGCAUCAGAACUUCCUCUCUCCACCGGUUCCUUUCUCUAUGAUGUUGCUACGUUCUUCCCCAUCCCGUCUUGCGACGUGUGAUACGUUUCCGCGGUAUCUACUUUUCCGAACUCUUUUGCCCUUGUUUUGGACUCUAAUUUGCAUGAUUUGAAUGGAACUAACCCGGACUAACGCUGUUUUCAGCAGAAUUGUCAUGGUGUUGUUUUUGUGCGGAAAUAAAAGUUCUCGGAAUGACCUGAAAAUUUACGAAGAAUUUUUCUGGAAUUAAUGAAAAAUACCUGCGCAAAGAUCCACCGGAGGGGGUGAGCAAGUGGGCCACAAGCCCAGACGGCGCGGCCACCCCCAAGGCCGCACCAACCAGUCUUGUGGGGCCCACAGGACUCCACCGCCUCCAAACUCAGGUCCAUAUAUUCCGUUUCGCCCGGAAAAAAAAUCAGAGAGAAGGAUUCAUCGCGUUUUACGAUACGGAGGCGCCGCCACCUCCUGUUCUUCAUCUGGAGGGCAUAUCUGGAGUCCGUUCUGGGCUCCAUAGAGGGGAAAUCGUGGCCAUCGUCAUCAUCAACCUUCCUCCAUCGCCAAUUCCAUGAUGCUCUUCACCGUUGGCUUGCUGGACGGUGAUGAGUUGGAUGAGAUCUAUCAUGUAAUCGAGUUAGUUUUGACGGGGAUUGAUCCCUAGUAUCCACUAUGUUCUGAGAUUGAUGUUGCUACUACUUUGCCAUGCUUAAUGCUUGUCACUAGGGCCCGAGUGUCAUGAUUUCAGAUCUGAACCUAUUAUGUUGUCGCCAAUAUAUGUGUGUUUUAGAUCCUAUCUUGCAACUUGUAGUCACCUACUAUGUGUUAUGAACCGGCAACCCCGGAGUGACAAUAGCCGGAACCACUCCCGGAGAUGACCAUAGUAUGAGGAGUUCAUGUAUUCACCAAGUGUUAAUGCGUUGGUCCGGUUCUUUAUUAAAAGGAUAACCUUAAUAUCCUGUAGUUUCCAUUAGGAACCUGCUGCCACGGGAGGGAUGGACAAUAGAUGUCAUGCAAGUUCUUUUUCCUAAGCAUGUAUGACUACAUACGGAAUACAUGCCUACAUUAGAUUGACGAACGGGAGCUAGUUACUUAUCUCUCCGUGUUAUAGCUGUUACAUUAUGAAUCACAUCCGGCAUAAUCAUCCAUCACCGAUCCAAUGCCUACGAGUCUUUUACUACUGGUCCUUGCUAUGUUACUUUGUCACUACUGCUGUUCCUUGCUGCUGCUGUCACUACUGUUGUUACUUGUUACUUUGCUGUUACCUGCUGCAAGACUAUUUACUGGCGCCAUUGAUACAACAAGUUAGGAAUAGUCUGUCGUCAACACACCUGUUUCUGGCACCGUUGCUAUCAUACCACUUUGCUACUGAUACUUUGCCUGCAGACACUAAUCUUUCAGGUGUGGUUGAAUUGACAACUCAGCUCCUAAUACUUGAGAAUAUUCUUUCGCCUCCCCUUGAGUUGAGUCAAUAAAUUUGGGUUGAAUACUCUACCCUCGAAAACUGUUGAGAUCCUCUACACUUGUGGGUUAUCAAUGUGCACCAUAGGUCGGGACAAUAGACCUCCGAAACUCCGUAUCUUUGAGUCCUGUACGGGAGAAGGGCGAUAAGGUAUUUGGGGAGCGCUCAGCGCAACUACUGGCUUCCAUCAUGGACACCGACGAUCUCUUCCCGGACGACGACAACUUCCCUGAUGUCGACCACCUCUUCGGGAACAUGGUCAACGCCAACACCAACCCUAUUGCUGUUGCAACUCAGUACGUACUCAUGUUCUUUUUCUUGGAGUUCCUACCGCAACUUCUUACUAUAGUUUCACUUCUAGAUAUGUUCUGUUUCUGCUCAUCACUCCAUAUGAUACCUUGUGUAUAUAGAACAGUUACACAUAUGUUCUUUUCUAGAUCAUAUGUGCGCAUGUCUUUUGUCGUCUCAUCUCUAUUUUGCAUGUCUUCUUUCAUCUUUAUUAUGAUGGUCAUGUUUGUCCUAGCUUUUUUUUAAUAAAAUCCUAUGGUAAAUUAUUCAAGUACUACUUUCACUAGCCGCCUCAAUGGUAUUCUCGUUCAUCAAGUGGAUGUUAAGACGGGUUUCCUAAAUGGAGAGUUGGAUGAGGAAAUUUACAUGGAACACCCAGAUGGGUUUGUAGUAGAUGGUCAGGAAGGAAAAGUAUGCAAGUUGCUGAAGUCUUUAUAUGGACUUAAGCAAGCACCCAAGCAGUCGCAUGAGAAGUUUGAAAGAACUCUAACAACUGCAAGCUUUGUUGUAAACGAAGUUGAUAAAUGUGUGUACUAUCGCCAUGGUGGGAGCGAGGGAGUUAUCCUUUGCUUGUAUGUUGAUGACAUACUGAUUUUCGAAACAAAUCUGAAUGUUAUUAAAGAGGUCAAGGAUUUCCUAUAUCACUAUUUUGAGAUGAAGGAUUUAGGAGUGGCUGAUGUCAUUCUGAACAUCAAGUUGUUGAGAAACAAAGAUGGUGGGAUUAUGUUGCUUCAAUCUCACUAUGUGGAAAAGAUCUUGUGUCGCUUUGGGUAUAGUGACUGCAAGUCCUCUCCCACACCAUAUGAUGCGAGCGUGCUGCUUCGAAAGAAUCGAAAAAUUGCUAGAGACCAAUUGAAAUAUUCUCAGAUUAUUGGCUCGCUUAUGUACUUAGCCAGUGCUACAAGACCUGACAUCUCUUUUGCUGCUAGCAAACUGAGUUGGUUUGUCUCAAAACCAGGAGAUGUGCACUGGAAAGCUCUAGAGAGAGUUUUGCGUUAUUUAAAAGGCACUGCAAAUUAUGGAAUUCACUAUACUGGACACCCAAAGGUGCUUGAAGGGUAUAGUGAUUCAAACUAGAUCUCUCAUGCUGAUGAGAUAAAUGCCACAAGCGGAUAUGUAUUCACUCAUGGAGGUGUCGUUGUUUCUUGGAAGUCUUGCAAGCAAACGAUCUUAACAAGGUCAACAAUGGAAGCAGAACUCACAGCACUAGAUAUAGCUACGGUCGAAGCAGAUUGACUUCGCUGGCUCUUGAGUGACUUGCCAGUUGUCGAGAAACCUGUACUGGGUAUCCUUAUGAACUGCGACAAUCAAACUGUGAUCACAAAAGUGAGCAGCUCAAAGGAUAACAUGAAAUCAUCAAGACACGUUCAGAGAAGGUUAAAAUCUGUCAGGAAAAUGAGAAACUCCGGAGUUAUUGCAUUGGAUUAUAUCCAAACAUCCUAAAAUCUGGUAGAUCCUUUUACUAAGGGUCUAUCACGUAAUGUGAUAGAUAAUGCAUCGAGGGAGAUGGGUAUGAGACCCACAAUUUGAGUUGUUCACAGUGGUAACCUAUUCUUUGUGAUCGGAGAUCCCGUGAAUUAGAUGUGGAAGACAAGCUAUUGAUCAACUGAGAGGAAAGUAUCCUUAUCAUUGACUAGCAAAAGGGCCCGUGCGUUGCAACGGGAGAAAAAAACCACACGCUUUUAAUCUUUUUAUAAUCAUUUUGAUUUAUUAAAAUAAUGAUGGAACGCGGGUUGAAUAACAAAAUUACAGGUUUUUUUAUAAAAAUAACGUGGUGGGUUUUCCGACGGAAGCAAUAGCCUCUUUAUUAUUAGGUAUAGAUAAUACCACUCUAUGAAGAUGCAAUACUUUCUUAAACUGCAUGGCAGGUUGAUAUACAUCUUAAUAUGUUCUAAGUGGCUUAUUGAAGAAGAGAUGUUGUCCUGCAGAACAUCUUUUGAAGAACAUACCUAUAUGAGUCCGAUUGUUAACGUCGCUAUCUAUGAGAGUAGGGUGCUCUCUAGUAAACUCAUGAAAGGUCUCAGAGUAUGACGCAUAAGCUCCACCCGGGGGAAGUCCCACGCUAGCCUAGUAUAGAUCAAGGCUCAGUGUGAAUCUAGAUUUGCAGAAAACUUGCAGUUCAAGGCCUAGUCCACGGUUAAAGUUGCCUACUUGUGUAGCAUAGAAUUCUAGGUGGAAGUCCAACUUAACAGUCUCCACUGUAGUAUCGGUAUAUAAAACAGUGUUUUGAAACCAAAGGCAAAUUUUGUGUGCCUCUCGGAUCUGGUGGGGGAUUGUUGGAAUUUUUGGCCAGCCCAAUAUAUAAUUUCAAAAAAUUCCUAAUAAAUCCUAGGGGCCCACGCAGCCCAUUUGUGCAAGGCAAGAGGUGGAACUGUUUAGUCCCACAUUGCUAGUUUAGUGGGAGUUGGAUCUCCUUCUAAGGGAGGAUGUUUCCACACAUGUAUGAGCUUGAGAACAAGAGAGACAUACACACGCGCUCCUCCUCCUCCGCCGCCACCCGUCUCGUCGCGCCGCGCGGCGGGUUGCGGGAAUGAGCUGAGCCGAACUAAGUUUUUGCCACGCAUGACUGUUAUACGAAAGGUCACUCGGAGAAGCUGAACGUUUUUUGCUGCACUGGAUAUUGAAAGCGAACGCUGCACUCUUCGGCUGCUGUCUGUUCGUUUCGUCUCCCUCGAUCUCUUCGGCUCUCGUCGCUGGCCUAUCUCCUCCUUCUCUUGCGUCUAUAAAAGAGAGGUCGCUCCGCUCCAGAGAAGACGCAUCAGAACUUGCUCUCCCCACCGGUUCCUUUCUCUGUGUUGUUGCUACGUUCUUUCCCAUCCCGUAUUGCUGCGUGCACGGUAGGUCGAGACAGUAGGCCUCCGAAACUCCGUCUCUUUGAGUCCUGUACGGGAGAAGGGCAAUAAGGUUUUUGGGAAGCGCUCAGCGCGACUACUGGCAUCCAUCACGGACACCGACAAUCUCUUCCCGGACGACGACUACUUCCCCGACGUCGACCACCUCUUCGGUAACAUGGCCAACGCCAACACCAACCCUACUGUUGCUGCAACUUAGUACGUACUCCUGUUCUUUUUCUUUGAGUUCCUACCGCAACUUCUUACUAUAGUUUCACUUCUAGAUAUGUUCCGUUUCUGCUCAUCACUCCAUAUGAUACCAUGUGUAUAUAGAACGGUUACACAUAUGUUGUUUUCUAGAUCAUAUGUGCACAUGUCUUUUGUCGUCUCAUCUCUAUUUUGCAUUGUCUUCUUUCACCUUUAUUAUGAUGGUCAUGUUUAUCCUAGCUUUUCUUUUAAUAAAAUCCUAUGGUAAAUUGCUCUUAUUUCCAACAAUCGACCCCCGACCUACGUUGGAACUUAAUCAACAGAAGGUUUGAUCUUGGCACCCCUAUUUUUUGUGCAUAUUGUAAUGGUGCCAAAAAAACCACUUCCUUGUUUAUAUAACUUAACCAUUUGGUGGUCCCUUUGCGCACAUUGAUAUGGUGCCGAAAAAAUAAUCUUAACAGUGGUUGCUACCAUAAAAUUUGCUUUUGGACAUAUUAUUAUGUUCCUCAUAGGACAUCAUCGAUUUUGCAUUUGAAUGGAAUAUGUCACUGAUAUUGUUGUGCGGUGUUUAGAUUGAUCCGGGACUCCAUUUGAAGGUGUUUGGAUGGAGCAUGAAAUCGGAUAUGCUGGCUAUUAAUCUACUAGUUAGAAUUAAUCUUGGGCGUCAUAUGAAAACUACCUCCCGAAGACACCCAUAUCUGUGAGGCCGAAGCCGAGAGUGCUAAUGUAAAGUGACGCAUUUGUUGAUAGUUUUUUUAACGAGCAACUCAGAACUUACAUGUCUUACUUUUAAAGGUCUACACGUAGACGUUGAUGUUGACAAUGAGCAGAACGAUCUCGACGAAUCUUAUGUUGAUGACGCGAGCCAAGUAUAGUGAAUAAUUUGUACAGCGGGGAAUGAUAUAACAACCGAGUGACAGCAACUUACAUAUGUUUAUUUGUAAUUUUGCAUAGGAGGUUGGCAGUGCUCCUAGUGGGCAGUUGGCACGAUGAGUGAUGAUGAUGAAGAUAUUGGGCAAGCUAAAUAUCAACAAGAAAUAUUGGAUAGGCACUGGAAGAUAAUUGCAAUGAUGUUUGGUUCAAAGGAAGAGCCCUACGUGUUCGAGCAUAACUAUGCAAAAAAGAGUGCUGCUUCAACAUUAGAAGAGAAAGGGUGAAACAAGGAAAAGGUGCUUCGGGAAGAAUACGCUUGAGGAGAUUUAUUUGUUUCAGGGUUGGGAAACGGCAAAGCAAUUCCUAACCAUGGGUGGCUGCUACCGUGGGCUAAGACUCGAGACUCAAUUCUACUCGGAUUCUCAUUUCAAUGUGAAAUUAGAUAAAUCUCGUGCAGUACGAUUUGUUGUGAGGUUUCUACAUGAUCAAAACCAUGUUGAUGUUAUACCCGAUGAAGUCCCAUUCCUUGGUUCACAUAAAUAAAUCAAGACUUUUCGGAGAGCAAAAAAUUAGCAACGGGAGUAGCUAGGACGAGAAAGCACAUCAUCAUGUGGAAGGUAUGGUUUGUAUGUUAAGGCUAGCGGUUUGCUAAUGGACCACUUCGGGCAGCACAUGAUGCAUGCAAGGGAGAUUCCACAACACUUGGCGCACAAGACAAGAACUCUUCUAAACCCUAGGCAUGUAGUACGUUAUAUAAACUGAGGCUAGGCUAGUCAAUAGAUGAUCUCACAUUCAUUACAACAAUCUCGUGGUAGAUACGUGUACUAUGUACUAUCCCCAUAUCAAUAUAAUCAAAAGUAGGAUGCAGGGUAUUAUAUCCUCGAGGGAGCCCGAACCUGGGUAAAAUCAUGUUUCCAUGUUACCAUCGCUCCAAGACGUCUAGCUUAGGUCCCCUACUACAAGACAUGCCAGAUUGAUAACCGAUAUUGGUGUUUUCAUUGAGAGCCUGUUGGGUGAUCGUCACGGUUCGAUGGGAUAAUCAAGUGAUGCUUUUUCAAUUAGGUCUAUUCCACAUAAAUUAUUUCUUUUGCAGAACCGUUGCUGCCAUAUCGUGCUAUGUUGUUUGUAGUAUGAUCGGAUCAAAAAAAGUUCAACAACGGUGGUGCCCGCUGUUCGGACUUUGCAAUACAGCCGAUGGGCGAUCCAGCCGAGGAGACCGUGCCGAGUAGUUAAGUAGUGUGAUGGGAGGAACUCGGAUCGAUGAGAGCACACAUCAGGGAUAUUCUUUCCUUUUUCUCCUUUAUUUUUCUGAAUUAUCAAGGUUGUCGAUGUCAGGCCAUUAAUUUAUGUUGAUGCAAGCGUAGACGAGUACUAAUGCAUCAAUUAAGGGUCGCGAUAACGCCCACAUGUGUGAUAGGAGUAACAAGAGCCCACACUCUCAAUGAUGAGAGGUUGUGAUACAUCACCGCAUGCAUGCACAAGUGACGAAACUGAUGAUGUCAACAAGAAUCUUUUGCCUUUUUAGUUCGUAAAAUGUUUUAUCUCUUAAAUAAAAAAUUCAAUUGGAAAACCGUUUUCACCAUUAAAUCCGCCGCAACAAGAUCUUGGAAUUAGAUCUCGUAUUGAUAUGUUUUGACGACAUUUUUGGGGUUAAAAGUUGCCAUUUCUAUUGCACAAAAAUUGCCAUCAUGAUUACGCUGAAGUUGCCAUGAUAUAUUUUAACUACUUUUUCUUCUAUGUUGAAAAUAAACUUUUACAUGUUAUAAAAAAGGAAAUUGACAAACUAAACUUGCUAUGAUGAAUUACUAAAUUUUCCAUGAUCCAUGAAAUAAUUUUGACAUGGUUCAUAAGUAAAAAAUAAAUGUCGCUAGUUAUUUUAAAAAUGCAUGGUCAUUGACUCAAAUUUGCCAUUAACAAUAAACUUAAACUUCCAUGAUGAAUUACUUAAAUUUUCCAUGAUACAUGCACUAAAAUUUGCCAUGAUUCAUACAAAAAAUGUUUUUCGUGUUCAAAAUACUAGAAUUGCCAUGAUCUAUAGACUCAAUUUGACAUGAUGAAUUACCAAAAGUUUCCAUGAUUCAUGAAUUAAAUUUGUCAUGGUUAAUUACUAAAAUUUGUCACGACAAAUUAAUAAAAAAGACCAUGAAAAGUAGUUCAAAUACAAUGGUAGCUUUAAAUCUAGAAGAAAAAACAAGAUGAAACAUGUCGUGGCAACAUUAUUGUAAACCCUAUGGCAACUUUAGUGUAAACAUGUGGCAACUUGUAGCCCCCAAAAAAUGUCAUCGAAACAUAUCAAUAUGGUAUCUAGUUUUAAAGAUCUCGCCGAGACGGAUUUAAUGGUGAAAAUGGAUUUUUAAUUGGGUUUUUUAUUUAAGAGAUUAAACAUUUUUAAAUCUAAAAGUCCAAAAAGGUUUCGCUGAUGUCAUAUGUUUGAUGUGGCAAGAUGAAUGAUUAUAGAGGCGUGUGGACCAUGUUGCCUCGUGCCGCACAUGUGGGCGUUAUUAUUUAGGUUAAUUAAAUGCUAGGUUGCAACACACAUUACGAGAUAUUAUGGAUAAACUAUGCCUCUCAUCCUUUGCUUGUGUUUAUUAACCUGAGAUCGCUGCGAACUCUCCUGCGUCAGUCGACACAAUUUUAAUCUGACACCUCGGGCAACCAGCUUCGUUGUUGUGAUCCGUCACAGUAUCUUUCGCCCCACGGUAGCAGGCACGAGUUGUCAAGCUACAUGACAUCAACCAAGAUAUUUAUGCUGAACCAACGGACUCUUAUCUGCAUCGACAUCACAGUGUUCUUGAUUCUACUUAUGCUACACGGAAGCCAUGUUUGUUUUAUUAUUCAUACUCUGUGUAAGUGCUCAAGUUGUCGGCUCGCCUUCGUCAGCCAAAGUUAUAUUGUCGAAAUGGCGCAUCACGUGCUGGAAGGGGGCUUCACUGCCACUUCGGUAGCAUUGUGUUGUUACUUCUUCAAGCCGAGCUCUUCGCUCGGGCACCUCGGGACCGGCUUGGGGGGGAGGACCUCGACCCCCCCCAAACUCGGACCACAUCAUCAUCACCGAACACAUUAAUCAGCUAAGUUGCUUUCAUGCUCAAUUUUUUUCAAUUUUUCAAUUUUUUGCUUGGUUCAACCAGGCAUUAUAUUUUAAAACAAAACUAUUGUUUGUUAAAAAUGUAGUUUAUUAAAAACAACUUCCUCUCCUCAAGUUAACUAGGGAUCACAAACUUUUAUGUGCCUUAUUUUAAAGUGUUCUCUUCCUAGUCGUUGCAAAGUCUUUCUCUGCUACUCCUUUUUUGACUCAAGACUGUGGUCAAAUAGUGAGACAACCUGAUUUCUCUCUAGAGCCGCUCAAGUUUAGUUUGCUAAACUGGCCUCAAAAGCACUUCGCCUUUGGGAAGGGAGGUUGAAGCCGAAGGCUGACCCGCUUGAAGUCUAGAGAUCGGAUGAGUCAUGACAAAGCACAACGGAAGCUCAUAUUUUUUAAGACCAAAUUCGUAUUUGCACCAAAAAACUUGAUUCUAUUUAGACAUAGAUUUUUUACAUAAUUGUUUUGGUUUUUCCAAGCAUAACUAUCGCAAUACAACGCCAAAUGCCUUAAAAGCAUGGGCUAUUUUAACAGGGGGCUGCGACUAGAGCCGAACCCACCAAAAGCCAAAGUACUCCAUGAAGUCCCCAGCAAAACAUCCUCAGUAUUUUGCACUUAUAUGCAUUGAUUUCAAGUUGUGUCUUUAGUUAAUAGCUGGAUUGCUCAUCUCCUGUGCUUACCCCUUACGUUUCCGCUUAGUUCGGCCAAGGAGGUAAAGGGAGAACCACUUCGAUUAAGUGCCUCACUUGGAGAAAGCCGAAAUUUGACUAUCACAACAUGCAUACAUCAGUUAGGAAACUACACGCGGUGUUACACCAAAUAUAGUUCAUCAAGGUUAUCCGAGUAAAAUGAAGGGCCUCUCUUUCUUAAGAAGGCCAAGUUGUUGGUGGUUCGACCUCAAAUGAUCUGAGGAUUCGACAUAUACCGAAGGCUAUUAAUUUGCCCCCAAACAUAAGCUCCCAUGACAAAGUAAAGUUAUAAAUCCCGAAUAUCUGAUUUCCUUGUUUCCAAUAACUCAACAGCCUCCGGGCACAAAGACGUCGGCUAAGGGUUGUCUUGAUAGUAUGGAAACACCCUGCGUAGCAUCUACAAAGGGGUAGAAGUUGGUGAUGGGCCACUUUCAGAUUAUAAGUAGUCGCAAUGGAGUCAAAGUAAACGAUACCAAGGGAUCCUUGAGGCACCUCGGCAUGGUCACAUCAGGAGUCCUGGAGAUCCCAAGAUAUCAUCAACGUUUUUAUUCAAUACAUGAGCGCUGCCUUCCAUAAUCAUCAUUAUAAAGCCAUAAAUAUGCGUCAGUUUGACUUUAGAUUUUUGCCAAGAUAGUUUGCCUUGCUCUUGUGCUUACUCCUACAUUCCCGAUUGUUCAUCUAGGGGGUAAAGGGAGCGCCUCUAUGAUUGUUACUACCGGGUCCUCCGUGUUCGGACCACGGAUGGGUGAAGCCGAAAGCUAGCUCUCCUAAGAACAUAAUUGGUCGGCAACGAUGGAAGUGAAAAUUUUCAGAAACUUUCCCCCCAAACUAAAUCCUCCAUACUUUCCUCCCACAUUGAUCGAAUGUGAGAUUUCAUGCUCAUAGUCAACAUGAUAGCCUGGAGAAAAGAACUUAUAAAUGAACUAUUUUCCCACAACAUGUUUCUUAUGUUCAAAACUAAUAUAACAUAUCUCUCCGUGUACCUUUGUUUAUUAAAAUGUAUGACCAGAUUGCCUUGUUUUCCAUAAAAUUUUGCCCCCAUAAAGGAUUUAUAAAGUACGAAAACAUUCCCCGGCUAUUGGCCGAGGAGGUUGAAGCUGAUGGUCGGUCAACAAAGUUUGUACAAAACAGAUCUGAGCGUUAAUGAUGUAAAGUACUUGAAUACAUAGAAUCAUUAGAGUACCCAACAUUUAAUUGGGAUUUUCUCUUCUCAAUUAAAGGGGUACAUUGAUCCCCUGAUCUCGUGUUACCUCCCGAACAGUGACUCGGGGGCUACUGGCUAUACAUCUCGAUAUUGCAUAAAUUGCCCAGAUCGGAAAAAAACUCUGCAAAACCUAGCGAAGGCCGAGGUGGUUCCAUAAAGGAUGUUACAAAAAUCAGAUAUUCACUCCUUGAUGAUCUCGGAAUCAGUCUAGCAUAAAGCAUGAAUGUGAGUGGCUGGUUCCGUAGAUGACGUUUCCAGCAUUAAGAUCAACUGAACUCCUUGAACUUUUUCAAGAUCAAGGUAAUCUAUGAUCCCUCAGGUGUCGACCAGAGUUAGAGCUUGGCUGCCAAAAAUGACACCUCAGAUGUAGUCCAUCAGUGAAGCUCAGAUGCAAGAGGACACCACUGCAUGGGGAAAACAUUGAGACCUGAAAUGUGGUGUAAAAAUAAACAAGGCAUUUAUAAAGCCCAAGAAAUAAAAAGGGCUCCUCGAAGGCUCGACGCUUGAACUCCUCAGACGCUCGACGCUUGAACUCCUCGGACGCUCGAUGUGCGAACUCCUCNNNNNNNNNNNNNNNNNNNNNNNNNNNNNNNNNNNNNNNNNNNNNNNNNNNNNNNNNNNNNNNNNNNNNNNNNNNNNNNNNNNNNNNNNNNNNNNNNNNNUCAAUCUAUAAAGAACAAUUCAUAUAAGUAUUUGUCUCAUUUAAGAAAACAAGGUUUAUCAAACCAAUAGGAAUAUCAAUUCUCAACCGUCUUCUACGGCUGGACAAAAAAGAGAAAACAACUUGCACCCAAUGCGGGAAGAGGGUUGUCAAUCCCCUUGAUCUCGUUAUUUGCAAGCAAAUGAGGUCUGUAGAUAAUUGUACAUUCUAAAAUAAAAUAAACUACAUAUAAUAAAAACGAGGAAAUUAUAAGUUUUCUGAAUAUAUAAGUGAAUAGACCCGGGGGCGAUAGUGUUCUCUAGUGGCAUCUCUCAUGAAAGCAACAUAUGAUGGGUAACCAAAUUACUGUUGGACAAUUGAUAGAAAAGCGCAUAGUUAUGUGAUUUUUACGGAAAUGAUCAUGUGUAUAUAGGCAUCACAUCCAUAAGCAAAUGGGCCGACUCCUGCCUGCACCUACUACUAGUACUCCACUUCAAGAGCGCUUCUAUACUUGUCUCUCUACAUAUUAAGCUCAUGACAAAUAGAGUAAUGCUUGGAGAACGAUGACAUGAUGUAGACAAAGUAAACUCAACCAAUGUGAAUAAAACCCAUCGUUUUAUAUUUAGUGGCAACAACACAAAGACACAACUUGCCCCCUUAUCUCACUGGGAUAUAGAAACUUGUCAGGUUGAACCCACUACAAUGCACCCCUCUCACUAUAGAAAUACCAAACUACUUGGCCAAGGCAAUUCAAUAGAUCAGAGAGAAUUACAAAGCUAUGAGGAUCAUGCAAAUAAGAAUCAUAAUAAUUUUAGAGAAGGCUCAAAUACAUUUCAUGAACAAUAUGAACAUAAGCCCACAAUUCAUCGUAUCCCAAUAAACACACCAUACAAAAGAAUUACAUCAGAUAGUUCAAUGCGAAGAUGCGAUGAUCAUUGUAUUGAAGAUCAAGAUAGAUAGCCAUCUAGGUACUAACUACGGACCCCUAGGUCUAUGGUGAACUACUCACACAUCAUCAUGAGGGUAGCAAGGUUGAUGAAGAGGCCCUCCAUGAUCGAUCCCCCCUCCGACAGGGUGCGGGAGCGGAGCUCCAAGUGGGAUCAUCAUGGAACAAAGACUUGCGGUGAUAGAAUAAGUGUUUGACGAUGAUAUAUAGGGUUUUUGGAAUAUAUGUGAAUUCACAGGCCACAUAAUGGAGGUAGAGGGGCCACCAGGGAGGGACAAUCCAGCAGGGUGCGCCGACCCCCGUGGCCGCUCCCUAUUGGCUUGUGCCUCCUUCAUGUGGCUUAUGGCCUUCUCCCGAAGCUUUGAAGUCUUCUUUUGGUUUUGAAAAAAUCAUAAUAAAGUUUCAGUGCAAUUGGAUUUUGUUUGGUACUAUAAACCUGAAGAGCAAAAAGCACGAGAAAACAACAACUGACACUGGGCAGUGGGUCAAUAGGUUAGUGCGCAAAAAUAAUAUAUAUUGGUAAAUUAUGACCCAAAAAGUAUCCUAGGAUGAUAAUAUAUCAUCAUGGAACAAUAAAAAAUUAUAUAUACGUUGGAUACGUAUCACCUCACCAUAAAGGUUCAAAUCUCUAAACUCUAUGUUCUUUUGAUAUGAGAACAUCAGGUCAUGCGUGCAAUAAAAUGGAUUUGGGAUACAUGUUGCUAACUAAAGCACACAAUUUUCUUAUGCCUCCUCCUUCAUAAUAGGCUUAGCACUAGAUCCAUGAUGUAUACGAAGAAUUUCUUCAUUCCAAAUUACUCACGUGUCAUGUGUGGGGAUAACAUAUUUGAGAUGAGAGAUAACGAAUUAUUCACAUGCCCAUUUGAUAAGGUAUGUUGGUCUCAUGUUUUUCAUGCUUGGUCUUCUACUAAUCAAGGCAUGCCUGCAAAUAUGAAGAACCUCAAGCGACUCUUAGUUGUUCCUUUCUCCUUGGAAAUUAACAUUUUAGGUGCCUCGGUAAUCUCGACCACACACAAUGACUACAUCUUCAAAAGGGUUACUCCAAAUUUAUACAAUUGCUCAAAGACGUCCAAAUUUAUAUCACACACAAAGCCAAAAGAAAUGUCUAAUCCAAGAUUUCAGACAGUCUAUAUGUUUAUACUUGUUAAUUUGUUCCCUUGUAAUUAACUUUGUAUAUUUAGUUUGGUUUUCUUUUAUUUUACUCUCCUUUAGUUCUCUUCCAUUAUUUUAUUUUUUGAACAAUNNNNNNNNNNNNNNNNNNNNNNNNNNNNNNNNNNNNNNNNNNNNNNNNNNNNNNNNNNNNNNNNNNNNNNNNNNNNNNNNNNNNNNNNNNNNNNNNNNNNGGAGGCGUAGGAUGAAGAUGGUCUCUCUCAAGCAACCCUGCAACCAAAUAACAAAGAGUCUCUUGUGUCCCCAACACACCCAAUACAAUGGUAAAUUGUAUAGGUGCACUAGUUCAGCGAAGAGAUGGUGAUACAAGUGCAAUAUGGAUGGUAGAUAUAGGUUUUUGUAAUCUGAAAUUACAAAAACAGCAAGGUAACAAAUGGUAAAAGUGAGCACGAACGGUAUUGCAAUGCGUGGAAACAAGGCCUAGGGUUCAUACUAUCACUAGUGAAGUUCUCUCAACAAUGAUAACAUAAUUGGAUCAUAUAACUAGCCCUCAACAUGCAACAAAGAGUCACUCCAAAGUCACUAAUAGCGGGGAACAAACGAAGAGAUUAUUUUCGGGUACGAAACCACCAAAAAUUUAUUCUUUCUCAUCGAUCUAUUCAAGAGUUCGUACUAGAAUAACACCUUAAGAUACAUAUCAACCAAGACCCAAAUGUCACUUAGAUACUCCAUUGUCACCUCAAGUAUCCGUGGGCAUGAUUAUACGAUAUGCAUCACAUAAUCUCAAAAUCAUCUAUUCAACCAACACAUAGAACUUCAAAGAGUGCCCCAAAGUUUCUACUAGAGAGUCAAAACGUGUGCCAACCCUUGUGCAUAGGUUCCCAAUGUCACGAACCCGCAAGUUGAUCACCAAAACAUACAUCAAGUACUCACAUGAAUCCACGUGUGCCAACCGAUUUGCAUAGGUUCCCAAUUGUCACAAACUCGCAAGUUGAUCACAGCAGAUAGACACGUGCAAGACAUACAUCAAGUGUUCUCAAAGACUCAAUCCGAUAAGAUAACUCCAAAGGGGAAACUCAAUUCAUUACAAGAGGGAGAGGGGGAAGAACACCAUAAGAUCCAACUAUAGUAGCAAAGCCCAUGGUACAUCGAGAUCAAGACAUCUCAAGAACACAAGAGAGAGAGAGAGAGAUCAAACACAUAGCUACUGGUACAUACCCUAAGCCCCGAGGGAGAACUACUCCCUCCUCGUCAUGGAGAUCGCCGGGAUGAUGAAGAUGGCCACCGGAGAUGGAUUCCCCCUCCGGCAGGGUGCCAAAACGGGCUCCAGAUUGGUUUUUGGUGGCUACAGAGGCUUGCGGUGGCGGAACUCCCGAUCUAGGUUUCUUUUUGGGGGUUUCUGAAUUUAUAGGAAUUUAUGGCGGUGGAAUUGCGUCAGUUGGGCCCAUGAGGAGGUCACAAGCGUGCUCGCCACCAUCNNNNNNNNNNNNNNNNNNNNNNNNNNNNNNNNNNNNNNNNNNNNNNNNNNNNNNNNNNNNNNNNNNNNNNNNNNNNNNNNNNNNNNNNNNNNNNNNNNNNGUUUUUGUAAUCUGAAAUUACAAAAACAGCAAGGUAACAAAUGGUAAAAGUGAGCACGAACGGUAUUGCAAUGCGUGGAAACAAGGCCUAGGGUUCAUACUUUCACUAGUGAAGUUCUCUCAACAAUGAUAACAUAAUUGGAUCAUAUAACUAGCCCUCAACAUGCAACAAAGAGUCACUCCAAAGUCACUAAUAGCGGGGAAUAAACAAAGAGAUUAUUGUCGGGUACGAAACCACCACAAAGUUAUUCUUUCUGAUCGAUCUAUUCAAGAGUACGUACUAGAAUAACACCUUAAGAUACAUAUCGACCAAGACCCUAAUGUCACCUAGAUACUCCAUUGUCACCUCAAGUAUCCGUGGGCAUGAUUAUACGAUAUGCAUCACAUAAUCUCAGAAUCAUCUAUUCAACCAACACAUAGAACUUCAAAGAGUGCCCCAAAGUUUCUACUAGAGAGUCAAAACGUGUGCCAACCCCUGUGCAUAGAUUCCCAAUGUCACGAACCUGCAAGUUGAUCACCAAAACAUACAUCAAGUACUCACAUGAAUCCACGUGUGCCAACAUAUGCAUAGGUUCCCAAUUUUCACAAACCCGCAAGGUGAUCACAGCAGAUAGACACUUGCAAGACAUACAUCAAGUGUUCUCAAAGACUCAAUCCGAUAAGAUANNNNNNNNNNNNNNNNNNNNNNNNNNNNNNNNNNNNNNNNNNNNNNNNNNNNNNNNNNNNNNNNNNNNNNNNNNNNNNNNNNNNNNNNNNNNNNNNNNNNCUCAACCCUGCGAUCUACCGCAGCUCAACUCAGCCUCUUGAUGCUGAUGACUGGCUCCGUGACAUUUCUUACAAGCUGGAGUCUGCCAAUGUGCCCCUGGCGAGCUAUGUCAACUUUGCCGCCUACUUCCUGAAGGGUCCCACUGCUCAAUGAUGGGACAGCCACAGACGCUCUCAGCCCGAUGGAACUGUCAUCACUUGGACAGAGUUCAAGGUUGCUUUCUGUGCUCGCUACAUUCCUCAUGGAAUCAUGGACCGGAAGAAACAUGACUUCUGCAACCUGGUCCAGGGCAACAAGACUGUGGAUGCUUAUCAGUGGGAAUUUCUAGACUUAUCUCGCUAUGCUGAAGAAGACAUUGCAACUGAUGCACGCAGACAGGAGAAGUUCCGUGAAGGCCUUCACCAUGAUAUCAAGUUGACACUCCUCGUUCAGGAGUAUGCUGAUUUCGCCACCCUGGUGAACAAGGCUAUUCAGGUUGAGACUGGUCUGUAGGAAUACAAGGAUAGCAGCAAGUGCAACCGUGACAUGGGAUCAUCUUCGGUCUCAUCUGCACAAAAGUGGAAGAUCUGGAUUCCCAACAACAUGUACCAUGCACCUGCUCCUGCUCCGAGGCCGUCCUAUGCUGCACCUCGCCUGCCUCCUCCACCACCUAGGCAGCCAAGGCUUCCAGCUCCACCGCCUCGAGUUCCUCCUUCCCUUCCUGAGGAUGGGUUGUGCUUCAAGUGUGGCCGUCCAGGUCACCGUGCUAGAGACUACAGGCAGAAUCCGAAUCAGCUGACACUUCCCUCAACUGGCAGUGGCAACAACCAGAACCACAACUUCAAUGCUAAGCCUGCUUAUUUUCGUGGUCAAGCCAACAACAUUGAUAUGGGUCAAGCUCAAGACCAGCCUGCUACCAUGAUGGGUACACUUCUGGAUAACUCAGUACCUNNNNNNNNNNNNNNNNNNNNNNNNNNNNNNNNNNNNNNNNNNNNNNNNNNNNNNNNNNUGCUUCUGUAUUGUUUGAUACAUGAGCAUCGCAUUCCUUUAUGUCAGAAAUUUUUUGCAUACAUGCAUGACAUUAGAAGCAAAGAGAUGAACAUCCCGAUAGUGGUAAACACCCCUGGGGGCGAAUGCCGAACCUCUGUGGUUUGCCCCCAUGUUUCGGUUGAAAUUGAAGNNNNNNNNNNNNNNNNNNNNNNNNNNNNNNNNNNNNNNNNNNNNNNNNNNNNNNNNNNNNNNNNNNNNNNNNNNNNNNNNNNNNNNNNNNNNNNNNNNNNCCUCACCUGGAGGAAAGCCCUUUCAAAUACAUCCCGCAUGCUCCUGCUGGGGAUGAGACUGGGUCUGAUCUCACUGUCUACACUGUUAUCAUUCGGGAGUGCAGCGACUGAUCCUACAUUGCUGUCUGCGCCCCCUAAGUGAUGCAUCGCUACGACGCGCGGGUUCUGGUGUAGUACACUGAGGCACUGGGUCGUGCUUUUCGAGCUCUGACUGUGGAGCUGUAUGCUACACGCGCUCGUCUUUNNNNNNNNNNNNNNNNNNNNNNNNNNNNNNNNNNNNNNUCGUCUUUACGACGCAUUGACAGAGCUGCAGCCAUCACACUGCCCGAGGGUUCCCCCUAUGCACAUCCGCGAACCGAGCAGGACAGAGUUACCAUCAGGUCUCGAGUGGACUGAUGUUGGGGGUAGAACCCCUGCACUUGGACCUCAGCUCCUCAAGUGGAUGUGUUACCCUCACCAGAGUCGCAACGGGACACAGGGUCAUGUUCCUACCUUCUAUCACCGCCAGCUACCAGGAUCUGUUCGUCCUCUCCGACGUUGAUGUAGCCUUAUCGCUAUAUCUCGUUGUGGUACUCUUCCACCGCGUGCGUGCGUGCUCUUGAUAACCCACGAGUAUAGGGGAUCGCAACAGUUUUCGAGGGUAGAGUAUUCAAUCCAAAUUUAUUGAUUCGACUCAAGGGGAAGCAAAAGAAUAUUCUCAAGUAUUAGAAGUUGAGUUGCCAAUUCAACCACACCUGAAAGAUUUAAUAUCUGUAGCAAAGUAUCAGUAGCAAAGUAGUAUGAUAGCAGUAGUAGCAACUGAGUAACAGUAGCAGCAGCAGAGUAACAGUAGCAGCAGUGACAGUAGUAGCGGCAAAGGAACAUAGCAAGGACCAGUAGAAAAAACUCGUAGGCAUUGGAUCAGUGAUGGAUGAUUAUGCUGGAUGUCAUUCAUCAUGUGACAGUUAUAACAUGGAGAGGUAAGUAACUAGCUCCCGUUCGUCAGUCUAAUGUAGGCAUGUAUUCUGUAUGUAUUCAUAGGUGNNNNNNNNNNNNNNNNNNNNNNNNNNNNNNNNNNNNNNNNNNNNNNNNNNNNNNNNNNNNNNNNNNNNNNNNNNNNNNNNNNNNNNNNNNNNNNNNNNNNUUAUAAGAAAUACCCUACUACCUUGCGCCGCAUUUUUUAUGCGAGUGUGACAACUUGGUAUAGGUUUGUUCUUGACACCAUAACCGGUGGUAAUUUCUUAUUUUUUUCACACUUUCGAUGGCUAUAAUGCUAUUGAAAAUCUUGUGGGAUCACCUCCCACCAUUUUUAAUGGAACCAUUUUAACUUUGGAAGAUUUCAUGUGUAGUAUUGAUGCUAUUGAAAAGAAAAUUACUACUAANNNNNNNNNNNNNNNNNNNNNNNNNNNNNNNNNNNNNNNNNNNNNNNNNNNNNNNNNNNNNNNNNNNNNNNNNNNNNNNNNNNNNNNNNNNNNNNNNNNNNNNNNNNNNNNNNNNNNNNNNNNNNNNNNNNNNNNNNNNNNNNNNNNNNNNGGAUAUUAUUAUUGAUGAGAGGGUAGAACAAAGUAUGGAUAAUAUUUGAUAAAAUGGAGGAAGUUAUUCAUAAAGUAGGUCCCAUUUUUACACCCUCCAAAACUGAUGCUAGUACCUCUCGGAGUAAAAGUCCCAAAUUCAUAUAUAUACCUAAGAGCAUUAGUACCCCUCCUAUUAAAAGGAACAAAGAUCUCAAAAUGAUUAGUGUGCAUACCAACUUUGUAAACCCGAUAAAGGCUCCUACUUUCAAGUCUCCUAUUGUUAUUGACGAGCUUGAUGUCAAGGAUGACAACACUUGAUCAUAUGCAUUAUGCCUAGCUAGGGACAUAAAACAAUAGCGCUUGUUGGGAGGCAACCCAAUACUUAUCUUAAAUUUUGCUUUUUACUUUCCGUCUUGGUGUGAUGAAAUGAUAAUUGCCUCUCUAAUGAUUAUGUUUUUAUUUUUAAUGUAGUAUUUGUGCCAAGUAAAACCUUUGGGAUGACUUGUAUGAUAAGUAGAAUUGAUACGGUACAAAAACAGAAACUUUGACGUCUAGUGCAGAAUUUCUCUGAUUUUACUCGAACGUAUUUUUAAGCUGAUUUAUUUACAAAGUAUUUCUGUAAAAAAUCCUUAGGUAUUCCUAAUGCUUCAAAAUGUUUGGAGUUACAGAAGUAUANNNNNNNNNNNNNNNNNNNNNNNNNNNNNNNNNNNNNNNNNNNNNNNNNNNNNNNNNNNNNNNNNNNNNNNNNNNNNNNNNNNNNNNNNNNNNNNNNNNNAAAAGACAUUUGUCAAAGGUAAAACUAAUCCAGCAACGCCGCCCGGCGUGUCGACGAUCCCGAUAGGAGCCGCGUAUCUCGUUCUCAGGACACGAUGGAUAAGCACAGCGUACGGUGGACUAAUAGACAUCUCCCGAGUUGCCCCGGGUUGGCCCCACAAACGGCUCUAGUUUUGGACCAGCACCAACAGCACUGGCCCUCCCUGUAUUAUGUAGAAUUACUCCUCGGGUUCAUGGCGCCCUAUGCUUUCAGUAUUAACAGUAUUAUUAUGUUGGGCAAAUGUAGUACCAAUGUUGGGCCUUGCCAGACCAGCUUUAAUCUAAAACGAAUUAUCAAGGGGGUCCCCAUAACAACCCCGAUCGUGUUAGGAGUGCUCAAUUAUGGAACAUUACACCGGUAGCCGAAACUAAGGGGGCAAAGGUGGAACAAAACACCAGGCUAGAAAGGCCAAGCCUUCCACCUUUUACCAGGUAUAUAGGUGCAUUAAAUUAAAUAGCAUUUAAUAUGGUGAUGUAACAAGGAACCCAUGUUAUCACAUGGAAGCAACUGCACCUGCAAGUAGCAACGCUAACACAUGGUUAAGCAACCGGUAGCAUAGCCAAUCAGUGGUUUGCUAGGUUGUGAACAGGUUGAAGGUUUUCAUGGCAAUGUUGAGAGGCUGAUAUUUAACAGGUGGUAGGCAGCGUGACAUAACGAUAGAAACGGUAAAAUUAGCAAGGCAAUGAUAGUAAUGGUAUCUAGGGAAAUGGUCAUCUUGCCUGAGAUCCCGCUUGGAAGAAGAAUGACUCCGUGAAGUAGACGAACCGAUGUAGUCGAAUGGGUCCUCACAAUCCGACACGCUUGCGGACUCUAUCGACACUAAGCAAACCAAAAACAAGCAUCAACACAUGAUAUACACAACACGAUGCACAACACAUAUGAUGCAUCAACGGUUGAAUGUAUGCAAGGCACGGCAUGGCAAUUCACAACAAUCAAACACUACACAUUAAGUGAAGUUCAAUAUGCAACGAGUUGCAUAUUGACGAAACUCCACAUACGAAUUAUUUAAUUCCAUCCCGGUUAGGUACACGGCAAUAUUGAAUAUGGUUAAUCAUGGCAAGAGGUGAAGCGCAAUUAAACUAUCUAUUUAGGCAUUUUAAAUAAGGUCGGAAAUGACAUAUAACACCUCCGAGAUGACCUCAUACGUUAAUUUGUAAUUAUGUCCAGAUCUGGAAACACUUUUAAAUAUUUGUUAAACAGCAAAAUAAAUAGGUUCACGUGAUUCUACACGUCGUUACAAGCAAUUUACACAUAGAGAACAUCUCCAACGAAGCUAUGGUUCAAAAGAUACAAACACCGCAAGAUAUGAUGGCAUGAAUGCAAUAUAUGUGCAAUGACAGUCACAAGCAUUCCAAAACACACAACCAACAAGAUAAUAUGAAACUACACGAGAUUCUAUGCAAGUUUCAUAUAGGACACGAUCAAAACGGAGCAACGGUUCAACAACUACGAGUUAAACAAGAAAUCACUACAAUCUGCCAAAAUCAGUCUCAUAGCAUUUUCUACACCCCACAACUACGAGCUACACAAACCCAAAAUGCUCAAACAAGGCAUGAGACAGUAGAGGGCAAGAUUCACUACAACAUGCUACUAACAACAUCUAGCAUGGAAGCAUGGAUCACUAGGAAAAGAACUCACAAAAUGGCAUCUCACACACUGUUUGAUACUUAGAAAUAUUUCAGCAUCUCUAAAACAACAUUAUUUUCUAGCAAGUUGAGAGCAAGCAAACCACACCUAAACAUGGAUUUCUAUUGCAACCAAAAUUACCAGGGGCUAGUCUACACAUCCAAGGGCAUAUCCCUAGUUGACAACUUAAUCACAUCACGCAUGGAUUAAAUCCCACAAAAUAAACAAAAGGGCAACAUGGCAAAAUAUCACGCGCACUAACUUGCUCAAAAGCUAAAACUAAAUGCACAGUUAAAUUCUAUGGAUUUUCUACCCCGAAAACAUAUAUAAUAUGUGGGGUUGCAAAACAAAAAUAACGCCACACGAAUAUGCGAGAAUAUGUCCUAAACACGGUAUAGCAAACUAGCGACGGAAUCCUACAUGCAAAAAUACAAACAACUAUUCUAAAAUACAUGGAAAAGGUCCCUAAAAACAUGAGCAUUUCAUCUACGGUGUUUGAGCAAUCCGUACACGUGCAAAAAUAAAUAUGAAACAAUUCUCUAUUGGGACACCACGCAAAACUAGGCAUUUGGCGGGUCAAACUAAUUCAAACAUGCAUGCAAGUUGCAAAAUAAUAAUCUACACGGAAAACUAAUCAAGUUACAUAUAUAACUCGCUCUGAUCCGACAUACGGCGCAUUUGAAAUCUCUAAUAUAUUCCUGAAAUAGAAUUAAGUUACAAAUAAAAAUAAUCACACGACGAAAAUGGAAUAGAAGGGGAAUCUUCUGGAACGUCGGUCUCGGGCUGUCACAAGUGAGCACAUACUCAGAAUGUCUGGGUACUACAAUCGUUUGACUCGGUUGGGAGUUGAGCUUCCAACCGAGACGAUCACUGAAAGAGUUCUCCAGUCACCGCCACCUAGCUACAAGAGCUUCGUGAUGAACUAUAAUAUGCAAGGGAUGAACAAGUCCAUCUCCGAGCUAUUCAUGAUGCUAAAAGUCAGGGAAGUAGAAAUCAAGAAGGAGCAUCAAGUGUUGAUGGUGAAUAAAACCACUAGUUUCAAGAAGACAAGGGAAAGAAGGGAAACUUCAAGAAGAACGGCAAGAUAGUUUCUGCUCCCGUGAAGAGACCCAAGGUUGGACCCAACCCUGAGACUGAGUGCUUCUAUGGGAAGGGAACUGGCCACUAGAAGUAGAAUUGCCCCAACUAUUUGGCCGAUAAGAAGGCUGUAAACAUCAACAAAGGUAUAUUUGAUAUACAUGUUAUUGAUGUGUACCUUACCAGCUCUCAUAGUAGUGCCUGGGUACUUGCUACCAGUUCGGUUUCUCAUAUUUGUAACUCGAAGCAGGAACUAUGGAAUGAAUAGAGGCUGGCAAAGGAUUAAUUGAUGAUGCGCGUGGGAAAUGGUUCCAAGGUUGAUCUGAUCUCCGUCGGCAUGCUCGCUCUUCGAUUACCAUUGGGAUUAGCUAUGAACCUAAAUAUUUGUUAUUUGGUGCAUGUGUUGAGCAUGACCAUUAUAUAUGGAUCUUGUUUAAUGCGAGAGAGUUGCUCAUUUAAAUUAGAGAAUAAUAGUUGUUCCAUUUAUAUGAGUAAUAUAUUUUAUGGUCAUGCACCCAAUGUUAAUGGUUUACUCUUGUUGAAUCUUGAUAGUGAUGAUACACAUAUUUAUAACAUUAAUGCCAAAAUAUGUAGAGUGAAUAAUGAUAGUACCACUUUCCUGUGGCACUGGUGCUUAGGUCAUAUUGGUGUAAAACGCAUGAAGAAGCUCCAUGCUGAUGGACAUUUGGAGUCACUUGAUUUCGAAUCACUCGAUACAUGCGAACCAUGCCUCAUGGGCAAGAUGACGAAAAACCCGUUUUCUGGAACAAUGGAAUGGGCAAGUGACUUGUUGGAGAUCAUGCAUACUGAUAUGUGCGGUCCAACUAGUGUUCAGCUGCGCGGUGGAUAUCGUUACUUUCUCACCUUCACCAAUGAUUUGAGUAGAUAUGGAUAUAUUUACUUGAUGAAGCACAAAUCUGAAACAUUUGAGAAGUUCAAGAAGUUUCAGAGUGAAGUUGGGAAUCGUCGUAACAAGAAGAUUAAGUUCCUGCAAUCUGAACGAGGAGCAGAAUAUCUAAUUAUGAGUUUGGCAUGCAUUGUAGAUAGUGUGGAAUUUUUUCACAGCUCCCGCCCAAGUGUAAUGGUGUGUCCAAAUAUCGUAAUCAUACUAGAUUGCAUAUGGUGUGUUCUAUGAUGUGUCUUACUGAUUUGCCACUAUCAUUUUGGGGUUAUGCAUUAGAGGUAGCUGCAUUCACUUUAAAUAGGGAACCAUCUAAAUCCGUUGGGAUGACACCAUAUGAAUUAUGGCUUGGUAAGAAACCUAGGAUGUCAUUUCUUAAAGUUUGGGGAUGCAGAGCUUAUGUCAAUAGGCUUCAGCCUGGUAAGCUCGAACCCAAAGCGAAUAAGUGCAUCUUCAAAGGAUACCUAAAGGAAACAGUUGGGUAUACCUUCUAUCUCAGAUCCGAAGGCAAAGUGUUUGUUCCUAAGAAUGGGUCCUUUCUCUAGAAAGAGUUUCUCUUAAAGGAAUUGAGUGGGAGGAAGAUAGAAAUUGAUGAGGUUAAUGAACCAUCAUUUCAACCAGAGAAUAGCACGACAUAGGAAGAUGUUUAUGUGGCGCCUACACCAGUUGAAGAGGAAGCUAAUGAUGGUGAUCAUGAAGCUUCGGAUCAAGUUAGUACCGAACCUCGUAGGUCGACAAGGACACGUACUACUCUGUAGUGGUACGGUAAUCCUGUUUUGGAGGUCAUGUUGUUGGAAAAGCGAUGGUGGGCCUGAAUUCCGACAAAUGGCUGAAGGCCAUGAAAUCUGAGAUAGGAUCCAUGUAUGAAAACAAAGUAUGGAUUUUGAAAGUAUUACCUGAUGGUCGAAAGGCUAUUCAGAACAAAUGGUCCUUUAAGAGGAAGGCGGACGCGAACGGUAAUGUCACCAUCUAUAAAGCUCGACUUGUUACAGAGGGGUUUUCACAAGUUCAAGGAGCUGACUACGAUGAGACUUUCUCACCCGUAGCGAUGCUUAAGUCCGUUAGAAUCAUGUUAGCAAUAGGUGCAUUUUUCGAUUAUGAAAUGUGGAAGAUGGAUUUCAAAAUAGCGUUCCUUAAUGGUUUCCUUAAGAAAGAGUUGUAUAUGAUGCAACUAGAAGGUUUUGUCGAUCCAGAGAAUGCUGACAAAGUAUGCAAGCUCCAGCGACCCAUUUAUGGACUGGUGCAAGCAUCUCGGAGUUGGAAUCCUCGCUUUGAUGAGGUGAUCAAACAGUUUGGGUUUAUACAAGUUUAUAAAGAAGCUUGUAUUUAAAAGAAAGUGAGUGGGAGCUCUAUAGAGUUUCUAAUUUUAUAUGUGGAUGUCAUAUUGCUGAUUGGAAUAAAUAUAUAACUUUUGGAAAGUGUGAAGAUAUAUUUGAACAAGAGUUUUUCAAUGAAAGACCUCAGAGAAGCUGCUUACAUAUUAGGCAUCGGGAUCUAUAGAGAUAGAUCGAGACGCUAAAUAGGACUUCCACUAAGCACAUACCUUGAUAGGGUUUUGAAGAAGUUCAAAAUGGAUCAGUCCAAGAAGGGGUUCUUACCUAUCCUGCAAGGUGUGAGGUUGAGUAAGACUCAAUGCCCAGCGACUACAAAGGAUAGGGAGAAGAUGAGUGUCAUCCCCUAUGCCUCAGCCAUAGGCUCUAUCAUGUAUGCGAUGUUGUGCGCAAGACCAAAUGUCAGCUUUGCCAUAAGUAUGGUCAGAAGGUUUCAAAGUGAUCCAGGAGUGGAAAACUGGACAACGGUCGAGAAUAUCCUUAAGUACAUGAAAACGACUAAGGAAAUGUUUCUCGUUUAUAAAGGUGAUCAAUAGCUCGUCAUAAAUGGUUACGUCAAUGCUAGCUUUGACACAGAUCCGGAUGACUCUAAGUCUCAAACCGGAUACAUAUUUAUUCUAAAUGGUGGAGGACAUAAACGUUUGCAAAGUACAUAAGGAUCUGAAUGUUGCAGAUCUGUUGACUAAAUCUCUUCCACGAGCAAAAAAUGAUCAACACGAUAACACUAUGGGUGUUAGAUUCAUUACCAUGUAAUACUAGAUUAUUGACCCUAGUGCAAGUGGGAGACUGUUGGAAAUAUGCCCUAGAGGCAAUAAUAAAGUGGUUAUUAUUAUAUUUCCUUGUUCAUGAUAAUCGUUUAUUAUCCAUGCUAUAAUUGUAUUGAUUGAAAACUCAAAAACAUGUGUGGAUACAUAGACAACACAGUGUCCCUAGUAAGCCCCUACUGGACUAGCUCUUUGAUCAAAGAUGAUUAAGGUUUCCUAGCCAUAGACAUGUGUUGUCAUUCGAUAAUGGGAUCACAUCAUUAGGAGAAUGAUGUGAUGGACAAGACCCAAACCGUAAGCAUAGCAUUUGAUCGUAUAACUAAGUUUACUGCUAUUAAUUUUUGCAUGUCAAUGUAUCUGUUCCUAAGACCAUGAGAUCAUGCAUCUCCCUCACACUGGAGGAAUACCUUGUGUGUAUCAAACGUCACAAUGUAACUUGGUGAUUAUAAAGAUGCUCUAUAGGUAUCUCCGAAAGUUUCUGUUGGGUUGGCAUGGAUCGAGACUGGGAUUUGUCACUCCGUAUGACGGACAGGUAUCUCUGGGCCCACUCGGUAGUUCAGCAUCACAAUAAUCUUGCAAGCAAUGUGACCAAGCAGUUAGUCAUCGGAUCUUGUAUUACGGAACGAGUAAAGAGACUUGUCGAUAACGAUAUUGAACUAGGUAUGGAGAUACCGAAGAUCGAAUCUUGGGCAAGUAACAUACCGAUGGACAAAGGGAAUUGUGUCGAGAUUGGUUGAAUCCUUGACAUCAUGGUUUGAUGGAUAAAGAUCUUCGUAGAAUAUGUAGGAACCAAUAUGGGCAUCUAGGUCCUGCUAUUGGUUAUUGACCGUAGAGGUGUCUCGGUCAUGUCUGCAUAGUUCGCAAACCCGCAGGAUCCGCGCUUAUCGUUCGAUGACGAUAUAGUAUUGCUGAGUUAUUAUGUUGGUGACCGAAGGUUGUUCGGCGUCUUGGAUGAGAUCCCAGACAUGGCGAGGAGCUUCAGAAUGGUCUGGAGGUAAAUAUUGAUAUAUGGCAAGUUGGUAUUCCAGUUCCGGAAGAGUUUCGGAAGUUACCAGUUUUGUGACUAAGGUUCCAAAAAGAGAUCCGGGGGUCCACUCGGAGGGUCCACCUACCCCGAAGGGCCCCAUGGGUUGUGAGAGGUGACGCACCAGCCCCUGGUGGGUUGGCCGCACCUCACACCAUAAGCCCAUGCGUCCAAGGGGUUGUGCUAGCCGAGAGGUGGCCGUCGCCCCCUUUUCUUGAGGGCCAAGGCUCCUCUUGGCCGCCGCACCACCCUAGGGUAAAUCCUAGGGCAUCGGCCUCCUUCUCCCUCCCCUUAUUUAUAGUAGAGGAGAGAAAGGGCGGCUUUGUAACAGCCUAGAUGCUUUCUUUCCUUAUUUGUAACCCUUUCCAAUUGUGGAAACCUUGUUGAACCUUUGUUAUGGAAGUGAUGAGGUGGUUAUCAUUUCAUGUGUUUGUCAUUUCAUGUGCAUCUCAUGCAUCAUGUCAUUUUUUUAUGUUGGUCUUCAUCUUGUCUACCUUGGUGUUGUGAAUUCAUGUGGCUACUCAUGUUCUUGUGGAGUGUAGUGUGGGUGCAACUAUGACCUCAAAACCAUAGUUGCACCAUAGCCCAAAACCCCCUCUCCUUUAUAUAUUUUUUUGAGACAUAUUUAAGUUGUUGUUUGGGGUUUUAGAAAUGCUCAUCUUCUUUGGAAACUCUUUCAAAUAAUUGUGGAUGACAAACCUCACUGAUUUGAAAUUAUUUCCCUUUUUGUUUUAAUUUAAACAGGGGCUUAAUUAAUAAAAAACAAUUAAUUUACUUUGCUCUAAAAUGCCUCCUCUAUUUUUAUAAAUAGGAGCAGCAUUUUAGAGACUCGUAUUUAUUUUUUUUCUUUUCUUUCCUUUAUUCUGUUUCUACCUCUCUCUUUUGUUCCAAAAACUGAUUUGAAAUAUUUGAAAAAGGAAAAAGCCUGUUUUGUUUUGGAAGAGGGUUGAGGCAGAUGAAUGGGCUCUGGCCCAUUGCUUCUCUCUGGGGCAGGAGCCCAUACCCCUUUCCUUUCUUCCUCCUCCUCACGCUGUUUCCUCAGUCCCUGCUUUCUGUCACACAGCGCAUGAGAGAGAGCGUCGCGCCAUUGCUCACGGACGUCCAGGAGCCGUCCCAUCGCGCCUAUUUAGAGCUCCCCCUCGGCGUGCAAGCCAAGGGUUCCCUCUCGCCGCCGCCAGCCUCUCAUUUCUCCCCUUCCUCUCCCUCUCAGGUAAGUUUCAGAGAGUAGAAGGUUCGGGUUCAGUGCAUCGGCUCCGGUCGCCUCUUCCCCCUCGUCGCCGGCAGCCCCUCCGGGAAAGAUGAGGAGCGCAGGGAGGAUGCUGAAUCCUCCCUCGACCCGUUCCCGCCGCUAGAGGGGUGGAUCCCCUCCUCUGCCGGCCUCUCCACGACAACCUCGUCAGGCACAGGCGAGCAGUGGUCGUCACCGGCAGCCCCACCUCUUCUUCCUCUUCUCGGCAACAAGAACGACUCCGAGUCCCUGAGGGUGAGCUUCGUGUCGCCUUCCCUCCCCGCUUCCCCGCACGGUCGCUGUAGCAUAGCCGUAGGGUGCUGCCGUCGCCGCCGUAGCAGUAGGGAACCGGGCCGUCGAGCCGCCGUUGUGGGUCUCCUCCCAGGGAGUUUACCCCGGGAAUGGAACCCCCGUGGCACCAUCUCCCUCGCGCGUAGGUUAGGAGGCUCGAUUCGUCGUCGGAGCGCGAGAUGUCGUCGUCCCCUGUUCCGGCGACGAGCUGCCCUGUUGUGGUUGAAGUGGCGACAGGUUCAGAGGAGCGAAAACCCCUCCUGGAUCACGUCCCCCCUCCUAGCUCGACUGGUUUGAGAACUUAGCUAGUUCGCCUAUGGUCUCGGGUUCGAAUCCCCCUAGCGCCCCCUUUUGUUGUUCGGUUUGUUUUCCUGUGCAGUAUCAGCAAAGGAAAUCUUAGCUUCUAUGUUGCUCCCUAUAGUGCAACAUAGGUGGUGGAAUAGUCUAGUUCCACCAGGGAGGUGGUGGGUUCGACCCCNNNNNNNNNNNNNNNNNNNNNNNNNNNNNNNNNNNNNNNNNNNNNNNNNNNNNNNNNNNNNNNNNNNNNNNNNNNNNNNNNNNNNNNNNNNNNNNNNNNNGCAAUUACUCUCGCAUGUGGUAUUUUUAUGCAGGACAAAUACAAAGCUCGUAUUAUAUCGUGAAUACGAAAGAUGCACCGUCAUCGUUCUACAAUGGUAUUUUGUCCGAGCCAUGCAGUUCGUCGGAUUCACACAUCGAUCCCGGAAUACGAAUGGCACCGUCAACUCGCCGCCCGUGUCGAUUUGUAAUGACGCGGCCAACUCUCACGACCGCGCGUCAAAACGGUUUACGAAGUACUCGCGCACCGGCUUACAACGCAGUGAUCAAACUCAACAUCACCGUCGGCUUACAAUGACGUGGCCAACUCUCACGUCGGCACAAUCAAGACGACUUACAAUGACGCGGCCAACUCUCACAUCCGCGCAACCAAGAUGGCUUGCAAUGGCGCGAGCGAUUCUCGAACCGUGCCAAAUCGCCAGACAACUCUCACAUUCAACUCAACACGCCGGUGCAGUGUCUGCUUAUAUGAGCCGCCCAACAGAAGGACACAAGAAGCCGUCCUCACGGUCCGGAUUAUAUCAACCCGCCGGUGCANNNNNNNNNNNNNNNNNNNNNNNNNNNNNNNNNNNNNNNNNNNNNNNNNNNNNNNGCUUAUACAAGCCGUCUAACAGAAGGACGCAAGUCGUCACCCUCACAGCCCGGAUUACAUGAAUCGGCCGGUGCAAUACUUGCCUGUACGAGCCACCUAACAGAAGGACGCAAAUCGCCACCCUCACGGUCCGGAUAACAUCAACUUGCUGGUGCAAUGGCUUUAUAUCUCGUAGAUGGAGCGAGUACCAGUAUCUUUGUAGCGACCCGACUCAAGACGAGUCAAGCCUCUGUGUUUCUGUGCCAUCCCUGGAUCAGUAUGCUGGCACGCACAGUACAUCAAUGUAUAUAUCAAAGUGCAGUCACAUGUAAAAUAGCGUAAAACUGAUAUAUACCUUAAAUAUCUCAGCGGAAGCGGUCAAGGGAGUGGAGUCCCAAUAAACACCAACGGCAAGUUGAGUGUAGACCGUAACCCUGAAUCGUACUCUUACUCGUCGAAGAAAANNNNNNNNNNNNNNNNNNNNNNNNNNNNNNNNNNNNNNNNNNNNNNNNNNNNNNNNNNNNNNNNNNNNNNNNNNNNNNNNNNNNNNNNNNNNNNNNNNNNAGAGCAAGGCAAGAGAUCCAUAAAAUAGUAAUUGAUGAACUUGGACCGGAGAUCACAUGGUUGGACUUUUGGAGCGUUCAGGCUGCUAUUUCUUUGUACAGCUGUUCAAUCUUCUUCCCAUGCGUUCGUGCUGUUGACUGCUUGGUCUAUUCUAGAAGGGCUGAAAUUUCAAAUAGGCAAAAUUAUCUAAGCCCGUACGUGUCUGUGUGUGUGUGUUUUAUUUUUUAUUGUAAAGUAAAGAUGGGAUGACAGUAAUAUUGGGAUUUUCUUUGCACACUGGUAGACUAUGAAAACAAAAUUAUUAUUUGGAAUCGGUUGUAUAAGGUGUAUUAUUUUUUCAAAAAGCCAAACUUCUCUAACUUUGAUCAAGUUUAUUGAUAAAAAUAUCAAUGUUUAGAAUACUAAAUCAUUAUCACUAGAUUAACCAUGAAAUAUAUUUUUAUAUUUUGUAUUUAUAGUAUUGUAAAUGUUUAUAUAUUUUACUAUAAAGUUGGUCAAACAUAGAUAUCUUUUGACUUUCUGAAAAACUAAUACACCUUAUAUUAAAAAACGGAGGGAGUAUUUGACACUUCAAACUUCUCUCUAUCUAUCAAAAUCUUAUGCAUCANNNNNNNNNNUUCAAUGCAUAUGGCUCUGUGAAAAGUCAACUUUGUAAUUGUUGCAAGUUCAAAAUAAAAUUAUUUUCCUUAGUAUAGCGUAUAUUCAUGUGGGUUGUACCUUAUAAUCAAUCCAGUAUUGCACUCUUCUACAGUAUUAUGACCAAAAGUUUCCUGGAUAGUGCUAUCAAAGUUACCAUUUUUCAAGAAUUUUUAUGGCACAUCGAUCGUAAAAGCAUCUAUAAAUUGAUCGGACAGAAAAAAAGGAAAAAAAAUGAUUUAACCAAAUCCUACAUAUUAUUCAUAUACUAUUGGCCUAUCGGCAAACCCUCGUACCCAAAUAUAGAAAGUAUACGAGGACUCGCGGACGCGUCUUGACGGUUCGCCACAUAGGAGUAGAACAUGACCCCAUCCCGGAGCAAUUUUUCCUUUUCUUUAUUUUUUUUCUUGCUCUCUUUUCGUCUUCAUAAAGCACGUGCAAGUGGCCGGACAAAUGAGAGAAAAUUGAGAAAUAUGGCUGUGCGGGAGGAUAAACAGAGACACGUCCGAUUAUUAACCGGGCGCGUCCGCGGGCGUUUAGGGGUUAUAUUUGUUAUGUUCGGUUGUAGUUGCUUAACCAUGUCUACUACUCCGAUUGCGUGACCCUGAUGAUCCUUCUAGAGUAAAUAGCAAAAAGUCUGCGUCCAAAAAGCUACUGCAUGCUAGGGCUACGAAAAACUACUUGUUUUUUAAUUUCUUGAAGUGCUAUCAUAAUUUUGAUUUGCUGAGUCAAAAAAUUUAAGUGUCCGAGUGCUUAACCCGUGAGGUCUGACAUGACAUAAAAGUCAAAGUGUUGACUUUGACUGUUAGGCUUUCUUUUCUAAUGUUGAAGCAAUACACUUUUGCAUAGUUAUGGUAGAACACAUAGGGGUCUUCCUUUGAACCAANNNNNNNNNNNNNNNNNNNNNNNNNNNNNNNNNNNNNNNNNNNNNNNNNNNNNNNNNNNNNNNNNNNNNNNNNNNNNNNNNNNNNNNNNNNNNNNNNNNNGCCCGCUAGGAGCACCGCCAACCUCCUAUGCAAAAUUAGAAAUAAAGAGAUGUAAGUUGUGGUCACUCGGUUGUUAUAUCAUUCCCUGCCGUACAAAUUAUUCACUAUACUUGGCUCGCGUUAUCAACAUAGGAUUCGUAGAGAUCGUUUUUCUCAUUGUCAACAUCAACGUCUACGUGUAGAGCUUUAAAAGUAAGACANNNNNNNNNNAGAUUCGUCGAGAUCGUUCUUCUCAUUGUCAACAUCAACGUCUACGUGUAGAGCUUUAAAAGCAAGACAUGUAAGUUCCGAGUUGCUUGUUAAAAAAACUAUCAACAAAUGCACCACUUACAUUAGCACUCUCGGCUUCGGCCUCACUGAUAUGGGUGUCCUCGGGCGGUAGGUUUUCAUAUGACGUCCAAGAUUAAUUCAAACUAGUAGAUUCAUAGCCAGCAUAUCCGAUUUCAUGCUCCAUCCAAANNNNNNNNNNGUAAGUUCCGAGUUGCUUGUUAAAAAACUAUCAACAAAUGCGUCACUUACAUUAGCAUUCUUGGCUUCGGCCUCACUGAUAUAGGUGUCCUCGGGAGGUAGGUUUUCAUAUGACAUCCAAGGUUAAUUCUAACUAGUAGAUUCAUAGCCAGCAUAUCCGAUUUCAUGCUCCAUCCAAACACCUUCAAAUGGAGUCCCGGAUCAAUCUAAACACCGCACAACAUUAUCAGUGACAUAUUCCAUUCAAAUGCAAAAUUGAUGAUGUCCUAUGACAAACAAAAUAAUAUGUCCAAAAGCAAAUUUUACGGUAGCAAUCACUGUUAAGAUGAUUUUUUCGGCACCAUAUCAAUGUUCACAAAGGGACCACCAAAUGGUUAAGUUAUAUAAACAAACUAGUGGUUUUUUUGGCACCAUUACAAUAUGCACAAAAAACAGGGGUGCUAAGAUCAAACCUUAUGUUGAUUAAGUUCCAACGUAGGCCGGGGGCCGACGUCGUCCUCGUCUUGGUCGACAAUUUGAAAGAGCGCGAAAGUGCAUCACACGACGUCUUGUGGGGAGGUGCACCAAAGACGGUGUGCUAGGCACCUCCAAUUACGGGUAGGGUGACGACGAUAGUGCCAUGUGAGAGCAGGGUUGCUGGAUGGCGCCACGUGCGACGACGUAGAUGAGCCCAACGACGAUGUGGAACUCGAGCGGGGUCGACGCUGGGGGCGGCGACAACUCAUGAUGGCCGCUGGUCAAAGUCGUGAUGACGACUAUGGAUCGGGUUGGGCCAACGUCUUUUUCUUGCGAGGGGACGGUACAUAGUUUAGCCGAAUGUAUGUUUAUUAGGGGGCGGAGAAGACGGUAGGGCAAGGUUGGGUGACUGCCUCACCUUGAUUUACUAAAAAAAGUGUUCUUGUCCGACUGGAUGGUUGUCUUCGAGCUAGUCGUGGUCUAGCUGGGAAAAUAAGACAAACGGACAAGCAACCACGGCCAUGUGUAUGAACUCCUGAUGUUAGGUUGUUGGUCAUCAAUUUAGCACUAAGCUCAAGAUGCCGUGAACUCAGUCAUGCAUAUCAGUCACACACUAUUGUGGGCAUUCGGUUUUUGCAAGUGUAUGUUCCNNNNNNNNNNNNNNNNNNNNNNNNNNNNNNNNNNNNNNNNNNNNNNNNNNNNNNNNNNNNNNNNNNNNNNNNNNNNNNNNNNNNNNNNNNNNNNNNNNNNNNNNNNNNNNNNNNNNNNNNNNNNNNNNNNNNNNNNNNNNNNNNNNNNNNNNNNNNNNNNNNNNNNNNNNNNNNNNNNNNNNNNNUUCUAUCGUUGUCCGACAUCUCAACAAACCUUAGUCUUUCGAUCCGUCAUUGUUACUUAUAGUGGCAACAACGUUUUAUGCUAGAGUUUGCCCUACCUCAUUUUAUUCCGUCCUGUGACAGCUUGUACGUAUUGCGUAUAUGUAUUGACGGUCCAUCACACAUAUGAAAAUGUUAUAUGAUCAAUAUUGCNNNNNNNNNNAUCUAGCUGGGAAAAUAAGACAAACGGACAAGCAACCACGGCAGUGUGUAUGAACUCCCGCUGUUAGGAUGUUUGCCAUCAAUUUAGCACUUAAGCUCAAGAGACCGUGAACUCAGUCAUGCACCUCAGUCACACACUAUUGUGGGCAUUCGGUUUUUGCAAGUGUAUGUUCCAGUGCAUCGACUCAGAAAAUAUGAGUCUACUCCCUAUAAAAGCUGAAUGCAUUAGUUAUAAGUCACGUCGAGCUCUAUCGUUGUCCGACAUCUCAACAAACCUUAGUCUUUCGAUCCGCCAUUGUUACUUGUAGUGGCAACAACGUUUUAUGCUAUAGUUUGCCCUACCUCAGUUUUUUUCCGUCCUGUGACAGCUUGUACGUAUGGCGUAUAUAUAUUGACGGUCCAUCACACAUAUGAAAAUGUUAUAUGAUCAAUAUUGCCCUAUGUCUGGGGUUGUCUCGUCAUUUAAUUUGAAUUGACUGAUAAGAAAGAAAUGCAUUUGUCACAAAACCAAACUGCUCGAAUAUUUAUCUUCAUUGAUGCUUGAAGUAACUUACACACGAAAUGUGAGCUUAAAACAGGGAUAAAACCGUCAAUACAUACCUCAAACAAUUCAUACUAAAGAUUACCAAUUGAUUUUNNNNNNNNNNNNNNNNNNNNNNNNNNNNNNNNNNNNNNNNNNNNNNNNNNNNNNNNNNNNNNNNNNNNNNNNNNNNNNNNNNNNNNNNNNNNNNNNNNNNAACUCACACUAAUUUUGCAUUAGAUGAGUGAUUAAUAGGGUGUUAAUUUUUGUAUUGGAACAUGAUUAAUUGAGCCGCCACACUGCAAGACGCGGGUGCGGCGCCGCUGUCUAGUGUUGUCCUUCUUUCUUAUAGGGGAAGAUUGAUUAAUUUUUUAUGUUUCUCGCGUUGUUUUAAUUAGGCGUAUUCGGCAGGGUGGGUGACCAGGUAUGCCUCGACCAUCUUGAGCAGGUCGAGGUACCCGGCGGCNNNNNNNNNNUAGCCACCUGGUCCUCCGCCGACAGCGCCCCGCCGCCGUCGAGCCUCUCGUACUCCACCCUGAGCUUCGCCACACAAGCACCGUCCCCGGCCGGCUCGAGCUUCAUCUCGACCACCUGCGACUUGAGCUGGCCGCUCACCUUGCCGCCCUCCAGCAUCUCCGUCUUGAUCACCCUGGCCGCGUUGUCGCGCGCCACCACGCGGCUCCUCAUCACGCCCGAGCCUGAUAGCUCCGCCACCGCCGGGCUGAGCGUCAUGGUGGAGACGCUGUCGGGCCCGUCGUCGCCCUCAACCUCCACGGCGUCGAUGAACCCCGCGCAGGCCUAAGUUUCUUCUUGAAUUCCCAUUUGCAUCAUAUAGGUUUGCACCCAUAAGGACAAUCAAUGAUGUCCCAAGUUUCAUUUGCCAAGAUGGAAUCCAUCUCACUACGGACUGCUUCCUUCUAGUAGUCAGCAUCUUUAGACGCAUAGGCCUCUGAAAUAGAGCUGGGAGUGUCAUCUAUGAGAUACACUAGAAAAUCAUCACCAAAGGACUUUGCAGUCCUUUGUCUCUUGCUCCUGGUAGGAACUUCAUUGUUCUCCUCCANNNNNNNNNNNNNNNNNNNNNNNNNNNNNNNNNNNNNNNNNNNNNNNNNNNNNNNNNNNNNNNNNNNNNNNNNNNNNNNNNNNNNNNNNNNNNNNNNNNNCAUAGUGGAUACUAGGGAUGAAUCCCCAUCAAAACUAACUCGAUUACAUGAUAGAUCCCAUCCUACUCAUCACCGCCCAGCGAGCCUACGAAUAGAUUACUCACGAACGACAAAGAGCUUCAUGGAAUUGGAGAGGGAAGAAGGUUGAUGAUGACAAUGGCUACGAUUUCCCCUCUUCGGAGCCCAAGACGGACUCCAGAUCUGCCCUCCGGAUGAAGAACAGGUGGUGGCUGCGCCUCCGUAUCGAAAACGCGACGAAAACUUCUCUUUUUAUUUUUUCUGGGACGAAAGACAACUUAUAGAGCUGGAGUUGGGGGCGGCAUGUGCCUAUGGGCCCCACAAGCCUGCCCACCGCCACCAGGGGGUGGUGGCGGAGCAGGGGCUUGUGGCCCACUGGCCCACCCCCUGAGGUGGAACUUGGCGCAGAUAUUUUUGAUAUUUUCCAAAACUGCUCCCCGUAAAUUUUGAGGAUGUUUGGAGAACUUUGAUUUAUGCACAAAAAUAACACCAAGGCAAUUCUGCUGAAAACAGCGUCAGUCGAGGUUAGUUCCAUUCAAAUCAUGCACAUUAUAGUCCAAAACAAGGGCAAAAGAGUUUGGAAAAGUAGAUACAUUGGAGACGUAUCAACUCCCCCAAGCUUAAAACCUUGCUUGUCCUCAAGCAACUCAGUUGACAAACUGAGAGAGAAAGAAAAACUUUGACAAACUCUGUUUGAUCUUGUUGUUGCAACUAUGUCUGACUCAUAACCAGAAUUUCAGCAAGAUCACAAGUUAACCACAUAAGCAAAUGACACAAAGGUCUCACGGUAAACUAAUAUCAAUGGCAUAAUCAGCUAACGAGCAAAUAAUUAUGAGUUUCAAAUAACAACACUUCAAUCAAAACAAGCAUGAAGCAAUAUGAAUAGCUGGUGUCUCGCUAGCUCUUUCUGAGACCGCAAAACAUAAAUGCAGAGCACUUUCAAAGAUCAAGGGCUGACUAAACAUUGUAAUUUGUAGCAACGAAGAUCCAGUCAUAGUCAUACUCAAUAUCAAUCAAAACAAAGCAUAAAAAUGACAGAGGUGCUCUCUAAUUGGGGCUUAUAUAAGAGGAGGAUGACUCGACAGGCCCUUCGCAGAGGGAAGCAUUGAUUUGCAGAGGUGCCAGAGCUCAAGCUUUCGAAACAAAGAUAAUAAUUUUGGGUGGCAUGCUUUCAUUGUCAACGCAAUGACCAAGAGUUCUCAAUAUCUUCCAUGCUACUCAUGCUAUAGGUGGUUCCCAAACAGAAAAGUAAAGUUUUAACUCCUGCACCACCAAUCAAUCACACUCCACGGCUAGCCGAAUCCUCGGGUACCGUCCAUACUAACAUCAAUAUGGGGGGAGUCUUGUUUUACAAUUAUGUUUUCGAUGUAAGCAUGGAACUGGGCAUCCCAAAUACCGGCCCCUUUCUUGUGAAUGACUGUGAAUAAACACAUGUCGAGGAUAACACUCCUAGCAUGGAAGAUACAAAUAGCCCUCUGUCACGACAUGAGCGGUUCGGGCAUGCAAAACAGAUUUAUUUCUUGAAGGUUUAGAGAGUGGCACAUGCAAAUUUACUUGGAACGGAAGGUAGAUACUGCAAAUAGGUAGGUAUGGUGGACUCUCAUGGAAAAACUUUUGGGUUUAUGGAAGUGGAUGCACAAGCAGUAUUCCCGCUUAGUACANNNNNNNNNNNNNNNNNNNNNNNNNNNNNNNNNNNNNNNNNNNNNNNNNNNNNNNNNNNNNNNNNNNNNNNNNNNNNNNNNNNNNNNNNNNNNNNNNNNNAGUGUAUCUUCUGAAAUCUAAGGAUGAGGCUUUGAACUUUUUCAAGAUUUAUGAAGCUAAAGUAGAAAAUCAACUUGAUCGAAGAUCAAGCGGCUUAGAUCCGAUCAUGGUGGAGAGUAUUUCUCAAAUGAAUUUGAUUACUUCUAUGAGGAACAUGGUAUAAUCCAUCAGAGGACACCUCCCAAUUCACCUAAGUCAAAUGGGAUAGCUGAAAGAAAGAACCAUACUCUAACUGAUUUGGUUAACGCCAUGUUAGACACAUCGGGUCUCUCCAAGACAUGGUGGGGGAGGCGAUAUUGACUGCAUGUCAUGUCCUAAACCGAGUUCUCACUAAGAAUAAAGAGAUUUCUCCAUUCAAGGAAUGGGAAAAGAAAAGGUUAAAACUCUCUUAUCUACGAACCUGGGNNNNNNNNNNCAAUUUCUUUUCCUUUCUUGAAUGCAAUGAAAGAAGAUAUGAGCACAAGUUGUUAAACCCUAACAGGGAAUACCAGGGAUGUGACAGGGUCUCUCCAAGACAUGGUGGGGGGAGGCUAUAUUGACUAAAUGUCAUGUCCUAAACCGAGUUCCCACUAAGAAUAAACAGAUUUCUCCAUUCGAGGAAUGGGAAAAGAAAAGGUUAAAACUCUCUUAUCUACGAACCUGGGGUUGUUUGACGAAAGUUAAUGUGCCAAUCCCAAAGAAGCACAAGCUAGGACCAAAAACUGUGGAUUGUGUAUUCCUGGGAUAUGCUUUUCAUAGCAUUGGAUAUUGAUUCUUGGUUUUAAAAUCUGAUGUAUCUGACAUGCAUGUCGGUACAAUCAUGGAGUCGAAUGAUGCGACUUGUUUCGAAGAUAUCUUUCCCAUGAAAGAUAUAGCUACCUCACCUAAUCAGGAUAUGCUUAAUUCAUCGAAUCAUGAAUUAGUUACAAUUCAUGAACCUAUCAUUUCGAUGGAACAGUUUGAAAAUAUUGUGGAGGAGAACAAUGAAGUUCCUACCAGGAGCAAGAGACAAAGGACUGNNNNNNNNNNNNNNNNNNNNNNNNNNNNNNNNNNNNNNNNNNNNNNNNNNNNNNNNNNNNNNNNNNNNNNNNNNNNNNNNNNNNNNNNNNNNNNNNNNNNUACAUUUGUCCAGUAAAAAAAACUGCAUAUACGUUUGAUUGCAACUCCAGUUCGUCGAAUUUUUCGUUACAAUUGAUGUUUUUUACUUUUGCUAUAACCGGCAUCAUUUCUACUGCAACCGUUCACUAAAAAAGUUGUAUACACGUUCAUGUAGAUAUUUGUUACAACCGGCGUUUGACUUUUGCUACCACGCAUCAUCAACUUUGUUUUUUUGCUACGAUCAUGUUAAUAUUAUUUUUGCUAUAAUUUUUUUUCAACCGUUGAAAGAAUUGUUGCAUUGCGUCGAAAUUUUGCUGCAUUAAAAAAAAAUGUUGCAUGAAGACAUAACGAUGUAGACGCGCGACCGUUGGCGGAUCGUGCGGCUCGUGCGGGCCGGCCGAAAGUUUCGACCGGCACAAAGCACUGACCUUCUAGAAUCAGAACCGAGCAGUCAGCAGCACGAACACAUGGAAAGAAGAUUCAACAGCUGCAGAAAGAAAUAACAGCCUGAACUCUCCAAGAGUCCAACCAUGUGAUCUCCGGUCCAAGUUCAUCAAUUACUACUGUACUAUUUUAUGGAUCUCUUGCCUUGCUCUGAAAUUUUUUUUUGCACCUACUCUAUAUAAAUCAGCCCCUUGCUUGCUCUCCCUCAUCACCGGUCUUCACUCUUCACUAGAACUUGCCAGCAGCGCUAGUGUGCAGCGAGCCAGCGACCAACCGACAAGAACAAGAUGGUCGCCGGCUGUGUCAUCACCGAGGAGUGCGCCCUGGCGGUGUCGACGGAGCGGCUGUGGAAGGUGGUCUUCUCCGGCGAGGACACGGCCGCCCUGCCCAAGGCCUGCGCGGGCUUCAUCGGCGCCGUGGACGUCGAGGGCGACGGCGGACCCGGCAGCGUCUCCACCAUGACGCUCAGCCCGGCGGCGGCGGACGGCUGUCAGGCUCGGGCGUGAUGAGGAGCUGCGUGGUGGCGCGCGACAACGCGGCUAGGGUGAUCAAGACCGAGAUGCUGGAGGGCGGCAAGGUGAGCGGCCAGCUCAAGUCGCAGGUGNNNNNNNNNNCAGAUGAAGCUCGAGGUGGCCAGGGGCGGUGCUUGUGUGGCGAAGCUCACGGUGGAGUACGAGAGGCUGGACGGCGGCAGGGCGCUGUCGGCGGAGGACCAGGCGACGUUCGCCGCCGGGUACCUCGACCUGCUCAAGAUGGUCGAGGCAUACGAGUACGUCUAAUUAUACCAAAACGAGAAACAUAAGAAAUAAAUCAACUUUCCCUUCGUUCAAAAUUAUUUAUCGCAUAAAUAAAGUAAUCUGACCAAGUAGCCUGUGUUGUUGCCUCCUGAUUGACUUCGCGAGAAAAAUCAAUUGAUAAGCUUUAGUAUAAAUUAUUGAGAUAUACAUGAGUGUUUAAUCCGUGUUUUAAGCUCGCAUUUCAUGUGUAAGUUGCUUCAAGCAUUGAUGGAGAUAAAUAUUAGAGCAGUUUGGUUUUGUGACAAAUGCACUUCUUUCUUAUCAGUCAAUUCAAAUUAAAUGGCGAGACAAGCCAAACGUAUAAAGGGCAAUAUCGAUCAUGUAACCAUUUUCAUAUGUGUGAUGGACUGUCGAUACAUAUAUGCCAUACGUACAAGCUGGCAGAGGACGGAAAAAAAACAAAGAAGGGCAAAUCUGACAUAAAAAGUUGUUGUCACUAUAAGUAAUAGCGACGGACCGAAAGACUAAGUUUUGUUGGCGAGACAACGAUAGAGCUUGACGUGACUUAUAACUAAUGCUUUCAGCUUUUAUAGAGAAUGCACUCAUAUUUUUUGAGUCGAUGCAGUAGAACAUGUGUUUGCAAAAACCAAAUGCCCUAUCGUGCGUGACUGAGGUGCAUGACUGAGUUCACAGCCACUUGAGCUUAAGUGCUAAAUUGAUGGCCAACAAUCGAGCAGCGCGAGUUCAUACAGAGGGCUUGGUUGCGUUUAUCUUAUUUUUCUAGCUAGACCAUGACUAGUUCAAAGAAAAUCAUUCAGUCAGACAAGACAUAUACCUUAAUGAACGCUUUCUUAGAAAAUCAAGGUGAGGCGGCCGCCAAACCUUGCCUUACUCGCUCCUCCGUUCUUAAAGAGCAUACGUUCGGCUUAACUUUGUACCUGCCCCUCGUAAGAAUAGUCGUCAUCACGACUUUGACCGGCGGCCAUCAUGAGUCGUCGCCGCCCCCAGCGUCGACCCCGCUCGAGUUCACUCGUCGUUGGGCUCAUCUGCGUCGUCGCACGUGGCGCCAUCCAGCAACCCUGCUCUCACGCGACACUUUCGUCGUCGCCCUACCCGUCAUUGGAGGUGCCAAGCACACCGUCUUUGGUGCACCUNNNNNNNNNNACGGCACUAUCAUCGUCGCCCUACCCAUAAUUGGAGGUGUCAAGCACACCGUCUUUGGUGCACCCCCCGCGAGACGUCAUGUGAUGCACUUUCGCGCUCUUCCAACUCGUCAACCAAGACGAGGAUGACGUCGACCCCCGGCCUACGUUGGAACUUAAUCAACAGAAGGUUUGAUCUUGGCACCCCUUUUUUGUGCAUAUUGUAAUGGUGCCAAAAAAACCACUACUUUGUUUAUAUAACUUAACCAUAUGAUGGUCCCUUCGUGCACAUUGAUAUGGUGCCGAAAAAAAUCAUCUUAAUAGUGAUUGGUACCAUAAAAUUUGCUUUUGGACAUAUUAUUUUGUUCGUCAUAGGACAUCAUCGAUUUUGCGUUUGAAUGGAAUAUGUCACUGAUAAUGUUGUGCGGUGUUUAGAUUGAUCCGAGACUCCAUUUGAAUGUGUUUGGAUGGAGCAUGAAAUCGCAUAUGCUCGCUAUGAAUCUACUCCCUCUGUUCCUAAAUAUAAGUCUUUAAAGAGAUUUUACUACGAACUACAUACGGAUGUGUAUAGAUAUAUUUUAGAAUGUAGAUUCAUUCAUUUUGCUUUGUAUGUAGUCCGUAGUAAAUUUUUUUAAAAGACUUAUAUUUAGAAACGGAGGGAGUACUUGUUAGAAUUAAUCUUGGACGUCAUAUGAAAACCUACCUCCCGAGGACACCCAUAUCAGUGAGGCCGAAGCCGAGAGUGUUAAUGUAAGUGAUGCAUUUGUUGAUAGUUUUUUAAAAAGCAACUCGGAACUUAAAUGUCUUACUUUUAAAGCUCUACACGUAGACGUUGAUGUUGACAAUGAGCAGAACGAUCUCGACGAAUCUUAUAUUGAUGACCCAAGCCAAGUAUAAUGAAUAAUUUGUACGGCAGGAAAUGAUAUAACAACCGAGUGAUAACAACUUACAUCUCUUUAUUUCUAAUUUUGCAUAGGAGGUUGGCAGUGCUCCUAGCGGGUAGUUGGCACGAUGAGUGAUGAUGAUGAAGAUAUUGGGCAAGCUGAAUANNNNNNNNNNNNNNNNNNNNNNNNNNNNNNNNNNNNNNNNNNNNNNNNNNNNNNNNNNNNNNNNNNNNNNNNNNNNNNNNNNNNNNNNNNNNNNNNNNNNACGGAUGGUGGGCUUGGGAACCCUACGCACAUCGUUUGGGGCCAUGGCGGAAACCUUGGCCGGACUUCCAUGCGGGUUACCCUUAGAUAGGUGAUAGACCUGGACUAAGUAUUAGCGUGGUUAACGACCGUGGCCGACUCCCUUGCUGGGCUUCCGCUUGAAGGUUGCCGAGGUGCAUGACGUGCACAUGGCGAUAAGUGGCGAGAGCGUGUGUGAAGAAGUACACCCUGCAGGGUUAUGAUCUAUUCGAAUAGCUGCGUUCGCGGAUAUGGACUGCUUGGAAACAUAUGUUGUUCAUAGAUAACUAUAAUGGUUACUCAUAAAAUUGUCAAGAUAAGCGUGAUUGUCGUGGACGGCAUUUCCGUAGGGAGACGGGAUGAUUCCACGAUAGAGUAUUGUGGUGGUGUUAGUGGACUCGUGUGCGAGAAACAUAGUUGUAAAAACUAUUUAAAAUCCAAGUUGUCUAGCCAAGAGUCAAAUGCUGGCUUUCCGCAUGAAACCCCACAACUCCUUGUUGAUACAUUGCAUGAGUAGAUAGAUUAUCCUAAAGUCUUGCUGAGUACUUUUGUACUCACGUUUGCUUAAUAAUUGUUGCAGAGGUUGUUAAUGACCCUAAUGGAGGGUUCUACCUAGACAUCGACCAAGAUGAGUAGCUGGUAUCCCAGCUACGAUCUGGCCCCAGCAUGGGUCUGUAGAUAGUCAGGCCAUGUGCCUUUGUCUCUCCAUCUAUCUGUACUCAGACAGUUUUUUAAUAUUCCGCUGGCUUGUAAGACUUGUGUGUAUGAAUUAUGAUGAUGGGUCGUGAGGCCCCUAUCUGUGUAAUAUUNNNNNNNNNNCCGAGCCUUCCAAAUAAAGUUUGUAUGUUUAUGGUUAUGUUGUGAUGCCAUCGAAGUAUCUAUACAUAUCGGUAUGCCAUGCAUACGUGUGUUGUACUUGAUAUGUAUGGGGUUCGAAUACCUAGUCGUAUGCUUUAGUAGCACUCCUAUGUGGAAAUGCCCCUUUGUGAUUCCAUCGAGCCCUAGUAGUUCGCUACUGCUCCGGACACAUUGGUUGACCGGCAUGUGUCCUUCUUAGCUGUUGUGUUUGUCCCUUUGGGAAAUGUCACGCGCAUGUAAUGGAGUCCUUGUAGCUUGCUACGACUCGUCUACAUUCGUUGAUGACGGACAACUACUUUGCUGGGUCAUGUAUGCAUGGUCCUGUACGGAACUACCAAUUUAGCUUAUGACUAGACAUGUCGAUCUGGGUUCUUUGACAUUGGAUUGCUAGCGACACAAUCACAUACGCGAGUAAAAAGGCGCAAACGGUCCCGGCUAAGGUAAGGCUGCAGCCGUAGGGUUAACCGUGCGUGAGACGCAAAGAGAUGCGAUGUGUUACACGCUGGAUUCCGAUGGCUUAGGAUCGGGGUCCCGACAGACCCGAUGUGUCUAACAUGGCGUUAACCAAAUGAGUUAGAGUACAGUUCUUUCUUUCAGCUACCCCAUUUGACUGAGGUGAAUAGGGAGGCGUCCUCUGAUGGAUUAUACCAUGUUCCUCACAGAAGUAAUCAAAUUCAUUUGAGAAAUACUCUCCAUCAUGAUCGGACCUAAGCCGCUUGAUCUUCGAUCAAGUUGAUUUUCUACUUCAGCUUCAUAGAUCUUGAAAAAGUUCAAAGCCUCAUCCUUAGAUUUCAGAAGAUACACUCAGCAGUAUCUAGUGGAGUCAUCAAUUAACGCCAUGAACUAUUUCUUUCCACCUUUUGUCAAAAUACCAUUCAUUUCACAUAGAUCUGAAUGUAUGAACUCUAGUAGUGCAAGAUUUCUCAUUUCAACAGUCGUGUGAAACUUACGAGGUUGCUUGGCUUGCACACAAGCUUGACACUUAGAUCCCUUGACGGUGGUGAAGCUAGGGAUUAAGUUCAAUUUGACAAGUCGGGACAUGCAACCAAAAUUAACAUGACAGAGACGUGAAUGCCACACAUUUNNNNNNNNNNNNNNNNNNNNNNNNNNNNNNNNNNNNNNNNNNNNNNNNNNNNNNNNNNNNNNNNNNNNNNNNNNNNNNNNNNNNNNNNNNNNNNNNNNNNUAUUGUUCUAAACAUGAUUAACAACUUUAUUGCAAACGUCUGCCAUGGAUAAAAGGAACAUGCCUCCUGACUCGUAGCCUUUACCAACAAAAAUUCCAUACUUGGAUAUUACAAAUUUAUUCGACUCAAAGACAAGCUUGUAGCCAUCUCUACACAAAUGAGAUCCGCUAACAAGAUUUUUAUUCACAGAGGGAACAUAGUGCACGUUCUUCAGCCGCACGACCUUCCCUGAAGUAAACUUCAGAUUGACCGUGCCAACACCGCGAACAGAAGCACUUGAACCGUUGCCCGUCAGCACAAUGGAAGUCCGUGUGGACUGAUAAGACGAAAACAUGGAAAUAUCACCGCNNNNNNNNNNUGUCAGUGUCACCAAUGACAACAUUAGCGGACUUGCCGCCUUUCCCAUGUUGAUGCUUGUCAUAACAGUUAGGGCAGUUAGAUGCCCAAUGAUCAGGAUCUCCACACACAUGACAAACACCUUUCUUCUUGUCAUUCUUGUUCUUGAAGUUGGUGUGUUGUACAGCCUUGUUCUUCCCAUCGAACUUUUCUUUACCAUCAAACUUGUCCUAGUUCUUGAAACUGUGGGGUUGGAAGUUUUUCUUCUGUACCAGAUUGGGACUAGAACCUCCCUCAAUACCUAGAGCACGUGUGUCUUUUGCUCUCACGUUUUCUUCCACAUCAAGAGUACCUAUGAGAUCCAAAACGGAAAACUCUUGCCUCUUAUGCUUCAGUAAGGUAGCAAAGUUCCUCCACGAAGGAGGAAGUUUAGUGAUGAUGCCUCCGGCAACAAACUUGUCGUGUAGCAUGCAAUUGAAGUGCUCAAAUUCUCUUGCAAAUGACUGUAUCUNNNNNNNNNNNNNNNNNNNNNNNNNNNNNNNNNNNNNNNNNNNNNNNNNNNNNNNNNNNNNNNNNNNNNNNNNNNNNNNNNNNNNNNNNNNNNNNNNNNNGAGUUCCAGCAGGAAUAGGAUUGGUGUUGGCGUUGACCAUGUUCCCGAAGAGGUGGUAAACGUCAGGGAAGUAGUCGUCGUCUGGGAAGAGAUCGUCAGUAUCCGUGAUGGAAGCCAGUAGUCACGUUGAGCGCUCCCCAAAUACCUUAUCGCCCUUCUCCCGUACAGGACUCAAAGAGACGGAGUUUCGGAGGCCUACUGUCCCGACCUACGGUGCACGUUGCAAGACGGGAUGGGAAAGAAUGUAGCAGCAUCACACAGAAAGGAAUCGGUGGCGAGAGAAAGUUCUGAUGCGUCUUCUCUGGAGAGGAGCAACCUCUCUUUUAUAGACGCAAGAGAAGGAGGCGAGAGGCCAGCGACGGAGAUGAAACAAACAGACAACAGCCGAAGAGUUCAGCUUCUCCGAGUGACCUUUCGUAUACCAGUCGUGCGUGGCAAAAAUUUAGUUCGGCUCAUUCCCGCAACCCGCGGCGCAUCGGGAUGAGGCGCGGCGGGCGAUGGAGGAGGAGGAGCACGCGUGUAUGUCUCUCUUGUUUUCAAGCUCAUACAUGUGUGGAAACAUCCUCCCUUAUAAGGAGAUCCGACUACCACUAAACUAGCAACCUGGGACUAAAUAUUUCCACCUCUUGCCUUGCACAAAUGCGCUGCGUGGGCCUCUAGGAUUUAUUAGGAUUUUUUUUUGAAAUAAUAAUUGGGUUGGCCAAAAAUUCCAGCAUCGACGUCUUCCUCGUCUUGGUCGACGAUUUGGAAGAGCGCGAAAGUGCAUCACAUGACGUCUUGCGGGGAGGUGCACCAAAGACGGUGUGCUUGGCACCUCCAAUGACGGGUAGGGCAGCGAUGAAAGUGCCGCGUGAGAGCAGGGUUGCUGGAUGGCGCCACGUGCAAGGACGCAGAUGAGCCCAACGACGACGUGAACUCGAGUGGGGUCGACGCUNNNNNNNNNNNNNNNNNNNNNNNNNNNNNNNNNNNNNNNNNNNNNNNNNNNNNNNNNNNNNNNNNNNNNNNNNNNNNNNNNNNNNNNNNNNNNNNNNNNNGAACGAAGGGAAAGUUGAUUUAUUUCUGAUGUUUCUCGUUUUGGUUUAAUUAGGCGUACUCGGCAGGGUGGGCGACCAGGUAUGCCUCGACCAUCUUGAGCAGGUCGAGGUACCCGGCGGCGAGCGCCGCCUGGUCCUCCGCCGACAGUGCCCCGCCGCCGUCCAGCCUCUCGUACUCUACCCUGAGCUUCGCCACGCAAGCACCAUCCCCGGCCGCCUCGAGCUUCAUCU